AACUCGCGUUGCAUUUGUAGAGCUGCACCAGAAACGAGACUGAGCCGGUGCGGAGGGGCCAAUUUUCCAGCCAAAUGCAAGAUGUUAUUUGAAUCAUCUUCGGUUCGUAUUAUAAGUUGUCUAUGCAUACCGGUUUCGCAGAUGAGGUUGAAAAUCUUUUCAUAACGAUUUAAUACUGCCAAUUUGAAUACAUCCUCAUCCAGAUACUCGAGUGCAUAAGGAUAUGACUUUAUAAUCUCUUCCAGAAUCUCGGGAAUCCCAUAUUUUGCCCCAUUAAUGAAUGAUUGUCUAAAUAUUUUCUUCGCUCUUGAUACUUUCAAAACUUCAGUACAUAGGUGGUUAAGCAAUUGAAGAGUCAGAGUAUGCAUUGUUUUUGUUUCUUGGAUAUGCUUGAUGGGUGGUACUGCAAUUAAAAUUAUAUUAAGGACAACAUAACAUUGAAUUCAAGACUUUUGCAUGCUUUAGUGGUAGUUUUGUUGUGUCCCUUACCUAACCAUCCAAUCAGUUCCCAGAAUAUUGCAUUCGCCUUUUGGCAAGCUGUGUGCAACGUAAAAUUGAAGCAGUUCAGAUGCAAAAGCAGGACUAACAGGAGAAAAAACAAAAAAGCAACCUUGAAUCAAGUACCAAUUAAACACUAAUCUAAAUUAAAGUGAUCGUGAGAAGUUGCCAACUCAUAUUGGCUGGUGUAAAGUUUUUUGGGGAUUCAAUAGGUUUCAUAUAUUUCCCUUAAACCGUCACACUUGAAUUUAAAGGCUAGAAUGAAGAAGCCUAAUGAAACUUGGUACAAGCUCAAUUACUCGACUUCUUAUUAAUUAACCAGGAGCAUCAGGUGACAAGAUAUUCACAAAAUCUAUCAGAGCAAUGAAAAUUGUGUAUCCUGCAUAAAUCUCUGAGUAGUAGAGUAUUAUCCAUUGGAAUUUGAUUGUAGAGCUGAUUUCAAAUCCAUUACUCUAACUUAAAAGGAUAAAAAAUGAAGACAAUUUUCUGAGGACAAAUUAAAAUUGUGAGGACCUCGAAUUCAACAAAUUAGCAUUUCUCUACUGAGUGCAAUUUGGCAAAUUGGUUUGACUUAACUCGAAUCUCAGUGAAGUUGAGAAACCAUUUUUAGUACUCAAGUUAGGAUUUGGUCGAGUUUCUCGACCAAAAGUUAAUUUUGGUUGAGCUCAAUUUUGGGCUGAGUUCAGACCAAUGCUUCAACAAUCUAAGCUGAAUUAAACUCCAUUAAUAUUUUAUAAUAUUUGUAGAACGUAUUACUAUAUAAUAAUAUCAAAUUUUUUUAUAAAAUAAGUUUAAGGGAAAAAUCAUCAAAAUUUAUUAAGCUAACUCUCAUAAAUUUGCCUACCCCCUUGUGAACACUAUUUGGAAGGAAAAUUAAUUAGGAAGUCUCUUAAGCAAGCCAGAAAGGUAUCUUGUCCUUUGUAUCCCAUGCAUUCAAAAGUACAAGGACUAAUGAACAUGAGACCCAAGCAUGGUGCCUACUACUUCAUCACAUUUACGGAUGGUUAUAUCUAGAAGUCCAAAGAAUUGCUUUGAUUUAGAUGUUAUAUGAAUAUUGUAAAAAAAUUGAAAAGAAAAAACUAUUACAACAUUAAGGAUAAAUCAUGGACAUGAGUAUCCAUUGAAGAGUUUUAAAAAUCACUAUGAUGAAAAGGAAAUCCAAAGAACAAUGAACUGAAAAAAGUAACCAUAAACUUUUGGAUAUGGUUCACUCAAAAAGGCACAAGCCAACUAUCUAACAUCUUUCGGGGUGGGAAAGGAGGGUUACUAUUUUGAUUGCAACUUAAAUCUUGAAUAGAAUGCCCUCAACAUCAAUUACUUCAAAUCCAUAUAGUUAAGAAGCCAAACAUAACUCACUUGUAAUCCUAAGGAUUAGCAGGUUUAGUUCAUGUAAAUUCUCAUAGAUAUUGUGCUAUAAAGAAAACAAGUGCACUUUCAUUAGAUAUUCUAAUAAAUCAAAGGUUGUGUGAUGCUUAGUGAACAACUCAAUGGGAGUAUAAUUGAAAUUAAGUAAUAUGAAUAUAAUUUCUUAUAGGAUGAUAUUUUGAGUAAAGGAGCAUUGAACAUGAGUCUCAGUUUAUUUGAGGCAAUUAAACCAAAGGAAAAUACUAUGAUAUCUCAUAUCGAAUAAGGGAAAAAGUUCUUGACAUUAUAUAUAUAUAUAUAUAUAUAUAUAUGAGCUUCUCUUAACUAUUUAGACACAUUUUAAUGUUAUGAGGGCUCUUUGAGCCCAAAGUCGAUAAUAUAUAUUUACAUGGUUGGGAGUGAGUUGUUACAAAUGGUAUCAAAGUGUAUCCUCAACCAUGGUAUGAGAGUUAGUUUGUUUGGUCCUGUAAUCCUAUGGGACACAAAUGAGGACUUUAUGUCUUCAUGGGGGUGAUUAUGAUAUCCUACAUUGAAUAGGGAAAAAAGUUCUUAGAAUUAUAUAUGUAAGAGCUCUUCUUAGCCAUGAAAACGUGUUUUAAAUCUCUAAGGUCCCUUUGAGUUCAGAGUAAACAAUAUCUACUUGAUUGGGAGUGAGUUGUUAUAGAUGUUAAAGAUCUUGCUAAGGAUAUGAGUGACUCGACAAGAUAGUAACUUUGAGUAGUGACUUGCCACCUACUAGAUUAUGCCACUAAGUGUGAUUUUACCAUUACAUAUUAAGUCACUGGAUUUAGAUGUGUGUGGCGAAAAACUUGGAGCUAUCUGAUCAUUGUAAUUAUGGGCAUUAAGGUGAAGCUUUCAUGUUUGCAUCAUAAGAUCAUGAUGUUAGGAUAGAUUCUUUAAAAGCGUGAUAUGAUGUAACCAGAAAUGGAGUUCAUUAAUACUUACAUUAUGAUUUCAAUUUUCUAUUUACUAUCCUAUUUAUGAAUUAUGUAUGUUAAGGAUUCAAACCUACAUCACUUGCAUGUACAUGACUUGAGUGAAUUAGGAGUUACAUGGAAAAUCUAAGUCAUAGAUUCCUUGCAAGUUAAUAACUCAUUCACAAUUGGUUCAUGGACUUCAAUAAUCCAUUUGAGGAAUGACUUGCCCUAGUCAUUAGGAUGGGUUUCCCAUGGUGAGUGUACUAGUGUGUUUAGUUAUGUUGGGAAACCUAGAUCUCUCCAUUCCUAUAACCCUAGAUUGUAUAUGUGCAUGCAAAAUACCCUAGGGCUCUAAAUCCUAUGUAAUAGAAGCAAAAAUCAAAAUUUUAACAUUCUAUAAUCUAGAGAAAAGUUAUUAAAAACUUUGAGAAAAUAAAAGGCUAAUCUUAAUAGAGAAAACACCCAAGAGGGGAGGGGGGUGAAUUGGGUUUUAAAAAAUAUUUUUCAAACACAACAAAUUCAAGCAAAGGAAACACAAAUAUAAAGAGAUAAGGUUAGAAAGAGUAAACUCAGAUUUUAUAGUGGUUCAACACUUGUUUGCCUACGUCCACUCUCCUCAACCUCCUAACUAAGUGAAGGUUCCACUAUACUUGAAGCUUCAACCAAGCUUUUAAUCACCUUUAUACUUGGAUUCCAACUUCAAUAGUCUAUUACACAACCCCUUCAAGUCUUAACUCACUUGAAGCUUUUAACACUCAAAUAAUAAGUUCGAAUCUCUCAACCUAGCUCAACAAGGGCUCAAAUACAACUUAAAUGUUAGGAAGAAUCACAAAGGUGCACUAAGGAAUAUGCAAAUGGAGAUUUAAUGCACUAAGGAAACAAUGAGAGCUUUUGAGGCAAGAACAAGUAGGUAGACAAAUAAAUGCAGGUGUUCUCUACCUCAUAAAUGAAGUGGAGUUCUCAAUUUAUAGGUUUCUAGCCUCGGGAGCCGAAAAUGCCAAAAAGUAGUAUUGAUCAGUUGAGUUGAGGGUCAACCGGUUUACUAGCCAUUAGACAAUAAAUGCAUGGUAGGCGACCAUUAUGCCUUGACCGAUCCUUGACCAAACCUCGAUCAGAUCUCGACCGAGAAGGCAUAUCCCUCGACCAAGAAUGCAAAGCUACAAGAAGAGAGAAUAUUUUUUGCAUUUCUCAAUCGGACCUUGAUCAAGAAGGUGUAAUCGAUUGCCCGGUGCCCUAACCAGUUGAGCCGAUUGACCAGUGCCUUGACCAGUUCACCAUUUUUGGCCUAAAAACCUCUUUUUUUUUUUUUUUUUUUUAUUCUUUUCUCUUAUAACACUUAGGCAAGGUAUUUAGGUAAAUUAAUAUGCCACUUUUGAAACAAUUUGCCUAAGGUUUAUUUGCUAAAACUAGGGUUUUGACGGAAAUGUAACUUUAAUGCCUAAACUGAGUUUUUAAAGAGCAUGAAAAUAUAUGAAAUCCUAAGUGCACCAUGCAUUCAUCUUACAUAUGUUUCCUAUUAUUAAAGGGUCUUCUAAUUGUCUUGAUCUUGCAUCCAUUGGGUCCUUUGAUUAAUUUCCAAACUAAUACCUAAAUUCUUUAUAUCAAACCAAUUAACAACUUAACCAUGGUUUGUUAUCAUCAAAACGCGAUUAGGAAAACCCUUGGGCUAACAAACCUUACCUUUGAUUUGAAUGGUUCUCAAAUCAAUUCUACUAAAUGAAGAUGAAAGCCUAAAGAGUCUAGAGGUCUCAUACACCAAAAAUCUUUUGCUUGAUGACUUGAUCCAUGAUCUUGGCACUCCAAAAUGUGGGCUUUGGAAAAGAGGAAUCCUAGGCUCUCUCUCUAGAUGUAGAAGACGAUUGUCUCUCAAAAAGUGAUUGGAACCCCAACCCUUAGAGGGUAUUUAUAGCGUUGCCCUACUAGGCUUAAAUGACUUGAGCCCUCUAAGGCUUGGGUCACUUAAUCUUGUCUAAAAUGGGUCCUAAUUGAUUGGUUAACCAUAUAGGGUCAUUUAAUUAAUCAAUUCAUGUCAAUGAGAUAAUAAAGAGAAAGUAAAAAAUAUAAAUAAUAAAUUUAUAAAUAAAUCUCUAUUUGUUACAUCAUGUCACUCUUUUUAGGACUCAAUUCUAAUAGUUUACACAUUAAAUAGGAUUUACGGUGAGUCAAACAUUGGUCAUUAGGUAGUCUUGACUUCACCAAGCUGCUAUGUUGUAUAAGCUCCCAACCUUGAGAGAAUAUUGAUCUAGUGCUAAGGUCUUCAAUGGAUUUAACCCAUGAGUGAGACCCUAAAGUGGUCAUAUAUUCUCUAUAGAUUGGGUCACUACGAUUGAGGCAUGUGAUAAUAGGUAUUCUCAAGAUAAGCACCAUGAUAUCUUAGGGGUUUGAGACAUUAUGUCCCCUUAGGUGAUCCUAAGGACAUGUGAUCAUGAAAAUUGUGGCCAUAAUAAUUCCUUAAGUGGAAUUUGAUGUAUGCUCUUAGAGAGAUAUAGUAUGUCAAUUGAUCACAUAAUAGGAGGAUCUAAGACUCAAGGAUUGUAGAGGUAGUCUUGAGAGGUUGAUAACAUUCAUCUUGUUAAAUUAUGAAUACCAAUUCAUGGGGAGCUUGCAUGCAAUUGUUAGUAGGUCGCAGACUGAAGUUUUCUAUCUCGAUCUAAUAUCAUAAGGAUACUAAAGUGUAGUUGACUCUUUAUAGUUAGAUUUUGAGUCAACUUUAAAAUUUGAUUUUAGGGGAGCCAACACUUCCCUACGGGUCCUAGUGGUUUCCACUCAAACUCAUAUUCCUUGGUAAAAAAAUAUUUGAGGAAUAGUUGGAUUCUUUAUUUAUAUGUGUGUAUAAGAGCAUUUUGAUAAAUACGGAAGGUUGCACUAGUACAUAUAUAUAGCCUUUUUAGAUUCGGAUAAUUAAUUAAUUGGAACUCAAUAGAACAAAUUAGUUAAUUAGGACUCAAUGAGUUAGAUUAAGUAACCCAAACGUAAGAUGAGCUCAAGUCACUCAAGCUAAGAGGUAAGCCUAUAAAAACUCCUUAAAGGGUUUCAGGCUUAGUACUUUUCAUCCAUUCAAUCUUCUAUCUUAAUAUCUUAAUAAAACCAAAAUGAGAGUGUAGAGUAUAAAAAUAAAAAUGAAAAAGAACUUCUCAUGAGAAGUGAGGUUUGCCUCAACUCUCCUUAUUCAACCCAUUAUCACAUCUUUGGAUUUAAAAUUAUAUCAAAUAAACAUUCAAAUUGUUUUUCUCAAUGGAGAACUAAAUAAGAAGAUCUAUAUAGAUCAACUGACUUGUUUUAUGGAAACUAAAUAGAAAGGCAAAGUUAACAACUACAAAGGUCCAUUUAUAACUUACAAUAAUCAUCUAAACAAUGGUAUAUUACACUAAUGGGUUUAUGAUGGUCUAAGAACACUAUUGCAUGUUUGUUAAAUGGUGUAAAGGUAGAUUCUAUAUUCUAUUUUUUGUAUACGAAUGAAAUGUUGGUUAGGGAUGAUAAUGAGAUGGUUGUCUCUAAAGUGUGGUGGUCGUCAACUUUUAAAAUGAACAACAUGCUUAAAGCAAACUAUGUGUUCAAAGUUAUGAUCCUAAUCAAUCAAUCAAGAAGACUUUUUGGUUUGUUUUACAAAUCAUACACAAUGAAUAUUCUUGAAAAAAUUCUAGAUGUAAAAUUGAAAAUCUAUUGGCAUUCAUAUAGAGAAAGAUAAGACCUUAAGCUUUAACAUGUGUCAUAAGACUUUAGAUGAAUAAGAAAAGAUCACUCAAGGUUCCUAUAUGCUAGCAUUGUUAGUAGCUUAAAGUAUCCAAUGAUGUGUACAUGAACUAAUAUUUGUUAUAUAAUUAGGUUAGUAGCUUCCAAUUAGAUCUAAACCUUGCUUACAAAAAAGCAAUGAACCGGAUGAUUUCAUACCUCAAAGUCACCAUAGGCUAUAUAAUUUGCUAUUGAGGAUUGAAUUUGGACUUGAUUAGCUAUGACAAUGAUAAUUGAGGUAGCAUCAUAAAUGACCCCAAAUCCACAUAUGGUUAUAAUUUUAUAUAUGCUCUAUGAUGUUAGCAUAUAUUGGUGAAAUAGAAAAUAGUCAUGUAUAACAUUGUCUAACAUGCAUGGAGUUGGGAGUACAUUACUUGUCGUUUAGGAAAGUGACUAGUUUAUGAUGUUCAUGCAUAUUUUUCACAAUAUUUCUUGUUCUUUUGAGCAUACUACUAUUUAUUGUGAUAGCAUGGAAACUUUAGCCUAUGUCAAAGACCCCCCCAAGUAUCAUAGUUGAACCAAACACAUCAAUCUUAAAUAUUAGUUUAUAUGAGACAUGGUUACAUAGGAACAUAUUUCUACUUGAUUCAUGGUUAAAAAUCCCUCCCCCCCUCCCCUAUUGACUAAGCUAAUACGUAAAGAUGUUUAUUAGGGCCAAGUUGAGAGCAUUGGAUUAUGUAGAUAAUGAUUACAUAGGAGUUAAGUUAAGAGAAUUGGAUCAUGUAGAUUAUGAUUACAUAUUGUAUAUUUCAAUUAACCAUUAUACCUAUGAUUUAUUCAUUGUCCAAUCUUGUUUGAUGGUGCCAUUUAAUUAUUUAUUUUACUUUAUCGACAUGCACUUUCAUUACUUUGCACAACUGAAACAUAAUGAGUCCAAACCACUUAGAUAGUGUGUUAGGUCAUUGAUAUUUGUAGUACUCCUUUUUGUAUCCAAUAUGACUUACAUGUUAGUAGCGACCAAGUAUAGAUAGUCCUAUUGUCUACAUUUGUAAUGGAGCCAAUUGCCAAAUCUUGUUAAUUUAGUGCUUGAUUUAGUAAGCAUGUGCAAAACUUCAGUUCUUUACUUGAUGCAAUUAAACUAAGAUUUGUACGAUAUAGAAGAUCUAAGGUACACUCAUAAUGAAGAUCUCCAUGUUGGCAUGUAUAUUCAUACUAUAUCUUCUUGGUAAUCAAACAAGAAUGAAUGAAUAUAUUCCUAGCUACUUCCUCAUCCUGUGUAUUAAUCUUAUAGGUAAUUAUAUAGGAUAACUUUUAUGCCCUUGUGAUUUUCAGUCAUAAGUUACAUAUAUGGUGUAGUUUGAAAUAUUUUUCUAGGGGGAUUAACCAUGUUUAACUCAAUGUGAAUAAAUGUGUUUAAGAUAUAAUGAGACACCUUUUAGGGAUGAAUUACAUUGGUUAAGAUGAAAUUUAGUUUAAUUCUCUUACACCUUUCUUAUCAAUGUGUUCAAAAGUUAUACAAUCCAUUGGUCAAUAUAAACAUGGAUGGUAAUGAUAUAGUUGAGAGAAAUGCAUGAUGUUAUUUUGCCUACUAUGCAUGAGUGGGAGACAAUGGAGUUUCGAUUUCAUGAGAUACUCUUAGUAGAACUUCAUCAACUAAGAACUUGAGAGUAAGUUACAUACUUAUCAGUUAAGAUUCCUCAUGGGAGGAAAGUUUAGUUAAGAUUCCUCUUGUGGGAGAAGGUUCAUAUUUAGAUUUGGUGAGAAUCUGUAAGAGUUGUUUGUCUUUUUGUAAUUCCAAUUCUAGGCCUUUUGCAUAUUUUCAAUUUAGUUUGUGGCAGUUGUUAAAUACUUCUACUUUAGUUUUUAGCAAUUAUAAUUUUUUAAAGCUUGCUAUUUAGGUUUAGAUUUACUAUAUGCUUAUUAGAUAUCUUAAUUCUUAUUGUAUUCUCCUUGGUUAAUAAUCUUCCAAUUUGAUUGUGGAGUUCAAAGAUUUUAACCAAAAUAGGGAUCAGGGUUUUCAAAGUUAGGAAAAGUAUUUAAUACAAUUAAUUUUUGAAUAAGUUUGCAAACUAAAUCUUUCAAUUGAACCUAAUGAGUUUACAUACUAAAUCUCUCAUUUUCAGCCUUGGUUGUUUCCACUCUUUGCAAUUUAAUUAGUUUUUUUUCAAAUAUAUAUAUAUAUAUAUAUAUAAUUCAUUUUGUGUACCUAUAUACUCAAGUUUUUGAGUAAUUAUGAGUUGUAUUGUUAUAUUUAGUAGAAUUUGACAAACUAAAAAUGAUUACCUUUGAACAAUCGAGUCCAACAGCACAUUUGUGUGGAUAGUUCAUAGCUACCAACUUGAUUCUUCAUGCCUCCUCUAUUAGGUUGACUAAGAAAAUGGUUUAAUUUCAUAGGAACACCUUAAGAAUAAAAAUGUCAAGAAAAAGGAAGGAAAAUUAUGCUUCGUCUAAUUUGACUCAAAGACUUAAAGGAAAAAACAUAAUAAUAUAAUAGUUAUUAUAAUGAAUAUAAUAAAAAGAAAAUUUGUCAUGUUCUUCCCAAUACUCAUUAAACCCCUUUCAAUGAAACUUUGUAAGCUAUACUAAUACAAAAUAAUGGUCCAAAUAGUAAAAGCUCAAUAAAUGAAUGUUUGAUAAAUUAAUAAUCUUACUUAUAAAACAAAAUAUUCUAGUCUUAACUCAAGCCAAUGUACUAAAUUAGUAAUCUCGCUAAAUACAUAAGAUAAAAAUAUUUUCAAAAGUCUUUAAGGGCUUAAGAAAUAUAAACUAAUAAUUGAUGAAGUAUAAACAAAAAAUCAUAGUAUAGCAAAUAGAACUUCAUAACAUAGUAUUAAGUAAUUUUUUAUAACUUUUAUUUUUCUAAAUUCACUUCUUUUAGAAUUAUCACAUAUUUGAAAUAGCUUUAUCUUUUACAACAUUAAGUUUUGAUGCCACAUCUUUGUUGGGGAGUCUUUUUUUCUUUUACAAUCAAUAACUAUUUUUUUUUAUUCAGUCUCUUAGGUUUCUAUUUAUUAACUUUUUACCAUGUGUACUAUUUUCAAAUUUAUAAGUUAUACAUGUACAAAUAAUGUACAAUAACAACAUAAUACUCUUCAUCAAUUAAUAAAUAACCAUUUAUCUAUAAAUCAAUAACCUUGCUAAGAUCAUAUUUUUUCUUGGUCCCAAGAGUAUUAUUUUAUAAGAGUUUUUCUCUAUAUAGUUCCUUCAUUGUAGGAAUUUCUUUAGGUUAAUAUUACUAAAGUUGUAAUUUAAAAAAAAAAACUAUUAUGGAAACUAAGAGAACUUUGAAAGCUAUAAAUUAGUGUUUUAUAUCAUUCUUUUUUUCUAUGAAUGCCAAAGCCAUUGUCAAAUAAAAAGAGUAAAUAAAGUAAUUAGUUGAAAGUGAAAUAGGUGACUUAAAACUAUUGCUUUGGUACAUGUUUGUUUUAGGUAUAGUAGAUCAUAAGAAAUAAAAUCCUCUAGCUAUGUUUAUUUGAUAGAAUAAAAAAGUGAGUGUGUGGUUGCUCCACAGGAGAAGACCACAUGUUAGCCAAAGAAUAAGUAACUAUAAAGCUUACAAAAGUGUUAAAUGAUCAAUUUCUCACCUAAGCACAUUAAUGAGAACUAAAUGAUGAAUUAAACCAUACUCAUGCACCCAUACUAAGACCCAUGCCUCCAUGCGGGGAGACCCUAAUUGGUCCCUAAAAGGAGAAGUUUAACAAUGGCCACAUCCUCUAUGCCAUGUUAUUAUUCCAAAAACAUAGAAAGUUAACCUUUGAGUUGAUGCUUAUUUGUUUGGUAGUUUCCACAUUCUUCUUACUAACUUGACAUUUGAAGGCUCUACGACCAUAAGGAGCCUAGAGUGCUCACUUUAGGUUCCUUAUGAUUGUAAGGUCCUAACCAUCCAUUGAAGUAAGAAAGUGAACUAAGAGUUGGAAAAAUGGUGUCAUCUAUGGUUAAGAUACAAAAAUUCAGCUCACCAAAAAAUCACAGUAAAGCUACUAAAAAACACCCCACCCCCAGGCAAGGACCUUCAUUUAAGUACUCCUUGAGGUAUAUCCAAAUCAAAGACCUAAAGUUGAAGAAAUGAAGUCAACUAAACUUGGUUCCAUGCAUGAUAAGGUUGAAAAGCCUGCAUAAAAACCUACAUAAAGCUUGCUCCUUUAUAAGAAUAACCUGAACCUACAAGGGAAGAAGACCUAUAAAAGGAAAUCAUAAACAACAAAGAAAAAAAAGUCCCUCUCUCCUUUGAAAAAGAUUUCUUUGAAUGCAGAAACCUAUUUUUUGUAUCAAAAAAUUGGUGGAAUAAAAAUUUUCAAUUAUCUAUGAAGAGUGUUAGCUUCUUCAUAUGGGAAUGCAUUAAAAGCCUUGAAGACAUUGUUUAGAUCUAUAGCAACAAUUGGGCAAUAGAAAACUAUGCAAUAGAGUUUUGGUAGGGAAAGGCAAUCAUGAUAGAAAUGAAGUGGAGCAAUGAGUGAGAGCAAACCCUUCAAUAGAUGGAAGAGCUCAUUAAAAGAAGCGACUAACUCACUCAAGAAAAUGUUGCCUUUAGGGUAAGGGUAGACAAAUACCAAUGUGACUUUGACCAACAGCUCUCAUUGGCAAGCACCAAUAAGAUGCAAGUUAAUGAAUAAUAGUUAUCGAAGCAACUAGACCAACAUCUAGAUUAAAUUGGGAGAGAAAGGUGGGAUAAACCUUAAUUAAACUAACCAAACAGACCACCUUGCCAAAGGCCCCAAUGCUCUAAGGGAUUCUUGCCACCAGAGCUACCACAAAAUGCAUAAUCUUGGUGAAUAAGGUGAUUGAGCCCAAGUCCCUUUAGAAGGAGAAUGAGGCCAUAUGAGAGUUUUCUCUCCCUAAGUUCAAUUUCUUUCAAUGAAACUAAAGACACCCUAGACUACUUAUGCAUUUCUAUGCAUGUGAUAAUCUUAGAGAAGGGAAACAAUCGACUUUUAUGCAAAAUCUUCCCCUCCAUCCUCCAAGGACUAACUUUGUUUUGUCUUUAUCAACUUACCUUAGAGUUUGCUCCUGAUAUCGAGACCCUAAGGGUGAAGUAUGCCUCUUAGUACAUGCACUUAAAGAUUAUCUACUAGAUUUGAGCAACUAAGCAAGGUAUCAAGAUAGUUAUAGAAGCAUAUGGCAAUUGAAGCAAAAGUCCUCACAUCCUUGCAUGAAGCAACUACCACUUGCCCACAUGUCAUAUGCUUCUCUAAUAAAGGCUUAAGAGGAGUCCAAACCCUGCUCAAGAUCCAUUGGUUAUUACUUUAAGAAUUAUUGACUACAACAUGCACCUAUUUUUAGUUGACCUAACAAGUUUAGUUAACUUGCUAAAUAUAUUAGCCCAUAUAUGAACAAGUGAAUAUGGACGAAGGAAAACUAGUGUCAAGUCUUGGGUCGUUUGUGGGACUAGACAAAGUCCUAUGUGGCUCAACUAGGGAAGUCGCUCUAAUGGUUCCAAUUGGUUGUUGCCAUAUAAUGACACAAUUCUUUGUUAUGGAUAUCCUUUUCCCGAUAAUGCCAUUAUGGGAUGACCAUGGAUAUACAACCUAAGAGGAACACUAUUCACAUACCAUCACACCAUUAAAUUCCUAAUACUACAAGGAAUAUGGGAAAUAUAUCGAGACUAGGUGGCAUCAUGAGUAUGCUACACCAUAGCCCUUAAAGCGGUCAUCAAGUGCAUCAACUAGGACCCUUAGGAAGUUCAUAAAUCAAAAGUCAAAUAAAAAUUAGUAGGUGACCCGAGAAGGCAAUUAGAGAACCUAGGGAGUCAUUAUUCUAGAGCCCCUAAACCUAGGAGGUUCCUUCUAGCCCAUGCAAAAAAAAAAAAAAAAGGUUUCAGAUGGCUAUUAGAAAAGAACACAUCUUUACUAGGAAACUACAAGACAUCGUGGGCAUUGAUCCCCAAGUUACAUGUCAUCAACUCAACAUAAACCCUAGUGGUUAGCUCCUUAAAGACAUUAGAUUGUGAAAAAAAAGGUAUCUAGGCUCUUAGAUGCUAGAUUUGGUCAUCUAGGUCUUCUGACAACAAAUAGAAGUUAGUAUGCUAGUUUACAUUAAUAACAUGUUAGUAACAAGUAAGAAGAGGAAUGACUACUUGAUCGACCUCCUAAGAACAUUUCAAACUCUUCAAAAGUAUUAAAUGAAGCUAAAUAAGUGAAGUGCAACUUUAAUGUAGGGUGUGGAAAGUUCCUUAGGUACUUGGUUACAUACAAAGGAAUGAAAGCUAACCUAGGCCAAAUAAAAUCAACUUUGGAGAUACCAAUGACCAAAAGGGCUAGAGAAGUCCAAAAGAUCACUAACAAGAUUGGUUCUUGAAAUAGAUUUAUAUAUUGAACAACAACUAUGUGUCACCCUUUCUUCGACAUUAGCAAGAAGGGAAAAUGGACUAAAAGAACCAAAAAAUGCAACUAAGCCUAUGAAUCACUAAAGCAUUACAUGAUGUUAACCCCCAUUCUGGAUAAACCCUAGGAUAAGGAGGUCUUACAAGGUCUCAAUAGCAGUAGUAAGUGGAGUCUUAUCUCAAAAAAAGAGGAAAAAAUGAGCAAUCAAUGUACUAUGUCUAAAAGACCCUCUUAGAUGUGGAAACCUGAGAUAUAUAUAAAUAUUGAAAAACUGGUGCUUGCCCCUUAGAUCGCCACAUUGAAGCUUCAAUGUUACUUCCAAGUGCAAGGUAAGAACUAAGUGAUGAGAACUCAAACUUAAUACUUUAAUGGCUUUAAAGGGCCCACUUUAGUGUAUUUGAGGUACUAAAAAAUUAACCUAAGGUUUUGUUUUUUGUAUAAUACCUUAGAAAAUUAUGUUUGAUGCAUUCUAUGACCAUUCUACAUGCUUUAAGGUGUUUUUUUUGUUAGAAUAGAAUCCUUAAAAGCAUGACAUGAUGUAAUAAAUUUGGAAUUCAUUAUUUAUUUACUGAUGUUCUAGUUUCACUUUUAUCUAUCCUUAUUCCAUGUAUUGUACUUUAUGAGUAUUCUUGCCUACAUCUUUUGCAUUGUACAUGACUUAGGUGCAUUAGGAGUUGCACAGAAGAUUUAAGUCAUGGGUUUCUUGCAAAUAGAUUAUUUGUUCACAGUCGGUUCAUGAACCUAGGCAAACCAUUAGAGGUUGUAGUGCACCACCUCCUAAUUGGAGGGAUGGUUAGUCUUGGCCAUGGGAUGAGUUUCCCAUGAUAAGUGCACUAGUGUGUAUGGUUGCACAUUGGAUAGGACCUAUGGUGAGUUAUGACUUAACCCUAUCAAGUAGUCAUGACUCCACCGAGUUGUUUCAUUGUAUUAUCUCUCAACCUUGAGAGAAUAUUGAGUUUGUGCUGAAGUUAAUAAUGACUUUGAUUUAUGGGUGAGGUCGUAAGUUGAUCAUAUAUUCCCUAUGGAUUAGGUCAAUGUUGAUGGAAGUCGGUAACAAUAGGUAUUCUUAAUAAAGGCACCAUGAUAUCUCUUAGGAUUGAGACAGUGUGUCCCAUUGGAUGAUCCUAAGGAGGUGUGUUCAUGGAAACUAUGGCUAUAGUAGUUCCUUAAGUGGAAUUUGACAUAGACUCUUUGAGAUCUAAGAUAUGUUAAUUGAACAUACAACAGGAAGAUCUGUAGCUCAAGGAUGGUAGAAGUAGUCUUGAAAAGCUAAUGGCUUUCACCUUGUUAGACUACGAACACCAAUUCAUGGGGAGACUAAACAUAAUGGACAGUAGGUCACGGACCCGAGCACUUAGUGUCUUCGUUGUUAGUUACAUAGGAUACCGGAGUUUAGUUGAUUCUAUGUAGUGCAAUGUUGAAUCAACUUUAAAAUUGGACUAUGAGGGAUCCAUGGUAUUCCUAUAGGUCCCAAUGGUCCCUGCUAUGAGCUUAUAUACCUUGUUGGAAUGGGUAAUGAGGGUUGGAUUGACUCUAGGUUCACUUUUGUGCAUAAGGGUAUUUUGGUAAUUAUGUAAGGUUAUAUAGGAGUAAAUGAACAAGGCCUCUAGAUUAGGCUAAUUGAUUAAUCAAUUAGAACCCAUUUUGGGCUGGAUUAAGUUACCCAACCCAUGUGGGCUCAAGUCACUUAAGCCUACUUAGAAACCCUAUAAAUACCCCCUAUGGGUUAGGGUUUCCAUAACUUUUGUCUUCCAUCAUCCAAAGAGAUAGAAAGUCAUAGCCUUCACCAUCUUUUCCUCCUCAUUGGAAGUGUGCCAAGAUCAAGGUUCGAGUCAUCGGGCGGAAGACUUCGAGUUUACGAGACUUCUGGGAUUUCAAUUUUCAUCUUCACCAUGUAGAUUUGAUUCGAGAACACCCAAAUCUAAUGUAUAGUUUUUGUUAGCACUUUUUGAAUCCUUUUAAAGUAUAAAAAUGUUAUUUUUCUGUUGUGCAUAGGAUUUAGAAAAAACCUAAGAUAGUUAUGCAUGUUCCUAACCUGAUUCAGACUAGGGAAACAGAGAGAGAUUCAGGUUUUUCCCAUCAUUUUUAGUGCAAUAGAACCUUGUUAGGAACUCAUAGAGACAAAAAUGCCCAAGUAAGGAGGAAAUACAAAUUGCACACCCAAAAGGUGUGCAAGACUCAAUCAUGCACUUCUUUCUUUUUGUAAAGCCACAUAGUACACCUCCCAUGUAUACCUUAAAGACCAAACACACAAGACCUCUCUAAUGCUUUGGACCAAAUUUUAUACCCUAUUCAAGCAACUCGAUCUGCAAACCUCUUAAGUGCUUUAAGCCAAGAUGUUGUGCACCCCCUCACUUGAGUCAACAGGAUGUGUAGUAGUGCAACCCCUUGAUGUCAUCUAAAUUACAAACCAUUCUUACCUCUACAAUAGCUAAGUACUUAAUAAUUCUUCUAAUGAUUGGCUCACCCACCAAAGUAGUAUGUUGUUCAUACCUCAAAGUCUUCAAUUGUACUACCAAAACGUACCCUAACCAAAUUACAUAGAGAAAAAGGUGCAACUACUGACCAUAAGCUAACUAAUCAAGAAUGAAGGUGGUUGAUUGCAAUGACAAAGGACGUGACCCUUAGUAUAAGAAGAGACAAGUCUAGAGGAGUGGUGUCCGAGUAGUUGGAAUGACCGGGGAGGGAGGGGGGACAUUGUUUUGUAUAUAAAUGGAGGAUUGUGAAUAUACAAGUGGAAGAAAAUUAUAGAAAGUGAAAUUGUAGAUAAGUUUUUCUUCUUAUAGGAACAAAAGUAGGAAUAAGAGUAACUUAAUGUAAUUUAAGUUUUUAGGUUUCCAUUGUAAUCUUUUCUUUUCAUUAUAAACUUUCCUUAAUUUCUAGUUUAAUGAAUUUUCUAGUCUUUUUAAUUAUUCUUACAUUUCAGUUUUUCAAUUUCAACUUACAAAUUUGCAUUUUUAAUUCUUUACUUAAUUUUUAACAUGCUUAGAUAACCUUUAACACUCUAAGGGGUGAGAGGAGCUCAAGUCUCCCAUAUCUUAGUUUAGCUAUCUAUUGGUUUAUUUGUGCAUUAGUUACAAACAAUAUGAUCUCUAUCAGUAGUUAUAAUGACCAAAACAAGUAACCAUGGGGAAAAAGUCUAUGUUGCAUUGGUUGUGAGCAUUGUACGUCAAGCAAAUUUGGAAGCAUACUUAGGCAUUGUUUUAAUGAUUCUUUCAACUAAGUAUAGGCCUAUUGCCAUGAAAAUAAUCUUAUCUAAAUCAUUUGGUUGUAAGGAUAUAUAUAUAUAUAUAUAUAAAGAGCAAUUAGAGAGAGAUGAACCUUAUUAAGGUGGUUCUUGUUCAUUUGAAGCAGGAAACCUUUUUUGUAUAAAUCCUUGCUUUGAGCCUAAAUCUGAAAGCAUAAGUUCAAAGCCUUGUUGGUGAGUUGUAUAUGAAAGUGGUGAUCCUAGUGAAUCUCUAGGUUUGAGGUUUUCUUUCCUUUAAUUUUCUAUCUUUUAAACUUUGUGUGUGUAUGUCCUUUUUAUUUAUAAAAUCAUUUUUCUAAUCUUUUAGCUGCCAUUCACACUCCUAAAGCUAUUACCUUAGUUGCUAACAAUUUAAAGUUCCUUGUGGAGGCAACCUAACAACUAUACCACUAUUAAUUUUUUUAUUUUUUUAUUUUUUGGUUAAGGAGUUGAGAGUUUCAAUGAAUGAUCUAGUUUAAUUUCUCUUUGUAAAACUUAACUGUUAAAUAUAUUUCCAAGUUUUGAUAAAAGGAAUGAAUUAGAGAAUGACAAACCAAAAAUUAGUGUCGUCACUAGGGAACUUUCAACAUUGAUGACUCUAUAGGUAUUUUUGUGUAUAUGCUUGUUGUUUUAGAAGCUUAACAAGUAUAUUUCACCCAUUCCCCACCUAUCUUUUAGUUGGAUUUUUUUCUUUUUUUACUUAAUUUGUUUUCUUUGGAUUUUCUUUUUAUUCUCAGUUUUCAUUUUUAGUUGUUAAAUCCAACAUUUCAAACAUUUUCUUUAAAGUGAUAUGAUGUAUUAGGGAAAUGAUUUUAAAAGAAGGGUACUAAGAGUGAGUUUGAGAGUGAUUCUAUGAAGCGUUUCUAACAUUUCUAACACUUAAGUGAUAAAAUGUUGAUCUUCAAGGCAUCAUCAGAGGGCUUCUCAAUAUCUCUUCUACUGAAAAAAAUUUCUUGACUGAAAGUGGCUCUUAACUAGAGGGGAGGGCAUCCCAAAAAUUUUAGGAAACCAUGAAGAAAAAUUUAUCAAAAUGGAUGCUUCCAAUCUACCUGUGGGAAGUAAAGAAAAAGUGAAGAGCCAUUGGCUAGCUAGAAGCUAGCCAAAAACUUGUAAAUAGCUUUCAUUUUUUAUUUUCUUUAUUAUUUUUGUUUAUAUUGCUUUGGCCAAUUUAGUGUGUAGGAGUACCAUCAUAAGAACUCUAAGUAUAAAUUUCUCUAUACUCUAUUGGUUUUAUCAUGCUUCAGAGUAGGUGUAAAUUGUUAGCACCAGGAAAGUGUUGGACAUAUAGGAAUUGCGCACUUUUGAGGUUUGCUAACCCAACUUGUAUGAUGACUUAAAUUGCGUAUCUCAAAUUGUACACUUUGAAAGCAUGACUGAAACUCCACACCCUAAGAGAUUAAUUUAAACGGUGCAUCCAAAGGAGCGCAACUAAAAACUGCACACCUUUAAGCAACCAUUGAUAUUGCCCAGCUUAAAUUACACACCAUAAGCACGCCAUCCAUACUAAAAAUGCCUUCCCAAAUAAAACCAUAAUUGCUUAGAGACUUUUGUCCACCCCACCAUCAUAUCAAUUGAGGUGUGGGUAGCCAACCAAAUUAAUUAUUAUCCAAAGACAGAAAAUUAAUUAAACAGGAUUAGCAUAAAAGAAAAUAACUUGACUUAUAAACAAAAGCAAGGGAGAUGCAAUGGCAAACACAAAGCAAUUUAAAAGGGGCAAGCGAGUAAAGAAACUAACAGUGAUAUAUUAUGAGUUGCCAUAAGUUGAAGCGACUUCCACUUCGGAAAGCCCAAGGCCUUUUAGCCAAUACCGUCAAAGGGGCUUUAUCAUCAUCAGAAUCUUUAGCAUCACCGAAAUUGCAUGUGGCAAGGUCAGGAUAACGUUCAACCAGAUGCAGUGCUACAUCUGCAUAUUAUAAAAUUGUACAUGGGAACCCGACGGUAAUUCAUAUCAAGAAAAUAGAUAGGGGAUGGUAAAUAUAGCUCACCAUGAAACCCCACCAUUAGUGCUCUGCGCAGAAGUUCGAAUCCAGGCGAAUUUGAGAAAGGAUAUGGAGGUUCAUCAUCUCUGGUGACGCUUAAUAAAUAUAAAGUCAGCUCUUUAUGACCAUACCUAACAGCGCUGUGAAGAGGCGCAAAAUUGUCGCGUUGGCAGAUAUUGGGCAAGCUUGGGUUUUUGUUCACUAACAACUUGACUGCUUUUAUAUUGCCAGCCCUUGCAGCGUUGAAAAGGGCAGUGGCGCCAUCAGAAUCCCGCAGAGCCAGUGCCUCACUUGGCAUAAACUCAACCAACUUCUCCACGAAACCCAUUCUGGCCUCUCCUAACUCAACUGCUAUGUGAAGCAUUCGGGAAUCAUCUGUUCCGAUCGGGGCAGAGAAUGAUCGUGGAUCAUCCUUCAAUAAUUUUGGAGCACUUUCCCAGUCACCAUUGAGCACAGCUUUGUACAGUUCCAAGUAAUAGAAUUCUGCAGUCACAAAACCAAAAGAUGUAUAGGUCAGCCUAGAUUUCCCUGAUAUCUAUAUUACUUCAACGUUCACAAAAUCCUAAUACUAAAAUUAUUUUUUAAAAAAUAAAUCAUUUAAGUUAUGUUUGGUUCUUAGAAAAUUUGACAAAUAAUACAAAGAAAAAUUUAAAUAAUUUAAAAUUUAAUAAAUUUAUAACUAAUUUUAAUUACAUUUGAUUUUCUUAAAUAUUUUUUUUUCGAUAAAACCAAAUACGGGAAAAUCAUUUUCCUUGAUAUCUUUUCUUUGCUAAUUAUUUUCUUAGACUUCUUUGUUUACCUCUAAUCAACAUCUUUCUAUCUUUCAAUAAUAGUUUGAACCUCCAAUAAACUACAUGAAUUAAAAUUUAAUUUAGUUUCAUUUUUUUUUAACAGCAGGUUGUAAAACACUUCUACUUGUAUACUAAUUAUGCCCAAAAGUUGCAGGAGGACCUCAAACGGAAAUGGACAUGAACAUGGUUUUUAGCAUCUUACCGGAGCUGCUAAUCCUUUGCAAAGAUGAAGGGGAAGAGACUGGAGCAUAUUCAUCAGCAAUGUCGAUUACCAUUGUUUGGGCUGUCAUCGAUUACCGAGAUGGAAAUGAAGAGAAGUCAUUGCAGUAAACUCCUCACCAUGCUCAGCAAUGUCGAUGUCACUGUUUUUAGGACUGUUUGCGCUGUUGUCAUUUCUAAGACGUAGUGAAGAAGAAGAAGCCUUUACAACAAAUUCCUUAUCGUGCAUAUAGUCAUUGCCAACUAUAUGGAAGAUUAUAUUUAACUGCAGCCCUUUUUCCCAGAGUCUUCAAAAGAUACAGGAAAUGGGCCAGGAACCAUUGAAGCAUAAGAGGUGCAAUGAUAGAGUCUUCCAAGUCAACUUUAUUUAGUUGAGUAGAUAGCGUUGAAAAGUUUUGAUAAUUUUUAUUGCGAAAAAACGAUGUUUUAUAUACUUUUAUUUCUAUCAUACUUUAUUAUUGUUUAUAAGAUAACGAAAUAUUCAAAUAUGAUAAACAAUAGUAAACAUAUAUCAAAUAUAAAAAAUUUCUCACAAGAGAUGCAAUUAAUAUUUUUUUUCUUCAAUAAUGUGUAUAAUAUAUACCAUGUGAUGUAUUAUUUCUAUUUUAAGUUUUGUUUGGAUGUAUUUUUUAUUUUUUUAUAUAUAAAAAAUGAAUUAUAUUUUAAAAUUUAUAUGUGAUAUAAAAAGGUUAUUAUUUUUUAGUAUUUGAUAUAAUACAUUUAUAUAUUUACUAAAUUAUGACAAUAAAUGAAAAUAAAGUGGAGCGGACGAUGUAGGUUAAGGAUUAAUGUCUUUCACAUUAUAACAUCUUUCACAUUUAAUCCUUUCUGAUGUGAAUGCAGUACAGCAAAAGAGAAAGUACCAUUAACUUGAAUGCGAGAAGGGUGAUUGAUCUAUCAAUCUGUACGUGUCCUUCUUGAAAGGGACCAGAUUCUAUGGGGUAGCUUAAGGAUUAAUGUGGGUGCCUGUAGCAUGAAAGUGGAAGGAAUUAAUCCUGUGCACCACACAUUGCUAUGAUCGUUUGCAAUAACCAAUUAUAUAAAAUCUAUUGAAAUAUUUUAUAUAAUUAACUUUUUGGAAUUUUUUUAUCAAGUUGUAAAAUAAAGAAAAUUUAGGAAAAAAUAUUUUUGUAAAAUGAUAAAAUUUUACAAAAAUGACAUUUUUUUUGUAAAAUGUAGAAAAGGAUACAAGGCUAUGAAUUCAUAAUUGUAUGAUAACCUUUUAGUAUUUCAAUCUUUGAAUUUUUUUGGAGAUUAUUUCCAUAAAUUCCACAUUCCAAAAACAAUGAUAAUCUUUACACAAUAUUAUUGUCAUUUAAAGUGGGAAAAAAUAUAAAAAUAAAAUAAAAUUUUCAAAAAAUUUAGAGAUUGCAAAAAAUACGAGGAUAUGAAGAAUGUGAGGAUCGUCAUAUUUUUCAUACCCUCCUCACAUUCUUCAUACCCUUACCCAUUUGAAUAUUUUAAUCUUUUAAUUUUUUUUUCAAAUAGUAUUUACUUCAAUUUCAAGUGUAAUUAGUGUUUUUACACAAUACCAUUGUCAAAUGAAGUAAAAAAAAAAAAAAAUCAAAAUUAAAAUUUUCAAAAAAUUUAAAGGGUACAAAAAUGCGAAGAGGGUACGAAGAAUGUGAAGAGCCUCACUUUUCUCGUACCCUCAUCACAUUCUCCAUACCUAUUAUAAUUUAUAAAUUUUAAAAAAAAUAUUUUUCAAUUUUUUUAACAUUAUUUGCAUCAAUUUCAAGUGUAAUUAAUAUUUUUACCCAAUAUUAUUGUAAAGUGAUGUGAAGAAAAAUUUAAAAUUAAAUAAUUAAAUAAUUUUAGAGGGUACAAAAAAAUAUGAAAAUAGUAUGAUGAAUGUGACGAGGGUACGAGAAAUGUGAGGAUACAAGAAAUUUAAAAUAAAAAAUAAAAAUCUCAUACCCUCCUCACAUUCUUCGUACCCCUACAAAUUUUUAAUAUUUUAAUCUUUUAAAUUUUUUGAACAUUAUUUGCUUCAAUUUCAAGUGUAAUUAGUCUUUUUACAAUAUAUUAUUGUCAAGUAAAUUAAAUUUAGAGGGUACAACAAAUAUGAGGAGUGUGCGAGAAAUGUGAAGAGGGUAUGAGAAAUAUAAGGGUACAAGAAAUAAAUAAUAAUAAUAAUUCUCGUACCCUCUUCACAUUCUUGUACUCUCCUCACAUUCUUUGUAUUUUCACCAAUUUUUGAAUAUUUUAAAUUUUUUUCGAAUAUUAUUUGCUUAAGUUUCAACAAAAUUUUCGUACCCCACCAAUUUUGUAAUAUUUUAAUAUAUAUAUAUAUAUAUAUAUAUAUAUAUAUAUAUAUAUAUAUUAACAUUAUUUGUUUCAAUUUCAAGUGUAUUUAGUCUUUUUACACAAUAUUAUUGUCAAGUGAAGUGAAAAAAAAACAUAAAGUUAAAAUUUUCAAAAAAAUUAAAGGAUACAAAAAAUGUGAGAAGGGUAUAAAGAAUAUGAAGAGGGUGCAUGAAAUGUGAGGGUAUAAGAAAUAAAAAAACAAAAUACUCAUCCCCUCUUCACAUUUCUUGUACCUUCCUCACAUUCUUUGUACCUUCACCAACUUUUGAAUAUUUUAAUCUUUUAAUUUUAACUCAUCUACCCUUACAAAUCGUGUCUUUAAGGAAUAUGAGCUUAGAGCAGGAACCAUUGGGAUCCAUAGGAGUACUGGCUCCCUUAGAAUCAAAUUUUGAAAUUGAUUCAACAUCCCACUAUAGAGAGUCAGCUGCACUUUAGUACCCUAUGUACAUUACAAUAAGACACCAAGUACUUGGGUUUAUGAUCUACUAUCUAUUGCAUGCAAACUCCCCAUGAACUUGUGUCCGUAAUUGAUUACUACCAAAAAGUACUAUUUUGUAGAUCUAAUUAUAAUGGUUUUAAGCACCUUUAAGUAGUAAUCAUAUUCAUUUAACCCAAUUAAUUCAUUAAGGUCCUUAGUAAUUGGUUUUAACCAUUUUGUGGCAAGUUUACAUGUUUUUAUUAGCUUGUGAACCAAUUCAAGCAUGCCAAUUGAUGGAGGAGCUAUUUGGGUGAGUUAAGCAAGGAUUUUGGACAAUUACAGGCUUGAAUUUCAAGUGGAAACACGAGCACAAGCAAUGGAGAAGAGGAAAACAGAGUGAAGAAAACAGCUGCAGUCUUCUUUCGCACUUUUGAAGCACUUCCCGAAGUCCAUUUUUUGCAUGCUAUAUACCAUUUGAAAUCUUAGAAAGUCAAGAAUCCAACGCUUCAAACCGUGUAUGAUUUGGAGUUGAAAUGAGGAAGAUAUGGCCUUUGGAAGGCAACUGUAUCAUGUCAAAUGACCAAUUUCGCAAGGUGAAUUUCACAUUGCGAAAAUUUCACAAGGAGAUUUUCUUCAUGGUGCGAAAUUUUGCCACUUCGCACCAUGAAGAAACACCUUGCGAAAUUUCGCAAGGUGGAUUUAGGCACAUUGCAAAAUUCCUUUGAAUCCCCUGUUUUGAGACGUUGUUGAUGUUAUUCCACUGCCGGUUCUCCAAGAUAUUUUGCUUGAUUUUUAGCUUUGUAAAUACCUAUUUUACCCUUGUAAUCAACCAAUGAAUAGGUUGCUUUUGUAAUAGCUCUUGUAAUUUAGCUUGUUAUUGUCUUUAAAUAGAGGUGAAGAGCCUCAGAUCAUCAAAUCUUGUAACCUGUAACUUUAUAAGUUAUAAGAGCACUUUUGUUCAUACGCUUCUUUUCUCUUUUCUUUCUCAUUUUCUUAGUAGCCAAACAUCCUUGGGGGAUGAAAUCCCCAAGGAUGAGAGGCUUAAACCUUUUAGUUUCUUGAAGUAAUGGAUGCCAUGUGAAGCUCCCGUGUCAGGAUGGAGAUUUCCAAGCCAUGAAUGUAAGUAGCUGAGCGUCAUAAAUGUUUUCAUUCAAAGUAAAGCUUUUAAUCCCUCUGACUUGCUUUGAAUGGCCAAUACUUGAUAAUCUUUUGGUCUCAAUGGAUUCUUAUUGUUAGAUCCACUGACGUUCAUUAGUUAUCUCCUACGAGCCAUUGUAUUGCAAGUCGAGGAGAUGCCCUAUAUCAUUAAAAGGGCAUUUAUGAGGUUCAACUACCCUUUUUGUAAGUUUUCAAGGACUAAAACUCAGUUGUUAAACUCAUACCGGUUCGGGAAGUAAGCAUCACCUUAGUUGCUUUCCCAACUCGAGGUGAAAAGUCCCAAAAUCUCCAUUUUUUCACAGUGAGUUAAGCAUGGCUAUCCAAAGCUUUGAGAAACUUCUUUUUCCAUCUUUUAACCUAUUUUCAUGUUAGUUUAGUUUACACACCUUCAUCUUUUUAUGUUUUCAUCUUAACCUAAUUUUUAUUAAGAAAAGUUCACUCCAUCCUCCGAACUUCACCAGUUAAAGUAAAAACUCUUCCCAGUGUUCGAUCCUAGAGCCACUAUGCUAUAGUAGCUUUGCUACUUUAGUGUAAGGACCUUAGGUAUAAAUUUUGUUGAUACCCUUACAUGCCAAGCUACCAAGAGUCGGGUUAUCAGUAAUCUAAUAAGGUGGUGUUGUCACCUAUCAAGAUUACCCCUCAAAUCCUUUAGUUAUAGAUCAUACUUAUUACGUGAUUAAAUGACAUACUUUACCUCUAAUGAGCAUAUGUCAAAUUCCACUAAAGGAAUUAUUCCAUGAUCACAUGUCCUUUGGAUCACCCAAGGGGACAUAUCGUCUCAAUCCCAUGAGAUAUCAUGGUGCCUCUAUUGAGAAUACCUAUUGUCAUUAGCCUCCAUCAACAGUGACCCAAUUCAUAGGGAUACAUGGCCACUUUAGGGUUUCACUCAUAGCUUAAAGUCUUCUAUUAACUUUGGCAUAGACUCAAUAUCCUCUAAGGUUGAGAGUCUAUACAGUAUACUAGUUUGGUGAAUCAUAACAAUUGAUAGCCUUGUGUCAUGAUUCACCGUAGGUUUUGUCUAGUGUGCAUCACAUACACUGGUACUCUUCAUAGGAAACCCAUUCCAACGGCUAAGACCAAUCAUCUCUCUAAUUAGGAGGUAGUGCACUAUAGUCUCUACUGGAUUGCCUAAAUCCAUGAACCAAUUGUGGACAGCUUAUCUACUUACAAGGAAUCCAUGACUUGUACUUUUGUGCAACUCCUAAUGCACCUGAAUCAUGUACAAUGUAAGAAACAUGGGUUGAAUGCUCAAAUCAAUGUUAAUACACUAGAGGGAUAACAAGGAGACAGUUAAGUCUAACUUUGUUACAUCAUGUCUUGCUUAGUUAAGUCUAACUUUGUUACAUCAUGUCUUGCUUAGUUAAGUUUAACUUUAUUACAUCAUGUCUUGCUUUUAGGGUCUUAAUCCUAACAAGCUCCUACUACCCCAAAAGUAGACUAGGGUACUGUAGAAAAAAUAUACUCUACAGUCACGUCACCUUUCUAUACUAUCCCACAACAAGGUAUCACUUGUUUUCUAUAUAUUAUCUCUUAUAGUGGCACUUUAGUUAUUUGGACUAUGCCACAAUCCCAUAUAACAAUAUCUUAGACGAUAUAGCCAAUGGAAAUACUCAUAAGCUAAAAGGCUUCCUUUGUUGCUAUAGAAAUAACAAAAACCACUUAGAGUGUACACAUUCCCUAAGGUAGACUUGCGAGAGUCCUCAUUAGACUGAAAGUCCAAUUUCUCGAUACAAGGACUCACAAACAUAUCAUUCUUCAUUCUCUAAGGAUACUAGAGUAUAUGUUUGAAAUUCGCUCAAAGCUCUAAUCAAGAAAUGAACUAAUAUUCACUCAUUAUUCCUACAACAAAGCAAAUAUCUGGUUUAGCACAUAGCAUUGUAUGCUUAAGGCUAUCCAUUGUAGAGGCAUUGGAUACCUCCUUAAUGUGAUCUUUCUCCACAAAUGUCUGAUUACUACUCAAAAAGUGCUAUUUGAUAGCUUGUAAUUAACUCUUUUAAACACUUUUGAGUAGUAGUUAUUGCCUUUUAACCCAAUUAACAUGUUAAGGACCCUUGCAAUCAAUUCUAAUCAAAUUGUGUUAAGUUUUGGUCUUUUGAUAGCUUUUUGAUCACCAAAGCAAUCCAAGAUUGAGGAGAGUUAUUUGGAAUCCACGACAAAGCAAUGGAAAGCUCAAAUUCAUGAAGAACAAGAUUUGGAGCUCCAUAGCUCUUUGCCAAAGUCGUUCAAAGUAUGCAAGGAAAGAACAAAGGAGAGAGGAAAAACAGAGUGAAGAAAACAGAGGACAAUAGCUGCAGUCUUCUUUCGCACUUUUAGAGCACUUCCCGAAGUCCAUUUUCUACAUUCUAUAUACCAUUUAAAAUCUUAGGAAGUCAAGAAUCCAAUGCUUUAAACGGUGAGCAAUUCGGAGUUGAAACGAAGGAGUUACAGCCAUUGCAAGUAGAUCACUCCAAGUUGAAGGAAGAAUUUUGCACAACGCUGCGAAAUCACCCUUUUGUUGCGAAAUGAUUUCGCAGCCUUUUUGUUUAGUGUUGUGGAUUCCCUCCUGAAGUUGCCCGAUAUAUGCCGCAAGUUGGAAGCUGAGCACCUCAAGAUGAAAGCCAACUUCGCAGCCCUGCGAGAAUAACCUUUUGCUGCGAAGUGAUUUCGCAGCCCUUUUUGUGCAUCUGUGAAAUCUCGCAGACCUCGUUUUCACCUACGAAAUGGUCCUUAGUGCUUCCCAAUAUUUGUGCACCGACUCUUUUAGAUCUUUUCUUCAGAUAUUUUUGUAUAAAUUUCCAUUCUCUCCUAGUAAGCCACCAAUUAUGGGAUUCCUUAGUUAUUAAGUUGGGAAAAGGGGUGAAUAACUUGAGAUAUUUUGUUUUGUAAUUUUCUUUAUAUAUAGCUCUCGGGAGCUUGUUCUCAGGGCAUCAUAUCGAUCAAUAUAUAGAUAUAUCAUAUAUAGAAUCAACGAACAGAGCACUUGCUCUGUUUUUCAUAUAUAUUCUUGUUUUCUCGUUAGUUUUCUUUCUAGCCAACCAAACUCUGAGGAUUUUUCCUCAGAGGAUGAGAGGCUAAGCUUUUUGUCUCUUGGAGUAAGGAAAACCGGCUAAGUUUCCACAUGCAUAAAUUGGAAGUUUUGUUGUUUUAGUUUUUAAUGAAGAGAAAGUGUGACCCGUUAAUGGUUUUUAUAUUUUUAGUUAACUUAAAACGCCUUUAAAUCACCUGGGCCAACACUUGGGAAGGCAAGUGAUCUCUGUCCAUGGAGAUGCACUAGUUUACCCCUUGCGAGCCUUUGGGAGGUGACUUGAAGGUAGGAUUUUCUAGAAUAGGCAACACUUGGUAAGCUUUUGGACUCCAAGGAGACAUCUAUUAGUUAUCUCUUGCGAGCUUUUGACGGGUAAUCCAAGGUUAAAGAUCACCUUGAAUGGCAAGUGCUAGGUGAGAGGUAUGAGCCAUUGCAAGGUGCAUCAGUGAGAGGGAUUUAGUGUUUGAACCCAUUAAUGGGAAGCAUCUGUACAACACCGGUUAGAGAAUUAACUAUAUGUUAAUUCUCUAAUGCGAGGAAAAGAAACAAGUGACCGAAACUCUCUUUUUUGUAUGAGGAACCUGAGCCUAGUGAUCUGAACUCCAAAAAACAUUUUUCUUUGUAAGUAAAAUCAGUUACUAUUUUUGGUUAGUUUAAAACCAAACCUUUUUCAUUCAAACAUCUUUAUGUUUUCUUUUAAAGCUAACCUUGAAAUGAAAAGGCACCAAUUCAACUUUGAAUUAAUAUCAUUUGUGAAGUGAAAACCCAUCCCAGUGAACGAUCCUAGNNNNNNNNNNNNNNNNNNNNNNNNNNNNNNNNNNNNNNNNNNNNNNNNNNNNNNNNNNNNNNNNNNNNNNNNNNNNNNNNNNNNNNNNNNNNNNNNNNNNUAAUGGGAAGCAUCUGUACAACACCGGUUAGAGAAUUAACUAUAUGUUAAUUCUCUAAUGCGAGGAAAAGAAACAAGUGACCGAAACUCUCUUUUUUGUAUGAGGAACCUGAGCCUAGUGAUCUGAACUCCAAAAAACAUUUUUCUUUGUAAGUAAAAUCAGUUACUAUUUUUGGUUAGUUUAAAACCAAACCUUUUUCAUUCAAACAUCUUUAUGUUUUCUUUUAAAGCUAACCUUGAAAUGAAAAGGCACCAAUUCAACUUUGAAUUAAUAUCAUUUGUGAAGUGAAAACCCAUCCCAGUGAACGAUCCUAGAGCCACUAUGCUAUAGUAGCUUUGUCUUUGCUACCCUAGUAAAUGGUGUAAUAGGUUAUAAAUUUUGUUGAUUACUCCCUCAAUCAAGGAGCACCAGCUGGACACGAAUCAGCUGAGACACCAAUUGGGCAUGAAUCAAUGUCCAAGGACAUUGAUCCUAAGAAAGAUAACUCCAAAUCCAAAGAGUAACAAACCUUUCUUGGAGUUUUACAUCAUAUACUUGAACAAAUGCUGAUUAAUGUAGAUGACAUGGCAUAAUUUUUCCUAUUCCUGCAAUGCUAAAAGAUCUUAACCUUAAGAAUAUAUUGCGCAUUCCUCUAAAUUUUUUUCUAGAACUAAGUAAACAACUAGAUCUUGACAGAUGACAAUAUCUUUACAUCAUAUCCAAUGAGUAGAUUAUCAUCCACCUACAAGAUCUUAGAGCAUUACUACACUCCCAUAUGCUUUCAUGUACACACAAGGCCUAUUGCUAUGAAAAUGUUUGGUUGCUAUAUCUCAUAAAUCAAACACACUGCAAUAGAUAAGAGUAAUCUACUAGAUUUGAGUAUGAUCACUAUUGAAAAGGUUUUCCAUAGUUGAAACAAAGUUUCAAACUAUAACCUUUAACUAUAGUCUUAGCCAUAUAAAACUCAAGCUUUCCAUCUACUCCUGUGUUUCUCUUAUAGACCAACUUACACCUAUGAGUUUUAUCUCUUUAGGUGUCCUACAGGAACCCAAACUAUGUUAGAAUACAAAGAUUCUAACUACCUUUUCCUAGCUCAUUACCUUAAGUGAGUAUAAACAUUGUUGAAUGCUUCAUCAUAAUCUAUGAUAUAUAAACUUCCAUUACGAUGAGGCAUUGGUGUACUAGAAAUCAUAGGAAUGGUAUGCCUUUAACCCUCUAGAUCCACAAUAUCCUAUGCAAUAUGGGACUAUUUUCUAAUUUCUCCUCCAAUCUAUAUCAUUUUUUGCCUUAUUCCUUAUCAUACAGUUUUAAAUUUUUUUUUGACAUUUGUGCUAACAAAUAUCUUUUAAUGAUCCUAACUAUAAAGGUAGUAACCCAAAAAUGCUCUUAUAUAUCCUAUAAAUUGACAUACCUCUUAAGAAAAAGGGUAACCACCUUUUUAAAAAAUAGUAGGUAAAAUAUACUUGAUACAUACCUUCAAUCUUUUGUUUGUUUUACAUUUUGGUCUCUUAUAUUUGAAAUCCAUCAUUUUACCUAUUCAAACUUAUUAGAAAUCAACACUUCCAUAUCAUUUGCAAACCCUUUAUAAAUUAUAAAAAUGAUCUUUUUUUUUUCUAUAUUCUUGUUUGAACAUUGGUUUGAAUUUAGGUAAAACCAAUUUUGAAUUCAUAGCCUUGGGUAGUAUUUCCCAAACAUCUUUAUUUUAUUAUUUAUUAUCUAAUCCUUCAUGUCUUGUGGAAGCACGUUACAAGUUAUCUAUGCUAUCCAAGUACACCCCCUAUCACCUACCUUCUAAAUUAUGUGAAUAUGCUUAUCACUGUGAACCGUGCCUAUGUUUGGUAGUGCAUGGGUGUCUUGAUAUAUUGUUUCAUUGUUCAAUUAUUUAUGAUAAAGCGCAUGCUGGGUGAUAUUCUAUUUGAACUAACUUUAAUGUCUUUUGAUAGUGCUUAAAAAGCAGUCCAGGUAUGCACCCUAAAUCUUCUUUAUGAUUUGUGAUUGGUUCUUUUGUUUAGCAUGAUAUUUGUUUAAAUCACCUUAGUCUACCUAGGCACCCUCAAUCAACCAAUUAAUUGUCCCAAUUCUCUCAACUUAGCUAGUAAAGACCUCUUUAAGGCUUAGAGGGGUGCUACCUCUUAGAGGUAACUUCCCAAUAGGUAACCUGAUCCCCGAACCUAGACUCGGGUUUUUCAAAGACACAUUUUUCCAAAAACUAUAGUCACUUCUUUAGGGUUUUCUUUCUUAUUUUAUUUUUCCUUUUAAAAUAAAAUAAAAUAAGUGGUGACUCCAACUUUUCCAAAUUUUUCUUUUUUACCAAUAAAAGCGAAUAUCAUCGAUUGAGUGGGAGCGCAUGUGAAAAAUGCAAGACCACACUAUGGCUUUUGUAGUACUCCGGGUAUUGUUCUUAAGGACUAGCUUAUGGAAAUAGUCAAUACUAGAAUAAAUGAAUUGCUUUCGUUUAAAUCCUAAAGUGAAAAACACUAUGAGAAUAAUGUGAAACUAAGUAAAAGAAAAAUAAAUUAAUAACAAAAAUGGAUGUUGAUAUUAAAUUUGAUUGAUUCAAGUUUGGGGCUUUCCACAAUCCAACCUAGGGUAUAGAAAUUAGAGAAAACAAGGGUCUUUUAAGUAAUAUGAUCUUAGGGUUUUGGGAUCCUUGGCUCCUCAUGAUCAAGUUGAGUUCUAUAACAUAAAAUUGCAUCCGAAACCUAAUUUUUCCUUUUUAAAAUAAAAUUCCUAAAACCAUCAAAUGAAUGAGAUUGAUUACUAGUUUAAAAUUUGGACUUUUAACCCUUCCUACUCCUUAUAGUUUUGUUUUGGGGCAAAUAAUGAUAGAGAAAACGAGGAUAACUAAUGAUCAAGAAUUACCAAAAAUCACUAGUAUCGGGUAAUAACCUACCAUAUCAUUCCCUAAACUAACUCACAAGGAUAGGAUAAAAAAAUGAUAAAUUGUCACCCAACCAAUAAUUAAUCUCAUUGAUAUAAUAAUUUACCCAUUGUCCCUAUAGGUUUCCUAACCCUUAGGUUUUCAUGCUUUAAGCCCCAAGUUAGCUCUUAACCUCUCAUGGGGUUAUUGUCACAUUCACAAUCCAUAAUAGGGUAAAAAUCCAUAAUUUGAAUCAAAAGAACCUAAAAUAAUAUAUUUAAUAAAGAAGAAAAAGAAAACAAACCAAAGUUCUCAUCUUCUUCCACCUUCAAUGUCAAACUCUCUAGAAAAAAAAAAAAAAAAUCCAAGGUCCCUAAAACCUAGAACUAAGAGAGUUUAGAUAAUAUCAUCAAUUACCUAACAUGUGCCACACUCUCAUUGGCCACUUAUUACAAAAAUAAUUACCUAAAAAUGAUUAAAAAUUAAUAAAAUGGUGAUUUCUAGCAGUGUGUGGGGUCCAUUUAGGGGUGAUGGAGUGUCUUAGAUGCAAUUUCCAAGGUAGAGGAGGUGAAACAUCAAAGUGGCAGUGGGUGAAUUUGAAAUUGGUGUCAUUUUGAUGUGGAUUUUGAAUUCAUAAGUUGAAUUUCGAAAUCAUUUCGAAAUGACCCUUUAGAUUUGUGUAGUCGUCUUCAAAUAACCAUAACUUCUUCAUUUCAGCUUCAAUUUGCACACUGUUUGAAGUGUUGGACUCCUGACCUCCCAAGCUUCAAAAAAAUAUAUUGUAUGCAUAAAAUGGGCUCCAGAAAAUGCUCCAAAUUUAUCCUCAAAGUCAGAGUAUAUAUUACCAUCAGAUUUUUGAGUUCUAGAUUUCCAUGUAGCUGAAUCUUGCUUCAUGCCUCAAUUCCUAUGUUUUCUUGCCUUCUUUCUUACUCCAUUAUGAUCAUUUCUCAUAUUCCAAACUCAUGAUAUCCUCGUCUUGCCUUUCCUCAUGGUCCAUGAGUCAUGACUCACCUAUUUCUUCAUUUAACCCUUUCUUGAUCUUUCAAAAUCUAAAGUGAUUCAACUUGCACCAUUUUCUUCCCUUGAACCUGAGAUAAGUCUCCAAAGUACAAAUAAAACUCCUGGCUAGGUCCUUAGCAUUAAUUUAGGUCAAGUUGGGUGAUUUGAAUGUUCUUUGGUGCACAAAUCAUAUCAAAUAUGUGUCAUUAGAGCACAUAUUUUGGCUCCAAUCAUCCCCCUCAACUAAACUUUGCUAGUCCCUAGCAAAUGAAAAGAGUAAAGAAAAAAAUUAAAAAUAUGUAAUGAGAUUCAUGAAACCAUAUUGACUCAACAUAACAUAUUUCACACACAAGAUACCCAAGUAGUCAAAUUUCUUAGAAUUGAGCAAAAUGAAACAAGAUAUGCAAUUUUUUAGUUUUCUCACCUUAUCUUCGUAUACAUAAAUGUGCAUCCACGUUUAGCAUUCCCCUUAGUGUCUCUUGAUUUUCCCCUGAUUAGUUUUUUCCACCUAAACCUCAUGUGCUUAAUUUUGGUUUCCUCUCACAGUAUUUUUCUUUAGACUUUUCUUAAACUCAAACUUCAUCAUUCUUUAAGUUAAAGAGGGGGGGAAAUUUAUUUUGAUUUUUCUUUCUUAGUUUAGGAAAUCUCCUUCUAUAUGGCUUAAUAGGGAUCCACCGGCAACUCCUAAGUUUUCACCCAUGGUACCAGGUAUUGGGAACCUUUAUAGGCUACUUACUCCUCAGGUAUUACCCUAGCUCUAGAUAGAACAAGGUCGAAUUUCCUAAACAUUUAUUUAUUUUUAUUUUUCAAAACUGAGUUUAACUUAUGUUACAAGCAAGAUACUGAUGACUCUUAACCAGUCGGUUUCGGGCACCAGGGCUUGAAGACACAAGGCCAUUACCCCCUCAAAUAAUUUCUCAAGCUUAAAUCAAUCAUUUUCAAUUUUCUUUUCAUCAAUUUGUUUUUUUUUUUUUCAUUUCCUCCUUUUAUUAGUUAAGAACAACUCCUUUUAAUCUAAAGAAAUUAUCUUAAUCAAGAUACCAUAAAGGAAUAUGUGCUUUGUGUGUGCUUUGAGUCUUAAAUAGAAAAUAACCAUAAAAAUAAAAUAAAAUAAAAUUUUGAAGGUAUUCCAAGGAUUCAACCUAAUUAUUUUUGUACUUAAAGGUAUAUAAAGAUAAGGUAAGUGAACUAAUAUUCUUGCUCUAACUGUAUUUUUUCUCAAAUUCUAAAGAAAUAAUACUACUUAAAGCAUUCUCAUGCAAAAUAAACCAUGAGUUACCAAGGCAAAUCAAGAAUCUCAUUAACUAACCAAAGAUAACAUGCAAACUUUUGAAAAAAAAAUUAGGGCUAAUAGACCUUCCCCCCUCAACCUAAAUUACACAUUGUCCCCAAUGUGUAGGAUAUUGGGUCAAAAGAAAGGAAAAAUGGAGAUGUUAUCUCAAGAUCAUCGAGUGAGAAGUUUGUUAUGAGGACUUCAUAUAAACUAGUCUUGCACAAAAGCAACAAGAUUAGUGGCAAAAGUAUGCAUAGAGAAAAAUAUAAAUGGUGAUCUAAAAGAGAGUAUAAGAGUAUCAGUAUGCUCCAAAAAUACCAUAGUGUAUACAAUUAUAUCGAAUAAGGUAUAUAUAGAAAUGAACAUCAAGCACCAAUGAUAGGAUCAACAACUCCAUCUAUCCCCUCCAACACAUGGGUGGCUACCUAGUCAAUAUCCUCCAAUAUAGGUGUAGUAGCUAAUUAGUGAUCUCCACGAUAGGUGUAACGGCCUCGCCAACAACCUGUACCAUAGGGGGGUCAUCCUUAAUAAUGAUGUCCACACUAGUGUCAGUAGUAUGAAUGAAGAUCUCACCAUCGACCUAUCCUGCAGAAUCUGGAAUAUCAAUAGUUGAGGUAAAAAUCUUAGUUGCGGCAUCACUUGAUGUUUGUAAAAUAGGCAUGGUCUCAUGGGCUACUGUCGGUGCUCUAGUGUUAGAGCCAGAAUCAAUCACCUCUGUAGUGUUGCCAUCAACCUCUAAGUUGGUAUCAAUUGGUGUAAUAAAAUCUCCCCUCUGUCUAGAUGGAAUAAUCAAAGAAGUGACCUAUUGUACACAAAAAGUGAGGUCAUCCAUCUAAGUCUCCAUCUUACUUAAGCGAGCAUCAAUGCGAGAGUCCAUGGACACAAAUAACUUUUGAAGUGUGUCUAGACGAGCCAUGAUUGAUAAGGUACUCAGGGUAGCAUCAACAACCUGAGGCAGUGAAGGUUUAAGAAGAUCAAAGGUUGGUAAUGCUAGUGUAGAAAUAGGAAUAUAUAGCAGGCUCUAAGACACAUGAAAGAGGUGGUGGAAGAGGAAUAGGAAGCACUGGUAAGCUCGUGUCAAAAGUAGGAGUAGGUGGAAGCGGGCUCUCUAUAGUAGAUGGAAGUGGAACAACAUGCAAAGCUCUCUUUCUCUUAGCGCCAUAGGUAAUCAACUAUGACCCUGAAUGAAUUGUUUGACCCACUGAUUGAUAACAUAAGUGUGAGAAGUCAUGCGAUGAUCAGACUUAGGUAACUGGCAUCCAUGACGGAGCAAGUAGUAUGAGAGCAACUGAGGCAAAGGAAUAAGAUAACUUUGAGCUAAAGAUAAUUGUUUCUCCUUAACCUUUUGAAAAAAAUAAAAGAUGGUAUCCAUGAUGAGUUGAGGUGGACUCCACCACUUGCCUGUGUACAUGUGAUAUAACCCCUAUAAGACUAAACCAGAACACUUUAUAGAGUGUCCAAAUGGAAAAUGUUGGUCUUAAUGACCUGAUCCACAAACCAUAAGAUCUAUGGCAUCUCAAGGUGAGUGAUGGCUGAACGAUAACAAGUAUCCCGAGGUGCUAAUAUAUGUGCAAUCCUCGAAAAAGCUGGUUGUGAUUGAGGUGAAAAUUGGGCUUCAAGAGGAGCAGAUGAUGGUAAACCAAAGGUUGCAACAAUGGUCUCAGUGGAAAUAAUAUCAAUUCAUCUAUUGAUAGAAAUAUGGAGCUCUCGGUAUCUCCCUCUCCAAUCCUCGAGAGUAGAGAAGAACUCUCUUACACUAGCGACAUAAAAAUAUGGCGGAGGAUCCAUCAAUAAGAGAAAAUAAUAUCGGUCAAGGAGAUGCAUGGACUAUGUAGUGGGCUAGUAAGUACUAAAUGCCUUUAUUUCAUAAGAGAACUCUUGAUCAAACUUCAGUUAAGAUAGGUCCACCCUAGGGGCAUCAUCACAAACUAUUAGAGAUGGAGGACGUGUUGGGCUCAGAGUAGGAGGAGCUGCCCAUGGAUGUGGAGGAGUGGUAGUAAGCUUGGUGGUCUUAAGAGUGGUUGAGUGAUCAAAAUGAGCCUUUGUCUUGGCUUUGACAUGCUUGGCUUGACGAGUGACAUGCCUCUCAGUAGGCUCAAUAAUCAUUCCACCACUUCGACUUUGGACAAGAGGUCGGGCAUGUUUUUGCCUUGGAGAAUGCUUAGUCUCAUUGUCACUUUGAAUAACAACUUUCCUUUUAUAUUAAGCCAUCUGAAAUAAAUGUCAAAAAAUAAACUAAACUUAAAAAAGGGAAAUAAAUAAAUAGAAAUAAAUACAAAAACUCAUAAGGGUUAAGAAAACAAUCUAAAAAAAAAAAUUGGAUGCUCAUGAAAUUUAUGGAUUCAUAUGAAACGGUGGUAGACCAUUCCUAAAAUGCGGGAGAACAUUCAAGGUGUCCAACAAUGAUGAAAACAUGAGUCUUUGAAGCCUUAGAUAUAAUCCAAACAAUACCUAAGUUCAAAUAUCAUGUGACAAGGAAAUCAAAGUGAUUGGUUAGCUUAGGAGAAUGUGUAGAACAAAUAGAAAAAUCUACUAGAGAGUUUAAAAUGUUCUAGAGCAUAUAAAACAUAAAUUAGGCAACAAUUAUGCAAAACUCAUGGAAAAAUAAGAACUUUGCUCUCAAAGUAUUCUAAGAUGUUCAACAAGCCCUAAGAAUCAUGUAGAAAAAAUUUCAAAAUUUUUCUCCAAGUAUAAACCAAAAAUUCUAACACCUUGAAUUUCCAAGCAAAACAAAUGAACGUUGUGUAAUCAAAAUCAAUCUUGUUGAGUUACGUUCAAAUUUUCGGGGGUCGAGCUCCCCGCUAAGCUUGUGGGGGUCGGGGGGCAGCACCCUCUAGAAUUGUUUUUUCAUUAUAUUUAUUAUUUUUUUUUAUCUACCCAACAGAAACAAUAGAAACCCUAAACAAUGUUAUUGAGAGUUUGGUCACACUGCAUUUUAUAUGGAGCAACACCACACAAUGAAACCAUAAAGAUCAAGGAAAAUCCAUGAAAAAUAAACAAGAAAUGAGUAUGAGUGUAAUGCGUACCUGGAAUGUGACAAACCCAUAAUGAACCCUUAAAUCACCUUCAAUGGAAGCUAGGACAAUGAACAAGGGAAGAAUAAACAAGGGGAAGAGGAGAUAAAGUGGUCUAGAAGUGGAAAUGGCCUUUUGUAAAGGAGUUUGGUUGAUUUCGGAGUGAACUCGAAAUAGAAAUUAAGUAUUUUGAAUUGGAACUUUGGUUAAGAAAAGUCAUUUUGAAAUUUAACUAUUGAAUUCAAAAAUAACCUUAUUUUGAAUUCGUUAAUUAAUGGUAAAAAAAUGCCCAUUUUAAAAUGUAACCAUUGGAUUCGAACACUAUCCUAUUUCCAAAUGGCUCACUAUAUACAAAAACAUUUCAAACACCUCAUUUCGAAAUGAAAAAAAAAAAAUCAUUUCUAAAUUGGGCAAAUUUCGAAUUCACCUUCUGAACUUAAAAAAUCUCAAUUCUAAAGCAAAAGUUUCAAUUUUGAAAAGCCCACCAUUUCAAAUUUGCUAAAUGUAGCCUCAAUACAGUGUAAAAAACCUGUUUCAAAAUUCCACUAAUGAUUUCGAAAAUAGCUUCAUUUCAAAAUGGCUCACUGUUGAUUCCAACUUCUAUUUCGAAAUAGCAAUCUUUUUUAUUUCAAAUUUGACGUCAUUUCGAAAUAACCCACUAUGGGUGUUGAAGUCCAUCUUAAAGCAUCAAAAUUGCUCAUUUCGAAAUUCAAAAUUCAUUGUAUUUCAAACUUGUUUUUUGUGAGUUCAAAACACCUAUUUCAACAUUUACUAGUGAUUUCAAAAUCAAUCUCAAUUCAAAUUCACUUUCUAUAUAUUUAAAAUUGCAAUUCCAAGACAAAAAAUUUGAAUUCGAAAGGAUCAUAAUAUUGAAAUCACCCAUUACUGGUCUUCAAAAGUGUCAUCUCCAUUUGAGAUUUCAAAUUCAAAAAUAAAGGAAUUUUGAAUUCAUCCACUAUACCUUUAGCCCUUUAUCAUAAAAAUUUAGGAUUUCUUUCCCAAGGGCUACUCAGUUUUGUAUUUCAUCCUUUGUUUUCAAAGUUCACCAAUGAUCCUCACAAGUAAAUUUUUGGGAGGCCUAUGGUCUUAAAUAUAGAUCAACGUACUUGUAGGAGCUUUGCCACCUUGAACACUUAUGAGGCUUACCUUUUCACUACAUUGAAGUUCACAUUUACCUAUAUCACUUGGAUGUUUGCAAGCUAAGUUGCUACAACUCAUAAACUCAUUAGUAAGUUAAAGACAACUUAAAAAAAUACUAACCAUAUUUCUAAUGACUAAUUGAAAAUGAAAAACUAAACAAAGGAAAAUAAAUAAAAUAAAACAAAAUAAAAGAGAAAUUAAAUAAAUAAAAGUUUUACCUAAAUUUAAUUUUUACCUACUAGAUUUUCAGAAAAUACUUCAACCCUUUUGAACAUUCCCAUAAAGAAAAUGGAGAUUCUCCUCUAAUGUCUCAAAUCUUUCAAUGAAAUGCUUUAAGCGCUGACCACUAACUUUGAAUUCAUUACCAUUCCUCAGAUUUCGAAUGGUCACGAUGCCAUAAGGGAAGACUUCCUUUACCACAUAAGGGCCAUUCCACCUUGACCUAAGCUUUCUUGGAAAAAUGUGACGCUUAGAGUCGUACAACAACACCUUUUCAUCUUGCUUUAACUUCAUUCAUAAAAUAAGUUUGUCAUGGUAGAAUUUGUGUGUUUCCCUUGCAUUACGUAAGCAUUCAUAAUUCUAAUUUUGAUAUGCCUCAAGUUCAUUCAAAUCAUAUUUCCUUUUAGCUCCAGUUUGAUCCAAAUCAAAGUUCAUUUUUUUAUAGCCCAAUAUGCACGAAGUUUGAGCUCUAUAGGCAAAUGACAUGAUUUACCAUAAACAGUCUGAUACGGUGACAUGCCAAAGAUAGUCUUAUAGGUUGUCCUAUAUGCCCGAAGUGCAUCACUCAACUUGGUAGACCAAUCUUUUCUUGUAGUAUUGACUACUUUGGUAAGGAUUCUCUUAAUCUUUCGAUUUGCUAGCUCAGCUUGCCCAUUUGUUUGAGGGUGAUAUGGGUGGACACUUUAUGCCUCACUCCGUAUUUCUGAAAAAGAGUGGAAAAAGGGCUUGUUACAAAAGUGUGAACCUCCAUCACUAAUGAUUGCUCUCAGAAUGUCAAACCUAGAGAAAAUAUUCUCCUUUAAAAAUUUGAGCACCACUUUGUGAUCAUUGCUCUUGCAUGCCACUGCUUUUACCCAUUUAGAAACAUAAUCCACUCCCACCAAAAUAUAGAGAUUACCAAAAGAAUGAGGGAAUGGUCCCAUAAAGUCAAGGCCCCAACAAUCAAAGACCUCAACAACACAAAUAUAAUUUUUUGGCAUUUGAUACUUUGUGUUGAUUUUCUCCAGUUGUUGACAUUGUGGACAACUUCUGCAGUGAGUGUUACAAUCCUUGAACAUAGUUUUCCUAUAGAAUCCACUCUGUAGAAUUUUUUCCUAAGUCUUCCGUAGACCAAAAUGACCUUCACAAGCUCUCUCAUGGCACAUUCGCAACAUGUUUUGUUGUCCAUCCUCUGGAACACAUCUUUGAAUAAUUUGAUUUGGACAAAACUUAUACAAAUAUGGAUCAUCCCAAGCAUAGUGUUUUGCUCACCAACAAUCAAAGACCUCAACAACACAAAUAUAAUUUUUUGGCAUUUGAUACUUUGUGUUGAUUUUCUCCAGUUGUUGACAUUGUGGACAACUUCUGCAGUGAGUGUUACAAUCCUUGAACAUAUUUGGCCUAUAGAAUCCACUCUGUAGAAUUUUUUCCUAAGUAUUUUGUAGAGCAAAAUGACCUCCUGAUUCGCUUGUAACUCCAAAUGGGUCAUUUAAUCAAAAACAUUUAUAAAACCUAUGACCUCAUACUAAUGUAGUAAAGCUACUAUAGUAUAGUGGCUCUAGGGUCGAACUCUGGGAUGGGUUUUCAUUCUACCAGUGAUGUAUUCAAAAUUAGAAAUUGUAUUUAAUGAUUUCCUUUAUCAAAAACUUAAAGUUUAAAAGAAAAUAAAAUUUGAUUUGAAAGUGUUUAAAACUAAACUAACAUAAACUAAUUAAAAAUGGAAGAAAGAAAGUCUCCCGGAGCUAAGGGUUGCUAGGAUCAAGUUCAGAAUAGAAAGUGGAAAAUUCCGGAUUUUUCUCCUCGCAUUGGGGAUUUAACCUAUAGUUAUUUCCCGAACCGGUAUAGGUUUGACAAUGAAGAUUUAAUCCAUAAAAGAUCAAUAGAAAUGGUAGUCAAGGUCCAUUAAUGGCUUAAGACACUAUGGGUCUUCACCUUGAAUCACUUUCCAAUGACUCGUACAUGAUAACUAAUGGACUAAUAUGGAUCUAGCAAUAAGCAUCCAUAAAGACCUGAAGCUUACCAUGUAUUGAUCAUUCAAAGUGAUUCUAAGGGGUUUAAAGUAAAACUUUGGAUUUAGAAGCCGUUUAUGAAUUCCAACUACCUGAAUUUAAUGCAUGGAAGCUUUCCACCUUUUCAUCUGGACUUUUCACCUAGCUUCCUUUACUCCAAGAAACCGAAAGUUUAGCCUCUCAUCCUCCGGGCAAACAUCCUUAGAGGUUGUUUGGCUUCCAAGAAAAGGAAAAUAAUAAAGAGCAAAGAGAACGAGAGAGCUCUGUAAAAUUCUCAGUGUAAAAACGUAAUACGUAUUCCAUAUAUUCCAAGAGAUGAUUUCCACCCCUUAUAAAGUCUUUACAAAAGCUAAAGCUUAUGAUUGGUUAAUUACAAGGAUAAUAAAGGAAAUUACAUCACAAAAUACAAAGGAAAAUAUCUAAAGUGGAGUCGGCAAAGGGCAGAGCAAAAUUCGCAACACGCAUAGGUUAUGCGAACCAUAUGCGAAUGUUAUGCGAAUUUCGCAUAACCUCUUGUGGAAUGCGAAAUUUUCGCAUAUGCUAGAGCAGUUGGCUUCCGAAGGCCAUAUCUUCCUCAUUUCAGCUCCAAAUCGUACAUGGUUUGAAGUGUUGGAUUCUUGACUUCCAGAGCUUUGAAAUGGUAUAUAGCAUGUAAAAAAUGGACUUCGGGAAUUGCUCCAAAAGUGUGAAAGAAGACUGCAGCUGCUACAUCUUGAUUUUUUUUCACUUUGCUUCUCUUUGCUUCUCUCCUUUGCUUGACUUGUCUUAAUGAUCCAAAAAGCUGUCAAAACAUUAAAACUAGCCACAAAUAUGAUUAGAAGACAUUGCUAGGUCCUUAACAUGCCAAUUGGACUAAAGAUGGAGAACUACUACACAAAAGUGCUUAAAACAUAAUGCAUUAAAGGUGUAAAAUAGCACUUUUUGGGUAGUAAUCACCUCCACAAGCUCUCUCAUGGCACAUUCGCAACAUGUUUUGUUGUCCAUCCUAUGGAACACAUCUCCGAAUAAUUUGAUUUGGACAAAACUUAUACAAAUAUGGAUCAUCCCAAGCAUAGUGUUUUGCUCAAGAAAGAAAAUACUUUUCAUCUCCAUGUUCCAUUCUGAGGGAAGCUCUCUAGUUGCCAAGUAGUUGACUAUAUUUGCAAACCAAGGAAACUUCUCCACUGCACAAAGUGCAUCAUCAAGAAACUCAUCAUUAAUCUAUGCUUCGUCAAAAAGUGACUCUACUUUAACUCAAGAGAGAUGAUCAGCAACCACAUUCUUUACCCCUUGCUUAUCCUUGAUUUGCAUGUUAAAUUCUUGAAGAAGAAGGAUCCAUAUGACAAGUCUUGUUUUGACAUCCUUUUUGUUGAGUACAUAUUUCAAGGCCGAAUAAUUAGUAAAAAUUACUAUUGAAGUUCCCAAAAGGUAGUUCCUGAAUUUAUCAAGUGCGAACACCACUGCAAGGAGCUCCUUUUUAGUAGUUGUGUAGUUCUUCUGAGCAUCAUUGAGGGUCUUACUAGCAUAGUACACCCUAUAUGGUUUUCCAUCCUCCCUUUGACCUAGUACGACUCUCACUGCAUAGUGACUGGCAUCACACAUCAACUCAAAUGGAAGAGACCAAUUGGGAGGUCUCACAAUUGCGGUAGUAGUGAGAAGUGACUUUAGUCUCUCAAAAGUUUCUUGACAUGCUUUAGUCCAUAUAAAUUCUGCAUCCUUAAGUAACAAAGCAUAAAGAGGUUGAGAGAUUUUUUAGAAGUCCUAUAUGAACCUUCUAUAAAAAUCUGCAUGCCCCAAAAAUAGUAUAAUUCACAUGUUUAUUUUAUUUUAAAAAUUAAUUGGAUAAUUAGUUUUGGUAUAAUUUUUGUUAAUUUUAUUUUAAAGAUUCUUUGUAUGAUUAAUUUGUAUAAUUUUUGUUAGUUUAAUUUUAAAAAUUCAUUAGAUGGUUAAUUUGUAUAAUUCAUAUGUUAGUUUUAUUUUAAAAAUUAAUUAGAUGAUUAGUUCAAGCAUAAUUUUUGUUAAUUUUAUUUAAAAAAUUCUUUGUAUGAUUAAUUUCUAUAAUUUUUCUUAGUUUUAUUUUAAUGAGAUUGAUUACCAGUUUAAGAUUUGGCUUUUUAAUCCUUCCUACUCCUUAUAGCUUUGUUUUGGGGCAAAUAAAGAUAAGGAAGACGAGGAUAACUAAUGAUCAAGAAUUACCAAGAAUCACUAGUAUCGGGUAAUAACCUACUGUAUCAUUCCCUAAACUAACUCACAAUGAUAGGAUUAAAAAAAAUGAUAAAUUGUCACCCAACCAAUAAUUAAUCUCAUUGUUAUAAUAAUUUACCCAUUGUCCCUAUAGGUUUCCUAGCCCUUAGGUUUUCAUGCUUUAAGCCCCAAGUUGGCUCUUAACCUCUCAUGGGGGUGAUGUCACAUUCACAAUCCAUAAUAUGGUAAAAAUCCAUAAUUUGAAUCAAAAUAACCUAAAACAACAUAUUUAAUAAAGAAGAGAAAGAAAACAAACCAAAGUUCUUAUCUUCUUCCACCUUCAAUGUCAAACUCCCUAGAAAAAAAAUCCAAGAUUCCUAAGACCUAGAACUAAGAGAGUUUAUAUAAGAUCAUCAAUUACCUAACAUGUGGCACACUCUCAUUGGCCACUUAUUACAAAAAUAAUUACCUAAAAGUGAUUAAAAAAAUUAAAUGGGGAUUUCUAGUCGUGUAGGGUCCACUUAGGGAGGAUGGAAUGCCCUAUAUGCAAUUCCCAAGGUAGAGGAGGCAAAACAUCAAAGUGGCAAUGGGUGCAUUCGAAAUUGGAGUCAUUUUGAUGUGGAUUUCGAAUUCAUAAGUUGAAUUUUGAAAUUAUUUCGAAAUGACCCUUAAGCUUUGUGUAGUUGUUUUCAAAUGGCCAUAACUUCUUCAUUUCAGCUCCAAUUUGCACAUUGUUUGAAGCAUUGGAAUCAUAACCUCCCAAGCUUUGAAAUAAUAUAUCGUUUAAAUAUAAAAUGAACUCUGAGAAAUGCUCCAAAUUUGUCCGCAAAGUUGGAGUAUAUAUUACCAUUAGAUUUUUGAGUUUUAAAUUUCCAUGUAGCUGAAUCUUGCUUCAUGCCUAAUUUCUUAUGUUUUCUUUCCUUCUUUCUUACUCGAUAAUGGUCAUUUCUCAUAUUCCAAACUCAUGAUAUCCUUAUCUUGCCUUUCCUCAUGGUCCAUGAGUCCUGACUCACUUAUUUCCUCAUUGAACCCUUUAUUAAUCUUUCAAAAUCUAAAGUGAUUUAACUUGCACCCUUUUCUUCCCUUGAAUCUGAGAUAAGUCUCCAAAGUACAAAUUAAACUCAUGACUAGGGCCUUAGCAUCGACUUAGGUCAGGUUGGGUGAUUUGAAUGUCCUUUGGUGCAUAUAUCAUAUUGAAUAUGUGCCAUUAUAGCACAUAUUUUGGCUCCAAUCAAGCUUACCUGCCAAAUUCUGCAUGCCAAACAUUGAGUGAUAGAAUGGAGUGGGUUGUCCGAAGAUUCAUUUGAGGCUCUAUAGUAUAUUUGUGAGAGCACACAGAUUAGAUGAUAUGUAGUUGGUUGCUCUCUUCCCUAUGUCAUUUAGUUGAGUAGCAUAGAGGUGGCUGGCCUCAAUUAAGCAUUCGAGACUCUACACUUGGGAGGAUGUGGCCUAUGAGUUUUUGACACUGUUUGCCUUUAGUGCCGAUAUUGAUUUUUUUUUUUUUUUUACCAAACAAAGCGUCGAGAAUGUUACUUAACCAUCCCUAUAGUAAAAGCAAAAUUUGUUGCUUUUAGUGCUGAUAAUGAUGUUUCUAGGCGAGAGUUAGAGGCUACUAAGUAGAGGCCAAAUGAAUCUGUUUCUUCAUUUAUUAGUCAUUAGAGGGCUAAGGUGGUUGGUAUGAUAGAUUGACUAAAGGAGUAAGAUAGGAUUAACGUGCUUCUUUGGAAACUUCAGCCGAGGUUUGCCAAACAUCUUGUAGGUAUUCCAUUUGAAGACUUAUGAAGUUUGGUUCAAGUCGCUUUUAGUGUUGAGGAGAGUAUUGCUAGAGGGUUAUAGAAAAACAUUAUUCCUUCCUUAGAUAAUAAAGGAAAGAAGCCUGUAGAGGUUAGCACUAUCAGUUAUCAUCAUCAAGGUCAGUUUAUCAAUCAUACCAAAGGUCUCCUACAAUCAGAGCCCACUUUCCUCAUCCUUUGUGCCAAUAUUAGUCCACCUAUAUUCAACAACCUUUCAUUACUCGGACCAGUAUGCAACCACGACUUCCAUAUCCUAGAGGCAUUGGUUCUCAAUCAUUACUCAUGUUCCCACUCAUAUUUUUUACACACGUGAUCUUUAUCGAAGAGGGACAUAUUUGUAGACCCUCCAUUCUAUCUCCUUAAUAGAUGCCCUAUUAAGUGUUCUUUCAAUACUCCACAAUGGUUCCCUAGUGGCUCUUUGCUGCCCAUAUAGCCUACCUAUUUUAGCCACCUUGGAGGCUUUGGUUAAGGAAUUUAUUUGACCCCUUAUUUUGACCCUUGGCAGAAUCGAGUUAGAUUUAGGUUUUUCUUUUUUCUUUUUAGGAUAGUUCCUUUAAGUACAUUUCUAGGAUAGAAUACUUAGGCAUCAUUUUUCGAUCACCUUGGCCCAUUUAGACACUUUUGGCCAAUUUAGGCACAUCCGACCCAUUUAGGAUCACCCUAACCCAUUUAGAUACAUCUGGCCUAUUGAGAUCACCUUGACCGAUUCAGACACUUAGGUACAUCUAACUCAUUUAGGUCACCUUGGCCCAUUUAGACACACAUAGGCCCAUUUAGGCGCAUCCGACUCAUAUAGGAUCACCCUAGCCUAUUUAGACACAGCCAACCUAUUUAGGAUGACCUUGUCUCAUUUAGACACAUUUGUCCUAUUUAGGAUUACCUAGACCCAUUUAGGCACAUUCAACCCAUUUUGGUCAUCCUAGCCCAUUUAGACCACUUAGGCCCAUUUAGGCACAUUAGGCACAUUGGACCCAUUUAGGAUUACCCUGGCCUACUUAGGCACGCCUUAACCCAUUUAGGUCACUUGGCCCAUCUAGGCACAUUUGGCCCAUUUAGGAUGACCUAUGCCAAUUUAGGCACAUUCAACCCAUUUAGGUUGCCUUGGCCCAUUUAGAAACACCCAAGCCUAUUUAGGUCACUUAGGCCCAUUUAGGCACACCUUGGCCUAUUUAGGUCACUUAGGUCCAUUUAGGCGCAUUCGACCCAUUUUGGAUCAACCUGACCCAUUUAGGUAUAUUUGGCCCAUUUAGGAUCAUCGUGGCUCAUUUAAACACACCCUGGCCCAUUUAGGUCAUUUAGGUCCACUUAAGAACACAUUAACCCAUUUAGGUCACUUAGGCCCAUUUGACCCAUUUAGGAUCACCCCCAGCCCAUUUAGACAUACCCAAGCCCAUUGAGGUGACUUAGGUCAAUUUAGGCACAUUUGGUCCAUUUAGACACUUUGGGCCCAUUUAGGAUCAUCUAGGCCCAUUUAGGCACAUCCAACCCAUUUAAGAUCACCCUAGCCCAUUUAGACACAUUCGACCCAUUUAGGAUCGUCUUGGCCUAUUGUAGCACAUUUGGCCCAUUUAUGAUCACCAUGGCACAUUGGGCCCAUUUAGGGUCACUUAAGCCCAUCUAGGCACACCCUAAGCCCAUUUAGGUCACCCGUUGUUUCACUUCUUAUUGCAUGGUUUGCGUGAUUGCAUUGUUGAACUUCCUUGCAUGGCUUGCAUGACACUUUGUUUUUUUUUUUUGUUAUUAUUAAUUACUUCUUUAUUUUUAUUUAUUAUCUUUCUAUUUAUUUAUUUAUUAUUUACUUAUUUAUCUAUUAUUAUUUCAGCAUUUUCUAAAUUAUUUUUAAAUACUAUUCAUUUGUUCAAUCUAAUUUUAUUUUUGUGUUUUUGUAGGGAAAUUUACCAAAGAGAGAGCCAACGGAGAUGGAAAGUAAGAAUCACCAAAAUGAAAAAGGAAGAUAAUGGCGAAAGAGAGUAAUACUUACCAAAAAGAGAGGGGAUUGUGAGUUGCAUUAUAAAAGUAUGGAGAACACAAUUUGGGAAGUUUAUCAAAGAGAGAGCCAAUGGAGGUGUAAAACAAGAAUUACCAAAGUGAAAAAGGAAGACAAAGCGACAGAUAGUAAAACUUACCAAGAGAAGAGGGGAUUGAGGGUUGCAUUAUGAAAAUAUGGAGAACAUGUUUUGGUACUGAGAAAUUCAACACAUGGAGAAGGUUUUGGAGUAAGGAGAGGAAGGAUUUCGUCAAGGUGGAAUUUUAAGAAAAAAGGAUAUUCAAUGUGGUAGGAAGGAAUGUUUAGCAUAUUAAGGAAGAAUGUGGGGAUAGGUAGGGGGGAAGAAGAAUAAUUGCAAUUUGUUUUUUUUUUUUUGGUAGAGAGAACACUUUGGCAAAUUUUUGGGAGGUUCAACGUGCAUGUACAAUAAGAUCUCUUGAAAGAGCACGUAUAGAAGAGGGCACAAAUUUUUUUAGGAGACAAUUAGUUGCAUCUUAAAAGGGAAUUGAAGGUAAAUAUUGAUGAUGAUAUUGAUUUUAUUAGUUUCGAAAAUAUUGAUAUUAGUUUCAUGAAUAUGGAUGUUUUAGUUUAGAUAGAUAUUGAUGUUUUAGUUUUGAAAAUAUUGAUGUUUGCUAAGAUGUUUUGAUUUGGAUAAAUUUUGACAUUUUAGUUUUGAUAAAUAUUGAAGUCUUGGAUGUAUUUGCAUGUUGGUUAUAUUAAAAAAAAAAAAAAUUCCAAAAGUUUAGUUUUCAUGAAAUUGAUUGUUAGUUAUUUCUAUAAAAAAUAAAAAUAAAAAUAAAAAUAAACAUAAAUCUUGGAAUGUAAUUUUGAUUAAAUUAAUUGUUAGUUGUUUUUUUUUUAAAAAAAAUAUAUAUAUAAAUUCUUGGAAUGUUCAUUUGAAUAUUUUUUUGUUAAUUUUGUUUUAAAAAUUUAUUGGAUGAUUAGUUUGGGUAUAAUUUGUAUGUUAAUUUUAUUUUAAAAUUUCAUUGGAUGAGUAAUUUGUAUAAUUUACAUGUUAGUUUUAUUUUAAAAAUUCAUUGGAUGAUUAAUUUGUAUAAUUCACAUGUUAGUUUUAUUUUAAAAAUUAAUUGGAUGAUUAGUUCAAGUAUAAUUUUUGUUUGUUUUAUUUAAAAAAUUAAUUUGAUAAUUAGUUGAAGUACAAUUUUUGUUAGUUUUAUUUUAAAAAUUCAUUGGAUGAUUAAUUUGAAUAAUUUUUAAAUUAAUUUUAUUUUUCUAAAUUCAUUGGAUGAUUAGUUCGGGUAUAAUUAGCUUGUUUAUUAUAUUUUAAAAUUUUAUUAGAUGAUUAAUUUGUAUAAUUCACAUGUUUGUUUUAUUUUAAAAAUUAAUUGGAUGAUUAGUUUUGGUAUAAUUCUUGUUAAUUUUAUUUUAAAGAUUCUUUGUAUGAUUAAUUUGUAUAAUUUUUGUUAGUUUAAUUUUAAAUAUUCAUUAGAUGAUUAAUUUGUAUAAUUCGCAUGUUAGUUUUAUUUUAAAAAUUAAUUAGAUGAUUAGUUCAAGUGUAAUUUUUGUUAAUUUUAUUUUAAAAAUUCUUUGUAUGAUUAAUUUGUAUAAUUUUUCUUAGUUUUAUUUUAAAAAUCAAUUGGAUGAUUAAUUUGGGUAUAAUUUUUGUUAAUAUUUUUAGAAAUUAAUUGGAUGAUUAAUUUGUAUAAUUUACAUGUUAAUUUAAUUUUAAAAAUUCAGUGGAUAUUUAAUUCAUAUAAUUUGCAUGUUAGUUUUAUUUUAAAAAUCCAUUAGAUGAUUAAUUUGUAUAAUUCACAUGUUAUUUUUAUGGGAUGAUUAGUUUGGUUAUAAUUCACAUGCUGGUAUUAAUUUAAAAAUUCAUUGGAUGAUUAUUUUGAGCAUAAUUUUUGUAAAUUUUAUUGGAUGAUUGGUUUGUAUAAUUUUAAUGUUAGUAGAGUUUAAAAUUUUAUUGAAUGAUUGCUAGGUUAAAUUCCCAUGUUGAAUGUGUUUUAAAAACUCGUUAAAAAAAUUAAAUAAAAAUUCUUUGAAUGUUUAUUAGGUUAAAUUCUCAUGUGGGCAUUAUUAUUAUUAUUAUUAUUUCAAAGAUAAAAAAACAAAAAAAUCAUUUAAUGCCAUAUUUGGUUGAAUUUUCAUGUCAAUAGUUUUUUUUUAUUAAAAAAAAAAUUGUUGAAGUUUGUUAGUUUAAACGUUUAUGUUAAUAUAUUUUUAAAAUUCAUAGGAUGUUGUUGGCAUAAUUCUUAGUUGCCCUUAUCUUGAUACUUAUUGUGUUUGUUCCUUGAAGAAUUCUUAUAUUUGAUUUAAAAAAAAAAUCGAAUUGAAAAUUACUUUUUGAAAAAAAAAAAAGGAGAAAAGAAAAAAAUUGAAUUUUUUCCAUAUUGAACGAGGCUUCUUGAUUUCAAAUGGAAGACAAUAAAAAAGAAAUAAAAAUCCUUAUUGUGUAUAUAUUGUUUGAGGUUUACUAAUUCACUUGAUCCUUUUUUUCUUCUUUGAAAAAGAAAAAACCAUCUUCAAAAGUAUUUAAACCGUCAAAAGGAUUUGGAAACAAAUACUCAUUCUAGGUUUAAGGACCAUAUUUUAUUUUCAAAUCAUGCAUUCUACUAUUUUAUUUUCAUCUAAGCUGCAUUCUACUUUUUUUUUUUUCUUCCAAAAUGUUGUUUUUUAUUCCACAUAGAUUUGAAUGUAUUAGAUAAUUUUGAAGAUGGCCACCUAACACAUGCGACCCAUCUCUAAAACCUUUCUAAAAUAAGAAAGUCAUCCAAGAAAAUAAAAAUAAUAUAAGAAAAAGGCAAAGUUGUUGCCUUUUUUUUUUUUUUUUUUUUUUUUUUGGGCCUGUAUUUAUUUAUUAAUUUAUUUUUGUCAAUCUCCUACAAGAUCAUAUCCCACUUACCCCCUUACGCAGCAAGAAGAGCGCGUGGGACACCCACUUCGACCCCACAACUUUAUGAUGAAUCUGAACCCUGUGGACAAUAAUACCACGUGCAUACGAGCCUGUAACACUCAUUUAUGGGUUUAAAUUCAUUCAAAUGAGUCAGUAGUAAAAGCUAUGAAAUAGAUCGAACCCCACCUUCUUUUUCGUUUUUAAAUUUUCUGGGGUCCCUCAGUUACUUUACAGAAGGUGGCAGAGAAAGAGAGAGAGAGAGGAGUUAUUAGAGUUACAGACGAACAAUCACUUUCAAUGCUGUUGUCUUCUUGUUGUAAGGGUAAAAUAAGAGGCAAACAAAUUAAUGAAUUCAUUAUCUUACCUUUCUAUUCAAAUGCCUUCCAAGAAAUGUUUUGAGAGCUUUGAGUUUAGUCUAUAAUAAUGGUAGUAUAUUUCAAUGAAUAUGCGUUCUAGAAAAAUAUAUACCUUUAGCAUAUACCAAGAUAUCCUAGGGUUUCAAGUCGUGUUACAACGGGGAAGUAAUAACCAAUCAAAACACAUGACUUUGUUUUCUAAAAAAUCACUCUUCUUGGAAAACAUGCAAGGAACUUAAGCAUCAUAAGUUAAGCAAUCCUAGAUGGAUGUUCGAGUAUCCAGCUCUUUUCUUUAAUCCUAGAUGGAGAGAGACAACAUCUGCUCUCUCUCCAGCAUGCAAGUGUGCGUCCUAGGCAGCUCUUUUGUGCUUUAAAUGAAUUGAAUACUUGAUCUUAUUCUGCCAUUGUUUUGGCUCAAACCUAGGAAGUAUAUUUACCCUGACUUCUUUUCAUGUCUUCAACUUACUUAAAGGCUCACAAGUCCCAUUGGAAGCAAGCAGUUAAGGAUUUUUGAACUAAAAUGAUCAAACAUAGUCUUGCUUUACUAGUAGGUUAUACUCUUUUCAACAGUUUAAAUUGCUUUUGUUGAUAGAUUAUAUGGAUGUUUUAACACUCCAAGAAAUUGGAAUGAAGCAAAAUAUGAAGAAAGAAGAAAUGACUGUCAAUGGAUAUAUUUAUUCUCUUUUAUUUCUAUUGAUACUAAAAUUUUUAGGGAUAAAGGAAUUGUUACUGUUGUCCAAAUAUUUAAAAUUCAUCUGGAUCUGCAAGAAACCUGCAAGGGAAUAUUUUCUUAGAAAUAAUGGUUUAAAUAAGGAAAAGAAAAUAUAUAGAUGAAUUGACUGAAGGUUGCAGACAAGGGACCAACGACCAGGUAAUGGAAGACUGGAGAAAGGGAUUCAUCGGUUUGAUUUUUCUCCCAGCUGGCCCAGUUGUUUAUUUCAAAGUGCAGUUUAGAACAACUUUCAACAUUUGAAUAAGGAAAAGAAAAUAUAUAGAUGAAUUGACUGAUUCAAAGGGCAUAUUACAGUCAGUCUGUGCGUAACAGGGCGGGUGACUUCAAAUGGAUACACUGAGGUCUAUCUGUGCGUGUUAGGCAUUCAUGAACCUGUUUUCUUCGGUCAAAGAGCUGCCAAUACAAGGAAAAAAAAAAUGGCGAAAAUUAAGUAAAGUAUGACUUCUGGAAGAUUUAUCGCCUUCGUAAAUGAAGUGAGAGUUUUGACCGAAUUGAAGUAAAAAAAUUAAAUGCAAAACUUCCACUAAAGCUUGGCAUCAUUUUUCAAGGUUCUUUGUCAAUCCCUCAUUCUCCAGAACCAUGGGAUUGGUAGAGAAACUCAUUCUUCUCAACCAUGGCUCUUAACCAAUGGUUAAUUACCUUGCAACAAUGCAUGAUAUUAUUGAUGAAUUGGACCUUCUUAGAGAAGCCAUUCCAAAUUAAUAACUCAUCACUUACACAUGCAAACGUGUCGCCCCGAAUUCAAUGAAUUGUUGUUAUAUGCACACGAGAUACUAUGAUCACAUUUGAUGAGUUUCAUGACAAAUUAGUCGAAUAUGAAGCCUUCCUCAUGUAGCUUAAAACCAAAUAUGUCAUCAAAGAAGAUAGCAAUAAUCACCCCCACACAAUGAUAUCUAUUAUAAUACAUUAGCUGUAUCGAACACAAAUUUCCUUCAAUAUGUGUCUCAAUAUUAAAGUCCACGUAGAAUCAGGUGUGCACCAUAUUGGGGUUGGAUAGUUAUAAGACUGAAAGGAGCAUGAGCAUAGGAUGGCGAAAGUUCAAAUGAGAAGCGUUGUAAGAUCAUUGCCAAAGCUGUUUUUGCCUCCAUCAUUGCAAAAUUUUGUCCAAUGCACACCCGAGGACCCCAACCGAAUGGUAAAAAUGAAACUUGGUUUUUUGUUGCCUUUGAAACUCCUUCAGCAAACCUCUCUGGAUUAAACUCCUUUGCAUCGUCUCCCCAAAUUUCAUGAUCAUGGUGAACUAGGAUGGUGGGCAAAGAGACCUGCACUCCGGCUGGAAAAUACAUGUCUCCCACUUGAGUGUCCUUAGAAACCAUUCUGGUAAGCACUGUUACUGGUGGAUAUAACCUAAGAACCUCAUGAAAAAUCAUGGUAACCUGUGGUAGAGAAACUUUAGAAGUUGUAGCAUGAAAAUUGUUACUGAAAUACAUCUUAAAUCCUUAUGAAGGACACUGACGGAUAAAGGAAUUGUUUAAAAUAGUAAUGCAGAAGAGAUAUUGGUCUAAAUCAUGCAUGGCAUGAUGUCAAGUAUACAAAGGAUAUAAUAAUUUUAGAACCUCAUGAAAAAUCAUCAUAAUCUAGAGAAAUUUCAAGUCAUGGCAUGAGAAUCCAUUCCUGAACUAUAAGUAAAUGAAAGAAAAUGUUCAGUACAAGAUAAAAAAAAUAAAAAAAAAGUUAUGCGUUUUCAUUUUUACUCCAUUUAUUUUUCUCUUUUUUUUUUUCCUUUUGUGUGUGUGUGUGUGAGGGUGGGGGUGGUGGGUGGAAUAGAGUGGACUGAGUACUCACAAUUUUUAGGUGGUUUAAGCCAUCAUUUUCAGGUUUGUUAUUCCCAAAAACCUGUAAAACCUCUUCUCUUGCACGAGCUUGCCAGUCUGUAUGUUGGCUUAGCAGGACCAUUGUCCAUAAAAGCAAAACUGAGGUUGUCUCUUGGCCAGCAAGAUAGAAUAGCUUACAUUCAUCAAUGACAUCUUUGGCACUCAUUCCAAUCUUCGUGUUAUUUUGAUGUUCUUGAAUUUCUCUAAAAUUGGAUUCCAUUAAUAUACCUAAUAAGUCACUAUUAGCAGUUUCGCCAGCCUCCAUUGCCUUCUCCCUUUUGUUGAUGAUGCCCCCCAACAAUGCAUGUACUUCUUUGCUUAUUUGCUUCAUCCUCUUGUUCGUCUUUGUGGGAAAAAACCUGCAACUUAGUAAUUCCAGUAAAUAAAAGAUCACAUGAAGAACACUGACAUUAAUUUUUUGAAGCUUGUAUAACACUUCAUAGGCAGAAACUAUCAGACAAUAACUAAUGGUUUCAUCUACACAUGUAUUGCGGUGGCAUCUUAUCAUCUUGGCACAAUAUCUGGCCAACACAAGGCAUGGGGAUGCUAGACCUCAAUUUAUGAAACACACUACUUUCUAAGUGCUACACAGAAAGAACAGAAAGAACAGUCCUAGUAAAUGAAGUAUAAAGGCAUGAAAACAUAAAAUUGUCCAGGUAAAUGAAGACAUGCAAUGAAGAAGAAAACUAUUGCAGGCUACACAAAUCACAACCACAUAAAUCAACCACCCACCCAUUUUCAAACUUCCAGCUCUCAUGCACUGGCACAGUUCGGUCCUCUUAAAGAUUAAAGUAGGCAUCUAAAAUUUUAUUGGUUUCAAGGAAGAGAACCUUUUUAUUCUAAAUAUUUAAUAGUAGAUUCCUUUCUUAGCUUACCAGUAUAUAUAUAAAUUACUCAGGACCUUAAGAAGUUGAUAUUAUAAUUUAAACAAUGUUAUAUCAUGUGUAUUAGGAGAGAACCAAUCUCACCCACAAAUAAAGAGCACUCAAUUGUCAAUUCUUAAGUUUAUGACUAAUAUAUGUAUACUUAUAUAGUUUAUGUAUCUUUUGGAAAGUCAUGUGUAUAUUUAAAAGAUUAUAGUGUACACCAAUAAUAAUAUACCUGCACCAUUCAUCUAUGCACCUCCUAGAGCUCCCAUGAGUUCUUUUUUUCUCCUUCAUCCUACGUUUCACCAUGGCUGAAGCAAGCUCAACCAGGCUAUCCCACCUUCCCUUACCUAUCAAUACCACCAUGAACCUUAACAAUCUCAUUGCCAUCAACACAAUUAGCUAGCCAACUUCUACUCAAGCUCAUCCUCACUAACUAUUACUCAUGGAAAACAUAGUUUGGUGCACUGCUCUUUGGAUAUGACCUACUUGGCUACAUUGACGAAAUAAAGCAAGGACAAACAAAUCUCAAUCCUAACUAUACUUUUUGGACAAGUAGGACAAACUUCUUCUUCUAGGGAUCAUCGGCUCUCUCAGCCACAAAGUCGUACCUGUGGUUCAUUCAUGCAAAACUUCCACUAAAGCUUGGCAUCAUUUUUCAAAGCUAUGUCAAUCCCUCAUUCUCCAGAACCAUGGGAUUGGUAGAGCAACUCAUUCUUCUCAACCAUGGCUCUUAACCAAUGAUUAAUUACCUUGCAACAAUCCAUGAUAUUAUUGAUGAAUUGGACCUUCUUAGAGAAGCCAUUCCAAACCAAUAACUCAUCACUUACGCAUGCAAACGUGUCACCCCCGAAUUCAAUGAAUUGUUGUUGUUAUAUGCACACGAGAUACUAUGAUCACAUUUGAUGAGCUGCAUGACAAAUUAGUGGAAUAUGAAGCCUUCCUCAUGUAGGAAGAGCUUCGCUCCACUAGCAAUCUUGGUACCAUUAAAGUCAACAAUACACAAUUUUCAUCUUCCCAUUGUGACAAAAACGCUAGCCAAAAAUAUUUCCCUAGUAGGAAAGGAUACCAAGGCCAGCGUCCUCCUCAUUUUGGGAAUCAACACCCCAGCAAGAAAGCCACUAUGAUUUGCCAAUUCUCUGAGAAGAAAGGUCAUACUGCUUGCUAGUGUUACAUUUCUAAGAAAUUGUUCCUUUCAUCCACACCUACUACUAGUCCAAUUAUCCCCACAAACAACUCCUUAACCAAUUGGUUCGUAGAUAUCAGUGCCUCACAUCUUGUUACAUUUUAUCUUAACAACUUGUCUCUCUGCCAACCAAUGAAUCUUGUCAUUAAUAUUUUUCACAUUUCCUAUACUUGGAGGGUUGUUCCAAGAUUAAAUAAAGUAUUUUCCCAUGCUAGUCUAAAUAUAGUCUUUUCCUUUUCUUGGAGGGUUGUUCCAAGAUUAAAUAUGCUCAGUUUCAGAAUUGAGAGGACUUUUUCAUAUUGCUAAGAAAAAAACUUGUGAGUUUGAUUUUUCUAUCAAAGGUUUAUCUCUAAGGUGGAUUCCUCUGAGUGGUGAGCUUAAUUGUGAGUUCUUAUCUGUAAGGUGAUGAAUUUCUUAUCCUUAAAAGUGGUGAACUUGUGUUAUUAGCUCAUCAUUUUAUUUCCUUAAAACGGUAUCAUUUUGUGUUGGAAAAUGUAGUUACAAGCUUCCUUCAAGUUUCUCAUGUAUCAACCCACAAUCAACUUGUAGAUAUACUCAACAAACCAUUGCCCAAGUCCCACUUUACAUUCUUUCAGUCCAAGAUUGGCGUUUUUUAUGGAAGCACCAUCUUGCAAGGGCAUAUUAGGAGAGAACCAAUCUCACCCACAAAUUAAGAGCACUCAAUGGUGAAUUCUUAAGUUUAGGAGUAAUAGAUGUAUAGCCUUGUAUAGCUGUUGUAUCUUUUGGAAAGUCAUGUGUAUAAGAUUGUAGUGUACACCAAUACUAAUAUACUUUCACCAUUCAUCUAUUUACCUCUUUAAUGUGGAAUGACAACUGCACCAAAAGAUACUUUGGUGCCUAUACAUCCAUUAGUUUUUCAAUUAAACUGUUGAACAAAUGCCAUGAAUUGAGGUACUUUUGAGAGAUAAGAAAGCUCUUACCUUCAUCAAUUAAGCAAUGAAUGAAGGUACUUUUGAGAAGAUUUUCAGUGCAACCAUAACCAAGGAAGUAUGAGAGAUAUUACAUUUUAAGUACACAUAACAAAGUUAACAAUACACAAAAGGUUAAUCUUCAAACUCUUAAAAGAGAAUUUGAAAGUUUGAGUGUGAAAAAAAAAAUUGAAUUAAUCUCUAAUUAUUUUUCUAGAGUAUUAGAUGUUGUGAGUUUACAAUAAAAAUAUGUCAAAAGUUUGAAUGAUAGUUAUGUGGUAAAAAAAUAUGUUUAAUCUUUAGAUUCCAAAUAAGUUUAACUAAAUUGUUGUUGUCAUUGAAGAAUCUAAACAUUUAGAUUCUAUGACCAUUGAUAAACUCAUGAGACCACUAUAAGCUCAUAAAAAGAGAUUAAAAAGAAAUAACUAAGAAAAAUUGCAGCUUUUUUAAGCAAAUUAAACUUACACUAAAGGAGAAUGAUGAAAACAUUAGUUAAAGAAGUCAAAACAAUCAUGGAUAUGUCGAAGACGUGGUCAUAGACAUGGCUAAGACAAUAGAAGAAGAGAUAAGUUUAAUUUAUCAAACAAUGAAAUAACAAGUCAAAAUUCACAUUCCUUAGGAGGACAUGAAAGAUGACACAACUUAAGGCACAGUAAAAGAAGAGGAUAUGAUAAAUUUCAAAUUGAAUGUUAUAAUUAUAAAAAAAUAUGGUCAUGAUGCUUAUGAAUAUAGAAAUGCUACAAACAAUAUGAAAAGACACCUCCAAGGUACUAAAAAUAAAGAUCAAGAAGAACCAACCUUAUUAUUGGCAUAUAAAGGAGAAAGCUAGGAGAAAAUUACAUGGUAUCUUAACCUCUAAGUAAAAUCAUAUGUGUGGAUUCAAAAAUGUGUUUGUAGAGCUUAAUGAAUUUGAAAGUGGCAAUUUUGCCUUUGGGGCUACAUGUAAAAUUCCAAUAAAAAGAAGAGGUAAAAUCUUGAUUCAUAUGAAAAUGGAAGGCAUAUUUCAAAUGUCUACUAUGGUGUAACAUGGAAAACAAUAUAUUAAGUUUAGGUCAACUCUUAUAAAAGGGCUAUGAUAUUUAUCUCAAAAAUAAAAGUGUCUUAAUAAGAUACUAACAUGCCAAUAUAAUUGGUAAUGUGCCCAUGAUAUAAUGUUUUUGAAUAACAUUCAAAAUAAUAUUGUAAAAUGCCUAAAAUCUCAUGUCAAUAAUUCCUCUUGAAUUUGACACUUAUGAUUUGAACAUCUUAAUUUUAGAGGAUUGAAAUUGUUAAGCAUGAAAAACAAUGAAAUAAUUGUUCUUUAAUAAUUUGUGUCAAUUGUGUGAAAGAUGUUUACUCAGAAAAUAUGUCUAAAAAAGUUUUCCAAAGGAAGAAACAACAAGAGAAGAAGCUUUCAGUGCUCAUUAAUGUGGAUAAUCCAGUUUUAAUUUUUAUGGGUGAUUCUAGUAAAAAAUAAAAAAUAAAAAAAUUUGGUUGUAUCUUUAGCUCAAAAAUUUGUUGAAGAAACUUAAUUUACCACAAGAGAAACCAAUAAACAUCUAUAUGAAUAUAAAAUUGGUGAUUGCCUUAGAAAAGAUAUCUAGUUCUCCAUGAUUGAAGCAAGUAUAUUAAUACAAAAUAUCAUUUAUUAGAAAGUAUAUUAUGAAACAUGAAGUACACAUAAAAUUUGCAAAAUCUCAUAAUCAAAAUUUGAAAAUGCUUAUAGAGCCUCUCAAGUUUAAAGAUUUUAGAUAGCUAAGGAUGCUACUUUUACAAAUCAAGUUGAAAAGGGCAUGUAAGUUUAACUAUAUUUAGAAAGUUUCUAAAAAUUAGAAUUUGAGUCUUUCUAAAUAUUAAUUAAAAUAUUUUAUAUUAAAAGGUUGAUUUAGUUUCACCCUUAGAAUCUAAGCCUUUCAAAGUGCCAAUAGUUGUUAGUUGUAGAUAAGGCUUUCCUUUUUACAGCUCUGGGUUCUAAUCUAUAUAACCUCCUAAUGGUACAAAGUGCACCUUUUUCAUAGAGGCAAGUAGUAACCUAUUGUUAGCCCCUUGAAAUGGACUAUGAGGCACUAAGGCCUCAUGGGGCAAUAGCUUCACAUCAUGAGUAACCUAUGAUGGCAAUAAGGUGGCACAGGGGUACAAUUCCUUGUGCAAGGAGAUGGCUUGGUGAGCCAUGGGCGUAAUGCCAUGAUAGGUACAACACUAAAAGAGACUUAGAUGAGCAUAUUGUUGUGGUGACUUAGAUGAAAUACAUGAGGGUGCAAUGCCUUGUGCAUGGGGAGUCAUAGGUGCAAUGCCAUGACAUGUUGCCAGACCAAGAAGAGGGUUUGGGCAAAGCAUAGAGUCACAACAUCAACAAGGUGAAUGUCGGAGCAUGUUGCCUCAACAUGGAUGCAAUCUAGAUGUGUAGGCCAAAAGAGAACUUAACAUGCACAUGAGCCAUUUAUAUAGAUUCCUACAACAACAACAUUCAAAGUUGGACUCGAAGUAGGAUUGCAAGUCAAGCAUGAGUAGGAGUCUUGAUGUGAAUUGUAAUUGUAGUAUGAUUAGGACUAGGACUUAGAGUCUACGUAAGAGUGUUUAUUUCCAUAACCUAUUAAGAAAAGUCCUUAUAUAACUAGGAGUAAAACUCCUAGUCUAACAGAGAGCAGGUGGUGCCACUCUAUAAAUAGGGAGGGUUGGAUAGACUUUAGAGAGAGAUCAAGAGGAAGCCUGAACUACCAAAAGUAUUGUGGAAGUGUAGCUAAAGUCUUGUAUUCUUAUUCAAUAAGUUAAUAAAAUAUAAUUUAGGGUUGAUGCCCUAUAAAUCUUGUGUAUUGCCUUGCGUGUUGUCAUCUAGUGGGGAAAGGUGUAGGUUAGCUUAGAGAGCUUCUAAGUAUUUGCAUAGAUGUGAAAGUUUAUGUGGGAAUUUUGCACCUAUGACAAUUGGUAUCAGAGACUAACAAGCAAAUGGUUGGGGGAAGUACUAUAGAGACCUUAAGAGAAAGGAGCUCAAGACUAGAAGAAUUGUUAGGGGAAUAACAAGGUGAUAAGUUGGUUGGCUUGAGAAUCCUUGAAACAAUUGAAGCACACUAGUUCAACAUAGGAGUAUAUCGAGGAAUUUAGUUCCUUAAUGCUCGACAUAAAAAAUAUGUCCAAUGAGGACAAAUUGUUCAACUUCAUGUUUGGAUUGUAGGGAUGGGCCUAAAUUGAGUCACAAAGAUAAUGGGUGUGAGAUCUUUCUAUUAUAAUCAUUGCAACAGAUUGUUUGGUAGUCUAUAAGUUGAAUGGUGUGAACUCUACAAAUCAGAAACCUAAACUAGAUGGAGCAAAGAAACCUAAUAAAGAGGGGAAAUCUUCUAAGAAGUCAUAUGAGAAGAAUUUGAAAAAGCCUGCAGCAUCGUAAUCGAAUGAAAAAACUACUAAGUAUGGGUAGCAAACAACCAAACCCAUGGGUUGAUUCAUUUGCAUGGCCCUCACUGUGCUAAGAAGUGUCCAAAAUGGGAAAAACUAUCAGCCCUUAUGGCUACUAAAAGUAGUGGUGAUUCUGACAUGGAUACACCUUUAAGAGUUAAUCCUUCAUAGCUCUUGAACAUAAUCCACGCAAAUGCACUAAUUCAAAAAGGGUUGAUUCAUGUCCAAGUGCUAGUAAAUGGCAUGUAGGUAAAACCAAUGAUGGACAGAAGGGCAACCCAUAAUUUUGUGGCUAGUAAGAAGCCAAGAAGCUCAGUUUGGAACUAGAACAAUACACUAUUAAGAUCAAGGCAAUAAAUAGCAAAGCCCAACAAAUUAAUGACAUUACCAAAAAAGUCUCACUCUAAGUCGGAAAUUGAGAAGGCAACUAUAGCUUGCUAUGUGUACCCUUAAACGAUUUUGAUUUGAUCUUAGGGAUCGACUUUUUCCUUAAGGCUAAGCCGGCAUUGCUCCCAUACCUUGGUAGGUUAAUGAUCAUGGAUGAGAGUCAACCUUGGUUAUUUUUUCUAUAAAGGAAAAAGUCAUAGAGAAAGGUCAAACCAAGAUGGUUUCUACGCUUCAAAUAAAGAAAGGGUUGAAGUGUGGGAAUGUCACGUAUAUUAUAACCUUGGUUGAGAACAAAGCAGAUCAUUCAAUGGAGGUGCCACAUAGUGUAGCCCAUAAUAAAAAAGAAUUUAAAGAUGUGAUGCCUACAAAAAAACCCAAGGAGUUGCCUCCUAAGCACCAUAUAGACCAUAAAAUUGAGUUGCCACCUAGGACCAAACUUCCUACUGAUCAGGUCUCAUAUUGGAUGUCACCUUCGAAUUACUUGGGUUAAGGAAGUAAUUGAAGAAACUGUUGGAUGCAGGCAUGAUCCAAUCUUCAUGGGUUCCCUAUGGUACUCCUAUUCCAAAAGAAGGAAGAUGGGACCCUAUAGAUGUGUGUUAAUUAUUGGGCCUUGAACAAAGUAACGAUCAAGAACAAGUAUCCAAUCUCCUUAGUGGUAGAAUUAUUUAAUAAAUUGGCCAAGGCAAAGUUUUUCUCCAAAUUGGACUAGUGGUUAGGAUACUAGCAAGUAAGGAUUUUAGAGGGGAACGAAAAAAAGACUACAUGUGUAACCCGCUAUGGGUCAUAUCAGUUCCUCAUGAUGCCAUUCAAACUAACUAAUGCCUCAAUAACAUUCUACAACCUAAUGAAUGAUAUGCCAUACGAGUUCCUAGAUGCCUUUGUUAUGGUUUGCUUCAAUGCAUUAUUGUUUAUAGCAAGACCUUAGAAGAGCACGUGAAUCACUUGAGACUAGUGUUUCAAAGACUAAGAGAACAUGAAAUCUACGUGAAGAGAGAGAAGUGUGAGUUUGCACAAAGGCAUAUUACCUUUCUAGGAUGUAAGAUAGAGGAAGGGUUGAUCGAGAUGGAUGAAGUGAAGGUCCAGGCCAUUAAAGAUUGGCAUGCUCUAAGCAAGGUGACACUGGCAAACUACUAUUGAAGGUACAUAAGGGGUUACUUCAAGAUAGUGGCUCCCUUUACUAACCUUCUAAAGAAGGAUAUUUGCUAGGAUUGGGGGUUUGAAUGCUAGAAAGCUUUUGACAAGUUGAAAGUGGUGAUUUUAGUUAAAUUGGUGCUACAUUUACUAGAUUUGGAUAUCCUAUUUGAGGCCCAAACAAAUGCAUCAACUAAGGCCUUGAACUUGGUGCAAGAAAGGCACCCAAUAGCCUUUGAGAGUCAAAAACCUAAUGAGUUAGAACAAAGAUACUCCACUCACGAGAAAGAGAUGACAACGAUUAUCCAUUGCUUAUAGUAGUGGAAGCAUUAUCUAUUGGGGAGUAUAUUUACUAUAGAUGGUCACAGACAACAUAGUUAAUACCUUUUUCAAGAUGCAGAAGGAGUUGAGCCCUAAGCAAGCUAGGUGGCAAGAAUUCCUUGGCGACUUCAAGUUUGAAUGGUUGUAUUGACGAAAAAGACAUAAUGUAGUUGUAAAUGCCUUGAACCAAAAGGAAUUAACAGAGUAUGUAAUCACUCAAUCACAUAUGAUUUCAUAUUUUAAUGAGAAGAUCAAGCAAGCUGCUAAGCUUGAUUCUACUUAUGAGAAUAUGAAACAACAAUUCAAAGAGGGGGCUACUAAAAAUUUUUGGCUAGAAGAUGACCUCUUGGUGGCUAAAAGAGGUAGGCUAUAUGUACCAAGAAGUUGCUUACAUAAGGAGUUGCUAAGAGUGGCCUAUGAUGUCAAGUAGACAGGUCACCCUAGCAAAGAGAUGACAUCAAUAGUAUUGUCCAACUACUAUUACUAGCUAAAAAUAGGAUAGGACAUCCAGACUUAUGUUCUAUAUUGUUUGAUAUGCUAGUUGGAUAAGACAGGCAAGAAGAAAACAAUAAGGUUACUACAACCUCUCCCUAUCUUAAAGAGACCUUAGAAUAACAUAUCUGUGGACUUCAUCGGUGGCUUUCCAAAAGUGAGGGAAUUCAAGUCUAUCUUCAUGAUAGUAGAUAGACUCUCUACGUAUGUUGUUUUCAUACUUACACCACAUGCAUGUCCCGUAGAGGAGGUGACUAGGCUAUUCUUCAACCAUGUGGUCAAGUACGUACUUCAAGUUGCCUAAAGACAUAGUCAGUGAUUGUGAUGCUCGAUUCAUUGGUCAAUGUUGGACUGAGUUGUUUAAACUCCUAGGAUUGAAGUUGAAGUUCUAAAAAACAAAUGAUUCGUAGAUAGACGGGCAAACAAAGUGUAUCAAACUUAAGGAAUACCUCAGACACUAUGUUUUUAUAACACAAAAGAACUGGAUUGAUCUAGUGGAGAUAGCUCAUUUAUCCUAUAACUUGCAUAAGAGUUCAAUAAUAGGGUUGAGUCCCUUUGAAUUGGCUAUAGGGCAACCACUAAUUAUGCCUUGGAGAUGUUUAAGCAAAAGUUUGGUGGUAAUUGUCUUAUAGCUUAUAAAUUUGCAAGGUCUUGGCAGCAGAUGCUCGAUGAAGCUUGUAAAAGCUUAGAGAAGGCAUUUACAAAAAUGAAAAAGUAUGCGGACAAGGGCCGAAGACCCUCAUAAUUUAGAUUGGGGAUAGGGCCCUUCUAAACCCUCAUAUAUGGAAUAAAAUUAGCAGUAAGACUAUGUAGAGGGUGUUGAUUCCCAAAUAUGAUGGACCUUUCAAGGUGAUGUAGAGGGGGAUAAGUAGCUUACAAAUUGAAGUUGCUGGAUAGGUUAAAGAUAUACCUCACGAUCCAUGUGAGCUUCUUAAAGCCUUACCAUGAAAACCUAGACUCAAGAAGGAUACCAACAAGGCGAGUGAUUAGAAAGAAAUUUGAUCGCGAGUGAUAUCAACAAGGUAGAGAAGAUAUUAGAUCAUUGAACUGUGGGAAUGAGUAAGAAAAAUUGAAGAAUUGAUUUUCUAGCUUAGUGGAAGGAUAGUCUUGAAUUAGAGGCUAGUUCGGAAUGAGAUGUAAUGCUCUGGAAAUUUAAGGAGGUAGUCUAAGCCUACCCAUAGUCCAAGUCAAUGAGAGCAUCAACUACAUCAAGUAGAAGUGGUUUGUUAGCCCCUUGACAUGGACCAUGCGAUACUAAGGCCUCAUGGGGUGACACCUUGGCCUCUUGAGUGACCAAUGACAACAACAAGGUGGUAUAAGGGUGCAAUGCCUUAUGGAGGGAGAUGACUUGGUGAACCAUGGGCACAAUGCCAUGGUAAGUGUAGUACUAAGAGAGACUUGAAUGGGCAUAUCAAUGGGGGGCAACGAAGCCAACUUAGAUGCAAUACAUAAGGGGUGUAAUGCCUUGUGCAUAGGGAGUCAUGGGUGCAAUGCCAUGAACUAAGAAAAGGGCUUGGGCAAGGCACAGAGCUGUAACAGCAACAAGGUGGAUGUAGGAGCAUGUUGCCUUGACACAAAUGCAAUCUGAACAUACAAACCAAAAGAGGGCUUAUCAUGCACACGAGUCAUAUAUAUAGAUGCACACGGUAGUAGCAUGAAGAGUUGGACUUGAAGUGGGAUUACAUAUCAAGCAUGAGUAGGAGUCUUGAUGCCUAAUGUAAUUAUAGUCUAAGUAGGACUAGUACUCAAAUUCCAUGUAGGAGUGGUUACUGCCACAACCUAUUAGGACAAUUCCUAGUAGAACUAAGAGUAGCACUACUAGUCUAAUAAGGAGUGGGUGGCACCACUUUAUAAAUAGGAAGGGUUGGAGAAACUCUUGAGAGGGAUCUAGAGAAGGAAAUCAUAAGGGAGGUCAAAACUCACCGAAGCUAUUAUGGAAGUCUGGCUAAAGUCUUUUAUUCUUAUUUAAUAAGUUAAUAAAAUACAAGUUGGGAUUGGUGCCUUGUAAACCUCAUGUGUUGCUUUGCAUGUUGUUGCCAUCUCAUGGGGGAAGGUGUAGAUUGGCUUAGAGAGCUUUUAAAUGCCACAUAGACAUGAAAAUUUAUGUGGGAAUUUUGUGCCUAUGACACAUAACCUUUAAAAGUCUAUUCAAGGGGGACCCUUCAUCUCCCUUCAUAUAUUUAAUUAUUUGCCUGUUUUUUCAACCCUAUUAAUGCAACAUAGGUGAAUUUGCCCGAUGGUUUAUAAGAAAAUUCAUGUCAGUUAUGUUCAACAUGUUAAAUUCUACUAGGCUUAUGUAUCGGUAUGUAGAUUAUAGCUUCUUCCCCUAAGCCCAAAUUUUUCUUUGGUUUCAUGGUGUUAACAUUUCAUGAAAGUAAAUGCUCCAUUGAAGAAUAAAUUUACCUAAAAUUGAAUAUGGUGUGCUAGGACAUAGAGAUUUAUUAAAUGUUAGGAAAAUGUAAGGGUGACUUGAAACCUAAAUUUGAGCAAAUAAAAAGUCUAUUUAACAGUGCUUUUAGAAAACACUUACAUUAUAGAAAAAAAAACAUUUUUGAAGAAAAACCAAAUGUUUGACCAAAUUUAGAAAAUACUUUUAAAAAGUUCAAAAUUAAAUUAUUUGUAAUGCUUCUUGGAGAAACACUUCACAUAUUAUUCUUCCAAAAAUACUUCUAGAGAAAACCCUUCCACUAAAAGCACUUAAAAUAGAAACUCAAGCAAAUCUACUCUAAAUCUGCCGAAGCACUGCUAAAAUAAUGAAAAAACAAGCAGACUCCUGUAUAUUCAUAAAACUGAGCAGCAUAUUUCUUGAAAUAUUAUAUGAUUUUAUGCAUACCUCCAUCCUGGGAUAUAAACUGACAUUGCAACCUUGAUUGCAAGAUAUGUCUGUUCUUUCUGGAGUUGGAAUAUCCUUCUUCCUUCUUCGUAGCUACUGCCAAAUGCUGUCCGAGAAAUCACAUCCCCUGUCAAAUUUUCAAGAUAGGGCCAAACAUCCAACUCACAUGAUCCCUUCACCGAAAGCUUCUUCCAUUUGUUCAACAUGUCGCUACAACUCAAAUGAAAUGCCGGUAACAUAUUCUAUAACAAGUUCAACCACAAAAUAAAUUAAUAAAGACGAAGAACAUCUCUUCGUUGGUAAAAUUAUGGAAACGGCCCAUUGGAGAAAGAGGGAAAAAGACUCUAUAUGAGUAUGUGAAAAAGAAAGGGAAAAAGAAAGGAAACAGUAGGACACUUGGUAUGUGAAAAACUAGUCACCAGUACUUCAUUAAAAUGACUGAAAUAUUUGGGAAUUCUGAUGUUUAUACAGGUUUUUAUAGGAUUAAAAAUAAUUUUUCAAUUACUUCCAUAUUUAAAAAUAAAAAAUAAAAAAAAUUAGAAAGUUUUCUGGAUGGAAAGCUAGGUUAAUGAUCUUUCUGGAAACUAAGGUAAAAUAUUGUCGUUUGAAAACUGGGCAUUGAAAAUUACCUUCAACUUUUCUGGAUGGAAAACUGGGUUGAUCAUCUUUCUACGUUUGGCCCAUUGUUCACCUUCCAAAACCACUAGACCAGAAACCAGCAACUUGACCAACGGGUGUGAGGGUGUCUUUUGAAAGAUAUUGGACUUCAACAAAACAUCCCUCAUUAGCUCAGGCUCCAUAAUGUUUACCCUUGGACUUGGACCCACCCAUGUAAAGAAAUUUUUUCCUGCAUGUUUAUGCCAUUAUUGGAUAGUGUUAGUCCGGAUUGCUUUUAGUUUGGAUAAUUGUUUUAAAGACCGACUGGUUUGAGCAGUCAGACCGUCGACUGAAAGCAAAUUUGAUCCGGAUCAGCAAUUGAGCCGGUAGGGCUAUUGAACCGCCAUCGAACCGGACGACCCAGCCGUUGAACCAUUGACCUGGUGAACUGGGUCGCCGGUUUGGGCCUGGACCUAUCUCUAAGUGAAACUCUUUCGGCCAAAAUGGGCCAUGGUUUUAGGUUGAAAUUGGGCGAGUGGGCUACCGCUUGGGCCACUCACAGACAUCCACACUCAGGGCAAGCCGACUAUAUAAAGAGAUGUUUAUUCCUCAUGCCAUUCAGAUAUGGGACUAACUUGGGAAAAUUAGGAUAUCAUGACUAUACUAUUUAUGCCUUAUGUAAACAUUUCCACAACACUAGCUUAAAAAAAAAAAAAAAAAAAAAAAAUCUUCCCAAAAUUUUUAUAAUAAUAAAAAUGCAAACAAUUUAAAGUAAACUAAUAUAAUUUUUUAAAAACUAUAAAAUAAUAAGGUGUAUAACUUUUAAUAUCUUUAUAUAUAUAUAUAUAUAUAUAUAUAAAUUAAAUAACUUCACAUCUAAAUAUUUUAUAUAUUUUAUUUAAGAAAAUCUUAAAAUAUUAAUACAUCUACAUAUUAAUUUAAUAAUAUUAAAUAAAAAAUAAAUAUUAUUAUUUUUUAAUUUCUUUAUAUAUUUAAAAUAUUUUAAAUUUUAAUAAUAUAUAAAUUACAUAUUUAUGAUAUCAUUGAUUUGACAAUCAGUUUAAUCAGUGAAUCGUAAGUUGUUAACUUUUUUGGUUUAAUAAUCAAUCCAAUUCUAAAACCGUCGAUUUGGACUACAUAUACCAAGUCUUCUCGAGCUUGUAAUAAAAGAUAAAGAAGAUGAAAUUGUAACAUCUCAAAAUUUGAGCUUGUGGCAUAUGGAAAUCAAUCUAUACAUAAUUACUAUGUAUAUAUUAUCAAAUAUAUGAAUGUAGAAGCUAUUUUAAUUAUCAACCAUAGAAUUGGCAUGGAAUAUUAUAACAUCCCAAAGGUGCGUUGACUUGAAACAUCCCAAAUUAAUUCUAACACUUAAAAAAAAAAAAAAGCAAAAGGUGAAAAAGGAAAAGAAAAAUAGUUAGGAAGAGAAGAACAAAAACUAAACAAAUGAAUCCGGAAUACUAAAAACAUAGAGUAAAUGAUAGGAUCAAGAUACAAAACAAAUGGGAUAAAGAUAGGAUCAAGACACAAAAUAAAAACUCAUAUUUAGCUUUCGAUAUGAUUCAUUUGAUAAGGAUAAUAAAAGAAAAAUAAAUAUAUAAUAUUAAUUGUUUUAUUUAUACAUCAUCACACCGUCUCUAUAUGAAUACCAUCUUCCUAAGAAGAAUAACAUGACUAACAACAAUCCACGACAAUAGUUUUGGAACGAUUGCCAUUUGUUUGUUAAUAUUCUAUUGUCUUGCUAGUAGGGCAUGGACAGCUUUAAUAAAGUAAUUUUUUAGGAGAGUGCAUGUCAUUGGAUUCUUAUAAGGAUGCAUGCCUGUAUCUAGGCUUCAAAUUUAACGUUUUAUCGGUUAAUAAUGCAUUGGGCUCCUCCCAUCCGAUGUUUGAUAGGAUGGAUAAGAAGAAGAAAGUGAAGUAAGAUCAAAAUAUCUGAUCACAUUUAUUUAAAAACUGAAUAGGACAAAUGGGUGAAAUGAUUAGUAGUGAGUCGCCCGGGAUAACACGGUCUGGGACAUUCAUAAUUGCAUUCUUUAUAGCUUCAUUAUUGUUGGUAGACAGUUGAGUGCAUUGUCUUUGACCAUUCCAUGCUAAGCAAGAAUGAUAAAAUUAAAUAGCAGAGAAAAAGAGAAGAAAAAUAAAAGAAUGGUACUUAUACGAAGGUGCUAUGCAGUCUAACAGUACCUGAAGAGAAAGAGUUGGCAAUCAAACAAGGAACAAUGCCUAAGUAUAGAGGAAGUGCUCUGUGCAGAACCUCUACACACGCACAGGGUACUCUACACAAAGAGAUGGCAAAGGAGAACCCUACACAGAGGCCUGCGCAAGUGAUGUGCAUAAUCAGAGAAGAGAAAACGUGCAUAUAUAUAUAGAUGGCCUGCACGAAAUCUGCGCAAAGAGCAUAUAUAUAUAUAUAGAGAGAGAGAGACACACACACACACACGCACAGGGUACUCUACACACAGAGAUGGCAAAGGAUCCUCCUCUGCGCGCACUCCUAGGGCAAUGAAUCCCAAGCACAAGGAGUUCCUGGAGUAGAGAAAGCACGAACGGAGUUAUGAGGUAGCAUUUCUUGAGGGCUCAAAAUUCUGAUAAUGAGUGAUACCUAGUAUCGAAAUUUUGAUACUCAUGUUGAUACCAUGUAACAAAGAGACUUCUCAUGCAUAUAUUCUAGGAGGUAACACUCAACUAUUUUUUUUUUUUUAAAGAAAAUACUAACCUUUUCAUGGUAUCAGAGCCUCCAAACCUACCAGCCAAGAAAAAUGUCUUCACACAUACUUCCAUCCUCCACCCUACAAAUAGAACCUGAAUCAAACUUUCAAUCCUUUCACCAAUGUUCUAGCUUGAUCUCCAUCAAACUGAACACCACCAAAUUUCUAUUGUAAUGCAACCAAAUCGCUCCCUUAGUUUGUAGCCUUAGUGUUCUACAUUAUUUGUCAAAUAGAGAAAAAUUUGCUGAAGAAGUUAAGAAUGACAAGGAGGAAAAAUCUCCAAACUCGAACUAUCAAAGGUGGAUCAACAAUGAUGGACUUUUAACUUCAUCGCUUCUUGGAACCAUAAAAGAAAAUGUCUUAAACUUGAUUGGUGGUGAGCCAGUUUAUCAAGUGUGGAAUUCCCUUGAGGAGUAGUCAUUGCCAAUUACAGUAAAGAAUGAAAGGAAUUUGAAAAAUAUGUUAAUAAUCAUUACAAAGGGUUUUCGAUCUCUUGAAGAAUACUUGACCAUAACAUUCAUUGCUAGUAUUUCAUGCUUAUGAGUUACUCAUUUCAGCCUUUCUUGGACUCUUCAUGGUUCACAAGUCCCAAGUCUUUUAGUUAUGCAUGUUUAACCCCUUCUACUUGUUUGGUUGAUAUUGACUUUUGUACUUAUCAUUUUUUUCAUCUCUUGAACCUGAAUUAGACUCAAAAUGGAAAUUAGAUUCAUAACUAGGGUCUUAGCAUUAAUUUGAGUUAAGUUAGAUAAUUUGAGCUUUUUAUAUUGUAUAAAUCAUAUCAUAUAUAUAUGUCAUUGGAGCAUAUAUUUGGUUCUAAUUAACUGCAUAGGGAAUCCUAGAUCUCUUUGUUCCCCAUCAUAGGACUAGGUUAGGAGCAUGAAAUCUACAUAGGGCAUUUAGAUCCUAUGAACGAAAGCAAAAAUAUAAUUUCUAACAUUGAAGGAUCUAGAAAAGUGUCAUAAAAAACUUUACCUUUGAUUUGGAUUUUCCCAAAUCAAAUCCAAAGUCAUUGGAAGCCUCGUAAACCUAUUAUCUUUUGUCCUAUAACUCUACCUCGAUCCUCAACACUCAAACAAUAAAGUGUUUGGGAAGGUGAAGGCUAAAGCUCUCUCUUCUCUUUAUAUGGUGGAAGAAUACUAACUAGAAACCCUAACCCCUAAGAGGAUAUUUAUAAGGUUCCUUACUAGGCUUAAGUGACUUAAGCCCAGUAAGGGCUUGGGUCACUUAAUACAACCUAAAAGGGUCUAAAUUGAUUUAUUAACCCAACAAAGUUGUCUAAUUAAUUAAUUAGUCCAAUCCAAAGAUACUGUUUACAAACCCCUAUGCAACCUUGUGUAAUUAUCAAAAUGUCAUUAUGCACAUAAGUAAACCUAAAGCUUAUGCAACCCUCAUAAAUCAUGUCAUCAAGGUAUAUGAGCUCUAGUAAGGACCAUUAGGACCUAUCGGAGUACUACUCUCUCAAAAUCCAAUUAUGAAGUUCAUUCAACAUCUCACUACAGAGAAUCAAUUACACUUUGAUACUCUAUGUAAAUAACAACAAGAUGAUGCUUAGGUUCAUGAGUUACUACCCAUUACAUGCAAACUCUCCAUGAACUAGUGUCCAUAAUUUAACAAGGUAGUAUUAUCACAUAUUAAGAUUACCUCUCUAAUCGUUGAGUUAUAAAUCCAUCUAUUAUUUGAUCAAUUGACAUACUCUAACUCCAAGGAGUAUAUGUCGAAUUUCACUAAGUGAAAAGCUAAUGGUCAUAGUCUUCUCAAUGACAUGUCCUUUGGAUCACCUAAGGGAACAUUGUUGGAAUUGACCAUCAAGAUGGGUUUCACAUGAUGAGUGUACUAGUAUGGAUAGUUACAUAUCGUAUAGGAUCAAUGGUGAAUCAUAACAUAAGACUAUUGAUUGUCAUGAUUCACCAAGUUACUAUACUGUAUCAACUCUCAACCUUAAAAUGAUAUCGAGCUUAUGCCAAAGUCAACAAGAGGAGGCUUUGACCUAUGGGUGAGAUCCUAAGGUGGUCACAUAUCCCUAUGGAUUGGAACACUAUUGAUGAAGGUUGGUAGCACUAGGCUUUCUCAAUAAAGGGACCAUGAUAUUUCAUGGGACUGAGACAAUGUAUUGCCUUGGGUAAUCUAAAGGACAUGUGAAAGAAGACUAUGGUCAUAACAUUUUCUUCAAUAAAAAUUUGAUGUAUGCUCCUUAGAGCUAGAGUAUGUUAAUAGAUCACAUAAUAAGUAGAAUCUAUAACUUAAGAAUUAGAGUGUUAUUCUUGAUAGGUAAUAACACUAUCUUGUUAGAUUAUCGACACCAAUUCAUGGGGAGUCUGGAUGUAGUGGAUAGUAGGUCAUAAACUUCAGUUUCAUCUUAUUAUUAUUAUUUACAUAGGGUACUAGAAAGAAAUUGAUUUUCUUUAGUGGAAUAUUGAAUCAACUUUAGAAUUGGAUUCUAAGGGAACCAGUACUCUUAUAGAUCACAAUGGUCCUUGCUUUGAGCUCAUAUACUAUGAUACAGUUUAUAAGAGUUGGAUUGGAUCUAGGUCCACUCUUGUGCAUAAGAGAAUUUUGGUAAUUACAUAAGGUUGCAUAUGCAGUAGUGAACAAGUUCUCUAGAUUUGGUUAAUUGAUUAACUAGAUGACCCUAUGUGGUUAAUUAAUUAAUCAAGACCCAGUUUAAGUUAGAUUAAGUGACCCAGGCCCUAUUCGGAUCAAGACACUUAAAUCCAGUAGGAGAACCCUAUAAAUACUAUUGAAAUUGAGCCCUAAAAGCAAGACAUGAUGUAACAAAGUCAAACUUGACUCUCCCCUUGUUAUCCUUUUAUGUAUUGACAUUGAUUUGAGCAUUCAACUCAUAUCUCUUACAUUAUCAUGACUUAGGUGCAUUGGGAGUUGCAAAGAGGAGACAAGUCAUGGGCUCCUUGUAAGUAGAUAAAAUGUCCAUAUUCAGUUUAUGGACUUGGGCAAUACAAUAAAGAUUGUAAUGCACUACCUCCUAAUUGGAAGGAUGGUUUGUCUUGAUCAUAGAGAUAGAUUUCCCAUGGUGGGUGGACUAGUGUAUGUGAUACACAUUAGACAAGACCUACAUUAAAUCACAACAUAAGACUAUUAGUUGUUAUGAUUCACUAAGAUAUUGUACUAUAGGAACUCUCAAUCUUGAGAGGAUAUUAAGCUUGUAGUAAUAUUAACAAAAGACUUUGACUUAUGGGUAAGACCCUAAAGUGGUCAUAUAUCCCUAAGGAUUAGGUUACUGUUGAUGGAGGUUGGUGGCAAUAAUAUUCUCAAUAGAGGGACCAUGAUAUCUCAUGGGUUUGAGACAAUAUGUCUCCUUAGAUUAUCCAAAGGACACGUGAUAAUGAAAUUUAUGGUCGUAAUAAUUCCUUUAGUUGAAUUUCACAUACACUUCUUAGAGUUAGGGUAUGAUAGUUAAUCUUUUAAUAAGUGGGAUUUGUAACUCAAUGAUUGGAGAUGUAAUCGUGAUAGGUGAUAACACUACCUUGUUAGAUUACGAACACUAGUUCAUGAUGAGCUUUCAUAUAGAAAAUUGUAGGUCACGGACCUAAGCUCCAUCUCAUUGUUAUUUAAAUAGGGUACUGGAGUGUAGUUGAUUUUCUAUAGUAGGAUAUUGAAUCAACUUUAUAAUUGGAUUCUAAGGGAGCUAGUACACUUACGAGUCUUAUUAGUCCUCGCUUUGAGCUCAUAUACCAUGUUAGCAUGGUUUAUGAGGGUUGGAUUGAUUCUAUGUUCACUCUUGUGCAUAAGGGCAUUUUGGUAAUUGCAUAAGAUUGAAUAGGGGUUAGUGGACAAGGUCUCUAGAUUGAGCUAAUUGAUUGAUUAGAUGGACUUAUGUUGUUAAUUAAUCAAUUAUGACCCGUUUUAGCCUAGAUUAAGUAACUUAGGACUAUAUGGGCUCAAGUCACUUAAGCCCAAUAAGGAAACCCUAUAAAUGCCUCUUCAAGGGCCAGUUAGGGUUUCCAUGACUUUAGACAAUUAUCUUCCAUCUCCAAAGAGAGAGAGAGAAAGAGAGGGAGAGAGUCUAGAUUCCCACCCUUGCAAAGCUCACACUUUGGAGUGUUAAGAUCAUGGUUUGAGUAGUCCAAAUCUAGGAACAUCCAAACUAUUUGGGCACAUUUUUCACCAAGAGAAAUUGAUCUAGGGCAUCCAGAUCUAGAUCUAUGUAUGAGUCUCUCAAUCUCUAACUAUUUAUUUUGUAAUGAUUUUUGAAGCCAUUAUUUUUAUGCACUAGAUUUAGAGAACCUAGGGUUAAAUGCAUGCACCCCACGAGAUCUAAGGCAUAGGAACAAAGUAAUCCAAGGUUCCUAAGAAAUACCCCCUUAGAGGUUAGGGUUUCUAAGGUUUUCAAUUGUCUUCAAGAUCUAGAAAGUGUAAGAGAGAGAGCUUAGGAAUCCUCCAUUCCAAAGUCCACUCUUUAGAGGUCUAAAAUCGUGGUUCGAGUAAUCGAGCAUAAGAUCUUGGAUGUAAGAGACCUCCAAACUCUUCAGGUUUCUUUUUUACCCAUGAAAUUGAUUUGGGAACAUCCAGAUCUAGAUAUGAAUGUUUCUUUUCUAGUUUUAUUAAUCUAAAUUGUUUUAAAAAUCAUGUUUCAACUCAAAUUAGUUUCUAUAGAAGCUUAGGGUAGAUUUACAUGUACCUAUACAAUCUAAGAUAUGGGAAUGGAGUGAUCCAAGGUUCUCAAUAGACACACUAUCUCACUCUCAUGAGAUAUCAUGGUGCUUCUAUUAAUAAUAUUUUUUGCUAGCUGCUCCAUAUGGAUAUAUGACCACAUUAGGGUCUCACCCAUAAAUCAAAGUUUCUUGUUGAUUUUAGCAUAAAUUCAAUAUAUUCUCAAGAUUGAGAGUCUAUAUAUCAAGUAGCUUUGUGAAUCAUGACAACUAAUAGCCUUAUGUCAUGAUUCACUAUAGGUCUUGUCCAAUAUGUAACCAUACACACUAAUGUACUCACCAUGGGAAACCUAUCUCGAUGGUCAUGAUAAGCCAUCCCUCCAAUUAGGAGGUAGUGCAUUAUAGUCUCUAUUGAAUUGCCCAAAUCUAUGAACCAACUAUAAACAACUAAUCAUCUUGCAAGGAACCCAUGACUUAUGUCCUUUAUGCAAUUCCUAAUACAUUGAAGUCAUAUACAAUGCAAGUGAAAUGACAUGUUUGUUCAGGUAACCAAUCAAUACAAAAUGGGAUAGUAAGUUGAAUAAAAAACAUAAAUAAAUAAAUUUAUUAAUGAAUCUAAAACUGUUAUAUCAUGUCAUGCUUUCCAAGGCUCUAUCCCAAUACGUUGGAUUAGGUGACCUGAAUCUAGUUUAAGCUUAAGUCACUUAAACCCAUAAGAAACCCUAUAUAAAUCCUCUCAAAGGUUUAGGGUUCACAAUUUUAACGUUUUGGCCAUCAUUUUCGAGAGAGAGUAAGAGUAAGCCCUAGCCACUCUUAAGACAAGAAGAGAAGCUCACCCUUCUGUUGUGUUAGGAUCUUUGAAGGGAGAAAUCGGAUAAAAGAUCUUUGGGUAGAUGAACUCCACAACAUCCCCAACAUCUUCUUUGACAUCUUCCUGGGAUUAGAUUCGAUUUUGGAAUAUCCAAAUUACAGGUAUGAAACUUUAACCUCUACGUCUAGAUCAUAAUAUGGUUUUAGUUACCACAUAUUUCUACUAUGUUAGAUGUAGAGAGCCUAGGACUAGAUUGCAUGGACCCUACAUGAUGCAGAGCCUAGGAAUAGAGUAACUAGUGGUUCCUAACAAUUUACAAUUAUAAAAUGAUGAAAACUAAUGUCUUUUCACCAACUAAACCUUAUAAAGCAUUGAAAUCAUUAGUUUCAUUGCAAUUUCAAGUUAAAUAUUAAAAUGCACUAAGUAUGAGUCUCACACACAAAAUGAUCCCUAAUGCUCAUUAAUAUAUGUAUAUAUAUAUUUUAUUUUUAAAAAGUCAAAAGGAUAAUGAAGAUGAUAACAAACCAAUAAUCAAAGCAAACAUUUGAUAAUGAAUAAAUAUGUUAUGUUUAGUGUCAAAAUAAAAUAAACGCUAAAUUUUCUAAUAAAAGAAUUUGAUAAUAGGUUGUGACUACAAGCUAGAUAUCAAUUUCAUAUUGAUACAAAAACAGAGCUUAAACCAAUUUGAAAAACAAGCAUAAAAUCAACAUGUAUCAAAUCGAAAUCAACAUGUAUUUCAAUAAAUUAUAAAAAAAAUCAAUACAACACUAACAAUGGUAAUGUUAUUCUUUGGGAUAAAUUAAUAUAAAAAUAAUAAAGGCUCUAAGGUAUCAAAAUAUCAUUAAUGAAUACAAAAUCUAAUUCAACCAAUUUUAGGCAUUCUCAUAUGAAUUUAGAAGUAUAAAAUGAUGAAAACUAAUGCAUUUUCACAAGCUAAACCUCAUAAAAGCAUUGAAACCAUUAGUUUCAUUGUAAUUUCAAACUAAAGAUCAAAAUGCACCAAAUAUGGGUCUCUCACACAAAAUGAUUCCUAAUGCUCAUUAAUCUAACAUAUAUAUAUAUAUAUAUAUAUAUAUAUUCAUAUAAGAUGAAAACAAAUAGAAUUCAACAAUUUUUAAAGGGCUAAUUUUUUUUAAAAAAUGAUAAUAUAUUGAAUGAAAGCAUGGAGUGUAGUUGGGGAGGCUUCAAGACUUGUUCAUAGCUUUGAUCUUUCUCUUUGAUCUCCAGUUUGACAAAGUUUCACCUCCUUUUAUUUCCAUAGAAUCGUCUCAUUUGAAAAUGUAGCUUUCUCUUUGUAUUUAUUGCUAAAAGGAUGAUGAUAAACCAAUAAUCAAAGUUAACUUUUAAUAAUGAAGUAAUAUACUAGGUUCAAUGUCAAAAUCAAAUCAACACCAAAUUCUCUAAUAAAGGAAUUUGAUAAUAAGUUGUGACUGCAAACCACAUAUAAAUUUCAUUUUGAUACAAAAACUGAGGUUGGACUAAUUCGAUAAACAAACAAAAAAUAGGUGGUUCAAGAAUUGAUUUGAAAUUAAUACUUGAUUAAAUACAACUACCCAAAUUGAUACUACUCUACAACAUAGAACCAAUGUUGAUCCCAAUAUGAUAACAAGAUCUAUGCACCAUGAAAAAUCAACAAAAAAAAAUUACCAUAGACUUGCAUUGAAUCCAAAUCAACACUAAUUUCAAUGAAGUAUUAAAAAAUCAAUACAAUACAAACAAUGGAAACAUCAUUCUUUGGGAUGCAUGAAUACAAAAACAAUUAAGACUUUGAUAUAUCAAAAUGUUAUUAAUGCUUUAGUAAAAAAAUCUAAUUCAACAAGUUUUAUCAAUUUCCAUUUGAAUUUACAAGUAUAAAAUGAUGGAAACUAAUGCAUUUUCAAUAGCUAAACCUCAUAAAAGCAUUAUGUAGACUUUCCUUUUUGUCCUCAUAACACAUGCUUUUAAUUGUACUUAGUACCCCUCAUUUUUUAGCAAUUUAAAUUUUUUUUUUUGGUUAUAAAUUAUAUGAAUGUUUUAACACUUGGAGAAAUUGGAACGAAGCAAAAUAUGUAGAAAAAAGAAAUAAUUAUCUAUAGCUAUCUUUAUUUUAUUUUUUAUACGUUUCUAUUGACAUGGAAUAAAUCAUCAAUAAUUGUUGUGAUUAAUAGCGUUGAGAAAAGUCAAUGGCCAUAAUAAUAUUCUAUUGCCAUUUUUUUUUUUGUAAAAUAUUAGAUCAAAUCACAUCUUCUUGUAAAAUUAUCAUUAAGAUUUACAUGAUUUCUUACAACGUAGCUUAAAACCAAAUAUUUCAUCAAAGAAGUUAUCAAUAACCAACCCCACACAAUGAUAUCUAUUAUAAUACAAACUUCUUCAAUAUGUUUGUUUGUGAGUGUAAAGAAAGAAAGGUAACAGAAAUUGAGAAAGUAAAAUAAAAGAAAAUUUUUCUCUUUUUUUGUUUUAUUUUUUUUUUCUCUAUUUAUUCUGCUAUUUACAGAGUAAUAUAUAAAGUAAACCUAACUAACAAAUUCUCUAACUAUUCAUCUAACAAUAAUAGAAGAAAACCAAUGAGCAUAUGACAUGUGUACAUCUUGUAACUAUAUGAAACUAUCUCUUAACAUUCUCCCUCAAACUUAAGGUAGAAAGAUUUUCUACUUUGAGUUUGUUUCUUAGAUUUACAAACUAAGUGCUUAAGACAGCUUUCAUCAAGACAUCUACUACUUGAUCAAUGGAAGGCACUUGUUAGAUUAAAACCUUUCUUUGCAGAACCUUUUCCCUAACAAAAUAUAAAUCCAAUUCAAUGUGUUUUGUCCUAGCAUGUAAUAUUAGAUUAACAACCAACAUAAUAGUGCUAAGAUUAUCACACCAAAUAACUGUUGUUGUAGGCAAAGUGAUUUUAAUUUAUGAGAGAAGAGAUAGUAACCAAGUGAUUUCUGCAACCAAACCAGUUAGGCUUCUAUACUCUGCUUUUGUACUUGAUCUAAAAAUAGUAUGUUAUUUCUUUUACUGCUAAGUGACUAAAUUUGAACGAAAAUAUACAAAAAAUCCUAAAGUUGAUCUUGAGUCAUAAAGAUCAGAGGCCUAAUCGACAUCACAAAAUGCUACAAGAUCAAGAGUAGGAGACUUUCUUAAAUAUAAUCCAUGAUGAAGAGUUCCUUCAAGUAUCUAAGAAUUAUUUUGACUACUUUCUAAUGAGAUUCUAAUGGAGCUUGCAUAUAUUGACAAACUUUAUUAACACUAUAGGCAAUUUCAGGCCUAGUAAUUAUUAUCUACUACAAAGCUCCUACAAUUGAUCUGUACAACUUCACAUCCUAAAUUGAUUCACUUCCAUAGCCUGAAAGUUUUUGUCAAUUGGUCAUGGGAGUAGAAAUAGGAUUGGCACUUUGCAUUUUGGAUUUGUAUAAUAGAUCAAUUAUGUAUUUUCCUUGAGAGAUGAAUGCUUUCAACAAUAUGCUUCACUUCAAUCCCUAAAAAUAGUUGAUUUCUCCAAGAUCUUUUAAGGCAAACUCUCUGUUUAAAUUGGUAAUGAGAUGCAUCACAGCUUGUUCACUACUACUAGUGAUAAGAAUGUCAUCUACAUACACAAGAAUAUAGGUAGAAUGAAUUUUUGUCACACAAAUGAAUAGAGAUUGAUCUGACUUUGUAGAGAUAAAUCCAAAGGAAUAUAGGGCUACACUUAACUUUUCAACCAAACACUUGGUGCCUGUUUUAAGUCAUAUAAAGUUUUAUGUAAUUUGAAAACAAGAUGAGAUUGGUUGUGCUGAAUAAAUCUAGGAGGUUGUUCCAUAAAAACUUCCUCAUGCAACACUCCAUUCAAAAGGAAUUAUUAAUGUCUAAUUGAUGAAUUAACCAAGCUCUAGACAAAGCUAUAGUAAGCAUAACCCGAAUAGUUGCAGGUUUAACAAUUGGAUUAAAAGUUUCAUUGAAAUCAAAACCAACAACUUGAUGAAACUCUUUUGCAUAUAUGUUUAACAAUCAGAUCUAGUUCUCUUGCUCUAUUUAAAUCCCUGGCAUUUAGCGCCUCCUUGUCAUCUCUCUUUGUCGCAAAUUUCUCUUCUCAGGAUAAGCCCAAUCAUGAUCACCCAAUUUGUUCUCAUUGUGGGCUCAUGGGGCAUAUUGUGGACCAUUGCUACAAGUUACAUUGGUGCCCAACUGGGUACAAGCCUAAACCCAAGGCCCAAAUGAGCUCUCUUCGGUCCACCAACAAUCCAUUAUCUUUCCCUGAGCCAUCAAAGGACAUCCACUUCUCUUCUUCAGCUACAACUACCAUACCACCCUCUCCACUUUCUGGUUCUCUCUCAACAGAUCAAGUUCAAUAGCUCAUAAAGUAGACUUUGUUCACUUUGGAAGGAUCCUUUGUCAUGCUCAAAUCUUAUUAUGCGCAUGCAUUGUUUAACUAAGAUCAUUAUAAUUGUUUCCCAAAGUGAGUCAAUGCCAAAUAUUGAAUAAUUGGUUAAGCAUAACUCUUACACACAUUCUAAAAUUUAUGCUCUUAAAUGUAUGUGACUCACUUGCGACAUUUGGAAAUACCCCUAAAAUGGAUACAAAAGCAACGAUGAAUGAAAAAAAUCACAAUGUACAAUGGCUCUAUUUUCAAAAGAAAAAAAAAUCAAUAUUGAUCAUAGUGUACAAUGGCUCUACUUUCAAAAGAAAAAGAAAAUAAAAAGGAAUAUGAUAUCAAAUUAAGGGAAAGUCAAGUUGUGUUGUAUAUAGAUCAACAAGACCUUGUUAAAUGGAAAUCCAACAAUCUUAAAUCAAAUUAAUUAGAUGUGUACUUUAAUUAGAACAAAUGCAUGACUAGAUCUCUUCUAAGUGAUCAAAUUUUAAAUGUAGAACUGGACAAUAAGUUGUAUUCCCUUGAACAUCAAUACUUAUGUUUCUAUGUUGGUCCUCUUAUCCACUAAUGGUUAUGCAUUGGGUUUCAAAACUAAAAUUACAAUUAACUUUGACCUUUGGACUUGAAACCUCAUUCUUGAUGGAUUGAUGUAUAAUAUCUAAAGUAAUUUUGUAAUUGAUUGAAGAAACUCCUACAAGACAUUUAAAGAAAUCUAGUACACCAUUUCUUAUUUAUCACUUUUUUGAGUUGUUUCAAGCACUCUAAGUUUCUGGUUCUUUGUCAUUUGAGGUCAAUUCUCUUAGUUUUUCGCAUUUUUUUCAUAUAGUAUUGUUUUACCCUCAUUUUUAGUAUUCCUAGUUGUUUAGGGGUUUUUUUUUUGUUUUUUUGUUUUUGGAUUUUUAUCUAUUUUUCUUUCUUUUAAUGUCCUUUUAUAUUUCAUCACCUUGUUAUGGCAAGUCAUCCUCAUCCUCAUGAGCUGACCCCUCCAAGGUCACCUGAGGCCGUUUAGAGCAUUGCUCUCCAAGGUCCUUUUGGCCUAAGAGCUCUUUCUAUUGAGUGCUUCCAUUGUCAGGAGGCAUGAGACCGAUACUACACCUCUUUCCAUAAUUGACUAGUUGAGGUUGAGCAUUCAGUCAAUCUCAAAGUCUUCUAGGAGACUUCUUUUCUUACUGUUGUUAGAGAUUGAGGAUAAAAGACGUUACUCUCUCUUUAGGGGACUUUCUACCCCCAUCUUAUUUUCAUUUUCUAUCUGUUGUAAUUGGAGUUACCUUUCAGGUGAUUUUGUAUGAUCAACCAUUUCUUGUCUCUUCCUGUUCCAUCCAACAUGUCCUUAGCAUGCUGCAACUUGAGUCUUGCUUUGGUCAGAAGCUAUUCUCCAAGCCAACAUGGUUGCUAGCUACUUCUACCAUUCUACUCAUCGUACCCAGAUCUGUCAGUCGUUUACUCAAUUCAUUCAUGCCAUACUCUCUGGCUACCAAUUCGAUAUCAACCAAGUGGUUUUGGAUAGCAUUACUCCUUCCCGUGAUCCAUCUUUUUGAGGAGGCACCCCUCCCUUUAACCUUCUCAUCUCGUAGAUUUUGGAGGAUGUAGGUUUUGGGAUAAACCUUGCAUUAGGGGUCCAAGCUAACCAUGCCCUCUUGGAUGGAUGCUCCUAGGCUAAGCAUUAUAACCACAUUUAGGGACUGAUGGCACCUCCAACCCACCAUGGUCCUGAAAAUGCGGCUCAACAAGCAGCUUAGGAGGCAACAACAUAUGAGAAUGAGCUCCAAGCUAUGAAGCAAGGUGUAGUACCUGAGGUAAAUUAUCUCAAGCCUUCUUUAAGAACUUGUUCUAGUUGAGGUCAUGCAAGUUCUUCAUGAGCUACUCAUGAGCAAUGUUAGAAAUGCCACAAAAUGUCAGUGAUAUUUCACCAAUAUUUCGGGUAUCGAUGGGGCUCGAUAGAUAAAUAGGAUGGAAAUUUUGGUUAUUAAAAAUUUCAAUUAUUUCCCUCAUUUUUCAUUGAUAUAUUGGCUAUAUGCUGAUAUAAUACCGAUAUAUCAGUUAUAUUGGUGAUUUUUUAGUGCCUUGCUUACUUUUAGGCCAAAAGGUUUCCCCAUUUUUACCAAAAGGUUUCUCGUUUUUGCCAAAAUGUUUCUUUUAUUUAUUUUUAUUUUAGGCCACAUUCUCACACACACGACCAUACAAUAGUCGUUCCAGAUGAGAAAGUCACCAUCUAUUAAAUAGGCAAUUUUGUUCUCUUAAGUUGUUGAUGUGGGACAACUUUUAUUGACAAGUUUAAAAAUCUAAUCAAACAGGUAAACAAAAUUUACAUUGGUGAGACUCAAACCCGAGUACACAAGUUUGUCGUGAAAGGACACUAGCAUUGAACCAUAUGUGAAUUUGUAGUUUUAAUUGUAUAUAGAAUUAUAUAUAUAAUGUACAUAUCUUUUAUACGUUAUAAUAUUUUUAAUAUAUAUUAUAAUAUUAUUUAAUAAAUUAAACUAUUAUAAAUAAGUUAUUUUUAAUUAUCUUAUUAUAUAUUUUGUAUACCAAUUAAAUACAAGGUAAAUAUCAAUUUUAUAAAUAAAAUAUUAACAUUUUUAAUAUAAAAUACUUAUCUAAAUAUCAUUGUUUUUUUUUUUAUCCCUCAAUAUAUUCAAUUUAGACAUAUUAUCAUUCUAAUAUUAAUGUGCUUUUAAAUUAGUAUAUUAUUGCCUACUAUUACAAAUUUAUUACAUAUUACUAUAUAUAUAUAGUAAUAUGUGUUUUUUUUUCAUGUUUUAUCAUUUUUUUUUUGAAGUUUCCAAGUAUUUUCAUGAAUUUCUGUUUCAUCAAUUUUUUUUUUUUGGGUCAAAAUAUUCCACCGUUAUUCCCUGAUAUAUCUAUAAAAUCCAAUGAUCAAUAAAUCCGUGAUUACUGAUAUUUUCAUUCUUGCUCAUGAGACAUCUUCUUCUACCCACCCACCUGAGAGACAUUCGAUUCCAUGGCCUAUCUCCAGCAACCAAUGGACUCCCAGGAUCUUUAGCUUCAUCAGAUCCAGGGACAACUCCACUAUAUCAUUUCCUAGAUCCACUCUAAAGGCGCAUUGAGCUCUAUGUCUCCACCUCCUUCGGAUACUUAUAUAUGUGUGUGUGUGUGUGUGUGUUCUUUUUCUAUUGUUAAUCUGGAUUUGUGUUUUUUUUGCAUAUCUUAUGUAUCCAAAAUCAUUUUUUUUCUAUAUAUAUUCUUCUUUCUCUUUAACUCUUGUGUGCUUUCCAAUGUUUAUAAUUCAUAUGUUUUGCCAUUUUUAUGACAAAAAAUAAAAAUAAAAAUCAUUGACCAUAUUUAAUUCACUUAAAUAGGGGAAGCAUAGGCAUCGAUAUAAUAGAAAAAAGAUAAAGGAACUCCUUGAAAAAUAGGAGUUAAUAAGUUUUGAAUUAUUUAUUCAAUUCAUUCUUUUACUCAUUUAAUUCUUAAGGGAAAUUGUAAUAGUGGAGAAAAUUAAACCUGAGACAUUGGAGGAAAUUAGAUCAACUAUUGAAAGCAUAACUUGGAAGUUUAAGAGAGUUACCUAAUAUAGAUAUAUCCUAUAAGAUAUUUCUAUUUGAAUUGUCUUUCAUUUUAGAACUAUUAUGAGUCACAAAAGCUUCUUCUCAUGACUUUUAUUGUCUAUUUUUUGGUUGGAGAUAGACCUCUAGGCAUCAUAGUUGAUCUAUUGUGUCUUAUCCAGCUUCUAUUAUGUUAUGUUGAUUUGUAUACAUUUAGAUUCCUUUCGAGCUUUACUUUGUACCUUGUUAUCACUAUAGGGAUAUGUUUCUCUUACAUGCUUUCACAAUGUAUCGAGCAAAAUCUCCAACUAUCAUGUUCUAUUGCUUUGAUCAUAUCUUAUCUCACACAUUUUUCCACCUUUGUUGAAGUUUUUUUUUUGUGUGUAGGUUAUAGGAUUGGAAAAUAAGUACUACUAGAUGAUUCAAAACAUUCCCUUAGUUUAUUUUUAAUUAAGCAUUAAUGUUUGUUAUGUAAACUCCGUUAUAAGAGUUCGGGUGGGUUUAUGUAAUGAUGUUUUGUCACAAGAUUGCCAUAAAGGGAAAUUGUUAGGACAUUAAGCCUUGAUUAUAUGUCGUCAAUUUGGUUCCUUUUUAUAUUUGGCCAUAGAAGUCUUUUUAGAUAGUGACUUGCUCUCUAUUGAAGAUUAAGAGUUGUAAUUUGUCUAACCGAGAAUUCAUAAGUACAUCUAAAAAAGUUUGGCUUGUAGUAAGUUAGGCUUCUUUGAGGUAUAAAUAUGAUUGCUAAUUGUUUUGAACUUAAAAUUAAUUUUUAUAAAGUUUUUUAAAAAUAGAGGAUGCUCAAGUGGGGAGCAGUGCUUAAGUGUUGUGACCGCUCAAGUGCCCCACAUUGCUUGAGCUCCCAAAACGCUCAAGCCACCUUUGUAAGCUCGAGAAAUCGUGAAUCUCUAGUCGAGAUUUUUUCACGCAAAAUUGAUUUGGAAGUCUUCUAAAACCAAACCUUUUGGAGAUUUAUUCCUACAAAUACCUCUUUAUAACCCUUUAAGGGUUAUAGAUUGUUUUAGAGAUUAGUGAGAGAUCUUACAUUCUUUAGAGAGAGUCUCUUAGAGAAAAAGCCUAAUGAGCCACACCAUUCCCGAUCUCUCAUUCAAGGAUUCAAUAUUUGAAUCUUGGUUUGAAAACUUACAUCCCUUUAGCAAGGUUGAAAUGCAUUCAUUAGAGUAAUAGGAGGUUGCUACGUUGCAGACAUGGAUCAAGUUUUAAGUAUUGAAGAGUAAGUCUUUAGGGUAAAGUGGCCAAGUAAAUCUAUGUAACUUGAUAUCAUAUAAUGGAUUUAGAUUAGCGAUCAUAGACUUCAUGGUUUUUUAUCUCCACAGUUAGUGUGGGGGUUUUCCAUGUAAAAAAUCUCUUGUACCUCAUUGUUUAUUACUUGAUAUCUUGUUUGAAUUGCCUAUAAUAGAAAUGAUUGAUAUACCUCAAUAUAUCGUAGGAUAAAAAUUGGGUAUAACAUAUAAACUUUAUUUAAAUUUUUUAAUACAUCCAUUUAGCCCUCCUCCCCUAGGUAUUUCCCCACUAGACUUAGGGGCUUUUUCAAACCAUAAGUUAGUUCACCCUGAGCUAUUGGUUUAUGUUGUUGACCAUCAUUAGUUGAUUCAUUUUUUUUAUUGCACUUGUUAGUCGAUUAAUAUAUAUAUAUAUAUUGUUUUCUCAUACCUAACUUUGGUUUCUUGUGAUUCUUCCACCUAAAACCUACCAAUUAUUUUACAUCAUAAACCAGAGUUUCACCACUUGUUUUGUAUUCUAACCUUAACAAUUCAUCUUCUUUAAAAGUAACAUCUCUACUGAUUUUUGCCUUCCUCAAAUUUAGAUGCUACAACUUAUACCCCUUCACUUUAGUAGGAUGUACAAGAAUUAAACAUUUCUUUCUUUGCUCUUGGUUGCAACUUUUUAUCAUUUACAUGUGCAUAUGUUGUUGACCCAAACACUAUAAGGUGUUGGUAACUUCCUGGUUUACCUGUCCAUAUUUUUUGAGGCGUUUUGAACUUUAUGGAACUCGAAGGGAAUUUGUUAAGCAAGUGACAUGUUGUAUGGAUAGCUUUCGCCUAUAACUUUUUAGGUUAUUUUAUAUUUAUCAACAUGCAUCUUACUCUUUCAAGAAUAGUAUGAUUCAUCCUUUUAGCCAAGCCAUUUUGCUGAGAUGUACUCUUCACUGUUCUUGUUGGGAUUAAGCCCCUAAAGGAAAGACAUGAUGUAACAAAGUUAGAUUUAACUAUCCUCUUGCCAUCCAUUUGGUGUAUUGACAUUAAUUUGAGCAUUUAACUCAUAUCUCUUACAUUAUUAUAUGACUUGGGUGCAUUAGGAGUUGCACACAAGAUACAAGUCAUGAGUUCCUCAUAAGUACAUAAGUUGUCCACAAUUGGUUAAUGGAUUUGGUCAAUCCAAUAAAUAUUGUAGUGCACCACCUCCUAAUUGAAGGGAUGACUUAUCUUGGCCAUUGGGAUGAGUUUCCCAUGAUGAGUGCAUUAGUUUAUGUGAUACAUAUUGGACUAGAUCUAUGGUGAAUCAUGAUGUAAGGCUAUCAAAUGUCAUGAUUCACCAAGCUAUUAUGAUGCAUGGACUCUCAACCUAGAGAGGAUAUUGAGCCUAUGCUGAAAUCAACAGAAGGCUUUGACAUAUGGGAGAGACCCUAAAGUGGUCAUAUAUCCUUAUGGAUUAGGUCACUAUUAAUGGAGGCUAGUAACAAUAGGUAUUCUUAAUAGAGGCAUCAUGAUAUCUCAUGGGCUUGAGAUAGUGUGUCCCCUUGAGUGAUCCAAAGGACAUGUGAUCAUGAAAUUUUUGGCCACAACAAUUCCUUUAGUGAAAUUUGACUUAUGCUCCUUGGAGUUAAAGUUAGAGCAUGUCAGUUAAUCAUAUAAUAAGUGGGAUCUAUAACUCAAGGAUUGGAGAGGUAAUCAUGAUCGGUGAUAGCACUACCUUGUUAGAUUACGAACACCAGUUCAUGGGGAGUUUAUAUGCAAUGGAUAGUAGGAUGUCGUGGACCUGAACUUUGUCUCAUUGUUAUGUACAUGAUUCGUGCCCAAUUGGUGUCUCAGCUGAUUCGUGUCCAGCUGGUGCUCCUUGAUUGAGGGAGUAAUCAACAAAAUUUAUAACCUAUUACACCAUAUACUAGGGUAGCAAAGACAAAGCUACUAUAGUAUAGCGGCUCUAGGAUCGUUCACUGGGAAGGAUUAGCAAGCUAUCAAUGAUACCAAUUCCAAGUGAAUUGGUCUUGUUUCAUUUCAAGGUUAGCUUAAGAAAUAAAACACAAACUUUGAUUGGUAAAGAUUUAAACUAACUAACAUAACAAGUACUCGGAAUAACUUAGGAAGAAAAGCAUUCCUUGGAGAGUUAGGUUCACUGGGGUGGUUCCUCAUGCAAAAGACAUAGCUCCGGUCAGAUGGUUCCUUUCCUCGUGUUAGAGAUUCAACAUAUAGUCACUUCUCUAACCGGUGUUGUACAGCUACCUCCUUUAAUUAGAUUUCACUUUAAUUCUCUCACUGAUGCAACUUGCAAUGGUUUAAGCCUCUCACUAAGCCUUAACCAUUCAAGGUGAUCUUUAACCUUGGAUUACCCGUCAAAAGCUCGCAAGAGAUAACUAAUGGAUGUCUCCUUGGAGUCCAAAAGCUUACCAAGUGUUGGCUAUUCUAGAAAAUCCUACCCUAAAGUCACCUCCCAGAGGCUCGCAAGGGGUAAACUGGUGCAUUUCCAUGGUUGGAAAUCACUUUCCUUACCAAGUGUUGGCCCAAGUGACUCUAAGGUGUUUUAAGUUAACUAAAAACAUAGAAAUCACUAAAGGAUUUCACUUCCUCUUCAUUACUAGCUAAAACCACAAAGCUUUGCAUUCUUGCACUUGGAACCUUCCCCGGCAACCUUAGCUCCAAGGAAUUAGAGGUUUAGUUACUCAUUCUCUGGGGAAAAUUCCUCAGAGAGUUCAUAACUUAGUAAGAAAAUAAAAAUACAAAGUGAGAAGGUAAGGCAAUACAAAGAACUGAACUUUACUUGCUUACCCAAAACUUUACAAAAGGAUCUCCUCUCUAAGAACAGGCUCCCGAGAGGUAUAUAUAUGAACAUAAUAUAAAACUAAUUAUUACAUAGAUAUUUUCUCUUUUUACUAACUUAAAAGCUAAGGAAUCUUGUAAUUGGUGGCUUACAAGGAGUAUUUUGGGAUUUAGACAACAAAAAUCUGAUGUAAAAUAUUUCCCAAUGUCGGUAGCAAAUAUCGGGAUGCUCCAGGAACCAUUUCUCAAGAGAAAAUGGUGUCUGCGAGAUUUCGUAGGCACUCAAGAAGGGAUGCGAAAUCAUUUCGCAAGAACAUGCUAUCUUCGCAGGGCUGCGAAGUUGGCUUCCACCUUGAGGUUCUCAGCUCCCAGCUUGUGGCAUAUAUCGGGCAACUUCAGAAGGAAAUACACCCUACUGUACAAAAAGGCCGCGGAAUCACUUCGCAGCAAAAGGGUGAUUUCGCAACACUUUGGAAAAUGCUUCCUUCAGCUGGGAGUGAUUGGUUUGCAAAGGCUGCAACUUCUUCGUUUCAACUCCGAAUUGCGCACCAUUUGAAGAAUUGGAUUGUUGACUUCCUGAGAUUUGAAAUGGUAUAUAGCAUGCAUCAAUUUGACCUCAGAAAGUGCUCCAAAAGUGGCUGCUACGACUGUCAUCAAGAAUAUGCUUCUUGGCAGAUUCUCUUUACUUUUUCUCCUUGCAUUCCGGAUUUACUCUUGGCAAAUGACUUCCAAGCUUUGCCCAAGAUUCCUCAACACUCUCCUCAAUCUUGAAUUGCUUUGGUGAUCAAAUUACUAACAAAAACACCAAAACUUACACAAAGUGAUUAAAAUUGCUUUCAAGGGUCCUUAAUAUGCUAAUUGAGUUAAAAGGCCAAAACUACUACUCAAAAGCGUUUAAAAGGAUUAAUUAUAAGUUAUCAAAUAGCACUUUUUGAGCAGUAAUCACUCCCCCCAACCGACAUAUUGCUAGUCCCUUAGCAAUAUAGGAGAGAAAAAUGAAAAUAAAAAGCAAACUUAACCUAUAAUGUACAACAUCAUGCUGAACAAAAACAAUUCUCAAGUGGCAUGAUGAUUUAAUUCUCUCAUGAAACAUUAAAGAAAUACAAACCCAAAUUUCAACAAGAGUUAUAACAAACUAUGCUAAACACUUUCAAUCAAGGGAAUGCAUUAUGCAAACUGAAGUUUUAAAAUCAUUUCCACUUUCAAAGAACCAAACUUUAUUCUUCCUCAAAAAUCUAUGUGUAUAGGUUCCUUAGGUUCCGAGAAUAAUAUGCUAAACUAAUCUCUCCCCCCAACCUAUCUCUUUUCAACACUUAGAAAACUGACCAAAAUCAAUAAAGAAAGAACACAUUUUUUUUUUUUUUUUUUAAGGAGGCUUUAUGGGAUACUCUUUCUGAAUUGUCCAUGUAAUGGGGGUCCAUCGAUGACUCCCAACCAAUUAAGGUUUAGGGCAUCAAGCUUUAAGGAUCUUUCAACCACUAACUCCAUGGAUUUUUCCCCGGACUUUUGAGAAUGAAUUUCUAAUACCCAAGCACCUAGCAUAUGCUAACUCUACCUAUUCACCCUUAUAACGAGCAUUGAGGUCGGUGACUCCCAACCAAUUAAGGCUUAGGGCACCAGGCUUUAAAGAUUUUCACCAUAUACCCCUCAGACCUUGCUCGGGUUUUAAGGCAAGCAAACAACUUUCUUUAUUUCAAAGGCUCAUUGGCCUUUUGCAGGGUGUUUCAAUUUUAUCAAAUGAGGUCAAAUAUACCAAGUCCCAAAAUUAUCCUAAGUCAAGAGGGAAAUAGCUUUUCAUGUUAUAAUCGGAAUCUAAUGUGUACAGUGUGUGAAUAGCUUAAAGUGGAAGAACUAAAUUCAAUUUCAAUAGAAGCUUCAACAAUUGAACCACUUUAGUGAGCAUAAUCCAUACUCUAAGUCAAGUGAAAAACAACAGUUCAAUUUCUCCUGUUUCAAUUUGAAAAUUUUUCCUCAAAAUUCAUGGAGAAUAGAGUAAAAAGAGUAAAAAGCAAAAACUACAACUAAUUUACCAAAAUAAUUGCAUUACCAAAAAGGCUUAGCAUACUUCCUUUAAUUUAGCAUAACUUCCUUCAUCAUUCCCCCCCAACCGAACCGAGCAUUGUCCUCAAUGUGAUAUGAGUGACUGUAAUUAAAGGGAGGAAGUGGUACCUCCUGAGUGAUAUCAAAUUCGAAUACUAAUUGGAGAAACCACAUGUUUAAAAAAGAAUAGAAUAUGUGAGAAAAGGAAAUAAGAAUAAGUUAAUGCUAACUGUUAACAAAAAAAUAUUAAACUUGUAUUACUUUGAAUCCAUUUGAGUACACUGAAAAAGAAAAGCAAUACAAGCAAUCCCAAAUAUAGUACCAAAAUAAUGGGAUUUCUUUCAAACUAAAAAUGAAAUACAUAAAACAAAGAUAGUAGAUAUAUAUAUAAUGAUCUAAUGAGUGGGUGGUGCUGGGGCUAGGCAGAUGGGUCUGCCUCUUCAGUUGGUGCUUCAGCUGGGGCUUGAGGCUCUGAGGGAUGAGAGUGUGGAUCUGCUGGAGUAGAAGUGGAGGGCUCAACAGCUGGUGGCAGGUCGAAAUGAAGCUGAAACUGCCUUAAGAUGACAGUGUGUUGAGCCUGAGUGGCCAACAUCUGCUCUUGGCAUGCUCUAAUGGCUGCCAUCUCUUGAGCUAGACUGCUCUGAGAUGUUGUGAGGGUCUCCAAUGCACGGCACAACUCUCGAUAUUCAGAAAUGGGUAUGGCCAUCCUCGGCUCAGCUGAAAUGGAUGGCUGAGAUGAAGCUGGAGCAGCUGGUGGAGCUCUGGGAAUGGCAGGAGCAGCAACUGUGAUACCCUCAGGUAUGUGUCGUGGGGAUGCUCUCCUUGUAGUUGGCUGAGGACGCUCAGGCUGGUCAACUCUAUAAGCUGUCAUGUUGUUCCAUUUGUCGAGAGUAAAAAGCUCACGACAAAUGCGCUUUCGCUCCAACUGAGGCUCAGAAGGAUAUCCCAAGUGCUCCAGAAUUUGGCAUAGCAGCCUUGGAAAGAGGAGGGGAAUGCAAUCAGCUCUCUGAAGCUUCUUUUUGUGUACAUUAUCUUCGAAAUAGAGAAGGACUGCCAGAAUCAGAUGAUGAGGCCCAAAGAAAAAUCCUUCAGACAUCUUGUAUAGGGCUUCUAAGAGGACUCCUCUUCUUUGAGUCCAAUGCUGCAAUGGGUAGAGGUUAUGACGCAAAAAUGCAUCAAUCAAAAACAUGAUUGGAGGAAGCUCCCCCCUCAACAGAUGUGAUCGAUUGGCAGCUCCUCUGGAUAGGGUGCGCACCAUCUCCAGCUCAGUAGGAUUGGUCCAAGCUCUAAAAUUAUCGAAUUGGGUUGGCUCAUAGGGAAUUUGCAAGGCUUCAGCUAUAUGGCGUGCUCCCAAUAUGCCAUGCCUCCCAUCAAUAGUGAAAUGAAUUAAAGUUGGAUCCCUGACCUGGUUAGUUGUCAUGGAUUGAUAGAAAUCCAUGGCUACCCUUGGGUAGAAAAAGUCUCUUGGAGUCAGUAGGUGCUCCAUAUGGUAUCUCCUCAGCAGGUUGAAUGUCUGUGCAAGCUCCGGCUGCAAUCGGAAUGCGGCUAUGUCAAAGCAUAGCUCAGAGUGGAAUGGCCGAGCUCUACAGUCCAAAUUUCCCUCAAUUGGGGGCUGAGUUAGCAUUGGCCUCUUGAUUAUUUCUUCCGGAGCUAUUUCGGAUUGAAUUUGGGGCUCUGGAAGUGGCGGCUAAGGCUCCUGAGAUUUCGCUUGCGGCGCCAGAAAUGGCACCGGCGACGGAACUGGCGAGGAUACCGGAGAUGGAACUGGAGUUGGAACCGGUGAUGGCUCUGGAGAUUGCUCCGUCUAGUCGAUGGGUUCUGAGCUUUCAACCCUGGGUCUCUUUUGCAGUGGCCGACCCCCUGACCUGGUAAGGUAACGUCUCGCCAGAGGCUUUGGCGGCGCUGGCUUCACCGGAGGAGGAGUUGCUUUCAGCUGCGAAGGCUCAGAAACGGGAUCCGGGACUGGCUCCUUUCGCAAGCUUCUCUUGCGGCUUGAAGGGGAGGAAGACUUGGCCCCUCUGGUUUGCGCCAUUUCGGGUUACCGAAAUUUGGCCAGAGCGGAUGGUCGGAGAAGAUGAUCGGAGGCUUGCGCGGUGAGGCUUGAGGAAGGAGAUGGACGGUCUGCGAGAAUGGACGGUAUAAUUUUGAAACCCUUUUCGCAGCUCAAAUGACCGGUAUAAAUAGGAAUAACGGAAGACUAAGGGUCAGUUUGAGUUUCGCAGUAAAAUGCCAUUUUCGCAGCUACUUCGCAAUGCGUUUCGCAGCUGCGAAAUUAAUGUUACUGUGCUGCGAAGUGGCACACGUGUGUCAAAAUCUCCUUCGCAAUUGCGAAAUACCCUGCGGAAUGGGACUUUUGUUGCGAAAUCUGGGCUUUACCACUUCGCAAGUCGUUUCGCAGCUGCGAAAUGGGGGCUCCUGUGCUGCGAAGUGGCACUCGUGUGCCAAACUUGCCUUCGCAGCUGCGAAAAUUCUCGCAGAGAAUCCCAAAGUGUUGCAGAAUGAUUUGGCAACAAAAUGCUCAUUUCGCAAAAGUUUUCUUUAGGCUGCGAAAUCUCGCAGAGCUCUGUUUUUGCUCUGUUUCACUCUGUUUUUGCUCCGAUUUCGAUCCGAUUUUUUCUCUUUCAAUUUCCUUGAAAUUUCUUCCACCUGAGAUCAUUUAAAAAGAUUAAAACACACCUAAAAACAUGAUUUAAGAUCAAAAACUAAGAUCAAAUGUAUGGAAAAAAACUUGAAAAUUUACAAAAUUUACAAAAAUUUUGGACUGUGGUAAACCAUGUCUAGCAAACCCUUCUUUGCUUAGGCUUUUUGAGGCUCAAGGAGGUUGAUAUCCUCCUUUUCUAGUUUGAAUGGCUCCAUUAAUGGCUUGAGACGAUAUCCAUUGACUUUGAAGGUGUCCUUGCCAUUUGAAUUCAAUAAUUCCACAUCUCCAUUGGAACAUACUCGGUGAAUUAUGAACGGGCCUAUCCACCUUGACUUGAGCUUCCCAGGAAAGAUAUGGAGUCUUGUGUCAUACAGUAAAACUCUUUACCCUUCCUGAAAUUCCUUAUUGGAGUUUAGUUGAUCAUGCCACUUCUUCAUCCUCUGUUUUGCAACUUUGGAAUUGAUAUAGACAUUAUUUCUUAAUUCCUCCAUCUCAUUAAGGUCUAGAUAUAUUUUUUCUCCGGCUCUGAUCAAGUCCAUGUUCAGCUUCUUUAUUGCCCACCAAGCUUUGUAUUCAACUUCCACAGGGAGAUGGCACGCUUUGCCAUAGACAAGACGAUAGGGAGACAUGCCAAGAAUAGUCUUAUAAGCUGUUCUAUAUGACCACAAUGAAUCAUGAAGCUUAAUAGACCAAUCUUUUCUGCUGGAAUUCACCACUUUCAUCAAUAUGUUCUUUAUUUACCUCUUAGCUAGCUCAACUUGCCCGGAAGUCUGAGGAUGAUAAGGUGUAGCCACCUUAUGCUUCACUCCAUACUUGGAUAACAGAGCUUCAAAAGGUUUGUUGCAAAAAUGAGCACCUCCAUCACUGAUUAUGGCUUUGGGUACCCCAAAUCUCGAAAAAAUGUUCUCUUUAAGGAAUUUGAGAACCACCCUGUGAUCAUUUUGUUUACAAGGGAUUGCCUCAACCCAUUUAGAAACAUAAUCCACCCCCACCAAGAUGUAAGAAUUACCAAAAGACAUUGGGAAAGGUCCCAUGAAGUCAAUACCCCAUACAUCAAAUAGCUCAACUAUUAGAAUGGGGUUCAUAAGCAUUUGAUUUAUUUUUGUUAACUUUCCAAGCCGUUGGCAUCUGUCACAACUUCUACACAUGAUGUAGGCAUCUUUGAAAAGAGAUGGCCAAAUAAACCCUGAUUGCAAUACUUUCAUGGCUGUUUUCUGAGAGGCAAAGUGGCCUCCACAUGCAUUCUCAUGACAAUGAUAUAGAAUCCCUUGCUGCUCAUCUUCAGGGACACACUUCCUUAUGAUCUGAUCUGCACAAUACUUAAAAAGAAAGGGCUCUUCCCAAUAAUAAGCAUGAAUUUUGGCAAAGAAGUGCUUCCUGUCCUGUGCAUUCCACUCACUUGGAAUUUCUCCAGUUACUAAAUAAUUAGCAAUAUGAGCAUACCAAGGAGUUUUCACUAGGAACAUGAGUGAUUUUUCAGGAAAAUCAUCAUUAAUAGGCAAGGGAUGGGAAUUAUGUGCUAUAACUAACCUUGAAAGGUGGUCAGCUACCACAUUCUCCACUCCUUUCUUAUCUUUGAUUUGAAGAUCGAAUUCUUGUAACAAAAGAAUCCAUCUAAUCAACCUUGCUUUUGCAUCUUGCUUUGUCAAUAAAUACUUCAAGGCUGAAUGGUCAGUGAAGACAAUGAUGAAAGACCCCACUAAAUAAGCACGAAAUUUGUCCAAAGCAAAUACCACAGCUAACAAUUCUUUCUCUGUAGUUGUGUAGUUCCUUUGAGCUUCAUUCAGUGUUUUGCUUGCAUAGUAAAUCACAUAGGGCUUCCCAUCUUCCCUUUGGCCAAGCACAACUCCUAUAGCAAAGUCACUGGCAUCACACAUCAGUUCAAAAGGUAAUUGCCAGUUAGGGGCUCUCACUAUUGGAGUUGUUGUUAAAAAUUUCUUCAGUUGAUCAAAGCUGUUUUGACAUCUUUCAUCCCAUAUAAACUUAGCAUCCUUAGCUAACAGCUCACAAAGAGGUUUUGAAAGACUUGAAAAACCUUUUAUAAACCGCCUAUAGAACCCUACAUGGCCAAGGAACUGUCUUACUCCUUUCACAGUUGUUGGGGAUGGUAAUUUGACAAUAAGCUCCACCUUUGCUUUAUCAACUUCAAUGCCUUUUUCAGAGAUGAUAUGGCCAAGGACAAUUCCUUGACGUACCAUAAAAUGGCAUUUCUCCCAAUUGAGCACCAGGUCUUUUUCAAUGCAUCUGUGAAGAACUGCUUCCAAAUUGACUAAGCAUUCCUCAAAUGUACCUCCAUAUACGGUGAUGUCAUCCAUGAAAACCUCCAUAAUUAGUUCCACCAUAUCACUGAAAAUACUCAGCAUACAUCUUUGAAAUGUAGCAAGUGCAUUGCAUAAACCAAAAGGCAUUCUCCUGUAAGCAUAUGUUCCAAAUGGACAUGUAAAAGUGGUUUUUUCCUGAUCUGCCAAAUAAAUUUCAAUCUGAAAAUACCCUGAAUACCCAUCCAAGAAACAAUAGAACGGAUGUCCAGAGACUCUCUCCAGCACUUGGUCAAUAAAUGGCAAUGGAAAAUGAUCCUUCCUGGUUACAGCAUUCAGCUUUCUAUAAUCAAUACACACUCUCCAACCUGAAGUGAGGCAUGUAAGUAACUUCUUCUCCUUUUUCAUUCUGAACCACUGUGAUUCCUAACUUCUUUGGUACCACUUGAGUAGGACUCACCCAAGGGCUAUCAGAUAUAGGGUAGAUGAUUCCUGCUUGAAGUAGCUUCAGCACCUCAGCUCGCACCACCUCUUGUAAAUGAGGAUUCAAUCUUCUUUGAAGUUGACGAAUUGGCUUUGUCUCCUUCUCCAUAUAUAUAUGAUGAGUACAAACUAAAGGACUAAUGCCUUUCAAGUCGGAUAUUUGCCAUCCUAUUGCCUUCUUACACCUCUUGAGAACUUCCAUUAAACAAUUCUCUUGAUGACUGGUCAGAGAUGAAGAUAUCACAACAGGACAUUGAUUAUUUUCUUCAAGAUAUGUAUAUUUCAGCUCCACAGGUAGAGACUUCAGAUUGAGUUUUGGAAUUUCUUUUUCAGCAACUGCCUCCUCUUCUUCAUUGAACAAAGGUAGAAUCUCUUCUAUCUUUCUCCAACUUUGUAGAGUAGCAAGCAUAGUAGGAGAUUCAGACAAACCUUCCUCAAAAUCCACAAGACUUUCAUUCAACUUGUCUUGCAUAUUUUGAUUACAGUGCUCCUCCACCAAAGUGUCAAUAAUGCACAGCUCUUCUGGACCCUCUUCUUCUUCCGGAGUGAUUUGCUUUUUAGACAUAUAGAAAAUAUUGAGAUCAAGUGUCAUGUUGCCAAAAGUGAGUUGCAUCAGUCCAUUCCUGCAGUUGAUGAUUGCAUUUGAGGUAGCAAGAAAUGGCCUUCCAAGGAUGAUAGGAACUAAAUUAGCUUCCUUUAUAGUAGGAUCUGUAUCAAGAACAAUAAAAUCUACUGGAUAGUAGAAAUUAUCCACUUGAACCAAUACAUCCUCAAUUACCCCCCUUGGAAUUUUCACUGAUCUAUCUACUAGAGAUAAAGUGAUUGCUGUUGGCUUCAACUCUCCAAGUCCCAAUUGCUUGUAGACGGAAUAUGGAAGCAAAUUCACACUUGCUCCCAAGUCUAACAAGGCUUUCUCCACUACCUUUCCUCCAAUCAUGACUGAAAUGGUAGGACUUCCUGGGUCUUUGUACUUCAAAAGAGACUUACAUUGUAAGAUUGCACUUACUUGCUCAGUCAAGAAGGCUUUCUUAUUUACAGUCAACCCUCUUUUGAUAGUACAUAAGUCCUUAAGGAAUUUUGCAUACGUUGGAACUUGUUUAAUCAUAUCCAGCAGUGGAAUAUUGACUUUCACUUGUCUCAAUACUUCAAGGAUUUCAGCUGCAUUUCUAAUCCCCUUUUUCCCAUGUAAUGCUUGAGGAAAAGGUGGAGAGGUUGAUUUCUUCAGCAUUUCUUCCUUCAUAAGUUCCUUCUCUGGAAUUGCAUUCAUUGUUGAAUCAGAGUCCUUCUUUUCUUCACUGAUCUCACUCUCUUUAUCUUCCAUUUCCUUCCCUUUCUUUAUCUCUUCUUCAUUAUCAACAUGUGGCUUGGGUGUUGGUUGCUCAAUUUUUUUACCACUCCUUAGAGUGAUCAAGGCGUUCACAUCUUUCACCUGUGAUGAUUCUCCCUCUUGGCUUUCCACUUCAUGGACACCUUUGGGAUUUUGGUGAGGUUGAGAAGGAAAUCUUCCCUUUUCUUGUAGUGUAUUCAAAUUUGUAAGCCUUGAAAUUGAAUAUUGGAUGUUAUCAAACUUUUGGUUCAUAUCAUUUUGCAUUCCAUCCAUCCUUUUAUUCAACAUACUCUCCACUCUAUCAAUUCUUUGAUAGAUUUGAGCAUUGGUGGCUUCUUGCUUUCCAACAAAAUCUCCCACUACCUUGCUGAGAUUAGCCAUUACUUGUUCAAGACUUGAAGAUUGUUGAGAUGGUGGAUCCGGCUGUUGGUAUUGAGUUGCUCUGGCCUUCCAUGAGAAAUUUGGAUGAUUCCUCCAACUUGAGUUGUAGGUAUUUCCAUAAGGCGCAUUGUUAUUGGGCUUGAAUUGCCCAAUAACUUUUGCUUGAUCUCUAAACAUUUCCCUUUCAGCUGAAAUUGCAGGGCAUUCCUCCACCAAAUGUUCAUAUGAUUGACAAUUAGGACACAGCUUCACUUGCACUGGUGCUUCAGCAACAGCUUGCACUUCAUGUAUUCUUUUCAGCUCCAGCUCCUCCAAUCUUCUUGUCAUAGCUGCCAACUUUGCUUUCAUAUCAUCAUCUUCUUUCAAGGUAUACAUCCCAGCCUUUGUAUUGAAAGCAUUCGGUUGAGACUUCAUCUUCCCCACUUCUCCUUUAGUUGGUUCAUCCCAUCCCCUUGAAACAUCAGCUAUAUAGCUCAAGAAAUCCAUAGCUUCCUCUGGAUUUUUUCUCAUGAAAUCUCCUCCACACAUUGUCUCGAGGAGUUGCUUCAUUGAGGAGGACAUACCAUCAUAGAAAUAGCUCACCAGUAACCAAGUAUCAAAGCCAUGGUGAGGGCAAGCAUUUAUAGCUUCCAUAUAUCUUUCCCAACACUCAUAGAAUUUCUCAUUCUCUUUAGCUGAGAAGUUUGAAAUUUGACUUUUCAAGCCAUUUGUUCUAUGAGUGGGAAAAAAUUUCUUGAGGAAUUCAGCUUGUAAGUCAGUCCAAGAACGGAUACUCCUUGGCCUUAAAGAAUUAAGCAAAAUUUUGGCCUUAUCCUUUAAAGUAAAAGGAAAUAACUUAAGCCUCAUCAAAUCAAUUGAAGCUCCUCCCUCUUGGAAUGUAUUACAAACAUCUUCAAAUUCCUUGAUAUGUGCAUACGGAUUCUCACUUUCCAUCCCAUGGAAAGUUGGUAGAAGUGGAACAAGAUACGGUCUGAUCACUAGCUGCUCUGUAGGGGGCACUAUACAUGAUGGUGCACUCAUACGAGGUGGAUGCAUACGGUCCCUCAUUGAUCUGAAUUCAUUGAGAUUGUCUUGACGACCUUGGUGACUAUGCUGAUCUUCAGGUGUAGCUUCCAUGAUAUUCAAGCUUACUUCGAAUUCUCUUCUCUGAGGUGUAUCACACUUAACAAGCCUUCCUCCACUGUCUCGUAUCCACUUUGGCAUACACAACUAGUAUCUAUCUGCAACUUAAUGAAAAUAAAGAACAACAACAGAAACAGGGCUACAACAACAAAAUUAAUCUAGGCUAAAUUUUAAAAUAUAAACUUAGAUUAUGAAUAAAUAAAUAAAGAAUGAGAAUUAGUAAAGUGAAAGAAACGUUACCAACUUGUGAUGAAAAUCACAAGUGCUCAAAAAUGGUAUCACUAUAAAUUUGACACCUUCCCUGGCAACGACGCCAUUUGAUUCGUGCCCAAUUGGUGUUUCAGAUAAUUCGUGUCCAGCUGGUGCUCCUUGAUUGAGGGAGUAAUCAACAAAAUUUAUAACCUAUUACACCAUAUACUAGGGUAGCAAAGACAAAGCUACUAUAGUAUAGCGGCUCUAGGAUCGUUCACUGGAAAGGAUUAGCAAGCUAUCAAUGAUACCAAUUCCAAGUGAAUUGGUCUUGUUUCAUUUCAAGGUUAGCUUAAGAAAUAAAACACAAACUUUGAUUGGUAAAGAUUUAAACUAACUAACAUAACAAGUACUCGGAAUAACUUAGGAAGAAAAGCAUUCCUUGGAGAGUUAGGUUCACUGGGGUGGUUCCUCAUGCAAAAGACAUAGCUCCGGUCAGAUGGUUCCUUUCCUCGUGUUAGAGAUUCAACAUAUAGUCACUUCUCUAACCGGUGUUGUACAGCUACCUCCUUUAAUUAGAUUUCACUUUAAUUCUCUCACUGAUGCAACUUGCAAUGGUUUAAGCCUCUCACUAAGCCUUAACCAUUCAAGGUGAUCUUUAACCUUGGAUUACCCGUCAAAAGCUCGCAAGAGAUAACUAAUGGAUGUCUCCUUGGAGUCCAAAAGCUUACCAAGUGUUGGCUAUUCUAGAAAAUCCUACCCUAAAGUCACCUCCCAGAGGCUCGCAAGGGGUAAACUAGUGCAUUUCCAUGGUUGGAAAUCACUUGCCUUACCAAGUGUUGGCCCAGGUGACUCUAAGGUGUUUUAAGUUAACUAAAAACAUAGAAAUCACUAAAGGAUUUCACUUCCUCUUCAUUACUAGCUAAAACCACAAAGCUUUGCAUUCUUGCACUUGGAACCUUCCCCGGCAACCUUAGCUCCAAGGAAUUAGAGGUUUAGUUACUCAUUCUCUGGGAAAAAUUCCUCAGAGAGUUCAUAACUUAGUAAGAAAAUAAAAAUACAAAGUGAGAAGGUAAGGCAAUACAAAGAACUGAACUUUACUUGUUUACCCAAAACUUUACAAAAGGAUCUCCUCUCUGAGAACAGGCUCCCAAGAGGUAUAUAUAUGAACAUAAUAUAAAACUAAUUAUUACAUAGAUAUUUUCUCUUUUUACUAACUUAAAAGCUAAGGAAUCUUGUAAUUGGUGGCUUACAAGGAGUAUUUUGGGAUUUAGACAACAAAAAUCUGAUGUAAAAUAUCUCCCAAUGUCGGUAGCAAAUAUCGGGAUGCUCCAGGAACCAUUUCGCAAGAGAAAAUGGUGUCUACGAGAUUUCGCAGGCACUCAAGAAGGGCUGCGAAAUCAUUUCGCAACAACAUGCUAUCUUCGCAGGGCUGCGAAGUUGGCUUCCACCUUGAGGUUCUUAGCUCCCAGCUUGCGGCAUAUAUCAGGCAACUUCAGAAGGAAAUACACCCUACUGUACAAAAAGGCUGCGGAAUCACUUCGCAGCAAAAGGGUGAUUUCGCAACACUUUGGAAAAUGCUUCCUUCAACUGGGAGUGAUUGGUUUGCAAAGGAUGCAACUUCUUCGUUUCAACUCCGAAUUGCACACCGUUUGAAGCAUUGGAUUGUUGACUUCCUGAGAUUUAAAAUGGUAUAUAGAAUACAUCAAUUGGACCUCAGAAAGUGCUCCAAAAGUGGCUGCUACGACUGUCAUCAAGAAUAUAUUUCUUGGUAGAUUCUCUUUACUUUUUCUCCUUGCAUUCCGGAUUUACUCUUGGCAAAUGACUUCCAAGCUUUGCCCAAGAUUCCUCAACACUCUCCUCAAUCUUGAAUUGCUUUGGUGAUUAAAUUACUAACAAAAACACCAAAACUUACACAAAGUGAUUAAAAUUGCUUUCAAGGGUCCUUAAUAUGCCAAUUGAGUUAAAAGGCCAAAACUACUACUCAAAAGCGUUUAAAAGGAUUAAUUAUAAGCUAUCAAAUAGCACUUUUUGAGUAGUAAUCAGUACAUAUGGUAUUGGAGUGUAGUUGAUUCUCUUUAAUGGAAUGUUAAAUCAAUUUCAAAUUUGGAUUUUGAUGGAGCAAAUACUCCUAUGGGUCCUAGUGGUUCUCGCUUUGAGCUUAUAUACUAGGUAACACAUUUUAUGAGGGUUGGAUUGACUCUAGGUUGAUUCUUGUGCAUAAGAGAAUUUUGGUAACUACGCAAGGUUGCAUAAGGGAUAAUGAACAAGGUAUUUGGUUUGGGCUAAUUGAUCAAUUAGAUGACCCUAUAUAGUUAAUUAAUCAAUUAAGAGCCAUUUUGGGCUAGACUAAGUGACUCAUGCCUUGAUGGGCUUAAGUCACUUAAGCACAAUCGACAACCUUAUAAAUACCCCUUUAUGGGUUAGCAUUUCCUAAUGACUUUUAAUGAGAGUUGUUUUCCACCUCUAGAGAAAGAGAGAGAGAAAGUCAUAGCCUCAUCCCUUUUGUUGCGCACACUUUAGAGUGCCAGGAUUGUGGUUCAAGUCAUCGGGUGGAGGAUCUUGGGUAUAUGAGACCUUCUUAGAUGAGAGGCUACAUCACAUGGACAUGCGUAGAGCACAUGCACAAGAUGUGCAUAGGCCAUGUGCAUGGGAAUUGCAUGACACAUGCACAUGGGCAGUAGCAUGAGGAGAGAGACUCUCUAGUUUUUCCAAGUAUGUUCUUCAUCGGAUGGAUUUUGAUCUGGGAACAUCUAAAUCACAUGUAUGAGUUUCAAAUCUCUAGAUCUAUAGUUAUUAAUGGUUUUCAUUGCUAAUUUAUUCCACUACGAUAGAUUUACAAAUGCCUAGGGAUAGAUGCAUGCACCCUAUGAGAUCCAAGGUAUAGGAACGAAGUAUUAAUCUAGUGGUUCCCAAGUAAUGAUAAUAGUAAGAUAUCAAGAUUGAACCUAGCACUAAUUAAACAUCUGGUAUUUAGACCUAACUCAUAUUAAUCUAAAUAGGAUCCAAAGAUUGGUAAAGUCUAGACUCUUUGAUUCCAAAAGAUCUUCUAGUUUACGAAUCCUAUAUAGAUGGUAAAAUGAUCAAGAGUACUAGAGGUAAGGAAUAUUUGGAGUUAGUGCAUACUAACAUGUAUGGAACUUUUAGAGUCUAUGCAUGGGGAGGGUAUGGGUAUUUCAUCACUUUUAGUAAUGAUUACUUUAGGUUUGGAUAUGUACAUAGGAAAUCCGAUGCCUUGGAUACAUUCAUUGAAUUUAAGGCGAGAUAGAAUAACCUAUUGGGUAUACAUACCAAGUCAUUUCAAUUAUAUCAAGUUGAUAUGUUUGGUAAGUUUGAUUCUUUCUGUUAGAGCAUAUGAUUAUUUUCUAGUUAUGUUCAUCAAGGUCUCUACUGAAAAACGAAUAAGUGGAAAGAAGAUAUCAAACUUGGAUGGACAUAGUAAGAUUGUGGAUAGGUUUCUCAUAUUUUCUCAAAUUCUUUUGGGGAUAUGUCUUAUAGAUUGUGUAAUUACUUUUUUUUUUUUUUUUUUUGCUUUCUUAAGAGGUGUAUUAGUUUAUAGGAUAUCUAAGAGGAUUUUUGGGUUAUAUUGUAGUCAAAAUCAUCAAAAGAUAUUUGUUAACAUAAAUGUCCCAUUUUUCAUGAAAAUUAUAUGAUAAGGAAGAAGGCAUAGAGUGAUAUCGAUUGGAGGAUAUAUUAGAAGAUAGUCCCACAUUGCAUAGGAUACUAUGGAUCCAGAGAGUUAAAGACAUACCAUUCCUAUGAUUUCUAGUACACCAGUACCUCAUCAUAGUGGGAAGUUUAUAUCCCACAGAUAAUGAUGAAGCGGUGAGCAAUGUUUAUGCUCACUUAAGGCAAGGAUGUGUGAUCAUGAAAUCUAUGAACCCAUAGUAAUUCAUUUAGUGAAAUUUGAGAUAUGGUCUUAGUGAGUUAGAGUAUGUUAUUUAAUCACAAAAUAAGAUGAUCUAUAAGUCAAAGAUUGUAAAGGUAGUCUUGAAAGGAUGAUAACUUUCACCUUGUUAGACUACGAACAACCAAUUCAUGGGAAGACUAUAUACAAUAGAUAGCAAGUCACAAACUUGAGCACUUGGUGUUUCGCUGUAAUAUACAUAGGGUUCUAGAGUACAAUUAACUCUCUAUAGUAGGAUAUUGAGUUAACUUUAGAAUUGGAUUCUAAGGGAUCUAGUAUUGUCCUAUGGUUCCAUUGGUCUCUACUAAAGCUCAUCUUCCUUGAUAGCAUGGUUUAUGAGAGUUGGAUAGGUUUUUAGUUCACUCGUGUGCAUAAAGGCAUUUUGGUAAUUGCAUAAGGUUACACAAGGGUAACUGUGCAGUAUCUUCGAACUUGGUUAAUUGAUUAAUUGGAGCCUUAUUUUGUUAAUUAAUCAAUUAGCAACCUUUUUGGGCUAAAUUAAGUGACCCACACCCCUAGUGGGCUCAAGUCACUUAAGCAUAGUAGGAGUAUAAAUACCUUUCUCAAGGGUUUGGGUUUCUAAUUCAAUCUUGUCAUUCUCUCCCCAUAGUCUAGAGAGAAAACCCUAGUCUUCAACCUUGAGAUUUCCAUCAUUUCAGUGCCUAGACUCAAGGAGGAGUCAUCGAGUGGAUGAUUAUGGGUUUAUAAGAUCUUUCUUAAAUUUGGAGCUUUCUACAUUAACAAGAAUUGAUUUGGGAACAUCCGAAUAAUACGUAUAACACUUUUCUCUAGAUCUAUGAUAUGUUUUUUAAAUACCAAAGUUUUCAACUAUGCUUAGAUCUAGAAAGCAUAAGAUAGGAUUACAUGCACCCUAAUAAUCCAAGGCCUAGGAAUAUAGCGAUCUAAGGUUUCCUACCAAAUAUAACCCAAUAAGUAAGAAUGAUUUAUAGGAACUAAAAUUUCUUUCAAAAAGAAAAGAAGUUUAUUGGAGUAAGAUAAGUAUACAAGAGAAGGAAAAAUGCAAAAGGAGUAGACAAAUACAAAGCAACAUUGGUGCAAAGGAUUACAAGCAAGAAUAAUGCACCAACAAGACGAGGGCAUUUGCUCUCAUUGCUCUUUUAGUAACUAUAAGAUUAAAAAUCUCUUUGAUAGCUUAAAUUAGUUGAAAAUUUUCAAAUGGAUGUGAAAUCCAAUUUUUUGAAUUGACAUCUGGAAGAAGUGUAUGUAGAAUAAACCAUAGUUGGUAUACAUAUAUAGGCAUGAGAAUAAAGUUCCAAAAUUGAAAAUAGCCUUGUAUGGAAUAAAACAAACACUAAGAGCAUGGAAUAAUAGAAUUGACCAAUAUUUUCACGAUAAUAAUUUUGUUUGAUACCUUAAUGAACAUGCUCUUUACAUAAAAGUGAAAGAAAAAAGUGAUAUAUUACUUAUUUGUUUGGAUGUGAAUUAUUUGAUCUUUAUUGGAACUAAUCCAAUCAUGUUUAGUGAGUUCAAAGAAGUAAUAGGACAAAAGUUUGAGAUGAUUGGAUUAGUCUCAUAUCAUACUCUCUUGCCAUAGACUUGAAGACAAUUGAAAAGAGUACUUUUUAUUUCUCAAGAAGACCAUGCAAAAUAAAUUUUUAGAAAGUUUAACUUGAAUAUGUGUAAUAUGGUAAACACAAUAAUAUAAUGCAAAGCUAAAUUAUCAAAGACAUGUAGAAGGAGAAAAAGUGGAUUCAACAUAACAUAAAAUCUUAGUUGGAACCAUACACUAUUUGACUCAUACAAGUUCAAACAUUCUCUUUGGAGUUGGAUUUGUCCAUCAUUAUAUGGAAGCACUAAUGAUUAUUUACACUAAGACCUCCUAGUGAAUUUUUCACUACAUCAACGACACAUUUGAUUAUGACUAAUAUUAUUCACCUUUAACAAUUUUAGACUUGUUGGAUAUAAUGAUAGUGAUUAAGGUGGAGACUUGGAUGAUACAAAGAGAACCAAUAGCUUUGUAUUCAUCAUGGGAGAGAUACCAUGUUCACUUGGACUUCAAAGAAGCAACCUAUUAUGAAACUUUCAAUCUAUGAAGUGGAAUUUGUGAAAAUGUUUACAAAAUCUCAUAAUCAAAUUGUGAAAACGUUUACAAAGUCUCUCAAGUUUAAUGAUUUUAGAAUGCUAAAGAUGCUACUUUUACAAAUCAAGUUGAAGGCAUGAGUGAAAAUGUUGACAAAGUUUAAAAUUUUUAGAAAACUAAGGAUGCAUUUUUACAAACCAAGUUGAAGGGAGGAUGCUAGUUAACCUAGAUUUAGGAAGUUUCUAAAAAUUAGAAUUUGAGUUGGAUUCUAAAAUGCUUGAUUUAGUUUGUAUAUUUGUUAGUACAAGAUUUUAUAUUUUACCAUUAUGAGUAUCUUUUUUUGUUUUUUUAGGAGUUAAUAUCUAUAAAUAAGAUGUUAAUAUCUAAAUAUAUAAUUAAAAUUGUUGUGUUUGCAAUUUUAAUGAAAUCUAGCAUUGGAUACUUAACUACAUCCCACAAAACGACAAAAAAAUGGUGGCGAUUUCAUGGAGGCUAACCAUUCACUAGCCUUUAGCCAAGUUGUGUUUCAACAGUAAAGUAAUUACCUCAGUCAAAACACAAAAUUUAGUUUUCUAAACAAUUAUUGUUCUUGGAAAACAUGCAAGGAAUUUAAGCAACUUAAGGUACUUAAGCAAUCCUAGUUGGACGUCCAGUAUUCAGAUCUUUUCAUUAAUUGGUUUUUCUCUUUUUGUACCAACACCUGCUCUCUCUCUCCAGCAUGCAAGCAUAAGUGGUAGGCACCUCUUUUGUGCUUUAAAUUAAUUGAAUACUUUAUCUUAUUCCGCCAUUCUUUUGGGUCUAACCCAAAAAUACAUUUACCAUGCCUUCUUUUCAUGUCCUCAACUUACUCAUAAGUCCCAUUGGAUAUGAUGUACUGAGUUUCAGAUUUUUCAAGUAAAAUUAUCAACAUCGUCUAGCAUAUAUACUAAUAGGUUAUACUCUUUUCAACAGUUUAAAUUGUUUUUGUUAAUAGAUUAUAUGGAUGUUUUAACACUCAGAGAAAUUGAAAUGCAGCCAAAUAUGCAGAAAAAAAAAAUGGUUGUGACUAAUAGUUAUAUUUAUUCUCUUUUAUUUCUGUUGAUACUCAAAUUUUUAGGGAUAGAGCAUCAACAAUCCUUGUGAUGAGUUACUAAUGUUGAGAAAAGUCAAUGACUACACAAUGUAGCUUAAAACCACAUAUGUCAUCAAAGAAGACAUCAAUAAUCACCCCCACACAAUGAUAUGUUGUAUAAUUCAUUACUUGUAUCAAACACAAAUUUCCUUCAAUGUGUGUCUAUGAAUAAAAGAGAGUUCUUGGUUUAUAUUCGACAUACACGCUAUAUAGGCCAUGCUAAAAGCAAUUGAUAACAAGAAUCUCAACACUGAAGUCCACGUAGAAUCAAGUGUGCACCAUAUUGGGGUUGCAUAGUUAGGAUACUGAAGGGAGCAUGAGCAUAGGAUGGCGAAAGUUCAAAUGAGAAGUGUUGUAAGAUCAUUGCCAAAGCUAUUUUUGCCUCCAUCAUUGCAAAAUUUUGUCCAAUGCAUACCCGAGGACCCCAACCAAAUGGGAAAAAUGAAACUUGGUUUUUUGUUGCCUUCAAAACUGCUUCUGCAAACCUCUUUGGAUUAAACUCCUUUGCAUCAUCCCCCCAAAUUUCAUGAUCAUGGUGAACUAGGAUGGUGGGCAACACGACCUGCACUCCAACUGGAAAACACAUGUCUCCCACUUGAGUGUCCUUAUAAACAGCUCUAUGAAGCAUUGCUACUAGUGGGUAUAACCUAAGAACCUCAUGAAAAAUCAUGGUAACCUGUGGUAGAGAAACUUUAGAAGUUGUUGCAUGAGAAUUCCUACUAAAAUACAUUCUAAAUCAGUAUGAAGGACACUGAAGAAUAAAGCAAUUUCUUAAAAUAGUGAUGCAGAAGAGAAAAUGUUCUAAAUCAUGCAUAACAAAAUAUCAAGUAUGCAAAGGACAUUGCAUAUCCCAUGCAUAUAACAACUUAAGAACCUCAUGAAAAAUCAUCAUAAUCUAGCAGAGGAAUUUGAAAUCAUGGCAUGAGAACCCGUUCCUGAGGUACUAAGUGAAAGCAAAUGUUUAGUACAAGAUAUAAAAACUUAAGAGAAACGUGUUUUCAAUUUUACUCCAAUUAUGGGGAAAAAAACAGAGUACUAUAUGAUUUUAGUGAGAAUCACUAAACUAAAGAUUGGAUUGAGUACUCACAAUUUUUAGGUGAUUUAAUCCAUCAGCUUCCGGUUUUUUAUUCCCAAAAACUGUAAAACCUCUUCUCUUGCACAAGCUUGCCAGUUUGGAUGCUCGCUUAGCAGGACCAUUGUCCAUACAAGCAAAACUGAGGUUGUCUCUUGGCCAUCAAGAGAGAAUAGCUUACACUCUUCAAUGACAUCUUUGACACUCAUUCCAAUCUUCUUGUUAUUUUGAUGUUCUUGAAUUUCUCUAAAAUUGGAUUCCAUUAGUAUACCUAAUAAGUCACUACUAGCAGUUUCGCCAGCCUUCAUUGCCUUCUCCCUAUUGCUAACGAUACCCCUCAACAAUGCAUAUACUUCUUUGCUUAUUUGCUUCAUCCUCCUGUUCCGUCUUUGUGGGUAAAAACCUGCGCGCAUGUUAGUAAUUCUAGUAAAUAAAACAUCACAUGAAACACACAUACAUUAAUUCUUAUUUUCAUCCAUGCCUUCUACUUCUCCAUUAAUUUUUUGAAACUUGUAUAAGGCUUCAAAGGUAGAAACUAUGAAGACAAUAACUAAUGGUUUCAUCUACACAUGUGUUGUAGUGGUAUCUCAUCAUCUUGACACAAUAUCCUACAAACAUAAGAUUGAGGAUACUAAACAUCAAUUAGAGAAACAUACUACUUUCUAAGUGUUAUACAAAAGAAGUAAUUGACUAAAAGGGGAUGAAGUGAUCUCAGAGUUGUAAAUCUAAUAUCUCUUAUGCUUGACCUUGAAAAGUAAUCCAUUUUUAACAUAAAUUCUCUUCGAACAUAAAUUCCCUUCAACCUUGUUAGCCAAACACACACUUGAGCAUUGUGAAACUUUCAACCUAUGAAGCGAAAUUUGUGUUGGCAUCAUUUGUAGGUCAUGAAAUUUGUUCAAGAAACUUAAAUUACCACACAAGAGACUGAUAAAGAUCUAUAUGGAUAUAAAAUCAACAAUUACCUUAUGAGAAAAAUCUAGUUCUCCAUGAUGGUGUUGAAUUUUGAAUUUUGCCUUAGUAUCUGCUGGAAUUUGAAUUUUGAAGUUAAAUUUUGUAGCUGGAGUCUUACAAAAAAUAUGCAACAUCCAAAUAUUUUAUUGUUUUUAUUUGGUCAAGAUUUGGUUUCUAUUUUAUUGGAAGUAAUUGUUCAUCAUCUAGUAGCUUGAUUUUCUAUUAUUCUAAUGUCAUUUCAGUUACAAGCUCAUGUAUAAAUUCAACACUCUUCAUCAAUAAAAUGUGUGUUCCAGCAAUCCAAAAAUAUAUAUUCUGCAUAAGUGUUUCAAUCUAAGAUCAACAGAUGGAAGACAGUAUAUUGAUACAAAAUAUCAUUUAUUAUAGAGUACAUUAUGAAAUAUGAAGUGCAAUUAAAAUUUACAAAAUCUCAUGAUCAAAUUGUGAAAACAUUAACCAAGUCUCUCAAGUUUAAAGAUUUUAGAAAGCUAAGGAUGCUAUUUUUACAAAUCAAGUUGAUGGGAGGAUGUUAGUUAAACUAGAUUUAUAAAGUUUCUAAAAAUUAGAUUUUGAGUUAGGUUUUAAAAGUUAAUUAAAAUAUUUUAUACAAAAUUCUUGAUUUAGUUUGUAUAUUUUGUUACUGCAAGAUUUUAUAUUUUACUAUCGUGAGUAUCUAUUUUUUUUAGGUGUUAGUUUCUAUAAAUAAGAUGUUAUGUAAUAGUUGAUCAAGUGUACAGGUGGAUGAUAAUAAAUUUUUUCUUAAUCAUCUCAAUUAUUUAUAUAUGUAAUUGCUUAUGUGUUUUUUCAACCACAUUGCUGCAACAUAGGUGAAUCUGCUGGUUGGUCUAUAAAAAUUCAUAUCAAUUGUUCAACCUGUUACAUUCUGUUAGGCUUAUGUAACGAUGUAGAUUAUAGUCUCUUUCCCUAAAAUUUCAUGGUGUUAACAUUUCAGGAAAGCAAAAUUUCCUAAAAUGGAAUAUGGUGUGCAAGGACAAAGAGACUUAUUAGGCAUCUAAACUCCAGGGAAAUCUGUCGAAACACUGCUGCAAAAAGAAAACAAAGCCCCAAAUAACUCUUUGAUCUUUUGUACCAAGCAGACUCGUGUAUGAAUAGUUUCAGAAAAAUAAGCUGCAUAUUUCUUGAAAUAUUUUUAUGCAUACCUCCAUCCCGGGAUAUAAACUGACAUUGUAACUGUUAAAAGGUAGUCUUUUUUCUUAUUUUUCCUUGUGUGUUGAAUACAAUACUAUAUAGAUUCAGAACAAAGGAACCUAUUCUAGCCUAUACAUAUCUUGCGGCAAAAAAUAAGGCCAUCCCUUGAAGUAUGGGAUUUACAUAAACAGAUUUCUAUACUUAUCUCAUUAGACAGCUCACGACAACACUCCCCCUCAAGUUGGUGCAUAGAUAUCUUUUAUGCCCAACUUGUCAAGUGAGUUGUAGAAAUUCCUUACAAACACUGCUUUUGUGAGUACAUCAGCCAACUGGUCUUCUGAUUUGACAAAUGGAAGCUGAAUAAUCUUUUCUUCAAGGUUUUGUUUGAUGAAGUUCCGAUCCACCUCAACGUGCUUAGUGCGAUCAUGUUGAACCGGAUUGUGGGAGAUAGCAAUGGUCGUUGUGUUAUCACAUAACAAGUUCAUUUCGGAACUAGGAGCAACAUCGAUCUCAGCUAGCAGCUUUUUCAGCCAAAUGAGCUCACAUAUUCCCUUGACCAUUCCCCGAAAUUCAGCUUCAGCACUAGAUAGGACAACUACUUUCUGUUUCUUGCUCCUCCAUGUAACUAGGUUGCCUCCCACAAAAGUAAAGUACCCAGCAGUGGAUUUCCUGUAUGUGAUGUUCCCUGCCCAGUCCGCAUCUGUGUAGCCAGCAACCUUCAAAUGACCAUUCUUUGAGAACAUAAGCCCUUUCCCCGGAGAGGACUUCAAAAAAUGAAGGAUUCGCAUUACAACAUCCAUAUGGUCUUCACUCGGCCGGUGCAUGAAUUGACUCACUACACUCACAGCAUAAGCAAUGUCUGGCCGAGAAUGAGAUAAAUAGAUGAGUUUACCCACUAACUGUUGAUACCUCUGUUUGUCCGCUGGUACCUGGUCUACAUAUUCUCCAAGUUUAUGAUUUUGGACAAUUGGAAUAUCAACAGGCUUACACUCUAGUAAUCCCACCUCUGCUAGCAAGUCUAGUAUAUAUUUCCUUUGGGAAAGAAAUAUGCCUUGUCUUGACCUUGCCACUUCAAUGCCCAAAAAAUAUUUAAGCCCCCCUAAGUUCUUCAUCUCAAACUCAGUUGACAAUUGAUCUUGAAGCCUGGAUAUUUCUUCUACAUCAUCCCCUGUAAUUAUCAUGUCGUCUACAUAGACUAUGAGGGCUGUUAUUUUUCCCAAUCGAUGUUUUGGGAAGAGAGUGUGGUCAGAGUUGCUUUGUUGAAAUCCAUAUUUCCUCAUUACCGAACUCAACCUGCCAAACCAUGCUCGAGGUGAUUGCUUUAGUCCAUACAAUGCUCGUUGUAACCUACAUGCAAUCUUUGCCUCUGAUGUAGCAGUAUAGCCUGGUGGAAUAUCCAUGUAAAUCUCCUCUUCAAGAUCACCAUGGAGAAAGGCAUUUUUUACGUCAAGUUGGUACAAUGGCCAAUCUAAGUUUGCUGCAAGAGACAACAGAACUCUAACAGUUUUUAGUUUUGCUACAGGUGAGAAAGUUUCCUGAUAAUCUAUACCAUGUUUCUGUGUAUAACCCUUUGCUACCAACCUCGCCUUGUAUUGAUCAAUCGACCCAUCUGCUUUAUAUUUAAUAGAGAAAAUCCACUUGCACCCCACUGUCUUCCUCUCUUCCGGCAACACACUCAAAACCCAUGUAUUAUUUUUCUACAACACCUCCAAUUCUUCUUUUAUAGCUUGAGCCCAUUUCAGAUCCGAGAAAGCUUCUUCAACCCUACUUGGAAUCUGACAUGAGGAGAGUGUAUGUGCAAAAGCUCUGAGAGGUUCAGAUAAUCUUUGUGUAGACACAUAAUUGGCUAUUGGAUACUUGGAUCGUCGUUCUUCUAUGUCUAGGGAGUAUCGAUUUGGAGGCUUGCCUCGAUUGUGUCUGAAAGGUAGAACAUAACCCGCAGAUGUAUCUAUAGCAUUAGUUUGUAAAGGUGUGGUAGGAGAGCUUACCUCAGGAAUAUUCUUAGUAGGAGGGUCGUUGGGUACUAACGAGUGAGGGAAUACAUCAGAUUCUGCAUCUUCCGAUGAUUCAGGUGCUGGUUCAGCUUCAGUUCUCAGAGGUUCAGGUACAGGAUCAUGUUCAACCAUGUCGUUGUCAUCAUUCGGAUGUGUUGGAUUGUCACCAACGUCUAACACUUCAACAUCAGACCAAUUCCGUUCUUCACCAUAGAUCUCCCCCUGAAGAGGGGAAUUGGAUAUCGGUGACAAAAAAAAAUUCAGAUUCAAGGAAGGUGACAUCCAUGGUAAUGUAGGUUCUUUUAGCAAUGGGAUCGUAGCAUCUGUAUCCCUUUUUGUGUACUCCAUACCCCAAGAAUAAACACCGGACAGCACAUGGGUCCAACUUAGUUCGUUGAUUUUUAUGGAGGUGAACAAAAGCAACACAACCAAAAAUUCGGGGAGGAAUCAUCAAAACAGUCGGUAAGGAGACAUGAUAAGAAAGCACCUUUAGUGGAGUCUGAAAUUGUAAGACUUUGGUGGGCAUACGGUUCAGUAGAUACACGGCUGUGGUAACAGCAUCACUCCAGUAUCUAUUCGGCACAUGUGCAUUGAUCAAUAGAGCACGGGCAGUUUCUAAGAUAUGCCUAUUUUUCCUUUCAGCAAUACCAUUCUGUUGUGGGGUUUGUGAACAUGAGGUUUCAUGGAGAAUACCAUGGUUGUUGAAGUAUGUCUGGAAUUAUUGAUUAACAUAUUCCCCUCCAUUGUCAGAACGAAUGAUCUUAAUUCUUGCAGAGAAUUGUGUCUGAACCAUGGCAUGAAAUGAUUGAAAAAUAGAAAAUACUUCAUCUUUGUGUUUUAGGAGGUAAAGCCAUGUCAUUCGUGUGCAAUCAUCAACAAAUAUUACAAACCAACGAUGACCAGAAGACGUAGUUACUAGUGAAGGUCCCCAAACAUCGGAACGUAUUAAAUCAAAAGGAACCAUACUUUUAUUCAUGCUCAUGGGAUAAGAAGCCCUAUGACUUUUGGCUAAGAUGCAAGUAUCACAUUUAAAACCUAAAUGUGUUACAUUUGAAAAUAACCCAGGUAAUAAGUGCUUCAAAUACCCAAAUGAUGGAUGCCCAAGUCGAUGAUGCCAUAACCAAAUCUGUCUCUCCUUGUUACCAACCUUGUGGUGCAUGUGAUUUGCUCUUCCCGAACUGAAGGCAUCCACGUAGUAUAACCCCCCCUCCUCUUAGUACCACACCCAAUUAUCUCAUUGGUGAGAAUAUCUUGAAGAAGGCAAAAAGUAGAAUACAUCAAUACCACACAAUUAAGAUAUGAAGUAACUUGGCUUACAGACAUCAAUCUAUUUGAAAGAGAGGGUACAAGUAAUGUAUUAGAUAAUGAAAGGGAAAGAGAAAAAGUCACUGUUCCAGCCCCUGUAACUAGAUAGGUGACCCCAUUAGCAUUUGCAACACAGCUCCUUCUCGGCUGAGUUGUAUUAGAGAAAUCCUUUGAAUCAAAUGUCAUAUGGUCUGUAGCCCCAGAGUCGAGAAUCCAGUCCUCAUCAUCCUUGUGAGUAGAGAUAUGAAAUGCCUUACUCGAAGUACCUGAAUCAUGUGAAGAUUCAGCUUGAGGAAUGAGGGAUAACGAAGCAUCACAAGUAACCACUGCAGCUCUCCUAGUGUGGUUAUCAUUAGCAAUGAUUUCCCAUUUUUUUCGUGCUUGAAGGUCAUUCCACCAAUCUGGAUAUCCAUGCAGUUUGAAGCAGGUGUCACGGGUGUGUUUGGAGUUGCCUCAAUGGGUACACUUCAUGUCGUCAGAUGGUGGUUUAGUUUUGGAUGAGGAGUUGGAUUUCCCGCUGCUUAGGGAAAGAGCUCCAGGUUUCGGUGGCAUCUGGUGAUGGCUGCCCUUGAUCCCUUUGGAAGCCAUAACUGCUCCUGGAGGAGUAUCUGCACCUGAGAUCAUCAAGGUCUGCCUGACCUCUUCCCUACGGACAAAUGCAUAGGCCUGUUCCACCGUAGGGAAUGGUUUAAUUUGUAGAACAUCACUCCGAGUUUUAUCCAAUCUGUCAUCUAGUCCAUCAAGGAAGGUAUAAACUCGAUCUUCUUGUAGAAUGGAAUUGUAUUUCUGUAUGUCAAUUGCACACUCCAUCGGGUUAGGACGAUGAAAAUUGAUUUCUCGCCACAGCCCUUGAAGGUUGUUGUAGUAUUUUUCAAUGGAUCCACCCGCCUGCUUCAUACGAGUAACCCGACGUCGGAGAUCAUAGAUGUCCCAUCAAAAUAGGUUAUAGAAGCAGAAUCCCAAACCUAUUUUGCAGUUGGGAAUCGGAUAAAAUUGGCAAUCAAGGAAGGGUCCAUCGAAUUGAUCAACCAUCCCUUGACAAUGGCGUUUUCGGUGCGCCAUCUCCUGAAUGAAGGAUCGGUUUCUGGAGGCUGAGGAGAAUCUCCAUUGAUAUAUCCCAGCUUGUCCUUGCCAGAGAUAUACAUCUCGACAACCUGGGACCAUAAGGCAUAGUUGGAUCCUUCCAACUUGAUACCGAUCGGAGUAGUUGACGAAUCAGCAAGCAGAGGUUGAGGGGAGGUCUGGGCUCUAGUCAGGACCUCGGUCACUCUUGUAGUUAGAUCGCUAAGGAUGGAAUCAGUCUGGGGAAUGAGAGGUUGUGUUAUGUCUCUAGAUUCCGCAAUGGAGUCUGUCGGUUCUGGUUUGACAAGAUUUGUUGUAUAUUAACGGAUAACCGGCUGGAAGGAAUCAGAGGGAAGCAGCGCUGGAAACUGACCAGGAAGAUGAAGAUGAUACCAGGUGGGUCUUCCGGAGUUUUUUCCUGGUCAUAGUGGCUGAGCAGAGGUCCUAGGGACGUGCUCUGAUACCAUGUUAAAAGGUAGUCUUUUUUCUUAUUUUUCCUUGUGUGUUGAAUACAAUACUAUAUAGAUUUAGAGCAAAGGAACCUAUUCUAGCCUAUACAUAUCUUGCGGCAAAAAAUAAGGCCAUCCCUUGAAGUAUGAGAUUUACAUAAAUAGAUUUCUAUACUUAUCUCAUUAGACAGCUCACACUAACAGUAACCUGGCUUGCAAAAUGUGUUUGUUCUUUCUGGAGCUAGAAUAUCCUUCUUCCUUCUUCAUAGCUACUACCAAAUGCUGUCCGAGAAAUCACAUCCCCUGUCAAAUUUUCAAGAUAGGGCCAAACAUCCAACUCACAUGAUCCCCCCACCGAAAGCAUUUUCCAUUUGGUCACCAUGUCGCUACAACUCAAAUGAAAUGCCGGCAACAUAUUCUAUAACAAAUUCAACCAAAAAAUAAAUUAAUAUCCAGUUUCAAAUUCAAUAUACAGCCAUUUAUCACUGACCUGUGAAAUAACAAUUUAACUAGUUCAUAAAGUAUGUACUACUUAAAGUCACCAUAUGUUAGGAAGAGUCAUAUGGGUGGAGGAUGAGGAAUAUUCAGUUUUACCAUGGAGGCACUGACUAAAGAAAUCAUAGAAAAAAAAUGAGCAUAUUCAUGAAAAGUUAGAUGUACUGGUAAUAUUAAUGAAAAGUUAGAUGUAUUGGUAAUAAGCAAGUAAGAUAAGAAAGUUGUUAAGAUCUUACUGUCAUAUGUAUCAAGUAUUUUGAUCCUUAUGGUUUACUUUGGCAAAUAAAACUUCUGAAAAUUUCUAUUGGAGACUGGAAAAAGACUUUAUAUGAGUAAGAAAAAAAAAACAAGGUAAAGGUAGGACACAUUGGGUAUGUGAAAAUACUUUAUUAAACUGAUCGAAAUAUUUGGGAAUUUCGAUAUUUAUACAGGUUUUUAGAAAAAAUUUUAUAAAAAAUUGGUAGUUAUUAUUUUUCGAAUACUAAUAUAAAUUUAUCUUUCAAAGACACAAUUUUAGUGUAGUUUUCAAGUGUUAAAAUUAUUUUUUUUAAAAGACAACUUUAUAAAAUUCAUUUCUUUUAACUUUUAAAUGAUAACUUUCUAAUUAGUAUCUAGCAAACUGAUGUAGAAUUGAAAAUAAUUUUUCAACUAACAUAUUUUAGAAGAUUAUAUAUAUAUCAACCUAAGAUACAUGAGAUGAGAAAUGGGUAUUCAUAACCUCCAAAUCUUAUAUAUAUUAUCGCUUAAAUUUUUGUUCCACUGCAUUCACAUGUUCAAUCUCUUUUCCAACAGUGGGAGGGCUAUGCAGAGAUUAUGGAACUGUAAUAUGUCACAAUUGAAACAGUUUCAAUUAUGGAACUGUUUGUUCACUUUCACAGUUUGUGAAAAGAUUAAAAAAAAAAACAUGGAAAUUAAGGUAAAAUAUUCUGGUUUGGAAACUGGGCAUUGAAAAUUACCUUCAACUUUUCUAGAUGGAAAGCUGGGUUGAUGAUCUUUCUACGUUUAGCCCAUCGUUCGCCUUCCAAGGUCACCAGACCAGAAACCAGCAACUUGCCAAGUGGGUGUGGGGGUGGCUUUUGAAAGACAUUGGACUUUAGCAAAACAUCCCUUAUUAGCUCAGGCUCCAUAAUGUUUACCAUUGGAUUUGGACCGAACCAUGCAAAGGAAUUUUUACCUGCACGUUUAUGCCAUUAUUGGAUAGUGUUAGCCUCAAAUUGCUUUUAAUUUGGACUUCACACAAAUUCAACUUUGGGUAUCAAAAUUUAGUUGAACCCAACUUGGACCAUCGAAAACAAUGAAAACUUCAGCCAUAGUUUCUAUGAUGAGUUAUUAUAAAUGGACUAAAUCAUUUUUUCAGAAUUGUCUCAAUGUCAAUUGAUAUUAAGGAAUGAACUCUAUUCAUUGUAGCCUUGAGAUUAAAUAAUGAAAUCAAGAGGGCUAUCAAUAUGCUUGGCAGGCUGGGUGACAGUUUUGGAUAGAUGCAACAAUUUUAAUUAUAUAUUUAGCUUUGGAUUCUUUCCAGAGAAUAUUCUGCAAUCUAGCAUGGGAUACUUAAAGACUACAUCCCACAAAAAGACAAAAAAAAUGGUGGCAAUUUCAAGGAGGCUAAUCAUUCGCCUGCCUUUAGCCAAGGAUUAGUUCCAAACAAAACCUUCCGAAAAGAAAGGGGGAGAGCCCUUCUGGAUGGACUUGGCAUCGACACAAUAGAAUUGGCAUCGAAAGAAAAAUAAAGAUUUAACCAAUUGAGCACAAAUAACUGACAUAAAAAUUAACACUUGAAAAAAAAAGUUGAAAAUUUGGCAUAAAUUAAAAGUUAUUCACAGCUCCCAGAAAUUAAACAAUUGAAAAGUAAAAACAGUACUUUUCAAAGUGGUUAAGAAAUACAGUUAGCAAAGAUUACGAACUACCACUGAAAUCUAAACCUUUGGUGUAAUUUAAAAAAGAGGAAAAAAACAGAAAGGAAAAGAAAAAUAGUUAGGAAGAGAAGAGCAGAAAACAAACAAAAGCUUUAGGGGAGUAUAAAAAAGUUGGCCAUAAUUUGAAGAGAUCAGCAAACUUUAAUACUAUGAUGAAAAGUAAUAAGUCAUAUCGGUACCGUAUUUCUUAAUGAAAUGAAAAUGGAAGGGCAGGACACGUGGAGUAGUAUCAUCGGAGAGGCUGAUUGGUCUUGAAUAUGCUUCUUUUAACAUCAUGGACAUCUCUUUGAAGUCCCCAUGUAAAAGCCUAUAAGAAUUCCCAGCCAGGCCUUGCUCUCUAAGGCAUCUUUCUAACCUCUUUGGCCUCAACCACACCCAAUUCAGUAGCCUCCAUAAACAGCUUAUGAGCACAGUAAGGAACCCAAAAGAAAUUGCAACUGAGCUAUGCUUCAUUUCCAGUUUGAGGGACUUCUAUCAGGAGAGGUAUGUUAAAUCACUUCAGAGUGAGAAAAUGACUUUAUGCUGCCGCUGUGUAUAAAUUGGCCCCUAUUCUAUUCCCUCGUGCCGGCAAACAUAGAAGAUUUCGUAAAUGCCUAAUGGGGAGAAGAAUGACUAGUAUUUUAAAAUCUAUAAAUUAUCUAUUUUAAUUGUCUCCAUCAAUAUGGCUUUUAAACUUCUCAAUGAAUUAUUAAUUUAUUCUAUUUGAUGCAUUUCAAAGUUUGUGCAAUCGUCACUGCUUAUUAAAAACUGUAUAUGCCAUGAAUGUAGAAGGCAAAAUUUGAGCAUACGGAAUAUGGAAUUCUAUUUGAUGGACCAGCUUUCACUUGUGAGUCGAUGGAGCAUGUGGAUGCUCACUUUCAGAGCCUCAAGGGACAGCUCGCAUCCCUCACAUCUUGGCAGAUGUCUCAGGGUGCUUCCAGCUCUACAACUCCAUCUGAUCUGGACUUUUUGAUACUUCAUGUUUUUUUGAUACUUUAUGUUUUUUUUUUUUUGUUUUUUGUUUUUUUUUUUGUUUUGUUUUGUUUUGUUUUGUUUUUUUGUUUUUGUUUUUUUUUUUUUUUUGUGGAUAAGUUUAUUUUGUACACCUAACCCAUGUUGGCUCAGUUUAUCACAUAUUUUGUUUGUCUAGAUGUACUUUUAUUUUCUUAUCUCUUGUAUCCAGAACCUUUUUUACCAUAUAUGUCCAUGUGUUUGCUUUUCUUUUCUCCUUUUCGUAUGCUUACUGCUUCAUCAUGCUCUUUGUCAUUUUUUGCAACAAAAAAGGGGAGAUGGAUUGUUGAUUUGAUUGAGUGUUUUGAUAUUCAUAUUUUUUUUACAUCUGUUUCGUGGCUUGCACCCUUACUCGUAUACCUAAUUUGAUAAAAUUGAUCAGUUAUCUUUCUUCCCACACACUACUUUACCUGGGUAUGUUGUUUAGUGUGUGGAAAUUCUAGGUACUAGGGUAUUGCUCAUUUUUUGGAUGUGGCUUCUAGUCCUUUGCACGUUAGAUGAUGAAUUGGUUUAGAUAAGAGGUAUUGAGAGAUUUGUAAACUCCAUUUGAGAGUAUUGAGGGGUUUAUGCAAUUUGUAGUUUAUCACAAAAUUGCAUAGGGGAGAGAUUGUUCGUACAUUAGGUGAUGUAGUUUAAAAUUGUCAAUUUUGUUCUAUUCAUUUUGGUUUAGGAUCUUUCUAGAUUGUGUCUCACUCCCCAUUGAAGACUCAAGGUUAUUAAUUGAUCAACUAGGAUUACAUAGGUAGGUGUAAAAAGAUUUGGGAAAGACAAGUUAGUGUUUGGUAUGACAUGGCAUGGAUUGAGUAGUUUAACAUUGAUGAGCAAAAUGAUUUUCUAACCGGGUUUAAAAAAUGCCUAAAGCGCUCAAUCACUCUAAGAGCAUUUGAGUCCUAGCAACAAAAUUCUCUAGAAUUUUGGAGAUCUGUCUUUCUAUUUUUAAAGGAUUUAUUUUGAGGAACUUUUUAGAAUUAGUCCACUAGGUUCCUAGGCUUAUAUAUACAUUGCCUAAAAAGGUUUUUGGUUUGAUGCUUUUGAGUUGAAAAACCUAGAUUGUCUUCCUAUUUCCAAAAUUCUAAAAGAAACAUUCAUAUUUACUUAUGCAUAGUUGAGAUGGAGAUUUGUAUCCUCCUCAAGUGCUGAAGUGAGAUCCUCUAUGAGCACAUGAGAUGUUGCAUUGUGGAAGCAAAACACAAUGUAAGUGUUAGGUAGUAAGUCUUAGUAGUAGCUUUCUAAUGCGACUCAUGGUAGCUUAGUUUUAAAGGCGUAUCAACAAAAUUUAUACCUUGAAUACUAUUACUAAAGUAGCCAAGCUACUAUAGCAUAGUGGUUCUAGGAUUGUUCACUGGGAAGGGUUUUCGCAAACACAAGUGAUAUUCAAAUUAGGAAAAUAGGUGAUUUUCUUAUGGAUGUUAGCUUUAAAAGAAGAUGUAAAUGUUUUAGAAAGAUUUAAACUAAUCUAAGCUAACAUUAAAGACUAAAAUGAAAGGGUGUAAAAACAAGUUUCUCAAAGAUAGGAUAGCUAUGCUCUGACUCUUAUGCAAAUUGGAAAUCUCAAGAUAGGCUCCUUGAGUUGGGGUUGCAACUAUGGUGAUGCUUGCUUCCCGAACCGGUAUGGAUUUAACAAAUCAAGUUUUAAUCCUUUAAAAUGGAAAAAUAGAUGGUAGUGAAUUUCAUCAAUGGUUAUUCACCUUAGACUUCCUUUGAAUGGCUUGUAAGAGAUAACUAAUGGUCUAAAGCCAAAAGCUUCCCAAAUAUUGGCAACUCAAAGUCAUUCCAAGUGAUAAACUCACCUUUCAAUGGCCAUUGAAAUUGGUUAUAACGGAUUAAUGCAAAACUUGGAAUUGAAAACCUCACCUUCCAAUAGCUCGUAGGAGAUAACUAAUGGAUAGAAAUCCAAAAGCUUAUCAAGUAUUGGCCGUUGGAAGUUGUCCAAAGGAAAUAAAAACCAAACUUUGCAUUAAUGAACCUUUAAUGAAAAACGGCUACUUUACCUUCCGGGUGCGAGAAAUUUCCAUGGGAUUGCAUCCAAGUCAUCACAUAACAUCCAUACUCUGAGAAACUAAAAGUUUUAGCCAAUCAUCCUCUGAAGAAAAGCUCUCAGAGGCUGUUUGGCUUCCAAGAAAAUAAAAUAGUAAAGAGAAAAGAUAAACGAGAGAGCUCUCCCCUGUUUUCUAAGUGUAAAACGUAAUAUGUAUCAUAUCCUUCCAAGAGGUGAUUUCCACCCCUUAUAUAGUCUUUACAAAAGCAAAAGCUUGUGAUUGGUUAGUUACAAGGAUAAGAAAGGAAAUUACAUCAAAAAAUACAUAAGAAAAUAUCUAAAUUGGAGUCGGCAAAAACAGAGCAAAAUUCGCACCACGCAUGGGCUGUGCGAAUUUUGAAGGUGUUGUGCGAAUUUCGCACAACACAAGGUGUCGUGCGAAUUUCGCACAACACAAGGUGUCGUGCGAAAUUUUCGCACAACCUAGAGCGGUUGGCUUCCGAAGGCCAUAUCUUCCUCAUUUCAGCUCCAAAUCAUACACGGUUUGAAGCAUUGGAUUCUUGACUUCCUGAGCUUUCAAAUGGUAUAUAGAAUGUAGAAAAUGGACUUCGGGAAGUGCUCCAAAAGUGCGAAAGAAUACUGCAGCUGCUGUCCUCUGAUUUUUUCACUUUGCUUUCCUCUUCUCCAUUGUUCUUUCCUUGCAUACUUUGAACGACUUUGGCAAAGGGCUAUGGAGCUCCAAAGCUUGGUUCUUCAUGAAUUUGAGCUUCCAAAAGCUUUGCCAUAACUUGUCCAAUUAGCUCCUCCAUCAUUUGGCAUGCUUGAAUUGAUUCAUAAGCUGAUAAAAACAUGUAAACUUGCCACAAAAUGGUUAAAACCAAUUACUAAGGACCUUAAUGAAUUAAUUGGGUUAAAUGAAUAUGAUUACUACUCAAAGGUGCUUAAAACCAUUAUAAUUAGGUCUACAAAAUAGCACUUUUUGGUAGUAAUCACUUUCAUCAGGUAAAAUUGAGUACAUACCCCAUUAUAUAUGAUGGAGAGCUCCUCAAAUGCAUAUCCUAGAAUCAAAAUCAAUUGAUACUAAAUUAACACCUAACCCAUAUUUCAAACAAAAUCUUGCUAUUUCACAUUUUCAGCACCAAUCCAUGAAAAUGGUGUUUUUGGGGAGCAAUUUCAAUUGAUUUAGAAGAUCAUAUGAGAUCUUACUCUUCCCAUCUUGAGACUUGAGACUUAAGAGUAAUCUGUUUUCAGAUAGAUUCAAUAUCACUAUUUGAUUAAUUUCUAUGUACAGUAUGUUUUUCUAUAUUUUAAACUCAUAAAAAUUCCAUCCUUUUAAUUCUAUUAGAAUAACGUAAAUCAUAUGGAAGUUAGAUUCUAAAUCUCCAAUCUUCACAUCAUCAAGUAUCAACUAUAAGAACUCAAACUCAACACUUUAGUGGCUCUAAAGAGUCUAUUUUAGUGCAUUUGAGGUAUUUAAAAAUGACCUAAUGCUUGUUUAUUGUGCAUCUCUCAAGUGUGCCACCAAACUAAAUUGCACACUCCCUCUAGCAAUUUAAAUUGACCACUUUCCCCAUGAUUCAAAUGUUGCAUGGCCCCUCAACAAUUGAACCCAACAAGAGCACUCAAGUUGUGCAUGUCUGUAACAUCUUAAUUGCACUUUUCCCUACCACUAUAGUAGUGUAUCCCUAGGGCCACUCAACAUGCAUUGUCACGCCCCAAAGCCCACUCCAAGGACAUGAUGAUCUUUUCACACCUAGCUCAAGCCCAAGGGCUCAAAGUGGAAACGACACAAACAUUUGUAUUGUAACUGGAAAUUUAUUAAUUACUAAAUUCCUGGAUCAAACAUUUUAAUUAUGCUUGCAAAUAGGAGAUAUAACAUAUACUUAUUUUCAUAAAAACUUUUGAGCUCAAAAUGCUAAUACCUUCAAACUUUUCAACAAAAAUUUCUCAUAUCCAUUUCAAAACAAUUUCUCAUCAAACCACUCCGAAUACAUUCAAAAUAUCUUUACUCUGGUUAUCGUAUGACAAAUGGUGCCCAAUUAGGUGGGACCUUGCAAUUGAGUAACUAGUUUCAAAUUUGUUCGAUUUAAGGUUAACAAAACCAAAUGUCAACAAUUAUAACCCAUUGACUAGGGUCAUAAGGUCAACUAUUAUAAUCCAUUAACUAAGAUCAUAUAAUAUCAACUAUUAUAACCCAUUGACUAAGGCUAAAAAUGUCAACUAUUAUAACCCGUUGACUAAGGCCAUAUAAUUCAGAGUCAAAUAUUUUAUUUCAUUAAUUCAAACUUACAAAACAAAACAUCAUAUCUCCUCAAUUUUUCAUUUUUCAUAAACAAAGAAUAUACUCAAAUAUACUUUCAAUACAAAACAUAUAUUUGAUUUAUGUUUAAAGAUAAAAAUAAUAUUUUUACACAUUUCAAAAUACAAUAUAAAAAGAAAAUUAUUUUCUUUUACAAAAAUCUGCAUUAAUUUCAUUUACCUUGAAGAAGCACUCAAAAUCUUAAAUUAUUUAGCUUUGAAGAAUUUCCUCACCUAACAUAAUAUCAUACACAAUAUUGAUUAUUGAUUGUUUAUCUAAAUAUAUAAAUUUGACAAUCUUAAAAAUAUUUUAUUUAGUAUUAGGGAUCCUAAUUAAUUUCUCAUGUUAAUAUUAUUACCAUCCAAUAUUAUUUUCAACUUCCUAAACAAUAAUUUAUUUCUUUUUUCUAACUUAUCUAAAUUAAAUCUUUUAAGAAUAUUUAUUUGCAUUAAACAUUAUUACUAUUAUUUAAAUCUCCUACGAAAACUUAACAAAUUCCCCAUACAAAUCUUUUUUUUUCCCAGCAACUUCACACCAACUCCAUUCAUUAUUAUUAUUUCUUUUAUUAUUAUUAUUAUUAUUAUUAUUAUUAUUAUUAUUAUUAUUAUUAAUUUCAAUACCCAACAACAGCUUAACCUAUUUCUCUUCCAAGCCAUCAACGUCCUUUUCUUCCUCAUUGUUUACCAAAAUACUAUUUACUUCCUUUCCUAGGUCAAUGUGCUGACCAUUUCUUAGUUUUUUUUUUCAACAUACAUCUUUCAUCAUUUUUUUUCUCCUCUCUAAAGUCAAAACUUUUAAUCUCCAUACUCACAAAUUUUAUGUUAUUUUCACAUCCGAAACUAUAUAUAUAUAUAUAUAUUUAUCUAGAUCUAUUCGUUUGAGCAAUCAAAAUUUGUCGAUCUCCAUUAAUAAAUCAAACUAUGUUCAUAUUUUUUUAAAUAUUUUUGACCUAAAUUAAUUAAACGAACUCUAAUCAAAGAAUAUCUAUAGUGUUCAAAACUAAUUAACGAAUAUAAAAUAUUAAUUUAAGUAUUAAAAAUCUUACUUGAAAAAUUGAUCUUCAAAUCCUAAACCUUCAAAUCUUAAACCAUAUGCUCUCUAAUAUUUCUGGUCUCUAUGUAAAAGGGUUUUCUGAAUAGAGAGGAUGGGAAAAGUCUAAUUUAUACCUAGGAGUUUUAAAUAAGAAAAUACCUUUUUGCCCUUAUUAAAUUACUUAAUUAAUUAUUAAUUUCUAAAUUAUGAUUUUACCCCUAAAUUGGGUUUAGGGCAUUAUAUGCACACUAUUCCCACUUUUGCAAAGGUUGCGCACCUGAGAAAACUCCUUUCAAUGAUUUGUUCACUCACCAAAGUAAUGCAAGCAUCUAAGCCUUAAGUCAUCAUCUAUACUAUCAAUUCUCCCAUACUGAUUGCAUUGAAAGCUAAGUGCAACCACCAACUCCAAGUUGACAAGUCAAGUACAAGAAAGAUGGCUAGUUGACUACAUUGACACAUGAUCUGAUCCUCAACAUGGGCAAGAGGUAGUUCUAGGAGAAUAGUUUGAGCAAUAAGAAUGGAUUACCUAAAGGGAAACCCAUCUAUAAAUAGAGGAUUGUUUGGGCGCGUGCACACAUACACACACACACACACACAUAUAUAAAUAUGUAUGUAUGUAUGGGGAGAAGAAAAAAAAAAGGAAUGUUGAAGAGUUUGAAUCUUUAAUGGAGGUGAUAUUAACCUUCUUAGGAUUUAGUUAGGAAUUUAAUUUGGUAAUUAAAAUGACAAUUAAUUAUUUGGAUAGGAUUUGUUAGGUAGUUUCCUAUUUCUUUCUAUAUAUUUUCCUUAUUUUUAUAGGUUUCCUAUAGUUAUAUAAAUAGAGAACAUUUUCUCUUCUUUUCCCUAUGAAUGAAUAUAUGACUAGGUAAAAUUAAGCUACACGUUUCUUAAUGGUAUCAAAGCCAAAUUCUAAUUACUAGGAAUAAUGGUUAAAAUAGCAAUGAUAGAUGCUUCCAAUUAUGAUAACAACUUGAAGGAGGCAGAAAGAAAACCUAUCCCUCAUUAGAAUUUUGUGACCAAUGGUCAUGGUCACUCUUCUUAGCUAAUUACCUCUCACAAAUUAACUUAAUGGAGAAAAUUAUCUUUAAUGGCCUCAAUUUGUCAAACCUUUCAUUCAUGGGCAUGGACAAAUUGAAUAUUUUAUUAGAGCAACAUCAAUACCACAAGGAAUAAUUCUCAUCAAGACAUAGGAAGUAGAUAAUGUCAUGAUUAUGUCAAGGUUGAUCAACUCAAUGGAACUCAAGAUUAGGAAGACAAACACGUUCAUGACCAUAACUAGAGAGAUUUAGGAGGCUACCAAGGAAACCUAUUACGACUUGGUAAUUUGCUCAGGUCCACGAGAUAGCCAUACAAAUAAAAAAUACUAAGCAAGGUAAUAUGAAUGUAAUUCAGUACUAUAAUACACUCAAAACUCUUUGGUAAGAACUUAAUUCGUUCUAUGAUUAUGAAUAACAUUGUGCAUAAGAUAGUGAAAUGUUCUAAAAGAUGAUUGAGAAGGAUUGAGUAUUUGCAUUCCUAAUGGGGUUUAAAUAAUAAAUUAGAUGAGGUUUACCUCUUUACUUAACAUUACCCUAGUUAUUACAAAACCAGUAAGCUUCACAUUUCAGCCAAUGAUCCAAAAUUCAAAAGGAUUCAUGGAAGGCCCUAGUGUGACCUUCAUCUCCUUUAAAUGCUUCCAGAAUUCCAAAUAUUCAUUGACAAGUGAUUAACCAUCAUCUUUUCCAAAUGCAUCUUUAGAUGUCAUAUACCCAAAGGUGUUCAAAUUCGUAAGAUAUUAACCAAGUCUAGAUAUUAAAAAGGUAUAUCAUCCUCUACCAUUAGAAAGAAGAACAUACAUUAUCCUCUAUUAGUGAAAGCACAUAUGUCAUCAUCUCAACAAAUCAAGCAUGCGUGCAAAUUUGUCUUCUUGGUCUUCUAAUUAUGGUCAAGCAAGUAUUAAUGAAGUACUUAGUUUGAAGCAUCUGUUUAUCAUCUAUAGUGGUUGUAGUUGCUAAUCCAAUAAUUGCACUCCUUUGAAAGUGGUACAAAUUAUUCUUCCUUAUUCCUUGCAUCACCACAAGUUUACUUGGCAUAACUUUCAAAAUCCCAUAUUUUAUAGUAACAAUAUUGAACCCUAUGGGAUCUAAUACUCCAAUUGAGAUGAGACACUUAUUCAUACUAGGAACAUACCAAACAUCACUCAAAAUUUUAGUUGAUUCAUCAUGAGUCUUCAACUGGAUGGUAUCUAUUAUUGUUAUCUCACAAGCAUUAUCAUUCCCCAUGUAAACAACUCCAUCUUAUAGUUCUUUAAAGCAAGAAAACCACUCCUUGUAAGAAUGCAUGUGAAGGUGGACCUAAUAUCCAAAAUCCAUUCAUCUAAGUUAUAAAACAAGGAUAAGCAAACCAAAGCAAAGUUUGACCCAUCUUCUCCAAACUUAGCCACACAAGCAUCGAAUACUAUUUCUUCUUUAUUCUUAUUUUGUAGCUUAGGACAAUCAUUAUUCUGACACUACCAAAAAUUAAGUAUGGUUGAACCAUUUAUAUUUACUUUUCUGACAUAUUUAAGUUGACGCAAAUUGAAUUGUCUGUCGCUUAUAUGUAACUAUUUACCAACAGUAAUUGCAACAACAAAUACCUGUCGGCAAAAAUAUUAUUGCAAUGGAUUUAAACCAUUGCAAAUGUUCAACUAAUAUACUUUGUUACAAAAGCAAUUUACCUAUAAAAUAGAAAAAAAAUAGUUUUAUUAUAGUGGAUAAUAAUACCACACAUAAUUUGUUCCAAAAAUAAUUGUAGUCAUAUGAAUAUAAAAUAUUUUCACCAUAGUUGUAUGAUAAAUACGAUAUAGCUAGUGACAAAACAAUUUUAUGAUUAUUUUUUUAGGUUCAUACAAUAUUUACAUUUUUUUUAAUCAUAAUGGUUUUAACAUUUUAAUAUUUUUUAACUACUUUUAAUUGUCCAUUUUAGAAAGAAAUACAUUAAAUAUAUAUAUAUAUAUAUAUAUAUAUAUAUAUAUAUAUAUAUAUAUAUAUAUAUAUGUAUGUAUGUAUGUAUGUAUGAUAUAAUUUAUGAUAUCGAAUAAUAAUAUUUAAAAUUUAAAAAUACAUUUUAUAGAGAUUUAUCUAAUUUGAAUGUAUUCAAUAACAUAAAAAAAAUGAUAGUACAUGUAUAAGUAUUUUUAUUUUAAAAUGUUGAUAAUUUUAUUUAUAAAUUUAUAUUUAUUUUAUAUUUAAUUAUUAUACAAAAUACACAAGAAUCAAAAUUAAUUAAUUUAUAAUAAAUUUAUUUUAAUUAAUUUAUAUAUAUAUAUAUAUAUAUAUUAGUUCAUGCAUGUAUAAUUUAUAUAUAAUAUGUAUUUAUAUAUAGAUAAUAUUUAUUAUAUAACUGCUUAAGUAUAUAAUAUUUCCAUUUAUGAAUCUUAUAUACAUUCUUUAUAUUACACAUAACAAAGUUGACUUGGAGGCACAAUUGCUUCCUUUCAAACUUGAGGUCAAGGGUUCAAUCUCAAGAAACAAUAUCCAAGCCAAUAUCCAAAACUAGCAAGGAGAGGAGUGUACAAGAUGCUCCAUGUGAAUGUAAUGAAAUCGAAAUUUCAUGAAAACCUAAAAUCUUUUAUUACUUAUAUUUCUCAACCAACUUAAUUUGUUGGUAAUAGUGAUGGUCUAAAUCCAUUGGAUAGUUUGUCGCUAAAUAUUUUUUAUUGGCAAUGGAAAAUUCCCAUCAAUAGACUUUUGCCAACACACCUUUCCUCUCCUACCAUGCGAUGGGAUUAUCAAUUGGUAAAUGUUUAUUUUGACUGUGCAUAUUAGUCGAGAAAAGUCAAAUUUCUUGUAGUGCAAUGACCCUUGUCAUGAAAAAAGACACAUUCAUCUUUUGCAAGUAUACAUUUAAAUUAAGAAUUGUCUUCUUUUCUAGGUUUUCAACUUUGAGAUUAGUCAUUAACUGUUAAAGCUUCCAAUGAUAUAUCUCUAUGAUCGCUAUGGUCCUUCUUCCUUUAUUUAGAGCUUAGCAAAGUGGAACACACAACAUUGAAAGUAAUCUUAUCCUUACCAUAAAGUAAGGUGAUGGUAAGAUCUUCAUACACAUCAAGAAACAAAUUCAAUAACAAUAAGGCCUUAUUCUCAUCUUCAAUGAUCUCAUCUAAAUUCAACAAAUUUGCUUCGAUUCUAUCAAAUGCGUGCAUAUGAUCAUUCAUAGACAUAUCUAGUUGAUACUAGAAGCAAAAAAGUUUUUUCUUCAAAUAUAGUUGAUUUUCUAGACCUUUUUUUUCAUAUACUUGUCCUCCAAUGUCUUCCAUAAAUGUUUUUGUGGAUAUCUCUUUCAUAAUGGAAUAAUUUUAAGCUUUAACAAGAUAUAAGUGGAUGGAACUAUAAAAUUGGCAAUUGAUCCCUUACCCAUUCUUUAGCAUUCAUGUUUUCAAGUUUUUCUUCCAAACCAAUAUCCAAAUCCUAUUGACAUAUCUAAUUAAUGCCUCUUAUUGCCACAUUCCAAAAGUACUAGUCCUAUCAAAGUUUGCAUUAUUAACCAUAGUUUUAACUAACGAAGUUUUUACCUUUUCUUUUAACUAGUGCAAUAACAAAUAACCUUGAAACCAACCUUGGAUAGAACUACUGCUCUUAUACCAUUUUGUUGUGCUUUAACCUAAUCCCACAAGACUUCCAAAAGUACCAAAUAAAAUACAAACUAAACUAGUCUAUAAUAUAAAGAGAAAUAUCAAGAGAAAUAAAAAUAAAGGAGGGUACACAAUAUUUAUGAGGUUUAGUAAGGAUGUCUUACCUAUAUCAUCAGACAAUGAUAAUCAAUCCACUAAUCUUCAAAUCAAAAUUACAAAAUCAAGUUGGGAAAGAUUGUCUCACAAAAUGGCUGCAAUUACAAAGAUUGACUGAAGCUACUCUAAUAACUUUGCUAAAGUCAUUCUCACACUACUAUGAUGAAAAGACGUAAGACUCAUUUAUAGAACCUAAAUAAGUCCCCGAGCCUUGACAAAACUAAUUCAUAAUUCCUAUGGACAAGGACUCCUAACAUAUAACAAAUUAUGAAAUCAUAAUCCUUAUAGGACAAGGAUCCCUAAAAUAUAUUAAACUCUUAAUUGAGCUAAAAGCCAAUACCUAAUAUAGAAGCCACACCAUAUUUUCCAUAACUCUACUAUGUAGAUGGUUGUUAAGAAAAAUUAUCACUUCCAAAAGUUAAAUAACCAUUUAUUUUUCCUUCCCUUUCCAUUCAUCCAGACAAUAACAAUAAAAAAUGUAGUGUAACUUUUGUUACUUUGCUACUUGUUCUCUCAAGUUACUUGCCUACUUGCGAAUGACCUCCACAAUCAAAUUAAGUAAAUGGAGAAAUAAUGUGGAGUUCCAAGAUAUAGGUAGAAAAGAGUGGAAAACCCCUAGUUCUACAAAAUAGUUUGCAAUUUUGUCUCUAGAUCUCUCAUUUUCGUGGUAAUGGCCAUUGAAGAUGUCAUCACUGAGAAGAUCACAAAGUGAAGAAGGCAUGACUGAGAGUUGGUAGAGUAGAGAGUUAAGGUAGAAAAUAGCAAAGAUAGGAUUUUGACGUUUUUAGAAUUUGUAGAUAAAAAAUAAAUACAAUCCAAAAAUCACUUUCAGAACAUGAUUUUACCUAACCAUGCCAAACAUAUAUUUUUUUUAUGUGGUUUGUAUUUGAUGUUCUCGAAAACAUUGAAUACAUUUUGGAUUGACUAUUAAACACAACCUUAGUAAUUAAAUCAGCAUAUUGAUAAAUUAUCAAGAGGCUCUUAUCAAUUUGGUCAACUCUUAGAAAAGUGUUGUUGAAAACACUAAAUACAAUCUAUAUAUUUAAAAAAAAAAUUGAAACAUGAAUUUACUUGACCAUACCAAACACAUUAUUUUUUAUUUGGAUUGUGUUCAAUAUUUUCAAAAACACUAAAUACAUGCAAUUUGAUUAACUAAUGAACAUGAACUUAGUAAUUAAAUUAGAAAUUUCAAAUGAAUUAAUGUCUUUUAUUUUGCAAGCAAAUCAUGAUUUUUUGUUUUCUACUAAAAUUUUGAAUACAUCACUAAAAGUAACAUCACCACUUUCUGGUUAGAAAGUUUUAAGAAGAUAUUUUUUAUCAACACAUAUUGUUGUUUGCUUUGAUGUCAAGAUACCAAAUCCUUUUUUCCUAAAAUUUUUCCUUUUUAUGCAAAUAAUAAAGUGUGGUUUUUUUCUUGAUUCAUUUUUUAACAUAGUUUUCCAUUCUACAUUGUUAAUAUACCAACACUUUUCAUUUUUUCUUGAAUUUUGGAUGUUCCUUCAUUAUUUGAUGAACUAUUUCCUUAGCCACAACCAUGAUGACCAUGACCAUGACAAUGAUUAUUUGGCUUCCUUCAUACCAAAUUUUUUCCCUCUUGUUGAUAUAUUAAACUUUGUUAACAAUUUUCUUUUAUUUAUAUAUUGAGUCUAAUACAUCAUACUUCCAAGGGUCAUAUUGAUGUCACUCAACUUCAAGCUACUUUUGAGUUAACUAUAUUACUAGGUAUAUGUGCAACAUUAGGUUGAAUUAGGGCACAAGGAAUGGCUACCACAUGUAUGCUAGGUGAAAUAUUAGAGUGUUUUUUUUCUCUUUUCUUUUUUUGUCAAGGUUAAGGAUUUGAGUAACUAAAGCCUCUAUAAAGUCUUUGAGGUAUCCACUAAGAAGCACAAGGAGUGUCGCAUGGGGGCUUGGAAGAAGAAUGUAAGUUACUUGUAUCUUGUUUUUAUAUUUAGUAGAUUGUUUGUGGUUGAUAAACUAUUCAUGUAACGACCUGCUCCCAACCAUGUAGAUAUUGUCCACUUUGGACCCAAAGGGGCCUUCAUGGCUUUAAAACGCCUCUACAAAAUUAAGAGAAGUCCAUACUUAUAUAGCGCCAAGAACUUCCCCCUCUAUCUGAUGUGGGAUGUUAAAAACACCCCUUUCCCCAUGUAGACACAAUGUCCUCGUUGUGUCCCACGGGAUUGCGGGGACAAACAAACCCCUGAACUAAGGUUGAAGAUUGACUUUGAUACCACUUGUAACAACCCAUUCUUAACCGGGUAGAUAUUGUCCGCUUUGGACCCAAAGGGGCCUUCAUGGCUUUAAAACGCAUCUACAAAGUUAAAAGAAGUCCAUACUUAUAUAGCGCUAAGAACUUGCCCCCUAUCCAAUGUGGGAUGUCACAAACACCUCCAUCCCCCACCCCAUUAUAUAAAUAUAUUAUUAUUAUUACUUUCAAAAGACCCUGCAACACCAUUACUCCAAGCCACCAACUACACCCAUUAUUAUUAUUAUAAUAAUAACAUUUUUUUUCUCUUGUUUCUUCCUUCUUGGACAUCCACACACAUCUUUUUUUUUUUUUUAUGACAUCCCACAUUGGAUAGGGCCAAAGUUCUUGGUGUUAUAUAAUUAUGGACUCCUCGUAACCCUGUAGAUGUGUUUUAAAGCCAUGAGGGCCUCUUUGGAUCCAAAAUGAACAAUAUCUACAUGGUUGGGAGUGGGUCAUUACAAAUGGUAUCAAAGCCAAUCCCCAACCUCGGUGUGGGGUUUGUUUGGCCCCGUAAGGGUAUUUGUUUGUUUGACCCCACAAUCCUGUGGGACACAACGAGGACAUUGUGUUUGCAUGGGGGUUGUUUGUGACAUCCCACAUCAAAUAGGGGGGAACGUUCUUGGCGCUAUAUAAGUAUGGACUCUUCAUAACCUUAUAGACGUGUUUUGAAACUGUGGGGGCCCCUUUGGGUCCAAAGUGGACAAUAUCUACAUGGUUGAGAGCGGGUCAUUACAAAUGGUAUCAAAAUCGAUCCUUGAUCUCGGUGUGGGGUUUGUUUGGCCCCAUAAGGGUGUUUGUCUGUUUGACCCCAUAAUCCCGUGGGACACAAUGAGGUCGUUGUGUGUGCAUAGGGGGAGGGGUGUUUAUGACAUCCCACAUCGGAUAAGGGGGAAAGUUCUUGGCUCUAUAUAAGUAUGGACUUCUCGUAACCUUGUAGAUGCAUUUUAAAGCUGUGAGGGCCCCUUUGGGUCCAAAGUGGACAAUAUCUACAUGGUUGGGAGUGGCUCGUUACAAUUCAUGGAUUUUUACACCCAAAAGGUUUUAAGCAGUUUUUUCAUGUUACAUUUUGUGUCAUACGUUUGAUUGAUUAUUCCUAUUCAAAGAAUUGAUGAAAACUUAAUUAUAAUUGAUAUAGCUAGGUGUUUAGGAAUGUUUCUAUUUAAAGUGCUUUUAAUUGAUUGUUUUUUUAGAAACAUUUUUUAAAGAAUCACCUCUCAAGAGCUUCUCAAAAAAGCAUUACAAGUGAUUUUUAACUUUUUAAAGAAUGUUUUCUAUGUUUUUCCAAGUGUAUAGUUUUUCUCUAAAUUUUUUAUUUUUAUUUUUUAAUACCAGAAGCAUUUUCUAAAAGUACUACUAAAUGGACUCUUAAAUUUUGAGGAUAUUUCACUUAGACAACCUAUUCAUCCCCCUCACUAUGUAGUUUUGUGUCUCAAGAUAAAAGUUCUCUCCUUUAUUUUAACAUAAUCUUUGUUUGAAGAAUUGUAUUUUUACUUGACUUUUGUUUUUAAUAUGUCUUCCAAGGCUUUUAAUGAUCCCAUAAAUUGGUCAAUGGCUAUAGAAUCCAAAUAUUUAGGCUUUUCAAUAACAAGAAAAUAAAAGAUGAAAACUUUUUUUUUUUUAGUUACACAAAUAUCAUCAAACUUUCACCAUUUAUUUUUACUUAAUUUACAUAUGUCAAUAUUUUUGAAAAAUAAUAAAAGAUUCUCUUAUAUUUAAACUUUAAAAUUCACUUUUAAAAGUAUGAAAUUGAACUUUAAAAAAAAAAAAAAACUUAUCAAAACUUUUAUAUUUAUUUGUAAUAUUUUUCAUGUUUCCUUUGACCUGGUUGCACUUAAAAUCAUUUCAAAGUUGUCUACAUCUAUUUCUUAAUAAAUGAGGUUAAAAGCCUUCUUGUCUUUCUUUCUUAUAUCUUCGAAAAGUUUAUUUAAUUUUGGGAUAGAUUGGUUUUAUCCAAUAGCUCCUUGUAGUUUUUCUCUACAAUCUCUUAUAUAUAUCUUGCAACCAAAUAAAACCUUUGUCUUGAUAUUCAAAUCGUCAAAAUUGUUAAAACUGUCUUUAUUGAGUUAAGCAACUUAAUUGAAUUACACGUCUUUUGAAAAAUAAAAUAAAAUAAGAAUCUUAUUAUAUGCAUAAAUUUCAUGAAAGUCUUGCAACAUAUAGGGGGUAGGCCUUGAAGUUAUAGUGAUAAUUUAUUCUACUAAAAAUUUUGAUCUCUACAUUGAUAUCAUUUUUUUAGGAGUAAUAGGGAUAAAUACACAAAUAAUAGUACUAUUAAAAGAGAUAAGUAGAGGAGAAAAUUAAAAGAAAUUUUUUGUGUUUUUAAUACUUUAAUUGAAGUAUUAUAUACACAACUCCAAUUACAAUAUGUUUUAAUUCACUUUUAAAAACUAAAUCAAAUGUAAUUUUUGAAAACUUCUUGAAACUCAAAUUUAGAUUUCAAUGUGUGAUUGAAUGAUAGGGAUGGUAAAAAAUAGGUAAAUAAAACAUAUGUAAUAUUAUUGUAUAUUAUUAAUUGCUUCCAUACCAUUAGCAUAUCAAUGGCAUCUUGCUAAGAAGAAGAACCACCGACAACAGUCCAUUAUAAUAGUUUCAGAAUGAAUGACAUUUAUUUGUUUGUAUUAUAUUGUUUUGCUAUUUAGGCCAUAUUCACAUGAACUGACUUUUUGUUUGGAGUAGUGUUUUAGUAGAGUAUUCAUAGUACACCUAGAUAUAGCCUAUGGGUUGCAUUAAUUAAUGGUUUUGGACCAACUUAACAAAAUUCUAUGCUAUCAUAAAUGCCAAAUUUUGGCACCCCUUGCCAAAUUUUCGCAUACCCUGCCAAAUUGAUGAUUUUGCCUUGCGAAAUGCUUUGUUUUCCUCCAUCUUGCUAAUGAUAGUUUUGGCAACCCCUUGCCAAGUUUGACAAGGGGUUUUGAAGUGCUCCAAAGCUCGGAUUCUUCAUGUGCUCCAAACUCUCCCUCAAUCUUGGCCUAUUUCAGUGAUCAAAAAGCUACUAAAAACACUAAAACUUACCAAAAAUUGGUUAGUAACAUUUGCUAGGUCCUUAACAUGCCAAUUGGGAUAAAAGGUCUAACUACUACUCAAAAGUGCUUAAUACAAUUAAGUUUACGCUUAUAAAAAUGCACUUUUUGAGUAGUAAUCAAUAAAGUAGUUGAUUGCCCAUGAUUGCGCAAUGCCAUCAUAAAGGAACCGAAUGCCCAACACACGUACAUGUGAGGUACCAUAUUUUUUAAGAAAGACAAGUCGGUUUGCAAUUGAUGUUAAUAUCUUUCCAAGGCAGAAACAUCAUUUUGUAGGCAUAAUUGAAUUAGUUAAACUUAAACCCCAAUUUGCAUUCUUUCAAGUAAAAUUAUUUUUAACCUAUAAUGCUCAACACUUUUAUGAGAAUCAUAAAAGUAUCAGAAUCAUAGAGAAUUAUUGAAAGUGAUUUUGUAGUGUUGUUGAUAAUAUGUCACAUGACUAUAAAAAUGCUUUUAAUAUUAGUAAAUUAUCAAAAAGGACAUCAAAUUUAAUUUCAAGGAAAUAUUAUAAUAAACUAAUACUUUUUCAUGAUAAAAGAAUUUAUAAACAUUUAUAGUAAAAGAAUAUAUAAACAUCUAUUUUACUAACAAAAACUAAAAAAUAAUAGUUCUUGCGAUUACAAGAAAAUUUUAGAAAAUAUUUGCAACAUGAUUUGGAUUAAUAGACAAACAUCAAUCCUAAUAUAAUAAUUUUUAAAAUAAAAAAAUCAUUUGAUUAUUUAUUCACUUAAAAAUAAUAAUUUUUUAUUACUACAAAAUUUUGAAAAAUACUUACAAAAAAUCUAGAUUAAUAAUGAAAAAUUGAAUAAAAACAUAUUAGUUUAGUUUCUAAAAAAAAAAUAGUAAUUAAAAGCAAAUGAGAAGACAAAUUUUCUCAUAGUAAAAAAAAUGAGAAAAUUAUAUAUAUAUUUUUUCAUAUUAGUGUUAUAAUAAAACAUCAACAAGAUAUAAAAUGACCAGCAAUUCGAUCACAUUCUUCUUACAUCUCUCUUACAUGAUAGAACCGUCUUUCUCAACUCAUGAAUCCACUCUACUCUCUUUUUUACUAAAGCAAAUGUAACCCUUGAUCAUCAUCAUAAGGUUUAAAUUUCAUAUCUAUCCUAGCAUUAAUCAUUAUUAAGUUGUAAAAACCAUCAAAGUAAUAACAAUGUUGACUUAUUUUUCAAGAGAAAAACUAUGCAUUUCUCAUAUUGUUCCACAUCUAUUCUUCAAAAAGGCAAAUGUUCAAUUGUUCUCCUCAAAGAUAUCUAUGGUUAAAUAUUUCCUUCUUACCUCUUGGUAAACUACUCCAUCGAAAUCUAGAAGAUGGUAACACUCGCCCUUCAAGGGCCUAAUUAUAUUAUCCAUUCAUUUAAGGAUAACCAACAUUAAGGUAGAUAAUAUUUACCUACAAAAAAAAAAUUAUAUAAGAUUAUGAAAAUCUAAUCACAAAAGUAACUUUCAUAUUUUUAGUCACUAAUCUCUAGAAGGAUGAGGAAAACCUAAUUCUAGCAUUAUUUUUAAUGCCUAUGAAAAGAUGCAUGCAUCAUGAGCAAAACCUUCCCAUCUAGCCAAUGCAAAUGUGAAAUACAUAUUGAAAUAAUAUAUGACCAUAAUAUUUUAGGUAGUUAUGCUUUUUGUACCAAUAUAUGAUAUUUGCCUAUCUCUAAAAACCAUAAUGGGCAUAUGAGUUCCAUUAAUUACCCCUAUACAAUUCUUAAAAUAUGGUCAAUAACAUCAACAUUUCUUAUUUUAUCAAGGGUCUCCCUAAACUAUGAAUCACUUGGUUUUAAAAUAUCCAUAGCUAUAAGACAAACAACAUCUAAUAUAAUCUCAAACCAUCUAGAAAUAAAUUCAUUGGAGUGCUAAAAUCUUUCUUAGGUCGUCAUGUUGUCAGGUCUAUGAACUAUUGUAGUGAGAAACAUUGCUAAAGCCUCUAUUAAGGGCAUAUCUAAACCUUCUCUUAGACCAUGCCUUUUAAUAAGUAUUUCACGACCAAAAGUAUUUCCUUGGGGUUCUCCUACAAAAGUAUCCAAUUUAUUAUAUUUCACGACCAAAAUAUAAAUUAACUAAAUAAACUUAGUAAAAAAAUAAAAAUGUAUCUUCAAUUUAUUAUCCCACCAUUCAUUUUUAGCAUUAGUGGUUUGCCUCAUAAGAUCCCACCCAAGGCCAAUCUUUUUCUGAAUCAAGGCAUUCCAAAGUUGUCAAUAUUUUUUAAGAGAACUUAAUAUAUUCUUAGGUUGCUUAUAUUGGUAGGUUCUUCUAGGUAGAUUGUUGAAUACCUUUGUCACUUUUUUCCAUCCAAUUUACUAAAGUGACUAUUUGGUCUAUUUUUAGCCAAAAUCUUAGCAACACAAACUGUGAGAUAUGCAUUAACAACAAUAUCAUUCAAUAUACUUUGCUUUAUUGAUCAUUUUCUUUACCACUUGUUUGUUGUAGUGGUUGAACUAUACUGUUAGACAUCUAAUAACAAAGUAAAGAACAAAGAAGUAUUAAAAGAAAAUGUUGUCAAUGUACUUUUAUAUUUUAUAGUUUAGACAUCUAAUGAGAACCAUAAAAAAGUGAACCUUAAAGAAAUUGGUCAACUAGAGGAAUAUGAAUCUUGGAAUACUGAAUAGGAAAGACUCACAUUCAUGGAAUAAAUUAAUAUAUAAUAUUGUAAUUUUAUUAAUUCUUUUCAUUAGGUUGCUAAAAGUUGAAAAAGAAUUCCUCAUGAAACGGAUUAAAUAAUUUCCUCAUGAAAGAAUCCAAUCAUGGCCUCAUUAUGAAGUACUGAAUUAACUCAAUGAACUUGAAUAUCAUCUAAUAAAUUCUUUCAUGGGUUUGUUUUUAUAACUUUAAUGUUACCAAUAUAGAAAGAAAUGAAACAUGUUUUAAAUAAUGUAAGAAACUAUGGUAGAAAAGUGGAAAUAAUUAAGGAUAAGAGGCUUUAUAUGAACUUUAAUAUUGUUAGUAACAGAGAGGCAAAUGAGAUAUCUCAAUAUUAAAUUAUGCAUAAUUAGUAUAAUUUUUUAAAAAUAAAUGGAAGAGAAUUUAGGAGGAAAAUAAGUAAUUAGAGUAUGAGAUAACAUGAAUGCUUAAAAUUGUCAAUCAUUAAAUUUAAGAUAAUUGUUAAUAUUUCACUACAUUUUCCAACUCCAUGAAUUAAAGCAAUGGGAGGAAAUGAGUUGGAUUUCUUAAUAGUAUUAAGUGUUGGAUUGACACAAAAUUAGGGUGCUAGUGGACACUUGAAAUGAGGACCAAGUAACAAUUGCAGAUAGCAUUUUACUCAUCCAACAUAGUUAAAAUUUUCAAAACCCAAUUCUUAUUUAGUACUUUUAUUGAAUAUAUGGGUAUAGUUUAACUUCAAAUCUAAUAUGAGUGUACUUUGAAUUUCCUAAAGCUUACAUGUUUCUUCACAUAUUAACAAAGAGAAAAGAUUAACAUUUUUUACAAUUACAAUUUAUUAGGACUCAAGGUUUAUUUCCUAAACUUUUAAAGUGGGGAAAAAAAAGUGUAAGGGAGAAAAAAGGAAAAGGAAAAGAAAGGAAAAACAAAAAGAAGAAAAAACUAUUAAAAGGCAUUAGAAGCCUAAGAUGGGCAUAUCCAUGAUUGAGGUGUAAAUGGGGGUGACAAUUCAUGUUGGUGGAUAGUGUUUGUGUUGUGUCAAAGCCUAGGUGUUCUACUACAUAGCUUAACCCAUCCCCAACACUACUAAUAAUCAGAUUAAGUUAGGUCUUCUAUAUGUCAAUAUGAUUAAUAUCUCAAGAAAAAGAUGUUUUUGUCUCAAUUGACCAAUCUAUUUAGAAACAAAUUUAAAAUGAGUCAAAUAUGGGUCAAACGUCUUUCAAAUAUAAUUAAGUUAAUAGUGGGAUUAUUAAAUAGGUUAAUUCGAGUCAAAUUCGUGUUAUGCAGGUUGACCAAAAAAGUGCUUAUUUAUUAAAUGAGUUAUAUAAGUCGACACAAAAUUUACCUAAACUCAUUUAUACUUGACCCAAACCCAUGAAAAGCGUGUUAGGUUUGUGUAAUGUCGGGAAUCGUAUCAAACUUUGUCAUCCCUAGGUUCAAACAACUCCAAGACCCUAUUUUUAAGGAGAAUAUAUGGACUUGAGAUUGCUACAUUAUUUAGACUAAUCCACACCUACUUAUUAAGGGAAAAAAAAUAAAAGAGGAGAAAUGUAGAGUAUAGGAUGAUGGGACAAGGCACAAAAUGACAAGACGUAGGAUGGUAGGACAUAGGAUGAUAAAAAUCCACUUCAAUUAAUAUUUCCAUAAAUCAAGAGUAAUCAAAUAUUAAAAUAUUUUAUUCUCCUAAUUUAGGAUAUAAUAUCUAUUCUAAAUAAAUCAAGAGCAAUCAAAUAUUAAUAAUAUUUGAUUCUCUUAAUUUAAGAAAUAAUAUUUAUAUUCCUUAAUUUUAGGAUAUUUAUUAUUUAUUUCUUCUAUAAUUCACAAUGCAUUCUUGUAUAAAUUUAUGAAAAGAAAUAAUAAAAAUUCAUUGCUUCUAUUUUCAAAUUAUAAAUUCUUCUUGGUAUUAGAGUUAGAGGAGGAGGCUCAAACUUGGGUUUUCUCCAAAGGUGGUUGAAUACCCUAAAAGACUUGACCUAUCCACACAAACAAUGUCUUACUCUUCAUUCAUUCAUUCAAAAAUAAAAUAAAAUAAAAUCCUUAGUGCUCUAGCUUUCCAUCAACAUUUUUUCUAAUUUGAUUUCAAUCAAGCUAAACACAACAAAUUUUCUACUAUGGGGAAAUCAAACUAUCCUCUUAGCUUGUGGCUUCGGUGUUUGAACCUUUCAUCAAUGUUUUACCCUUUCAUUGGUGUUAUUUUUAGUUUGAUUUUAAUCAAGUUAAACACCAUAAAUUUUCUAGUAUGGCAAAAUCAAAUCAUUCUCUUAGUUCAUGGUGUGUUCUCUAACAUCUCUUAGGUGGAGAAAGACUUGCUAAAGAAUUAAAUAUGAUGAGGAAAGCAAAAGUUUUAUCCUACAAUACUAGUAAUCAAUUAAUAAUAACAUAUUUGUCACUUCAUGAGUUCUCAAAACCAUGAUAAAAGACAUUUUCAUUAUGAUCCUUGGGACUAACAAGAUAUAUAAGGUAUAAACUUCUCUUAAGGAGUAAUUGCUUCCUAUUAUAGUUGAAAAAAAAAAUGAUCUCUUCAAGAAUAUUUAAGAGAUUUCAAAAAUAUAUAUGAUAAUCUCAUGACAAUCAAAAGCUAAUUUCAGACUAAGACAAAGUUUGUUGAUUCACUCAUGGUUUAGGAUAAUGGAAUGAUUUUUUUUAACCUACUAUGCUUUUCUAACCAAUUCAUAGCAACUCUUUAGGGACAUAAGCAAUCACUUACCACCAAAGGGAUGGAAAGAAAAUUUUUAUAGAGUAUGCACAAUUUUUUAUUUGGACAACAUAGUUAUGGUCAUAAUGGUUGAAAAUGCAUAAAUUUUAAUUUGAGGGGAAGAAGCUUUACACUUUCUAUGUGUUACAAUUCUUUUAAAAAAAUAUACUUUUAUGAUUUUAUCAAGUCCUUGUCAAAGGAUAUCUUCAUCAUGUUUUGAGAUAAGCUGGGUGUGCAUAUUCUUUCCCACUCCAAUUUAAGCUUGCAUAUUAAGAGAAAGAAUAAAAUAAGAUAAAAAGCACAUAGGAUAGCAACACGUAGGAUGAUAAAAAUCCGCUUCAAUUAAUAUUUCCACAAAUCAAGAGUAAUGAAAUAUUAAAAUAUUUGAUUCUCCUAAUUUAGGAUAUAAUAUUUAUUUUAAAUAAAAAACAAACAAUCAAAUAUUAAUAAUAUUUUAUUCUCUUAAUUUAGGAAAUAAUAUUUAUUUUCCUUAAUUUUAGGAUACUUGUUAUUUCUUUCUUUGUAUAAUUCACAAUGCAUUCUUGUAUAAAUUUUCUAAAAGAAACAAUAAAAUUCAUCAUUUUCAUUGCCAAAUUAUCAAAUCCUUUACUAAUGACCUUACGAUUAAAAUCUUGUUUGUUUGGUAAGUGUUGAACAAAAUGCCUUAGUAGCUACAAACGUGAUGGAAGAUGUGUGAAAGUUGUUGUGAACUGAGGAAGCUUAAGAAUCUAUUAAGAAGGUUGCUGAGGUGUGAAGAGAUGCUGAAAUUGAGGCUGUAACCAUAAAACAACUUAGUCAAUGAAGCUAAUAGAGUUUCAUAGAGCUGUUAUGCUGUUAUUGUUAUUUUAUAGGAAGUAGCUCUUAGUUCCAGCUAUUUUUUCUACUUUUCUAUUGUUUUCUAUUGCAAACUUGUGUAUAAAUGUUGCAUUGAUCAUUCAAUGAGAGUAGACAUUUUUGUUGUCUCAAAUGCAACUUUUGGUUGUUGCUUCCAACACUCUAGAUUCUAAAACCUAUGGAUUAGUAUCAGAGCCUUCUAUUUUGAAGGACCUGUGAGGAUUGAGUGAAGCCAAAAUACCUUCACACAUAUUGAACUCCAAAGCCAACAUAAACACACAACCUUUAACAGCUUGUAACUAUCAUUCUACAACAAAUAGAUGGAGCCACAAGCUUUUUGUCAGUACCAGUUUUCAAUGGUGAUAAUUAUCAGGCGUGGGCUAUUAGAAUGACAGUCCACCUUGAAGCUUUGGAUCUUUGGGAGGCAGUAGAAGAAGAUUAUGAAGUACCACCACUUGUAGACAAUCCAAGUAUCAAUCAAAUGAAGAUUCACAAGGAAAGAAAAGCAAGGAAAGCCAAAGCCAAGGUUUGCCUCUUCUCUGCAGUUUCACCUUCCAUUCUCACCAGAAUCAUGCAAAUGGAGUCUACUACAGCAAUCUGGAAGUGAUUUCGCAGCAUUUUUGUACAGUAAGGUGUUUCUCCUUCUGACGAUGCACGAUUUAUGCCGCGAGAAGGAAGCUAGAAACCUCAAGGUAGAAGCCAACUUCGCAGCCCUGUGAAGAUAGCUUGGUGUUGCGAAAUAAUUUCGCAGCCCUCUUGAGUGUCUGCGAAAUCUCGCAGACACCAUUUUUCUCCUGCGAAAUGGUUCCUAAAGCUUCCCGAUAUUUGCUACCGACAUUGGGAGAUAUUUUCCAUUAGAUUUUUGUUGUCUAAAUCCCAAAAUACUCCUUGUAAACCACCAAUUACAUGAUUCCUUAGUUUUUAAGUUAGUAAAAAGACUAAAUAUCCAUGUAAUAAUUAGUUUUAUAUUAUGUUCAUAUAUAUACCUCUCGAGAGCCUGUUCUCAGAGAGGAGUUCCUUCUGUAAAAGUUGGGGUAAGCAAGUAAAGUCUCUUUUCUUUCUACUGCCUUACCUUCUCACUUUGUAUUUUUUACUUAUUACUAAGUUAUGAACUCUCUGAGGAGUUUUCCCUAGAGAAUGAGUAACUAAACCUCUAAUUCCUUGGAGCUAAGGUUGCCGGGGGAGGUUCCAAGUGCAAGAAUGCAAAGCUUUGUGGUUUUAGCUAGUAAUGAAGAGGAAGUGAAAUCCUUCAAUGAUUUCUAUGUUUUUAGUUAACUUAAAACACCUUGGAGUCACCUGGGCCAACACUUGGUAAGGCAAGUGAUUUCCAACUAUGGAAAUGCACUAGUUUACCCCUUGCGAGCCUUUGGGAGGUGACUUCAAGGUAGGAUUUUCUAGAAUAGCCAACACUUGGUAAGCUUUUGGACUCCUAGGAGACAUCCAUUAGUUAUCUCUUGCGAGCUUUUGACGGGUAAUCCAAGGUUAAAGAUCACCUUGAAUGGUUAAGGCUUAGUGAGAGGCUUAAACCAUUGCAAGUUGCAUCAGUGAGAGAAUUAAAGUGAAAUCUAAUUGAAGGAGUCUCUGUACAUCACCAGUUAGAGAAUUGACUAUAUGUUGAAUCUCUAAUGCGAGGAAAUGAACCAUCUGACCAAAGCCGUGUCUUUUGCAUGAGGAACCACCCCAGUGAACCUAAAUCUCCAAGGAAUGCUUUUCUUCCUAAAUUAUUCCAAACUUCUGUUAUGUUAGUUAGUUUAAGUCUAAACCUUUACCAAUCAAAGUUUGUGUUUUACUUCUUAAGCUAACCUUGAAAUGAAAGAAGGCCAAUUCACUUGGAAUUGGUAUCAUUGAUUGCUUGUUAAUCAUUCCCAGUGAACGAUCCUAGAGCCACUAUACUAUAGUAGCUUUGUCUUUGCUACCCUAGUAUAUGGUGUAAUAGGUUAUAAAUUUUGUUGAUUACUCCCUCAAUCAAGGAGCACCAGCUGGACGCAAAUCAGCUGAGACACCAAUUGGGCAUGAAUCAAAUGGCGCCGUUGCCGGGGAAUGAGUGUCAAGUUUAUAUUGAUACCAUUUUUGAGCACUUGUGAUUUUCAUCACAAGUUGGUAAAGUUUCUUUCACUUUACUAAUUUUCAUUCUUUCUUUGUUUAUUUAUAAUCUAAGUUUAUCUUUUAAAAUUUAGCCUAGUUUAGUUUUAUUGUUGUAGCCCUGUUUCUUUUGUUUUCUUUUGUUUUCAUUUUUAGUUGCAGAUAAAUACUAGUUGUGUAUGCCAAAGUGGAUACAAGACAGUGGAGGAAGGCUUGUUAAGUGUGAUACACCUCAGAGGGGAGAAUUUGAAGUAAUCUUGAAUAUCAUGGAAUCUACACCUGAAGAUCAGCAUAGUCACCAAGGUCGUCAAGACAAUCUCAAUGAAUUCAGAUCAAUGAGGGACCGUAUGCAUCCACCUCGUAUGAGUGCACCAUCAUGUAUAGUGCCCCCUACAGAGCAGCUAGUGAUCAGACCGUAUCUUGUUCCACUUCUACCAACUUUCCAUGGGAUGGAAAGUGAGAAUCCGUAUGCACACAUCAAGGAAUUUGAAGAUGUUUGUAAUACAUUCCAAGAGGGAGGAGCUUCAAUUGAUUUGAUGAGGCUUAAGUUAUUUCCUUUUACUUUAAAGGAUAAGGCCAAAAUUUGGCUUAAUUCUUUAAGGCUAAGGAGUAUCCGCUCUUGGACUGAUUUACAAGCUGAAUUCCUCAAGAAAUUUUUUCCCACUCAUAGAACAAAUGGCUUGAAAAGGCAAAUUUCAAACUUCCCAGCUAAAGAGAAUGAGAAAUUCUAUGAGUGUUGGGAAAGAUACAUGGAAGCUAUAAAUGCUUGUCCUCACCAUGGCUUUGAUACUUGGCUAUUGGUGAGCUAUUUUUAUGAUGGUAUGUCAUCCUCAAUGAAGCAACUCCUCGAGACAAUGUGUGGAGGAGAUUUCAUGAGCAAAAAUCCAGAGGAAGCUAUGGAUUUCUUGAGCUAUUGAUUCGCGUGUAACUCCAAAUGGGUCAUUUAAUCAAAAACAUUUAUAAAACCUAUGACCUCAUACUAAUGUAGCAAAGCUACUAUAGUAUAGUGGCUCUAGGGUCGAACUCUGGGAUGGGUUUUCAUUCUACCAGUGAUAUACUCAAAAUUAGAAAUUGUAUUUAAUGAUUUCCUUAAUAAAAAACUUAAAGUUUAAAAGAAAAUAAAAUUUGUUUUGAAAGUGUUUGAAACUAAACUAACAUAAACUAAUUAAAAAUGGAAGAAAGAAAGUCUCCCGGAGCUAAGGGUUGCUAGGAUCAAGUUCAGAAUAGAAAGUGGAAAAUUCCGGAUUUUUCUCCUCGCAUUGGGGAUUUAACCUAUAGUUAUUUCCCGAACCGGUAUAGGUUUGAAAAUGAAGAUUUAAUCCAUAAAAGGUCAAUAGAAAUGGUAGUCAAGGUCCAUUAAUGGCUUAAGACACUAUGGGUCUUCACCUUGAAUCACUUUCCAAUGACUCGUACAUGAUAACUAAUGGACUAAUAUGGAUCUAGCAAUAAGCAUCCAUAAAGACCUGAAGCUUACCAUGUAUUGGUCAUUCAAAGUGAUUCUAAGGGAUUUAAAGCAAAACUUUGGAUUUAGAAGCCAUUUAUGAAUUCCAACUACCUGAAUUUAAUGCAUGGAAGCUUUCCACCUUUUCAUCUGGAAUUUUCACCUAGCUUCCUUUACUCCAAGAAACCGAAAGUUUAGCCUCUCAUCCUCCGGGCAAACAUCCUUAGAGGUUGUUUGGCUUCCAAGAAAAAGAAAAUAGUAAAGAACAAAGAGAACGAGAGAGCUCUGUAAAAUUCACAGUGUAAAAACGUAAUACGUAUUCUAUAUAUUCCAAGAGGUGAUUUCCACCCCUUAUAAAGUCUUUACAAAAGCCAAAGCUUAUGAUUGGUUAGUUACAAGGAUAAUAAAGGAAAUUACAUCACAAAAUACAAAGGAAAAUAUCUAAAGUGGAGUCGGCAAAGGGCAGAGCAAAAUUCGCAACACGCAUGGGUUAUGCGAACCAUAUGCGAAUGUUAUGCGAAUUUCGCAUAACCUCUUGUGGAAUGCGAAAUUUUCGCAUAACCUGGAGCAGUUGGCUUCCGAAGGCCAUAUCUUCCUCAUUUCAGAUCCAAAUCGUACACGGUUUGAAGCGUUGGAUUCUUGACUUCCAGAGCUUUGAAAUGGUAUAUAGCAUAUAUAAAAUGGACUUCGGGAAGUGCUCCAAAAGUGUGAAAGAAGACUGCAGCUGCUACAUCUUGAUUUUUUUCACUUUGCUUCUCUUUGCUUCUCUCCUUUGCUUGACUUGUCUUAAUGAUCCAAAAAGCUGUCAAAACAUUAAAACUAGCCACAAAUAUGAUUAGAAGACAUUGCUAGGUCCUUAACAUGCCAAUUGGACUAAAGAUGGAGAACUACUACACAAAAGUGCUUAAAACAUAAUGCAUUAAAGGUGUAAAAUAGCACUUUUUGGGUAGUAAUCAGCUAUGUAGCUGAUGUUUCAAGGGGAUGGGAUGAACCAACUAAAGGAGAAGUGGGAAAGAUGAAGUCUCAGUUGAAUGCUUACAAUGCAAAGGCUGGGAUGUAUACCUUAAAAGAAGAUGAUGACAUGAAAGCAAAGUUGGCAGCUAUGACAAGAAGAUUGGAGGAGCUGGAGCUGAAAAGAAUACAUGAAGUGCAAGCUGUUGCUGAAGCACCAGUGCAAGUGAAGCUGUGUCCCAAUUGUCAGUCUUAUGAACACUUGGUGGAGGAAUGCCCUGCAAUUCCAACUGAAAGGGAAAUGUUUAGAGAUCAAGCAAAUGUUGUUGGACAAUUUAGGCCCAAUAACAAUGCGCCAUAUGGAAAUACCUACAACUCAAGUUGGAGGAAUCAUCCAAAUUUCUCAUGGAAGGCCAGAGCAACUCAAUACCAACAGCCGGAUCCACCAUCUCAACAAUCUUCAAGUAUUGAACAAGCAAUGGCUAAUCUCAGUAAGGUAAUGGGAGAUUUUAUUGAAAAGCAAGAAGCCACUAAUGCUCGAGUCGAUCAAAGAAUUGAUAGAGUGGAGAGUAUGUUGAAUAAAAGGAUGGAUGGAAUGCAAAAUGAUAUGAACCAAAAGUUUGAUAACAUCCAAUAUUCAAUUUCAAGGCUUACAAAUUUGAAUACACUGCAAGAAAAGGGAAGAUUUCCUUCUCAACCUCACCAAAAUCCUAAAGGUGUCCAUGAAGUGGAAAGCCAAGAGGGAGAAUCAUCACAGGUGAAAGAUGUGAAAGCCUUGAUCACUCUAAGGAGUGGUAAAAAAAUUGAGCAGCCAACACCCAAGCCACAUGUUGAGAAAGAAAAAGAGAUAAAGAAAAGGAAGGAAAUGGAAGAUAAAGAGAGUGAUAUCAGUGAAGAAAAGAAGGACUCUGAUGCAACAAUGAAUGCAAUUCCAGAGAAGGAGCUUCUGAAGGAAGAAAUGCUGAAGAAAUCAACUUCUCCACCUUUUCCUCAAGCAUUACAUGGGAAAAAGGGGAUUAGAAAUGCAGCUGAAAUCCUUGAAGUCUUGAAGCAAGUGAAAGUUAAUAUUCCACUGCUGUAUAUGAUUAAACAAGUUCCAACGUAUGCAAAAUUCCUUAAGGACUUAUGUACUAUCAAAAGAGGGUUGACUGUAAACAAGAAAGCCUUCUUGACUGAGCAAGUAAGUGCAAUCUUACAAUGUAAGUCUCCUUUGAAGUACAAAGACCCUAGAAGUCCUACCAUUUCAGUCAUGAUUGGAGGAAAGGUAGUGGAGAAAGCCUUGUUAGAUUUGGGAGCAAGUGCGAAUUUGCUUCCAUAUUCUGUCUACAAGCAAUUGGGACUUGGAGAGUUGAAGCCAACAACAAUCACUCUAUCUCUGGCAGAUAGAUCAGUGAAAAUUCCAAGAGGGGUAAUUGAGGAUGUAUUGGUUCAAGUGGAUAAUUUCUACUAUCCAGUAGAUUUUAUUGUUCUUAAUACAGAUCCUACUGUAAAGGAAGCUAAUUUAGUUCCUAUCAUCCUUGGAAGGCCAUUUCUUGCAACUUCAAAUGCAAUCAUCAACUGCAGGAAUGGGCUUAUGCAGCUCACUUUUGGUAACAUGACACUGGAUCUCAAUAUUUUCUACAUGUCUAAAAAGCAAAUCACUGCGGAGGAAGAAGAAGGUCCAGAAGAGCUAUGUAUAAUUGAUACUUUGGUAGAGGAGCACUGCAAUCAACAUAUGCAAGAAAAGUUGAAUGAAAGUCUUGAGGAUAUUGAGGAAGGUUUUUCUGAAUCUCCUAUUGGGCUUACUACUCUACAAAGUUGGAGAAAGAUAGAAGGAAUUCUACCUUUGUUCAAUAAGGAAGAGGAGGCAGCUGCUGAAAAAGAAAUUCCAAAACUCAAUCUGAAGCCUUUACCUGUGGAGCUGAAAUAUACAUAUCUUGAAGAAAAUAAUCAAUGUCCUGUUGUGAUAUCUUCAUCUCUGACCAGUCAUCAAGAGAAUUGUUUAAUGGAAGUUCUCAAGAGGUGUAAGAAGGCAAUAUGAUGGCAAAUAUCUGAUUUGAAAGGCAUUAGUCCUUUAGUUUGUACUCAUCAUAUAUAUAUGGAGGAGGAAGCAAAGCUAAUUCGUCAAUUUCAAAGAAGGUUGAAUCCUCAUCUACAAGAGGUGGUGCGAGCUGAGGUGCUGAAGCUACUUCAAGCAGGAAUCAUUUACCCUAUAUCUGAUAGCCCUUGGGUGAGUCCUACUCAAGUAGUACCAAAGAAGUCAGGGAUCACAGUGGUUCAGAAUGAAAAAGGGGAAGAAAUUACUACACGCCUCACUUCAGGUUGGAGGGUGUGUAUUGAUUAUAGAAAGCUGAAUGCUGUAACCAGGAAAGAUCAUUUUCCAUUGCCAUUUAUUGAUCAAGUGCUGGAGAGAGUCUCUGGACAUCCAUUCUAUUGUUUCUUGGAUGGGUAUUCAGGGUAUUUUCAUAUUGAAAUUGAUUUGGCAGAUCAAGAAAAGACCACUUUUACAUGUCCAUUUGAAACAUAUGCUUAUAGAAGAAUGCCUUUUGGUUUAUGCAAUGCACUUGCUACAUUUCAAAGAUGUAUGUUGAGUAUUUUCAGUGAUAUGGUGGAGCGAAUUAUGGAGGUUUUCAUGGAUGACAUCACCGUAUAUGGAGGUACAUUUGAGGAAUGCUUGGUUAAUUUGGAAACAGUUCUUCAUAGAUGCAUUGAAAAAGACCUGGUGCUGAACUGGGAGAAAUGCCAUUUUAUGGUACGACAAGGAAUUGUCCUUGGCCAUAUCAUCUCUGAAAAAGGCAUUGAAGUUGAUAAAGCAAAGGUGGAGCUUAUUGUCAAAUUACCAUCUCCAACAACUAUAAAAGGAGUAAGGCAGUUCCUUGGCCAUGCAGGGUUCUAUAGGAGGUUUAUAAAAGGUUUUUCAAGUCUUUCAAAACCUCUUUGUGAGCUGUUAGCUAAGGAUGCUAAGUUUAUAUGGGAUGAAAGGUGUCAGAAUAGCUUUGAUCAACUGAAGAAAUUUUUAACAACAACUCCAAUAGUGAGAGCCCCUAACUGGCAAUUACCUUUUGAAUUGAUGUGUGAUGCCAAUGACUUUGCUAUAGGAGCUGUGCUUGGCCAAAGAGAAGAUGGGAAGCCCUAUGUGAUUUACUAUGCAAGUAAAACACUAAAUGAAGCUCAGAGGAACUACACAACUACAGAAAAAGAAUUGUUAGCUAUGGUAUUUGCUUUGGACAAAUUUCGUGCUUAUUUAGUGGGGUCUUUCAUCAUAGUCUUCACUGACCAUUCAGCCUUAAAGUAUUUAUUGACAAAGCAAGAUGCAAAAGCAAGGUUGAUUAGAUGGAUUCUUUUGUUACAAGAAUUCGAUCUUCAAAUCAAAGAUAAGAAAGGAGUGGAGAAUAUGGUAGCUGACCACUUGUCAAGGUUAGUUAUAGCACAUAACUCCCAUCCCUUGCCUAUCAAUGAUGAUUUUCCUGAAGAAUCACUCAUGUUCCUAGUGAAAACUCCUUGGUAUGCUCAUAUUGCUAAUUAUUUAGUAACUGGUGAAAUUCCAAGUGAGUGGAAUGCACAGGACAGGAAGCACUUCUUUGCCAAAAUUCAUUCUUAUUAUUGGGAAGAGCCCUUUCUCUUUAAGUAUUGUGCAGAUCAGAUUAUUAGAAAGUGUGUCCCUGAAGAUGAGCAGCAAGGGAUUCUAUCUCAUUGUCAUGAGAAUGCAUGUGGAGGCCACUUUGCCUCUCAGAAAACAGCCAUGAAGGUAUUGCAAUCAGGGUUUACUUGGCCAUCUCUUUUCAAAGAUGCCCACAUCAUGUGUAGGAAUUGUGAUAGAUGCCAAAGGCUUGGAAAGCUAACAAAAAGAAAUCAAAUGCCUAUGAACCCCAUUAUGAUAGUUGAGUUAUUUGAUGUAUGGGGCAUUGACUUCAUGGGACCUUUCCCAAUGUCUUUUGGUAAUUCUUACAUUUUGGUGGGGGUGGAUUAUGUUUCUAAAUGGGUUGAGGCAAUCCCCUGUAAACAAAAUGAUCACAGGGUGGUUCUCAAGUUUCUUAAAGAGAACAUUUUCUCAAGAUUUGGGGUGCCCAAGGCCAUAAUCAGUGAUGGAGGUGCUCAUUUUUGCAACAAACCUUUUGAAGCUCUGUUAUCCAAGUAUGGAGUGAAGCAUAAGGUGGCUACACCUUAUCAUCCUCAGACUUCCGGGCAAGUUGAGCUAGCUAACAGGGAAAUAAAGAACAUCUUGAUGAAAGUGGUGAAUUCCAAUAGAAAGGAUUGGUCUAUUAGGCUUCAUGAUUCAUUGUGGGUAUAUAGAACAGCUUAUAAGACUAUUCUUGGGAUGUCUCCCUAUCGUCUUGUCUAUAGUAAAGCAUGCCAUCUCCCUGUGGAAGUUGAAUACAAAGCUUGGUGGGCAAUAAAGAAGCUGAACAUGGACUUGAUCAAGGUAGGAGAAAAGAGAUUUCUAGACCUUAAUGAGAUGGAGGAAUUAAGAAAUAAUGCUUAUAUCAAUUCCAAAGUUGCAAAACAGAGGAUGAAGAAGUGGCAUGAUCAACUCAUCUCCAACAAGGAAUUUCAGGAAGGGCAAAGAGUUUUGAUGUAUGACACAAGACUCCAUAUCUUUCCUGGGAAACUCAAGUCAAGGUGGAUAGGCCCGUUCAUUAUUCACCGAGUAUAUUCCAAUGGAGUGGUGGAAUUAUUGAAUUCCAAUGGCAAGGAUAGCUUUAAAGUCAAUGGAUAUCGUCUCAGGCCAUUCUUGGAGCCAUUCAAACCAGAAAAGGAGGAGAUCAACCUCCUUGAACCUCAAAAAGCUUAAGUGAAAAAGGGUUUGCUGGACGUGGUUUUACCACAGUCCAAAAUUUUUGUAAAUUUUGUAAAUUUUCAAGUUGUUUCCAUACUUUUGAUCUUAGUUUUUGAUCUUAAAUCAUGUUUUUAGGUGUGUUUUAAUUGUUUUGAAUGAUCCCAGGUGGAAGAAAUUUCAAGGAAAUUGAAAGAAAAAAAAAAUCAGGUCGAAAUCGGAGCCAAAAUAGAGUAAAAACAGGGGAAAAACAAAGCUCUGCGAAAUGAGCAUUUUGUUGCCAAACCAUUCCGCAACACUGUAGAAGUCUCUGCAAGGGUAUUUCGCAGUUGCGAAAGCAAAUUUGGCACACGAGUGCCACUUCGCAGUACAGUAGCAUCCAUUUGGCAGCUGCGAAACGCAUUGCGAAGGGAAAAAGCGUGAUUUCGCACCAAAAGUCCCAUUCCGCAGGGUAUUUCGCAAUUGCGAAAGUGGUUUUGGCACACGAGUGCCACUUCGCAGCAUAGGAACUCUCAUUUCGUAGCUGCGAAACUCACUGCGAAGUUGCUGCAAAAAUGGCAUUUUGCUGUGAAAUUGACGUUUUGUUGCGAAACUUAAACUGACCCUUAGGCUUCCAUUUUUCCUAUUUAUACCGAUCAUUUGAGCUGCGAAAAGGGUUUCAAAAAUCAGAGCGCCAUUUUCGCAGACCUUUCAUCUUCUUCCUUGAGCCACGCCGUCCGAGCCUCCGGUCAUCUCCUCCGAUUAGCAACGCCGGCCAAAGUUUGGUAUCCCGAAAUGGCACGAACACGAGAGGCUAAGUCUUCAUCUUCUUCGAACCACAAGAAGAGUCUGCGAAAGGAGCCAAGUCUAGGUUCUGCUCCAGAGCCUUCGCCGUCAAGGCCAAAUCCUCCUCCGGUGAAGCCCGCGCCACCAAAGCCACCUGCAAGACGAUACCUUACCAGGUCAGGAGGUCGGCCAUUGCAGAAGAAACCCAGGGUGGAGAGCUCAGAACCCAUCGAUUUGACUGAGCAAUCUCCAGAGCCUUCACCAAUUCCAUCACCGGUUCAAACUCCAGUGCCGUCUCCAGUUCCCUCGCCUAGUCCCCUGCCAGUUCCAUCGCCGGUACCAUCUCCGGCACCGCAAGAAAAAUCUCAGGAGCCUCAAGCGCCACUUCCCGAGCCCCAAAUUCAAGCUGAAACAGCUCUGGAAGAAGUAAUCUGGAGGCCAAUGCUACCUCAGCCCCCAAUUGAGGGAAACUUGGAUUGUAGAACACGGGCAUUUCACUCCGAGCUUUGCUUUGACUUACCGGCAUUCAGAGUGAGGCUGGAGCUUGCCCAAUCAUUCCAGCUGCUGAGAAGGUACCAUAUGGAGCAACUGCUAGCUCCAAGAGACUUUUUCUAUCCCCGGAUAGCCACGGAUUUCUACCAAUCCAUGACAACCAAAGAGGUAAGGAAUCCGACUUUGAUUCAUUUCACAAUCGAUGGGAGACAUGGCAUAUUGGGAGCACGACAUAUUGCUGAAGCCCUGCAAAUUCCCUUUGAGCCAACCCAAUUCGAUAAUUUUACAGCUUGGGCAAAUCCUACUGAGCUAAAGAUGGUGCGCACCCUUUCCAGAGGAGCUGCAAAUCGAUCACAUCUGUUGAGGGGGGAGCUUCCUCCAGUUAUGUUUUUGAUUGAUGCCUUUUUGCGUCAUAAUAUAUACCCAUUGCAGCAUUGGACCCAAAGAAGGGGAGUCCUCCUGGAAGCUCUUUAUAAGAUGUCAGAAGGAUUUUUCUUUGGGCCUCAUCAUCUGAUCAUGGCAGCCCUUCUCUAUUUUGAAGAGAAGGCUCAUAAAAGGAAGCUUCAGAGAGCAUAUUGCAUUCCCCUCCUCUUCCCAAGGCUGCUAUGCCCAAUUUUGGAGCAUCUGGGAUACCCCUCUGAGCCUCAGCUGGAGAGAAAGCGAAUUUGCCGUGAGCCAUUCACUCUUGAUAAAUGGAAUAAUAUGACGGCCUACAAAGUUGAUCAGCCUGGGCAGCCUCAACCAGCUGCAAGGAGAGCCUCCCCAAGACAUAUACCUGAAGGUAUAACAGUUGCUACUCCUGCCAUUCCUAGAGCUCCACCAGUUGCACCUGCUUCAUUUCAGCCAUCCACAUCAGCUGAGCCGAGGAUGGCCAUUCCUAUAUCUGAAUAUCGAGAGUUGUGCCGUGCAUUGGAGACACUUACAGCUUCUUAGAGCAAUCUUGCUCAAGAGAUGGCAGCCAUCAGAGCAUGCCAAGAGCAGAUGUUAGCCACUCAAGCUCAACAAGCUGCCAUCUUAAGGCAGCUCCAAGACCAUUUCGAUCUGCCACAAGCUGUAGAGUCCUCCACUUCUACUCCAACAGAGCCACACCCUCAUCCUUCAGAGUCUCAUCCUCCUGAGCCCCAAGCCCCAGCUGAUGCACCUACUGAAGAGGUAGAUCCUUCUGCCUAAUCCCAGCACCACCCCACUCAUCAGACUAUAUUAGAUAUCUAAUAUUUUCAUGUAUUUCAUUUUUUUUAGUUGAAAAGAAAUCCCAGUAUUUUGGUACUAUAUUUGGGAUUCCUUGUGUUACUUGUCUUUUGCAUUGUAAUCAAAUGAAUUUAAAGUAAUACAAGUUGAAUAUUUCUUGUUAAAAGUUAGCAUUAAGUUAUUCUUAUUUCCUUUUCUCACAUAUUCUAUUCUUUUUGAAACAUGUGGUUUUCCCCAAUCAAUAUUCGAAUUUGAUUUCAGCAAGGAGGUACCACUUCCUCCCUUUUAUUACAUUCACUCAAAUCACAUUGAGGACAAUGCUCAGUUCGGUUGGGGGGUAUGAGGAAGGAAGUAUUCUAAAUCUUUUUGGUAUUGCAAUUAUAUUGGUUAAUUAGUUGUAGUUUUUACUUUUUACUCUUGUUACUCUAUUCUCCAUGAAUUUUGAGGAAAAAUUUUCAAAUUAAACCAAGAGAAAUUGAACUGUUGUUUUUCACUUGACUUAGAGUAUGGAUUAUGCUUACUAAAGUGGUUCAAUUGUUGAAGCUUCUAUUGAAAUUGAAGUUAGUUCUUCCACUUUAAGCUAUCCACACACUGUGCACAUUAGAUUCCGAUUAUAAGAUGAAAAGCUAUUUCCCUCUUGACUUAGGAUAAUUUUGGGACUUGGUAUAUUUGACCUCAUUUGAUAAAAUUGAAACACCCUGCAAAAGGCCAAUGAGCCUUUGAAAUAAAGAAAGUUGUUUGCUUGCCUUGAAACCCGAGCAAGGUCUGAGGGGUAUAUGGUGAAAAUCUUUAAAGCCUGGUGCCCUAAGCCUUAAUUGGUUGGGAGUCACCGACCUCAAUGCUCGUUAUAAGGGUGAAUAGGUAGAGCUAGCAUAUGGUAGAUGCUUGGGUAUUAGAAUCUCAUUCUUAAAAGUCCGGGGAAAAAUCCGAGGAGUUAGUGGUUGAAAGAUCCUUAAAGCUUGGUGCCCUAAACCUUAAUUGGUUGGGAGUCAUCGAUGGACCCCCAUUACAUGGACAAGUCAGAAAGAGUACCCCAUAAAGCUACCUUAAAAAAAAAAAUGAUGAAAAUGUGUUCUUUUCUUAUUGAUUUUGGUCAGAUUGCUAAAGUAUUGAAAAGAGAUAGGUUGGGGGGAGAGACUAGUUUAGCAUAUUAUUCUCGGAACCUAAGGAACCAAUACACAUAGAUUUUUGUGGAAGAUUAAAGUUUGAUUCUUAGAAAGUGGAAAUGAUUUUAAAACUUCAGUUUGCAUAAUGCACUCCCUUGAUUGACAGUGUUUAGCAUAGGUGUUAUGACUCUUGUUGAGAUUUGGGUUUGUAUUUCUUUACUACUUCAUGUGAGAAUUAGAUCAUCAUGCCACUUGAGAAUUAUUUUCCUUUAGCAUGAUGUUGUAAAUUUUAGAUUAGUUUGCUUUUUAUUUUCAUUUUUCUCUCCUAUAUUGCUAAGGGACUAGCAAUAUGUCGGUUGGGGGGAGUGAUUACUACUCAAAAAGUGCUAUUUGAUAGCCUAUAAUUAAUCCUUUUAAACACUUUUGAGUAGUAGUUUAGGCCUUUUAACUCAAUUGGCAUGUUAAGGAUCCUUUAAAGCAAUUUUAAUCACUUUGUGCAAGUUUUGGUGUUUUUGUUAGUAUUUUGAUCACCAAAGCAAGUCAAGACUGAGGAGAGCUAUGAGGAAUCUUGGGCAAAGCUUAGAAGUCAUUUUCCAAGAGUGAAUCCGGAUUGCAAGGAGAAAAAAGCAAAGAGAAUCUGCCAUAAAGCAUAUUCUUGAUGACAGUCGUAGCAGCCACUUUUGGAGCACUUUCUGAAGUCCAAAUGAUGUAUUCCAUAUACCAUUUCAAAGCUCAGGAAGUCAAAAAUCCAAUGCUUCAAACGGUGCUCAAUUCGGAGUUGAAAUGAAGAAGUUGCAGCCGUUACAAGCCAAUCACUCCGAGCUGAAGGAAGCAUUUUGCAAAGUGUUGCGAAAUCACCCUUUUGUUGCGAAGUGAUUUCGCAGCAUUUUUGUACAGUAAGGUGUUUCUCCUUCUGACGAUGCACGAUUUAUGCCGCGAGAAGGAAGCUAGGAACCUCAAGGUAGAAGACAACUUCGCAGCCCUGUGAAGAUAGCUUGGUGUUGCGAAAUAAUUUUGCAGCCCUCUUGAGUGUAUGCGAAAUCUCGUAGACACCAUUUUUCUCAUGCGAAAUGGUUCCUAAAACCUCCCGAUAUUUGCUACCGACAUUGGGAGAUAUUUUCCAUUAGAUUUUUGUUGUCUAAAUCCCAAAAUACUCCUUGUAAACCACCAAUUACAUGAUUCCUUAGUUUUUAAGUUAGUAAAAAGACUAAAUAUCUAUGUAAUAAUUAGUUUUAUAUUAUGUUCAUAUAUAUACCUCUCGAGAGCCUGUUCUCAGAGAGGAGUUCCUUCUUUAAAAGUUUGAGUAAGCAAGUAAAGUCUCUUUUCUUUCUACUGCCUUACCUUCUCACUUUGUAUUUUUUACUUAUUACUAAGUUAUGAACUCUCUGAGGAGUUUUCCCUAGAGAAUGAGUAACUAAACCUCUAAUUCCUUGGAGCUAAGGUUGCUGGGGGAGGUUCCAAGUGCAAGAAUGCAAAGCUUUGUGGUUUUAGCUAGUAAUGAAGAGCAAGUGAAAUCCUUCAAUGAUUUCUAUGUUUUUAGUUAACUUAAAACACCUUGGAGUCACCUGGGCCAACACUUGGUAAGGCAAGUGAUUUCCAACCAUGGAAAUGCACUAGUUUACCCCUUGCGAGCCUCUGGGAGGUGACUUUAAGGUAGGAUUUUCUAGAAUAGACAACACUUGGUAAGCUUUUGGACUCCUAGGAGACAUCCAUUAGUUAUCUCUUGCGAGCUUUUGACGGGUAAUCCAAGGUUAAAGAUCACCUUGAAUGGUUAAGGCUUAGUGAGAGGCUUAAACCAUUGCAAGUUGCAUCAGUGAGAGAAUUAAAGUGAAAUCUAAUUGAAGGAGUCUCUGUACAUCACCAGUUAGAGAAUUGACUAUAUGUUGAAUCUUUAAUGCGAGGAAAUGAACCAUCUGACCAAAGCCGUGUCUUUUGCAUGAGGAACCACCCCAGUGAACCUAAAUCUCCAAGGAAUGCUUUUCUUCCUAAAUUAUUCCAAACUUCUGUUAUGUUAGUUAGUUUAAGUCUAAACCUUUACCAAUCAAAGUUUGUGUUUUACUUCUUAAGCUAACCUUGAAAUGAAACAAGGCCAAUUCACUUGGAAUUGGUAUCAUUGAUUGCUUGUUAAUCAUUCCCAGUGAACGAUCCUAGAGCCACUAUACUAUAGUAGCUUUGUCUUUGCUACCCUAGUAUAUGGUGUUAUAGGUUAUAAAUUUUGUUGAUUACUCCCUCAAUCAAGGAGCACCAGCUGGACGCAAAUCAGCUGAGACACCAAUUGGGCAUGAAUCACACCCUAUGCCCAUUUAGGCAUCCUCGGUCCAUUUAGACACCUUAGGCCCAUUUAGGCACCCUAGGCUCAUUUAGACACCCUUGGCCCAUUUAGGCACCCUAGGCUCAUUUAGGCACCCUUGGCACAUUUAGGCACCCUAGGCCCACUUAGUAACCCUAAGCCCACUUAGACACCCUUGGCCCAUUUAGGCACCCUAGGUCCACUUAAGCACUCUAGGCCCAUUUAGGCACCCUACGCCCACUAAGACACCCUAAGCCCACUUAGACACCCUUGGCCCAAUUAGGCACCCUAGGUCCACUUAGGCACUCUAGGCCCAUUUAGGCACCCUAGGUCCACUUAGGCACGCUAGGCCCACUUAGGCACCCUAAAUCCACUUAGACACCUUACGCCCAUUUAAGCACCCAAAGCCCACUUAGGCACCCUUAGCCCAUUUAGGAACCCUAGGCUCAUUUAGGCACCCUAGGUCCACUUAGGCACCCUACGACCAUUUAGGCACCCUAGGUCCACUUAGGCACUCUAGACCCAUUUAAGCACCCUAGGUCCACUUAGGCACCCUAGGCCCAUUUAGGCACCCUAGGUCCAUUUAGGUACCCUUGGCCCAUUUAGGCACCCUAGGCCCACUUAGCCACCCUAGGCCCAUUUAGGCACCUAAGGACCAAUUUGGCACCCUAGGCUCAUUUAAGAACCCUAGGCCCAUUUAAGAACCCUAUGUCCACUUAGACACCUUCUGCCCAUGUAGGCACCCUUGGUCCACUUAGGCACUCUAGACCCAUUUAGGCACCCUAGGUCCGCUUAGGCACCCUAGGCCCAUUUAGGCACCCUAGGUCCAUUUAGGCAUCCUUGGCCCAUUUAGGUACCCUAGGCCCACUUAGGCACCCUAGGCCCAUUUAGGCAACCUUGGGCAAUUUAGGCACCCUAGGUCCAUUUAGGCACCUAAGGAUCAUUUAGGCACUCAGAGGCCCAUUUAGGCACCCUAGGUCCAUUUAGGCACCUUAGGGUCAUUUAGGCAUCCAUAGGCCCAUUUAGGCAUCCAUAGGCCCAUUUAGGCACCUUAGGCUCAUUUAGGCACCCUUGGCCCAUUUAGGCACCCUAGGCCCACUUAGACACCCUGAGCCCACUUAGACACCCUCUGCCCAUUUAGGAACCCUAGGUCCACUUAGGCACUCUAGACCCAUUUAGGCACCCUAGGUCCACUUAGGCACGCUAGGCCCACUUAGGCACCCUAAAUCCACUUAGACACCUUACGCCCAUUUAAGCACCCAAAGCCAACUUAGGCACCCUUAGCCCAUUUAGGAAACCUAGGCUCAUUUAGGCACCCUAGGCCCACUUAGGCACCCUAGACCCAUUUAGGCACCCUAGGUCCACUUAGGCACUCUAGACCCAUUUAGGCACCCUAGGUCCACUUAGGCACCCUAGGCCCAUUUAGGCACCCUAGGUCCAUUUAGGUACCCUUGGCCCAUUUAGGCACCCUAGGCCCACUUAGGCACCCUAGGCCCAUUUAGGCACCUAAGGUCCAAUUUGGCACCCUAGGCUCAUUUAAGAACCCUAGGCCCAUUUAAGAACCCUAUGUCCACUUAGACACCUUCUGCCCAUGUAGGCACCCUUGGUCCACUUAGGCACUCUAGACCCAUUUAGGCACCCUAGGUCCGCUUAGGCACCCUAGGCCCAUUUAGGCACCCUAGGUCCAUUUAGGCAUCCUUGGCCCAUUUAGGUACCCUAGGCCCACAUAGGCACCCUAGGCCCAUUUAGGCAACCUUGGGCCAUUUAGGCACCCUAGGUCCAUUUAGGCACCUAAGGUUCAUUUAGGCACUCAGAGGCCCAUUUAGGCACCCUAGGUCCACUUAGACACCAUAGACCCAUUUCGGCACCCUAGGCUCAUUUAGGCACCCUUGGCUCAUUUAGGCACCUUAGGCUCAUUUAGGCACCCUUGGCCCAUUUAGGCACCCUAGGCCCACUUAGACACCCUGAGCCCACUUCGACACCCUCUGCCCAUUUAGGAACCCUAGGUCCACUUAGGCACUCUAGACCCAUUUAGGCACCCUAGGUCCACUUAGGCACCCUAGGCCCAUUUAGGCACCCUAGGUCCAUUUAGGCACCCUUAGCCCAUUUAGGUACCCUAGGCCCAUUUAGGCACCCUAGGUCCAUUUAGGCACCUUAGGGUCAUUUAGGCAUCCAUAGGCCCAUUAAGGCAUCCAUAGGCCCAUUUAGGCACCCUAAGUCCACUUAGACACCUUAAGCCCAUUUAGGCACCCUAGGCUCAUUUAGGCACCGUUGGCCCAUUUAGGCACCCUAGGCCUACUUAGACACCGUAAUCCCACUUCGACACGCUGCGUUCAUCUAGGCACCCUAGGUCCACUUAGGCACCUUAGGCCCACAUAGUCACCCUUGGCCCAUUUAGGCACCUUAGGUCCACUUAGGCACCCUAGGCCCAUUUAGGCACCCUACGUCCACUUAGGCACCCUUAGCCCAUUUAGGCACCCUAAGUCCACUUAGGCACCUUAGGCCCAUGUAGGCACCCUAGGCCCAUUUAGGCACCCUAGGUAACCUUAAGCACCCUACGUCCACUUAGGCACCCCAGGUCUAUUUACGCACCCCUUGCCCAUUUAGGCACCCUAGGCCCACUUAGGCACCCUAGGCUCAUUCAGGCACCCUAGGUCCACUUAGGAACCCUAGGCCCAUUUAGGCAUCCUUGGUCCACUUAGGCACCCUAGGCCAAUUUAGGCACCCUAGGUCCAGUUAGGCACUCUUGACACAUUUAGGCACCCUAGGCCCAUUUAGGAACCCUAUGUCCACUUAGACACCUUAUGCCCAUUUCGGCACCCUAGGUCAACUAAGGUAAUCUAGACCCAUUUAGGCACCCUAGGUCUACUUAGGCACCCUAUGCUCAUUUCAGCACCCUAGGCCCAUUUAGGAACCCUAUGUCCACUUAGACACCAUAUGCCCAUUUAGGCAUCCUAGGUCCACUUAGGCACUCUAGACCCAUUUAGGCACCCUAGGUCCACUUAGGCACCCUACGCCCAUUUAGGCACCCUAGGUCCAUUUAGGCACCCUUGGCCCAUUUAGGUACGCUAGGCCCACUAAGGCACCCUAGGCCCAUUUAGGCACCCUAUGUCCAUUUAGGCACCCUAGGCUCAUUUAGGCACCCUAGGUCCCCUUAGGCAACCUAGGCCCAUUUAGGCAUCCUUGGUCCACUUAGGCACCCUAGGCCAAUUUAGGCACCCUAGGUCCAGUUAGGCACUCUUGACACAUUUAGGCACCGUAGGCCCAUUUAGGAACCCUAUGUCCACUUAGACACCUUAUGCCCAUUUAGGCACCCUAGGCUCAUUUAGGCACCGUUGGCCCAUUUCGGCACCCUAGGCCUACUUAGACACCGUAAGCCCACUUCGACACGCUGCGUUCAUCUAGGCACCCUAGGUCCACUUAGGCACCUUAGGCCCACUUAGGCACCCUUGGCCCAUUUAGGCACCUUAGGUCCACUUAGGCACCCUAGGCCCAUUUAGGCACCCUACGUCCACUUAGGCACCCUUAGCCCAUUUAGGAACCCUAGGUCCACUUAGGCACCUUAGGCCCAUGUAGGCACCCUAGGCCCAUUUAGGCACCCUAGGCAACCUUAAGCACCCUACGUCCACUUAGGCACCCCAGGUCUAUUUACGCACCCCUUGCCCAUUUAGGCACCCUAGGCCCACUUAGGCACCCUAGGCCCAUUUAGGCACCCUAUGUCCAUUUAGGCACCCUAGGCUCAUUCAGGCACCCUAGGUCCACUUAGGCACCCUAGGCCCAUUUAGGCAUCCUUGGUCCACUUAGGCACCCUAGGCCAAUUUAGGCACCCUAGGUCCAGUUAGGCACUCUUGACACAUUUAGGCACCCUAGGCCCAUUUAGGAACCCUAUGUCCACUUAGACACCUUAUGCCCAUUUCGGCACCCUAGGUCAACUAAGGUAAUCUAGACCCAUUUAGGCACCCUAGGUCUACUUAGGCACCCUAUGCUCAUUUCGGCACCCUAGGCCCAUUUAGGAACCCUAUGUCCACUUAGACACUAUAUGCCCAUUUAGGCAUCCUAGGUCCACUUAGGCACUCUAGACCCAUUUAGGCACCCUAGGUCCACUUAGGGACCCUACGCCCAUUUAGGCACCCUAGGUCCAUUUAGGCACCCUUGGCCCAUUUAGGUACGCUAGGCCCAUUUAGGCACCUUAGGUCCAUUUAGGCACAUCAGGCUCAUUUAGGCACCCAUAGGUCCAUUUAGGCACCCUAGGCUCAUUUAGGCACCCUAGGCUCAUUUAGGCACCCUUGGCCCAUUUAGGCACCCUAGGCUCAUUUAAGCACCCUUGGCCCAUUUAGGCACCGUAGGCCCACUUAGUAACCCUAAGCCCACUUAGACACCCUUGACCCAUUUAGGCACCCUAGGUCCACCUAAGCACUCUAGGCUCAUUUAGGCACCCUAGGUCCACUUAGACAGGCUAGGCCCAUUUAAGCCCCCUAAGCCCACUUAGGCACCCUUGGCCCAUUUGGGAACCCUAGGCUCAUUUAGGUACUCUAGGUCCACUUAGGCACCCUAAGCCCAUUUAGGCACCUUAGGUCCAAUUAGGCACUCUAGACCCAUUUAGGCACCCUAGGUCCACUUAGGCACCCUAGGCCCAUUUAGGCACCCUGGUCCAUUUAGGCACCCUUGGCGCCUUUAGGCACCCUUGGCGCCUUUAGGCACCCUAGAACCACUUAGACACCCUUGGACCAUUUAGGCACCCUAGGUCCAUUUAGGCACCGUUGGCUCAUUUACGCACCCUAGACCUAUUUAGGCACCCUAGGUCCACUUAGACACCUUAGGCUCAUUUAGGCACCCUAGGUCCACUUAGGCACUCUAGACCCAUUUAGGCACCCUAGGUCCACUAAGGCACCCUAGGUCCAUUUACGCACCCUUGGCUCAUUUAGGUACCUUAGGCCCAUUUAGGCACCCUAGGUCCCUUUAGGCAACUUAGGGUCAUUUAGGCAUCCAUAGGCCCAUUGAGGCACCCUAGGUCCACUUAGACACCUUAGGCCUAUUUAGGCACUCUAGGCCCACUUAGACACCCUAAGCCCACUUAGACACGCUGCUCCCAUUUAGGCACCUUAGGCCUACUUAGGCACCCUUGGCCCAUUUACGCACCCCUAGGUCCACUUAGGCACCCUAGGCCCAUUUAGGCACCCUCGGUCCCCUUAGACACCUUAGGCCCAUUUAGGCAUCCUAGGCUCUUUUAGGCACCCUUGGCCCAUUUAGGCACCCUAGGCCCAUUUACGACCCUAGGUCAACUUAGGCACCCUAGGUCCACUUAGGCACCCUAGGUCCACUUAGGCACCCUAGGCCGAUUUAGCCACCCUAGGUCCAGUUAGGCACUGUACACCCAUUUAGGCACCUUAGGCCCAUUUAGGCACCCUAAGUCCAAUUAGGCACCUUAGGCUCAUUUAGGCACCCUAGGCCCAUUUAGGAACCCUAUGUCCACUUAGACACCUUAUGCCCAUUUAGGCACCCUAGGUCCACUUAGGCACUCUAGACCCAUUUAGGAACCCUAGGUCCACUUAGGCACGCUAGGCCCAUUUAGGCACCCUAGGUCCAUUUAGGCACCCUUUGCCCAUUUAGGUACCCUAGGCCCACUUAGGUACCCUAGGACCAUGUAGGCACCCUAUGUCCAUUUAGGCACAUAUGGCUCAUUUAGGCACCCAUAGGCCCAUUUAGGCACCCUAGGUCCACUUAGACCCCUUAGGCCCAUUUAGGCACCCUAGACUAAUUUAGGCACCCUUGGCCCAUUUAUGCACCCUAGGCUCAUUUAGGCACCCUUGGCCCAUUUAGGUACCCUAGGCCCACUUAGUAACCCUAAGCCCACUUAGACACACUUGGCCCAUUUAGGCACCCUAGGUCCACUUAGGCACUCUAGGCCCAUUUAGGCACCCUAGGUCAUUUUACGCACCCUAGGCUCAUUUAAGUACCCGAGGCCCAUUUAGGCACCCUAGGUCCAUUUAGGCACCUUAGGGUCAUUUAGGCAUCCAUAGGCCCAUUUAGGCACCCUAGGUCCACUUAGACACCUUAGGCCUAUUUAGGCACCCUAGUCUCAUUUAGGAACUCUUGGCCCAUUUAGGCACCCUAGGCCCACUUAGACACCCUAAGCCCACUUAGACACCCUGCGCCCAUUUAGGCACCCUAGGUCCACUUAGGCACCUUAGUGUCACGGACUUAGUCGUUCACUAAGCUCGUGCGGCACUUAGGCAAGUCAAGACGCUUGAUCUUGCUAAGUCAGCCUUGAUCCUCAAUGCUUAGCUUGCUCGGCUAAGACACUCACGACUCGAAAUCUUAAGAAGCUUGGUAGGCAACUCCUUAAUGAAUGGAAGCUCUUAUUAACUCAAGAAAGCCUUUACAAGUGCUUAGAUGCUCACUUGCUUGGUUAGGAAGUGAUUUGGGUGGUGCCUUGGCCAAAUGAGGCCUUCACCUAUUUAUAGGCACCAAUGGAACUCUCUGGAACCUUGGAGGGUUCCUUAGAAAUGAAGAAUAUUCUAGAACAUCCUACCCUAUUCUAUGUACAACCCUAUGUACAAGAGAUUCUUAGAAGUCUCUAGAAAGCCCUGGACUCCUCCCAUGCCUUCCUCCAUAGUGUAGAGAUGUGCGGACAUCUCUAGGCAUUUCUAGAACCUUCCACACUCUUCCCACCAAUGGCUUAUUGUAAAUGGUUCCAGGAGUCUCCAGAAGCUUCCCUCUUUCUAUAUAAGCCCAUAGGGAGGGUCAUUUGAAACAUCCUGUGACACUCUCCCCCACUGAUGCCGUCGACGUCCUCGUCGUUGCCUCAUUCUGAAACCUCUCGAUGUGUUUCCAGAAUUUUCUCAAGGCAUCCGCAUGUUCCCAGCUUACCGGUCUCUUAGGUAGUCCUUUCCAUCGGACUAGAUACUCUAUCACAGGAGGGACCCCUUGUCUCCUAGUGACCCGUUCAGCCAGGAUAUUCUUCACCUCCUUCUCCUGUGAGGCUUCAGAUAGAUGCAGACCCAUGCGCUUUCGAUGCUUAGAGUGUUGCUUCUUCUUACCGAUUGAGUUCACCUUUCCCUUGGUGACCUCUUCCAUGUGUGUGCGGGCUACCUCAGCUCGCUCCUCUUUUUCCUCCUUUACUUGCACCCCUGCUAGUAAGGAGGUCUUAGGCGUACUAGGCUUCGGGUUAAAUUGGAGGGCACCUAGUAGCUGCAUUGAGCCCAUAUGUGCUUCGUCCUCCUGCUCCCUCUCCUCGAUCAUGGCACUGAACGCCUUCCUCUUUGGACAAUCCCGUGCCCAAUGUGGACCGUCACACAGGAAGCAUUUGAUUUUAGGUGUAAACUCCUUCCUUUCCGCCUUAUCCCUUCCUUCUCGGACGUUAGACGUCUUUCCUGAUCCCUUUUUAGGAGCAUUGUGGUCCCUUGGAACCUCGUCUCCCCUACCCUUGGCGUGGCUAUCCUCCAAAGACUUAACCUUGGAGGAGUCUCCUCUCUUAUAAUCCGUUAAAGACUCUGCUACUGCCAUAGCAGUGGCUAAGUCUUAAACGCCUCGGCGCCUUAAUUCUUGCUCGGCCCACCCUUGCAGGUUAUCCAUGAAGUUGAAUAACAACUCCUCCUCAAUUAUGUUAGGAAUCUCAAGCAUGAGCGAAGAGAAUUCCUUGACAUAUUCACGUAUCGAGCUUGUGUGCUUGAGACGCCUCAUGUUUUUCCUAGCCAGGUAAGCCACGUCCUCGGGGUAGAACUGCCUCUUGAUCUGCCUCCUGAAGUCCUCCCACGUCCCUAUGGUGCAAAUGCCUUUCUCCAUAUCGGCAAACCUUCGACGCCACCAUAGAGUAGCUGUGUCAGUAAGGUAGAGGGUCGUAGUUCUCACCUUAGCCACCUCAUUCGUUAAUGCGAUAGCUUCGAAGUAUCGCUCCAUAUGCCAUAAGAAGUUAUCCAACUUCUUGGCAUCCCGCUUGCCACUAAACCUAUGUGGCUUCGGCACCUCCACCCUAGAUGCCUCCUAUGUGGUCAUGACCCGUGCCGACACAGCAGCCUUGUAGAUGUCCAACUCCUGCCUAACCUCCUGGUCUCGGGACUCCAUUCGAGUGGCCAAGGCCUCUAUCCUUGACUCCAUGCUAGCAAGCAUGCUCAAGACCUUUCCUUGGAAGGACACAAACUCCUCGUGCGACACUGGUUGAACCUGUGAGACUAGCACCCUCUCACGAAGGUCUUGGAUCUGCUCCCCUAGAUCCUCUAAGCCCUUCUCCAUGCCUUGCUCGAUCAAGUCCAACCCCUCCCGAGUGUCCGCCAUGGCUAGCUCUACCUUGGCUAACCUUGCCUCCAUAUUGGCAACGGCAUCACGAGACUUAUCCUUCUUAUCCCUGCCCCGUGCAGUAGGCUCGGUCUCCCUUCCACGGGUUUGCUCACUAGUCUCCUCCACGUUAGAGCCCGACAUGCUUCCUUUGCUAUGCCCACCUUGUAACCGUGCUCUGAUACCACUUGUCACGGACUUAGUCGUUCACUAAGCUCGUGCGGCACUUAGGCAAGUCAAGACGCUUGAUCUUGCUAAGUCAGCCUUGAUCCCCAAUGCUUAGCUUGCUCGGCUAAGACACUCGCGACUCGAAAGCUUAAGAAGCUUGGUAGGCAACUCCUUAAAGAAUGGAAGCUCUUAUUAACUCAAGAAAGCCUUUACAAGUGCUUAGAUGCUCACUUGCUUGGUUAGGAAGUGAUUUGGGUGGUGCCUUGGCCAAAUGAGGCCUUCACCUAUUUAUAGGCACCAAUGGAACUCUCUGGAACCUUGGAGGGUUCCUUACAAAUCAAGAAUAUUCUAGAACAUCCUACCCUAUUCUAUGUACAACCCUAUGUACAAGAGAUUCUUAGAAGUCUCUAGAAAGCCCUGGACUCCUCCCAUGCCUUCCUCCAUAGUGUAGAGAUGUGCGGACAUCUCUAGGCACUUCUAGAACCUUCCACACUCUUCCCACCAAUGGCUUAGAGUAGAUGGUUCCAGGAGUCUCCAGAAGCUUCCCUCUUUCUAUAUAAGCCCAUAGAGAGGGUCAUUUGAAACAUCCUAUGACAUUAGGCCCAUUUAGGCACCCUUAGCCCAUUUACGCACCCUAGGUCCACUUAGGCAGCCUAGGCCCAUUUAGGCACCCUAGGUCCCCUUAGACACCUUAGGCCCAUUUAGGCACCCUAGCCUCAUUUAGACACCCUUGGCCCAUUGAGGCACCCUAGGCCCAUUGAGGCACCCUAGGCCCAUUUACGACACUAGGUCAACUUAGGCACCCUAGGUCCACUUAGGCACCCUAGGUCCACUUAGGCACCCUAGGCCCAUUUAGGCACCCUAGGACCAAUUAGGCACUGUAAACCCAUUUAGGCACCUUAGGCCCAUUUAGGCACCCUAAGUCCAAUUGGGCAGCUUAGGCUCAUUUAGGCACCCUAGGCCCAUUUAGGAACCCUAUGUCCACUUAGACACCUUAUGCCCAUUUAGGCACCCUAGGUCCACUUAUGCACUCUAGACCCAUUUAGGCACCCUAGGUCCACUUAGGCACCUUAGGCCCAUUUAGGCACCCUAGGUCCAUUUAGGCACCCUUUGCCCAUUUAGGUACCCUAGGCCCACUUAGGUACCCUAGGACCAUUUAGGCACCCUAGGUCCAUUUAGGCACAUAAGGCUCAUUUAGGCACCCAUAGGCCCAUUUACGCACCCUAGGUCCACUUAGACCCCUUAGGCCCAUUUAGGCACCCUAGGCUCAUUUAGGCACCCUUCGCCCAUUUAGGCACCCUAGGCCCACUUAGUAACCCUAAGCCCACUUAGAACCCUUGGCCCAUUUAGGCACCCUAGGUCCACUUAGGCACUCUAGGCCCAUUUAGGCACCCUAGGUCUCUUAGACACGCUAGGCCCAUUUAAGCACCCUAAGCCCACUUAGGCACCCUUGGCCCAUUUUGGAACCCUAGGCUCAUUUAGGCACCCUAGGUCCACUUAGGCACCCUUGGCCCAUUUAGGCCCCCUAAGCCUAAAUGGCACCCUAGGUCAACUUAGGCACCCUACGUCCACUUAGGCACCCCAGGUCCAUUUAGGCACCCUUGGCCCAUUUAGGCACCCUAGGCCCACUUAGGCACCCUAGGCCCAUUUUGGCACCCUAUGUCCAUUCAGGCACCAUAGGGUCGUUUAGGUACCCUAGGUCCACUUAGGCACCCUAGGCCCAUUUAGGCACCCUAGGUCCAUUUAGGCACAUAAGGCUCAUUUAGGCACCCAUAGGCCUAUUUCGGCACCCUACCUCCACUUAGACACCUUAGGCCCAUUUUGGCACCCUAGGCUCAUUUAGGAACCCUUGGCCCAUUUAGGCACCCUAGGCCCACUUAGUAACCCUAAGCCCACUUAGACACCCUUGGCCCAUUUAGGCACCCUAGGUCCACUUUAGCACUCUAGUCCAAUUUAGGCACCCUAGGUCCACUUAGACACGCUAGGCACAUUUAAGCAGCCAAAGCCCACUUAGGCACCCUUGGGCCAUUUUGGAACCCUAGGCUCAUUUAGGCACCCUAGGUACCCUUAGGCACCCUAAGCCCAUUUAGGCAUCCUUGGCCCAUUUAGGCACCUUAGGCCCACUUAGGCACCUAGGUCCACUUAGACACCUUAGGCCCAUUCAGGCACCCUAGGUCCACUUAGGCACUCUAGACCCAUUUAGGCACCCUAGGUCCACCUAGGCACCCUAAGCCCAUUUAGGCACCCUAGGUCCAUUUACGCACCCUUGGCCCAUUUAGGUACCCUAGGCCCAUUUAGGCACCCUAGGUCCAUUUACGCACCUUAGAGUCAUUUAGGCAUCCAUAGGCCCAUUUAGGCACCCUAGGUCCACUUAGACUCCUUAGGCCCAUUUAGUCACCCUAAGCUCAUUUAGGCACCCUUGGCCAAUUUAGGCACCUAGGCCCACUUAGACACCCUAAACCCACUUAGACACGCAGCGCCCAUUUAGGCACCCUACGUCCACUUAGGCACCUUAGGCCCACUUAGGCACCCUUGGCCCAUUUACGCACCUAGGUCCACUUAGGCACCCUAGGCCCAUUUAGGGGACCCUAAGUCGACUUAGACACCUUACGGCCAUUUAGGCACCCUAGGCUCAUUUAGGGACCCUUCGCCCAUUUAGGCACCCUAGGUCCAUUUACGACCCUAGGUCAACUUAGGCACCCUAGGUCCAUUUAGGUACCCUAGGUCCACUUAGACAGCCUAGGCCCAUUUAGGCACCCUAGGCUCAUUUAGGCACCCUUGGCCCAUUUAGGCACCCUACGCCCAUUUAGGCACCCUAGGUCAACUUAGGCAACCUAGGUCCACUUAUGCACCCCAGGUCCAUUUAGGCACCCUUGGCCCAUUGAGGCACCCUAGGCCCACUUAGGCACCCUAGGCCCAUUUACGCACCCUAGGUCCAUUUACGCACCCUAGUCCCAUUUAGGCACCAUAGGUCCACUUAGACACCCUAGGCCCAUUUAGGCACCCUAAGCCCACUUAGGCACCCUUGGUCCAUUUAGGCACCCUAGGCUCAUUUAGGUACCCUAGGUCCACUUAGGCACCCUAGGCCCAUUUAGGCACCCUUGGUCCACUUAGGCACCCUAGGCCCAUUUAGGUACCCUAGGUCUAGUAAGGAACUCUAGACCCAUUUAGGCACCUUAGGCUCAUUUAGGCACCCUAGGUCCAAUUAGGCACCUUAGGCUUAUUUAGGCACCCUAGGCCCAUUUAGAAACCCUAUGUCCACUUAGACACCUUAUGCCCAUUUAGGCACCCUAGGUCCACGUAGGCACUCUAGACCCAUUAGGCACCCUAGGUUCACUUGGGCACCCUAGGCCCAUUUAGGCACCCUAGGUCCACUUUGGCACCAUAGGCCCAUUUAGCCACCCUAGGUCCACUUACACACCUUAGGCCCAUUUAGGCACCCUAGGCUCAUUUAGGCACCCUUGGCCCAUUUAGGCACUCUAGGCCCACUUAGACACCCUAAGCCCACUUAGACACACUGUGCCCAUUUAGGCACUCUAGGUCCACUUAGGCACCCUAGGCCCAUUUAGGCACCGUAGGUCUAUUUAGGCACAUAAGGCUCAUUUAGGCACCCAUAGGCCCAUUUAGAAAAUUUCGCACAGCCUGAUGCAGUUGUCUUCCGAAGGCCAUAUCUUUCUCAUUUCAGCUCCAAAUCAUACAUGGUUUGAACCGUUGGAUUCUUGACUUUCUGAGCUUUGAAAUGGUAUAUAGAAUGUAAAAAAUGGACUUCGGGAAGUGCUCCAAAAGUGCAAUGAAAGACUGCAGCUGUGUCCCCUGUUUUCCUCUUCUCCAUUGUUUCUUCCUUGUAUACUUUGAACCACUAAGGCAAAGGAUUAUGAGGCUCCAUAGCUUGAUUUCUUCAUAAAUUUAAGCUUUCAAAAGCUUUGCUCUGAACUAUAAAUAGCUCUCCCUCAUUCUUAAAUUGCUUUGGUGAGCAUAAAGCUAUCAAAAAGCACCAAAACUUAACACAUUUGUUAGAAACGAUUGCAAAGGUCCCUAAUAUGUUAAUUGAGUUAAAAGAUAAUAAUUACUACUCAAGGGUGUUUAAAAGAGCUAAUUACAAGCUACAAAAUAGCAUGUUUUGAGUAGUAAUCACUCCCCCCAACCGACAUAUUGCUAGUCCCUUAGCAAUUAAGGAGAGAAAAACUAAGCAAACGUAAUAAUAUACAUAAAAGAAGUCAUGCAAUUCAUUCCAAAAAAUAAUUGAGUGGCAUGACUGAUAUCCAAACACAUCUCUCCUGGUGAACUAAAGAUAUGAAGAUUCAAAAUGCAAUAGGAGUUGUCAAAGCUUAAACUUAAACAAAAAGUACAAAGAGUGGAGAUUAUGCAAUUAAGUAUCAAAAGAAUCUCUACUCUCAAGGUUUCAAAUCAAACUCUUCCAUAAUAAGCUAAGUGUUAAUGAAAUUAGCUUCCGGAUAUAGUAUAUACAACUAUCCUCACCCUCCAAACUAAGCUUUUCUCGAAUAUUGGCAAAAUUAAUCAACUCUUAAUAGGUUAAGAACGCACCUUCUUAUUCACAAUUCUUUUUUUUUUUACUCACUAAACUUAACCAAUUCACCUAUGUAGCAAGCAGAGGAUCGAUGACUCCCAACCAAUUAAGGUUUAGGGCAUUGGGUUUUAAAGGCUUUCGCCACCCCUUCGGAUCAUACUUAGGUUUCAAGGAAAGAAUAGAGGCUUAUUCUCUUUUUCUUUUUCUAAGACUCAUUGGUCUUUUUCUAAGACUCAUUGGUCUUUAUGAGGUGUCCCAACACUAUUAAAAAGAGGUUAAGUAAUAAACCAAGUCAAAAUUUUCCUAAGCUUAGAAAGUGAGAAAGUUUUACAUCUUAUAUCCGGGAUCUAAUGUGCACAGUGUGUGUAAAGCUCGAAAUGGAAGAAGAAAGUUCAAAAUCAAAGAGGCUUCAAUAGAUUAUCAACUUUGAAAGCAUAAAACAAACUCUAAGACUUAAAUAAUUAAGUUAAAACUCGACUUAUCCUAUUUUAUUUUUGAAAAAUUAUCUUUAACAACCAGAGAGAAUGAUUCAAAAAACUUUUUAAAAAAUUUAAAAUUUAAGCAAAAAUUAACUAAAAUACCAAAAUAACUUAAUAUUGACAACAAAACUUCCUUUCUCAAUUCUCCCCCCCAACCAAGUUGAACAUUGUCCCCAAUGUUUCAAAAGCGAUUAAAAAUAAAGGGAGGAAGUGGUACCUCCUGAGUGAGAUAAAGUCUGAGUGUAAAGGAGGUAUGGAGUACCUUAAACCACAUGUUCCAAGGACAAAAGAGUAAUGAGAAAAGGGAAUAUAAUCAAAAAGGAUAUAUAUAUAUAUAUAUAUUACUUGAAAAAGAAAUAUACAAUGUAUGAUUUCAAGUACUAUUUCCAAUCCCAAUUUAUAACACAUGCAAAAGAUGGGAUUUACAAGUCUAAAAUAAAAAGUAAAACAUAAAAAAAUCAGAUAUGAGUGGGGUCAUGUGAUGGCUCUGCUCUGAUCUCCUCCUCUGGUAUAGGCUGCUCAGCUGGCAAGCUCUCCUCAUCUGGCACUAGAGGCUCGGAUGGUGCAGACCUAUCAUGCCCAAGAGGGAUCUGCAUACUCAGAUGCUGCUGAAUCUGAUGAAGGAUCGUGGUAUGCUGGGCCUGAGUAGCGAUGAUCUGAUCCUGGUGUGCACGAAUAGUGGCCAUCUGGUGGAUAAUAGAAUCCUGAGCAGUGCUCAGUGUCCGCAAUGAACGCUCUAAGCCUCUGAAUUCUGUAAGAGAAAUGGUGACAGUGGGCUCAGAUGAAGGAGGAGGUGCUGGGGUAGCUGGCACGACUGGUGGAGCACCCUGAGUGAUAGGGGAGGUAGAAUGUAUAGCCUCGGGCAUGUGCACUGAGGGCUGUGCUGCAGGGGCAGGAGGUGGUGUCUCUGUGAGAAUCUCAUCCUGCUGGGCCUGAGGUAUCUGCUCAUCUCGGGGUAGCUCUGGAGGUGCAUGUACAGCUGGGGCUCCCUGAGGUGCAAAGUAGGCUACCAAGUGAUGCCAUUUGUCGAGAGAGAAGUCCUCUCGGCAAUGGCGGCGCCUCUCAAGACGGGGCUCUUCAGGAUAGCCCAAGUGCUCUAAAAUCUGGCAGAGGAGCCUCGGAAAUAGUAAUGGGAUGCCAUCUGCCCUCUGAAGCUUCUUCUGAUGGACUUUCUCUUCAAAAUGAAGAAGAGAAGUCAUAAUCAAAUGAUGAGGGCCGAAGAAAUAGCCCUCAGAAAUCCUGAAUAACGCCUCAAGUAUAGCUCCUCUCCUCUGAACCUUAUGCUGAAGGGGGAAUAGGUUGGCACGCAGGAGCACAUCAAUGAGGAGCAUCCCAGAUGGAAGCUCUCUCCUGGUCAAUACCGAGGCUGUAGAAGUCCCCCUGGACAAAAUGCGGACCAUGUCACUCUGAGAGAAUGAGGACCACUCCCUGAAAUCUGCCUGAAACACGGGCUCAUAAGGUAUACGGAGGGCCUCAGCAAUGUGGCGAGCUCCAAUGGCACCCUGGCGUCCGUCUAUGGUAAAUUGGAUGAGAGUAGGAUUGCGGAGGCCUCGAGUAGUCAUAGAUUGAUAAAAAUCUAAAACUACUCUGGGAUAGUAGAAUUGCCUAGGAGUGAGAAGAUCCUCCAUGUGAUACCUCUACAGCAGUCGGAAUGAAUCUCUGAGCUCUGGCUGCUGUCUGAGGGCCUCUAUAUCAAAGUAGGUCUCAGAGUGGAAGGAUCGAUUUCUGCAAUCCAAGUUGCCCUCUAUCGGUGGUCCGGCUAUCAUGGGACGCCUGAUAAUGGUCUCGGGAGUAUUUUCUACAGGAAUCUGAGGUUCCUCUGUAGCUGGCUCUGGCUGAGGUGCGUGGGAUGGCUCUCCAGGACCCGAGAACCUGGUCCUCUUCGCUGGUGGCCGAGAAACAGGGCUCGUGGCCUGAUCGACUGGUGCCACAGGGUCCGCGGGUGGCCUCCGGGUGGGGUAUCGGCUCUGAGAAGGAGCUUCCCCCUCAGAUGGGGGAAUGGCCGGGGCCUGAACAGGUGGUGAAGGUGCGGCUCCCAUGGCGGCUCGCUGUGGUCGAGGUGUCGGUGAGGACGGGGAGGCGGAAUGGCCUCCUCUGGUCUUCGCCAUGGCCGAAAUGAAGGGAGGUGGGUGUUCGGGAUUCCAGAGGUUUUUCAGCUGGUGCUUAGGAGAGUCCUUUGAGCUUCUGGACUUCAGGGGUUUAUAUAGGAAUGAGGUUUAAGGGGUUUCUGAUCUUUUAAAAUUUUUCAAGGCAACCGAAAAGUCGUUUUUGGAUGUUAGGCACAAUUUCGGGGGUAAAAUUUUAAUUUAAAAGUCGGUUUUAAAUUUGUAGAAGUUAAAAUUUUACCGUGCGAAAUUUUCGCACCUUGGCCUGCAAAUUUCGCACCUUGGAAUUGGGUGUGCGAAAAUGGCACCCCUUUGGCCGAUGAUUUCGCACGUUAAAAGGAGGUGUGCGAAAUUUUCGCACCUUGAAUAGUGGUGUGCGAAAUUUUCGCACACUAUUUCGCACAGUGCGAAAAUCAGCUUGAGGUGUGCGAAAUUGGCACACGUGUGCCAGGAGAGGAUUUCGCACAGUGCGAAAAUUUUCGCACCUUCCACAGUGGUGUGCGAAAUUGGAUUUUAGGAAAUUCGCACCUUGAAAAGGGAUUUCGCACCUUGAAAUUGAUUUCGCACCUUGAGGUAGGGGUGUGCGAAAAUUGCUUCCUUUGGCCCAAGGAUUUCGCACCUUGGUAUUGAGGUGUGCGAAAUUUUCGCACCUUGAAAUCAGGUGUGCGAAAAUUUGGCACCUUGAAAUUGGGUGCUCUGUUUCCUUGGUUUUUCUCCCCUUGGCUGCUUUUGACGAGCUCUCCCCAUCUUUCAUGAUUUUUUUCUGAAAUUUAUUAUCAAAAUUAACUUGAAUUAAGACAAUAUAAACUAAGAUUAGGAGAAAAUUAAAAUAUAAAGAAAUAAAAAUACUAAUAUAACUAUAAAACUAUAACAAAAAAUUCAUGGACUUCUUUAGCCCAUGAUACCCUGCUUUCCCUCAGAUUUGUGGUAGUUCAAGGAGAUUGAUCUCCUCCUUGUCUGUACUGUAAGGCUCUAAGAAUGGCUUGAGACGAUGGCCAUUGACUUUGAAGGUUUGAUUGCCUGUGGGAUUGAAUAUUUCCACCACUCCGUUGGGAUGCACUUCAUGAAUUAUGAAAGGACCCGUCCAUCUGGAUUUCAAUUUUUUUCGGUAAAAGAUAAAGCUUAGAGUCAUAAAGUAAGACUCUUUGUCCCAAAACAGCCCCCAUAGCAAGAUCUUAAAAAAAAAAACUAAGUUAAAUCAAACCAAAAUAAAAUUAAAGCAAGAAAUCAAAAUUAAAACAAGUUUAAAAAUAAAACAAAAAGAUAUGGACUAGCUAGUCUUUAGAAAGACUAAGUCCAUAAAAAAAAUUGGAUCCGGAUUUAGCUUGCCCGGAUCCCAUAUGAAGUUUGCAUCCCUCCCUUGAGACUUGCUUUGUAUGAUGGUGCCAUACAAAGCUUGGGGGAAAGGUGGAGGGAUGUGAUUCUUCAUCAUUUCUUCCUUUAAAAGAAUUUGAGGUUCCUCAUCCAUGCUUGGAAUGAUGCUUUCUUUCAUCUGAACUCCCUUUCCCUUUUGUUCUUUCUUCUUUUCUUCUUUUCUAUCAGCCUUGUCUUCUUUGGCUUUCCUCUGAUCAUGCUCCGGCUGAUGCACUUCCUUACCACUUCUCAAAGUGAUAAUAGCUUGCACGUCCCUCACCUUUGAAGAAUCCUCAUCUUUGGAUUCCACUUCAUGUAUCCCCUUAGGAUUUUGGUGAGGCUGAGAGGGAAACUUCCCUUUCUCAUUGACAGUGUUCAAAUUUGUGAGCCUUGAGAUGGAAUAUUGGAUGUUGUCAAUUUUCUGAGACAACUCAUUAUGCAUCCCAUCUAUCUUCUUGUUCAAUGUACUCUCUACGUUGUCAAUCUUCUGAUUUAGUUGAGAGUUGAUGGAUUUUUGCUCGCUCACAAAGUCACCCAUAACCUUGCUAAGGCUUACGAGUGCUUGCUCAACUGAGGAUUGACCUUGACUCUGUUGGCUUGAUUGGGCUGGUGACUGAUAUGGGUUUGGCCUUGGCUUCCAUGCAAAGUUUGGGUGGUUCCUCCAGCUAGAGUUGUACGUGUUGCCAUAGGGAGCAUUUGAAUUUGGCUUCCAUUGGCCAAUCAGGUUAGCUUGUUCCCCGAACAUUUCUCUUGCUGCCAGAAUGGUGGGACAUUCUUCCACCAUAUGUUCAAAUGACUGACAUAUGGAGCAAGGAUUGGCUUGUUGUUGAGGUUCUGAAAUAGCUUGGACUUCGUGAACUUUUCUCAACUCCAUUUCCUCUAUUUUUCUAGCCAUGGCAGCUACCUUGGCUUUCAUCUCCAUGUCUUCACUCAGACUGUACAUCCCCCCUCUUGACAUUUGCUGAACUGGCCUCUUCCCCAUUUCUCUACUAUUGGGCUCAUCCCAUCCACGGGAAACCUCUGAGACAUAACUUAGGAAGUCCAUAGCCUCCUCAGGGUUCUUGCUCAUGAAAUCACCCCCACACAUUGUCUCCAAUAUCUGCUUCAUUGAAGAUGACAUGCCAUCAUAAAAAUAGCUCACCAAAAGCCAUGUAUCAAAGCCGUGGUGAGGACAUGCAUUGAUGGCCUCCAUAUACCUCUCCCAGCAUUCAUAAAAUUUUUCAUUUUCACGUGCUGAGAAGUUGGAGAUUUGUCUCUUCAAUCCAUUUGUUCUGUGAGUAGGGAAAAACUUCUUCAAAAAAUCAGCUUGAAGUUCUGUCCAUGUUCUUAUGCUUCUCGGCCUCAAGGAAUUAAGCCAUAUCUUGGCUUUGUCCUUUAAUGUGAAUGGAAAGAGCUUCAACCUCAUAAGCUCAAUAGUUGUUCCCCCUUCUUGAAAAGUAUUGCACACAUCUUCGAAUUCCUUUAUGUGCGCAUAUGGAUUUUCACUUUCCAUCCCAUGGAAAGUAGGAAGCAGAGGCACGAUGUGUGGCAUGAUAAUCAAUUGCUCUGUAGGAGGAAUGAUGCAAGAUGGUGCACUCAUCCUCGGAGGGUGCAUCCUGUCCCUCAUGGACCUAUACAAGUUCGGAUCAUUCCCCUGCCCGUGUUGUGAAUGUUGAUCCUCUGGUUGAUUCUCCAUGAUCUCCAAAAUAAUAUCUAAUUCAGUAGCUCGUGGAGUCUCUAUCCGCACUAACCUUCCCUCUUGGUCUCUAAUCCAAUAGGGCAUGCACGGAUUCAGCUGGAACAAAACAAAUAAACAAAACAAAGAAAAAGAAAAAAAAAACAGAGCAUGCGGAAGGAAAAACAGAGUAUGAAAAAUAAACUAAAAAUGAAAGUUAAAAGCUAAAAGAAACUUAUCUAAACUAAGUUAAAAAUGUUCUAAAACUAAAAUAAAAAGUUAGUAAAUGAAAAAGGAGAUAGAAUUCACCUUACUCAUGAGAAGUCUCACAAGUUACCUCCGGCUGAUAUAUUCACAGUGAAGUAGCACCUUCCCCGGCAACGGCGCCAUUUGAUACGCUUGACUCUUGGUAGCUUGGCAUGUAAGGGUAUCAACAAAAUUUAUACCUAAGGUCCUUACACUAAAGUAGCAAAGCUACUAUAGUAUAGUGGCUCUAGGAUCGAACACUGGGAAGGGUUUUUACUUUAACUAGUGAAGUUCAGAGGAUGGAGUGAACUUUUCUUAAUAAAAAUUAGGUUAAGAUGAAAACAUAAAAAGAUGAAGGUGUUGUAAACUAAACUAACAUGAAAAUAGGAUAAAAGAUGGAAAAAGAAGUUUCUCAAAGCUUUGGAUAGCCAUGCUUAACUCACCAUGUAAAAAUGGAGAUUUUGGGACUUUUCACCUCGCGUUGGGGAAGCAACUAAGGUGAUGCUUACUUCCCGAACCGGUAUGAGUUUAACAACUGAGUUUUAGUCCUUGAAAACUUACAAAAAGGGUAGCUGAACCUCAUAAAUGCCCUUUUAAUGAUAUAGGUCAUCUACUCGACUUGCAAUACAAUGGCUCGUAGGAGAUAACUAACGAACGUCAGUGGAUCUAACAAUAAGAAUCCACUGAGACCAAAAGCUUAUCAAGUAUUGGCCAUUCAAAGCAAGUCAGAGGGAUUAAAAGCUUUACUUUGAAUGAAAACAUUUAUGGUGCUCAGCUACUUACAUUCAUGGCUUGGAAAUCUCCAUCCUGACACGGGAGCUUCACAUGGCAUCCAUUACUUCAAGAAACUAAAAGGUUUUAGCCUCUCAUCCUUGGGGAUUUCAUCCUCCAAGGAUGUUUGGCUACUAAGAAAAUGAGAAAAUAGAAGAGAGAAAAAGAAAAAACAAAAGAGAUCUCUGUAUUUCACUAAGUAACUAAUUUACAUUGGUCUCCUGGAGAAAGCUCCCCGAAAAGAUAUUGUUUUCAGUGAUUACAAGAGAAUUUAUAUAGGAAGGUAGUUUUACCCUUCCUUGGAUACUUCCUAGCUAAGGAAUUACAUGGUUGGUUGAAUACAAGGAGAAAAUGGAAAUUUAAACACAAAAAUAUCAGAAGAAGAAGAGUCGGCAAACAUAUCCAAUUUUCGCACGCUGAAGUUCCAAUUUCGCACGUUGAUUUGAGGUGUGCGAAAUUUUCGCACAGUGGACUGAGGAUUUCGCACCUUGAUUUCCAUCGUGCGAAAAUUUCGCAUAGCCUGAUGCAGUUGUCUUCCGAAGGCCAUAUCUUUCUCAUUUCAGCUCUAAAUCAUACAUGGUUUAAACCGUUGGAUUCUUGACUUUCUGAGCUUUGAAAUGGUAUAUAGAAUGUAAAAAAUGAACUUCGGGAAGUGCUCCAAAAGUGCAAUGAAAGACUGCAGCUGUGUCCCCUGUUUUCCUCUUCUCCAUUGUUUCUUCCUUGUAUACUUUGAACCACUAAGGCAAAGGAUUAUGAGGCUCCAUAGCUUGAUUUCUUCAUAAAUUUAAGCUUUCAAAAGCUUUGCUCUGAACUAUAAAUAGCUCUCCCUCAUUCUUAAAUUGCUUUGGUGAGCAUAAAGCUAUCAAAAAGCACCAAAACUUAACACAUUUGUUAGAAAUGAUUGCAAAGGUCCCUAAUAUGUUAAUUGAGUUAAAAGAUAAUAAUUACUACUCAAGGGUGUUUAAAAGAGCUAAUUACAAGCUACAAAAUAGCAUGUUUUGAGUAGUAAUCAGCACCCUAGGUCCACUUACACACCCUAGGUCCACUUAGGCACCCUAGGCCCAUUUAGGCACCCUAGGUCCAUUUAGGCACAUAAGGCUCAUUUAGGCACCCAUAGGCCUAUUUCGGCACCCUACCUCCACUUAGACACCUUAGGCCCAUUUUGGCACCCUAGGCUCAUUUAGGAACCCUUGGCCCAUUUAGGCACCCUAGGCCCACUUAGUAACCCUAAGCCCACUUAGACACCCUUGGCCCAUUUAGGCACCCUAGGUCCACUUUAGCACUCUAGUCCCAUUUAGGCACCCUAGGUCCACUUAGACACGCUAGGCACAUUUAAGCAGCCAAAGCCCACUUAGGCACCCUUGGGCCAUUUUGGAACCCUAGGCUCAUUUAGGCACCCUAGGUACACUUAGGCACCCUAAGCCCAUUUAGGCAUCCUUGGCCCAUUUAGGCACCUUAGGCCCACUUAGGCACCUAGGUCCACUUAGACACCUUAGGCCCAUUCAGGCACCCUAGGUCCACUUAGGCACUCUAGACCCAUUUAGGCACCCUAGGUCCACCUAGGCACCCUAGGCCCAUUUAGGCACCCUAGGUCCAUUUACGCACCCUUGGCCCAUUUAGGUACCCUAGGCCCAUUUAGGCACCCUAGGUCCAUUUAGGCACCUUAGAGUCAUUUAGGCAUCCAUAGGCCCAUUUAGGCACCCUAGGUCCACUUAGACUCCUUAGGCCCAUUUAGGCACCCUAAGCUCAUUUAGGCACCCUUGGCCAAUUUAGGCACCUAGGCCCACUUAGACACCCUAAACCCACUUAGACACGCAGCGCCCAUUUAGGCACCCUAGGUCCACUUAGGCACCUUAGGCCCACUUAGGCACCCUUGGCCCAUUUACGCACCUAGGUCCACUUAGGCACCCUAGGCCAAUUUAGGGACCCUAAGUCGACUUAGACACCUUACGGCCAUUUAGGCACCCUAGGCUCAUUUAGGGACCCUUCGCCCAUUUAGGCACCCUAGGUCCAUUUACGACCCUAGGUCAACUUAGGCACCCUAGGUCCAUUUAGGUACCCUAGGUCCACUUAGACAGCCUAGGCCCAUUUAGGCACCCUAGGCUCAUUUAGGCACCCUUGGCCCAUUUAGGCACCCUACGCCCAUUUAGGCACCCUAGGUCAACUUAGGCAACCUAGGUCCACUUAGGCACCCCAGGUCCAUUUAGGCACCCUUGGCCCAUUGAGGCACCCUAGGCCCACUUAGGCACCCUAGUCCCAUUUACGCACCCUAGGUCCAUUUACGCACCCUAGUCCCAUUUAGGCACCAUAGGUCCACUUAGACACCCUAGGCCCAUUUAGGCACCCUAAGCCCACUUAGGCACCCUUGGUCCAUUUAGGCACCCUAGGCUCAUUUAGGUACCCUAGGUCCACUUAGGCACCCUAGGCCCAUUUAGGCACCCUUGGUCCACUUAGGCACCCUAGGCCCAUUUAGGUACCCUAGGUCUAGUUAGGAACUCUAGACCCAUUUAGGCACCUUAGGCCCAUUUAGCCACCCUAGGUCCAAUUAGGCACCUUAGGCUUAUUUAGGCACCCUAGGCCCAUUUAGAAACCCUAUGUCCACUUAGACACCUUAUGCCCAUUUAGGCACCCUAGGUCCACGUAGGCACUCUAGACCCAUUAGGCACCCUAGGUUCACUUGGGCACCCUAGGCCCAUUUAGGCACCCUAGGUCCACUUUGGCACCAUAGGCCCAUUUAGCCACCCUAGGUCCACUUACACACCUUAGGCCCAUUUAGGCACCCUAGGCUCAUUUAGGCACCCUUGGCCCAUUUAGGCACUCUAGGCCCACUUAGACACCCUAAGCCCACUUAGACACACUGUGCCCAUUUAGGCACCCUAGGUCCACUUAGGCACCCUAGGCCCAUUUAGGCACCCUAGGUCUAUUUAGGCACAUAAGGCUCAUUUAGGCACCCAUAGGCCCAUUUAGGCACCCUAGGUCCACUUACACACCCUAGGCCCAUUUAGGCACCCUAGGCUCAUUUAGGCACCCUUCGCCUAUUUAGGCACCCUAGGCUCAUUUAGUCACCCUUGGCCCAUUUACGCACCCUAGGGCCACUUAGUAACCCUAAGCCCACUUAGACACCCUUGGCCCAUUUAGGCACCCUAGGUCCACUUAGGCACUCUACGCCCAUUUAGGCACCCUAGGUCCACUUAGACACGCUAGGCCCAUUGAAGCACCCUAAGCCCACUUAGGCACCCUUGGCCCAUUUAGGAACCCUAGGCUCAUUUAGGCACCCUAGGUCCACUUAGGCACCCUAAGCCCAUUUAGGCACUCUAGGUCCAAUUAGGUACUCUAGACCCAUUUAGGCACCCUAGGUCCACUUAGGCCCCCUUGGCCCAUUUAGUCACCCUAGGUCCAUUUAGGGACGCUUGGCCCAUUUAGGCACCUUAGGCCCACUUAGGCACCCUUGGCCCAUUUAGGCACCCUAGGUCCAUUUAGGCACCCCAGGCUCAUUUAGGCAUCCUAGGCCCAUUUAGGCACCCUAGGUCCAGUUAGACACCUUAGGCCCGUUUUGGCACCCUAGGUGCAGUUAGGCAUUCUAGACCCAUUAAGGCACCCUAGGUCCACUUAGGCAGCCUAGGCCCAUUUAGGCACCCUAGGUCCAUUUAGGCACCCUUGGCCCAUUUAGGUACCCUAGGCCCAUUUAGGCACCCUAGGUCCAUUUAGGCACCUUAGGGCAUUUAGGCAUCCAUAGGCCCACUUAGGCACCCUAGGUCCACUUAGACACCUUAGGCCCAUUUAGGCACCCUAGUGUCACAAGCUGAUCCAAAUGAGCCUCCCCAUGGCCUUAUAUAGGGCCAGGAAGCUUCUGGAGACUCCUAGAGUGGGAAGAGUGUGGAAGGUUCUAGAGAAGUCUGGAGGAAUCCACACAAUUCUACACUAUGGUGGAAGGCACAAGAGGAGUCCUGGGCUUUCUAGAGGAAUCUAGAAGACUCUUGUAUAUACUUGUAUAUAGGCUUGUAUCUAGAAUGAUGUAGGACAUUCUAGAAUAGUCUUGAGUUGUAAGGAACCCUCCAAGGUUCCAGAGAGUUCCAUUGGUGCCUAUAAAUAGGUGAGGGCCUCAUUUGGCCAAGGCACCAAGCAAGUGAGCAUCCAAGCACUUGUAAAGGCUUUCUUGAGUUAAUAGAGCUUCCAUUCUUUCAAGAGUUGCCUACCAAGCUUCUUAAGCUUUUUGAGUCGCAGGUGUCUUAGACGAGCAAGCUAAGCAUUGGGGAUCAAGGCUGACUUAGCAAGAUGAAGCGUCUUGGCUUGUCUAAGUGCCGCACGAGCUUAGUGAAUGACUAAGUCUGUGAUACUAGGCUCAUUUAGGCACCCUUGGCCCAUUUAGGCACCCUAGGCCCACUUAGACACCCUAAGCCCACUUAGACACGCUACGCCCAUUUAGGCACCCUAGGUCCACUUAGGCACCUUAGGCCCACUUAGGCACCCUAGACCCAUUUAGGCACCCUAGGUCCAAUUAGGCACCCUAAGCUCAUUUUGGCACCCUAGGCCCAUUUAGGAACCCUAUGUCCACUUAGACACCUUAGGCCCAUUUAGGCACCGUCGGUCCACUUAGGCACUCUAGACCCAUUUAGGCACCCUAGGUCUACUUAGGCACCCUAGGCCCAUUUAGGUACCCUAGGUCCAUUUAGGCACCCCUUGCCCAUUUAGGUACCCUAGGCCAACUUAGGUACCCUAGGACCAUUUAGGCACCCUAGGUCCAUUUAGGCACAGAAGGCUCAUUUAAGCACCCAUAGGCCCAUUUAGGCACCCUAGGUCCACUUAGACCCCUUAAGCCCAUUUAAGCACCCUAGGCUCAUUUAGGCACCCUUGGCCCAUUUAGGCACCCUUGGCUCAUUUAGGCACCCUUGGCCCAUUUAGGCACCCUAGUGUCACAGGAUGCUUAAAAUGACCCUCCCCAUGGGCUUAUAUAGGAGGAGGGAAGCUUUUGGAGACUCCUGGAGCCAUCUACACUAAGCCAUUGGUGGGAAGAGUGUGGAAGGUUCUAGAAAUGCCUAGAGAAGUCCACACAACUCUACACUAUGGUAGAAGGCACGAGAAGGGUCCAAAGCUUUCUAGAGAAAUCUAGAAGUCUCUUGAAUAUUCUAGAAUAGUGUAGGACAUUCUAGAAGUCUCUUGAAUAUUCUUGAAUAGUGUAGGACAUUCUAGAAUAUUCAUGAAUUGUAAGGAACCCUCUAAGGUUCUAGAGAGUUCCAUUGGUGCCUAUAAAUAGGUGAGGGCCUCAUUUGGCCAAGGCACCAAGCAAGUGAGCAUCCAAGCACUUGUAAAGGCUUUCUUGAGAUAAUAAAGCUUCCAUUCUUUAAGGAGUUGCCUACUAAGCUCUUAAGCUUUCGAGUCGCGAGUGUCUUAGUCAAGCAAGCUAAGCAUUGGGGAUCAAGGCUGACUUAGCAAGAUCAAGCGUCUUGACUUGCCUAAGUGCCGCACGAGCUUAUUGAACGACUAAGUCCGUGACAAGUGGUAUCAGAGCAUGGUUACAAGGUGGGCAUAGCAAAGGAAGCAUGUCGGGCUCUAACGUGGAGGAGACUAGUGAGCAAACCCGUGGAAGGGAGACCGAGCCUACUGCACGGGGCAGGGGUAGGAAGGAUAAAUCUCGUGAUGCCAUUGCCAACAUGGAGGCAAGGUUAGCCAAGGUGGAGCUAGCCAUGGCGGACACUCGGGAGGGGUUGGACUUGAUCGAGCAAGGCAUGGAGAAGGGCUUAGAGGAUCUAAGGGAACAGAUCCAAGACCUUCGUGAGAGGGUGCUAGUCUCAAAAGUUCAGCCAGUGUCGCACGAGGAGUUUGUGUCCUUCCAAGGAAAGGUCUUGAGCAUGCUUGCUAGCAUGGAGUCAAGGAUAGAGGCCUUGACCACUCGAAUGGAGUCCCGAGACCAGGAAGUUAGGCAGGAGUUGGCCAUUUACAAGGCUGCUGUGUCGGCACGGGUCAUGGCCACACAAGGGGCAUCUAGGGUGGAGGUGCCGAAGCCACAAGGGUUUAGUGGCAAGAGGGAUGCCAAGGAGUUAGAUAACUUCUUAUGGCAUAUGGAGCGAUACUUCGAAGCUAUCGCAUUGACGGAUGAGGCGGCUAAGGUGAGAAUUGCGACCCUCUACCUUACUGACACAGCUACUCUAUGGUGGCGUCGAAGGUUUGCCGAUAUGGAGAAAGGCAUUUGCACCAUAAAGACGUGGGAGGACUUCAAGAAGGAGAUCAAGAGGCAGUUCUACCCCGAGGACGUGGCUUACCUGGCUAGGAAAAACAUGAGGCGUCUCAAGCACACAGGCUCGAUACGUGAAUAUGUCAAGGAAUUCUCUUCGCUCAUGCUUGAGAUUCCUAACAUGACUCAGGAAGAGUUGCUAUUCAACUUCAUGGAUAACCUGCAAGGGUGGGCCGAGCAGGAAUUAAGGCGCCGGGGCGUUCAAGACUUAGCCACUGCUAUGGCAAUAGCAGAAUCUUUAGCGGAUUAUAAGAGGGGAGACUCCUCCAAGAUUGAGUCUUUAGAGGAUAGCCACGCCAUGGGUGGGGGAGACGAGGAUCUAAUGGACCACAAUGCUCCUAAAAAGGGAUCAAGCAAGACGCCUAACGUCCAAGAAGGAAGGGGUAAGGCGGCAAGCAAGGAGUUCACGCCUAAAAUCAAAUGCUUCCUAUGUGACGGACCACAUUGGGCACGGGAUUGUCCAAAGAGGAAGGCGCUUAGUGCCAUGAUCGAGGAGAGGGAGCAGGAGGAUGAAGCACAUAUGGGCUCAAUGCAGCUACUAGGUGCCCUCCAAUUCAACCCGAAGCCUAGUACGCCUGAGACCUCCUUACUAGCAGGCGUGCAAGUAAAGGAGGAAAAAGGGGAGCGAGCUGAGGUAGCCCACACACGCAUGGAAGAAGUCACCAAGGGAAAGGUGAACUCAAUGGGUAAAAGGAAGCAGCACUCUAAGCAUCGAAAGCGCAUGGGUCUGCAUCCAUCUAAGGCCUCACGGGAGAAGGAGGUGAAGAAUAUCCUAGCUGAACGGGUCACUAGGAGACAAGGGGUCCCUCCUGUGAUAGAGUAUCUAGUCCGAUGGAAAGGACUACCUAAGAGGCCGCUAAGCUGGGAACAUGCGGAUGCCUUGAGAAAAUUCUGGAAACACAUCGAGAGGUUUCAGAAUGAGGCAACGACGAGGACGUCGACGGCAUCGGUGGGGGAGAGUGUCACAGGAUGCUUAAAAUGACCCUCCCCAUGGGCUUAUAUAGGAGGAGGGAAGCUUUUGGAGACUCCUGGAGCCAUCUACACUAAGCCAUUGGUAGGAAGAGUGUGGAAGGUUCUAGAAAUGCCUAGAGAAGUCCACACAACUCUACACUAUGGUAGAAGGCAUGAGAAGGGUCCAAAGCUUUCUAGAGAAAUCUAGAAGUCUCUUGAAUAUUCUAGAAUAGUGUAGGACAUUCUAGAAGUCUCUUGAAUAUUCUAGAAUAGUGUAGGACAUUCUAGAAUAUUCAUGAAUUGUAAGGAACCCUCCAAGGUUCUAGAGAGUUCCAUUGGUGCCUAUAAAUAGGUGAGGGCCUCAUUUGGCCAAGGCACCAAGCAAGUGAGCAUCCAAGCACUUGUAAAGGCUUUCUUGAGAUAAUAAAGCUUCCAUUCUUUAAGGAGUUGCCUACUAAGCUCUUAAGCUUUCGAGUCGCGAGUGUCUUAGCCGAGCAAGCUAAGCAUUGGGGAUCAAGGCUGACUUAGCAAGAUCAAGCGUCUUGACUUGCCUAAGUGCCGCACGAGCUUAGUGAACGACUAAGUCCGUGACACUAGGCCCACUUAGUAACCCUAAGCACACUUAGACACCCUUGGCCCAUUUAGGCACCCUAGGUCCACUUGGGCACUCUAGGCCCAUUUAGGCACCCUAGGUCCACUUAGACACGCGAGGCCCAUUUAAGCACCCUAAGUCCACUUAGGCACCCUUGGCCCAUUUAGGAACCCUAGGCUCAUUUAGGCACCCUAGGUCCACUUAGGGACCCUAAGCCCAUUUAGGCACUCUAGGUCAUAUUAGGCACUCUUGACCCAUUUAGGCACCCUAGGCCCAUUUAUGCACCCUAGGUCCAUUUAGGCACCGUUGGCCCAUUUAGGCACCCUAGGCCCACUUAGGCAACCUUGGCCCAUUUAGGCACCCUAGGUCCAUUUAAACACCCUAGGCUCAUUUAGGCACCCUAGGCCCAUUUAGGCACCCUAGGUCCAAUUAGACACCUUAGGCCCAUUUUGGCACCCUAGGUUCACUUAGGCAUUCUAGACCCAUUUAGGCACCCUAGGUCUACUUAGGCACCCUAGGCCCAUUUAGGCACCCUAGGUCCAUUUAAGCAUCCUUAGCCCAUUUAGGUACCCUAGGCCCAUUUAGGCCCCCUAGGUCCAUUUAGGCCCCCUAGGUCCAUUUAGGCCCCCUAGGUCCAUUUAGGCAUCUUAGGGUCAUUUAGGCAUCCAUAGGCCCAUUUAGGCACCCUAGGUCCACUUAGCCACCUUAGGCCCAUUUAGGCACCCUACGCUCAUUUAGGCACCCUUGGCACAUUUAAGCACCGUAGGCCCACUUAGACACCCUAAGCCCACUUAGACACACUGCACCCAUUUAGGCACCCUAGGUCCACUAAGGCACCUUAGGCCCAUUUAGGCACCCUAGGUCCACUUAGACACCUUAGGCCCAUUUAGGCACCCUAGGCUCAUUUAGGCACCCUUGGCCCAUUUAGGUACCCUAGGCCCAUUUAGGCACACUUGGUCCACUUAGGCACCCUAGGUUCACUUAGGCACCCCAGGUCCAUUUAGGCACCCUUGGCCCAUUUAGGCACCCUACGCCCACUUAGGCACCCUAGGCCCAUAUAGGCACCCUAGGUCCAUUUAGGCACCCUAGGCCCAUUUAGACCCCUUAGGCCCAUUUAGGCACCCUAACCCCACUUAGGCACGCUUGGCCCAUUAGGCACCCUAGCCUCAUUUAGGCACCCUAGGUCCACUUAGGCACCCUAGGCCCAUUCAGGCACCCUUGGUCCACUUAGGCACCCUAGGCCCAUUUAGGCACCCUAAGUCCAAUUAGGCUCUCUAGACCCAUUUAGGCACCUUAGGCAUCCUUGACCCAGUUAUGCACCCUAGGUCCACUUAGACACCUUAGGCCCACCUAGGCACCCUAGGCCCAUUUAGGCACCCUAGGUCCAAUUAGGCACCCUACGCUCAUUUUGGCACCCUAGGCCUAUUUAGGAACCCUAUGUCCACUUAGACAACUUAGGCCCAUUUAGGCACCUUAGGUCCACUUAGGCACUCUAGACCCAUUUAGGCACCUUAGGUUUACUUAGGCACCCUAGACCCAUUUAGGUACCCUAGGUCCAUUUAGGCACCCUUUGCCCAUUUAGGUACCGUAGGCCCACUUAGGUACCCUAGGACUAUUUAGGCAUCCUAGGUCCAUUUAGGCACAUAAGGCUCAUUUAAGCACCCAUAGGCCCAUUUAGGCACCCUAGGUCCACUUAGACACCUUAGGGCUAUUUAGGCACCUUAGGCUCAUUUAGGCACCCUUGGCUCAUUUAGGCACCCUAGGCUCAUUUAGGCACCCUUGGUCCAUUUAGGCACAUAAGGCUCAUUUAAGCACCCAUAGGCCCAUUUAGGCACCCUAGGUCCACUUAGACACCUUAGGGCUAUUUAGGCACCUUAGGCUCAUUUAGGCACCCUUGGCUCAUUUAGGCACCCUAGGCUCAUUUAGGCACCCUUGGUCCAUUUAGGCACAUAAGGCUCAUUUAAGCACCCAUAGGCCCAUUUAGGCACCCUAGGUCCACUUAGACACCUUAGGGCUAUUUAGGCACCUUAGGCUCAUUUAGGCACCCUUGGCUCAUUUAGGCACCCUAGGCUCAUUUAGGCACCCUUGGCCCAUUUAGGCACCCUUGGCCCAUUUCGGCACCCUAGGCCCAUUUAGUAACCCUAAGCCCACUUAGACACCCUUGGCCCAUUUAGGCACCCUAGGUCCACUUAGGCAUUCUAGGCCCAUUUAGGCACCCUAGGUCCACUUAGACACGCUAGGCCCAUUUAAGCACCGUAAGCCCACUUAGGCACCUUUGUCCCAUUUAGGAACCCUAGGCUCAUUUAGGCACCCUAGGUCUACUUAGGCACCCUAAGCCCAUUUAAGCACUCUAGGUCAUAUUAGGCACUCUAGACCCAUUUAGGCACCCUAGGUCCACUUAGGCACCCUAGGCCCAUUUAUGCACCCUAGGUCCAUUUAGGCACCCUUGGCUCAUUUAGGCACCCUAGGCCCACUUAGGCACCCUUGGCCCAUUUAGGCACCCUAGGUCCAUUUAGCCACCCUAGGCUCAUUUAGGCACCCUAGGCCCAUUUAGGCACCCUAGGUCCAAUUAGACACCUUAUGCCCAUUUUGGCACCCUAGGUCCACUUAGGCAUUCUAGACCCAUUUAGGCACCCUAGGUCCACUUAGUCACCUUAGGCCCAUUUAGGCACCCUAGGUCCAUUUUGGCAUCCUUAGCCCAUUUAGGUACCCUAGGCCCAUUUAGGCCCCCUACGUCCAUUUAGGCACCUUAGGGUCAUUUAGGCAUCCAUAGGCCCAUUUAGGCUCUUUAGGUCGACUUAGCCACCUUAGGCCCAUUUAGGCACCCUACGCUCAUUUAGGCACCCUUGGCCCAUUUAGGCACCCUAGGCCCACUUAGACACCCUAAGCCCACACGCUGUGCCUAUUUAGGCACCCUAGGUCCACUUAGGCACCCUAGGCCCAUUUAGGCACCCCGGGUCCAUUAAGGCACCCUUGGCCUAUUUAGGUACCCUAUGCCCAUUUAGGCACCCUAGGUCCAUUUGGGCACCUUAGGGUCAUUUGGGCAUCCAUAGGCCCAUUUAGGCACCCUAGGUGCACUUAGACACCCUUGGCCCAUUUAGGCACCCUAGGCCCACUUAGACACCCCACGCCCACUUAGACACGCUACGCCCAUUUAGGCACCCUAGGUCCACUUAGGCACCAUAGGCCCACUUAGGCACCCCAGGUCCAUUUAGGCACCCUUGGCCCGUUUAGGCACCCUACGCCCACUUAGGCACCCUAGGCCCAUUAAAGCACCCAAGUCCAUUUAAGCACCCUAGGUCCAUUUAAGCACCCUNNNNNNNNNNNNNNNNNNNNNNNNNNNNNNNNNNNNNNNNNNNNNNNNNNNNNNNNNNNNNNNNNNNNNNNNNNNNNNNNNNNNNNNNNNNNNNNNNNNNUAGUCCAUUUGGCAUCCUUAGCCUUUAGGUACCUUAGGUCCAUUUAGGCCCCUUACGGCCAGUUAGGCACCAAGAGUCAUUUAGGCAUCCAUAGUCCCAUUAGGCUCUUUAGGUCGAUUUAGACACUUAGGCCCAUUUAGGCAACCNUACGGUCAUUUAGGCACCCUUGGCCCAUAUAGGCACCGUAGGCCCACUUAGACACCCUAAGCCACACGCUGUGCCUAAUUAGGCACCUUAGGUCCAAAUAGGCACCCUAGGCCCAUUUAGGCACCCCGGGUCCAUUAAGGCACCCUUGGCCUAUUUAGGUACCCUAUGCCCAUUUAGGCACCCUAGGUCCAUUUGGGCACCUUAGGGUCAUUUGGGCAUCCAUAGGCCCAUUUAGGCACCCUAGGUGCACUUAGACACCCUUGGCCCAUUUAGGCACCCUAGGCCCACUUAGACACCCCACGCCCACUUAGACACGCUACGCCCAUUUAGGCACCCUAGGUCCACUUAGGCACCAUAGGCCCACUUAGGCACCCCAGGUCCAUUUAGGCACCCUUGGCCCGUUUAGGCACCCUACGCCCACUUAGGCACCCUAGGCCCAUUUAGGCACCCAAGGUCCAUUUAGGCACCCUAGGCCCAUUUAGGCACCCUAGGUCCACUUAGACACCUUAGGCCCAUUUAGGUACCCUAAGCCCACUUAGGCACCCUAGGCCCAUUUAGGCACCCUAAGUCCAAUUAGGCUCUCUAGACCCAUUUAGGCACCUUAGGCAUCCUUGGCCCAGUUAUGCACCCUAGGUCCACUUAGACACCUUAGGCCCACUUAGGCACCCUAGGCCCAUUUAGGCACCCUAGGUCCAAUUAGGCACCCUACGCUCAUUUUGGCACCCUAGGCCUAUUUAGGAACCCUAUGUCCACUUAGACAACUUAGGCCCAUUUAGGCACCUUAGGUCCACUUAGGCACUCUAGACCCAUUUAGGCACCUUAGGUCUACUUAGGCACCCUAGACCCAUUUAGGUACCCUAGGUCCAUUUAGGCACCCUUUGCCCAUUUAGGUACCGUAGGCCCACUUAGGUACCCUAGGACUAUUUAGGCAUCCUAGGUCCAUUUAGGCACAUAAGGCUCAUUUAAGCACCCAUAGGCCCAUUUAGGCACCCUAGGUCCACUUAGACACCUUAGGGCUAUUUAGGCACCUUAGGCUCGUUUAGGCACCCUUGGCUCAUUUAGGCACCCUAGGCUCAUUUAGGCACCCUUGGCCCAUUUAGGCACCCUUGGCCCAUUUCGGCACCCUAGGUCCAUUUAGUAACCCUAAGCCCACUUAGACACCCUUGGCCCAUUUAGGCACCCUAGGUCCACUUAGGCAUUCUAGGCCCAUUUAGGCACCCUAGGUCCACUUAGACACGCUAGGCCCAUUUAAGCACCGUAAGCCCACUUAGGCACCCUUGUCCCGUUUAGGAACCCUAGGCUCAUUUAGGCACCCUAGGUCUACUUAGGCACCCUAAGCCCAUUUAAGCACUCUAGGUCAUAUUAGGCACUCUAGACCCAUUUAGGCACCCUAAGUCCACUUAGGCACCCUAGGCCCAUUUAUGCACCCUAGGUCCAUUUAGGCACCCUUGGCUCAUUUAGGCACCCUAGGCCCACUUAGGCACCCUUGGCCCAUUUAGGCACCCUAGGUCCAUUUAGCCACCCUAGGCUCAUUUAGGCACCCCAGGCCCAUUUAGGCACCCUAGGUCCAAUUAGACACCUUAUGCCCAUUUUGGCACCCUAGGUCCACUUAGGCAUUCUAGACCCAUUUAGGCACCCUAGGUCCACUUAGUCACCUUAGGCCCAUUUAGGCACCCUAGGUCCAUUUUGGCAUCCUUAGCCCAUUUAGGUACCCUAGGCCCAUUUAGGCCCCCUACGUCCAUUUAGGCACCUUAGGGUCAUUUAGGCAUCCAUAGGCCCAUUUAGGCUCUUUAGGUCGACUUAGCCACCUUAGGCCCAUUUAGGCACCCUACGCUCAUUUAGGCACCCUUGGCCCAUUUAGGCACCCUAGGCCCACUUAGACACCAUAAGCCCACACGCUGCGCCUAUUUAGGCACCCUAGGUCCACUUAGGCACCCUAGGCCCAUUUAGGCACCCCGGGUCCAUUAAGGCACCCUUGGCCUAUUUAGGUACCCUAUGCCCAUUUAGGCACCCUAGGUCCAUUUGGGCACCUUAGGGUCAUUUGGGCAUCCAUAGGCCCAUUUAGGCACCCUAGGUGCACUUAGACACCCUUGGCCCAUUUAGGCACCCUAGGCCCACUUAGACACCCCACGCCCACUUAGACACGCUACGCCCAUUUAGGCACCCUAGGUCCACUUAGGCACCAUAGGCCCACUUAGGCACCCUAGGUCCACUUAGGCACCCCAGGUCCAUUUAGGCACCCUUGGCCCGUUUAGGCACCCUACGCCCACUUAGGCACCCUAGGCCCAUUUAGGCACCCAAGGUCCAUUUAGGCACCCUAGGCCCAUUUAGGCACCCUAGGUCCACUUAGACACCUUAGGCCCAUUUAGGUACCCUAAGCCCACUUAGGCACCCUUGGCCCAUUUAGGCACUCUAGGCUCAUUUGGGCACCCUAGGUCCACUUAGGCACCCUAGGCCCAUUUAGGCACCCUUGGUACACUUAGGCACCCUAGGCCCAUUUAGUCACCCUAAGUCCAGUUAGGCACUCUAGACCCAUUUAGGCACCUUAGGCCCACUUAGGCAUUGUUGGCCCAUUUAGGCACCCUAGGUCCACUUAGACACCUUUGGCCCACUUAAGCACCCUAGGCCCUUUUAGGCGCCCUAGGUCCCUUUAGGAACCCUUGGCUCAUUUAGGCACCCUAGGCCCACUUAGGCACCCUAGGCCCAUUUAGGCACUCUAGGUCCAUUUAGGCACCUUAGGCUCAUUUAGGCACCUUAGGCCCAUUUAGGAACCCUAUGUCUACUUAGACACCUUUUGCCCAUUUAGGCACCCUAGGUCCACUUAGGCACUCUAGACCCAUUUAGGCACCCUAGGUCCACUUAGGCACCCUAGGCCCAUUUAGGCACCUUAGGUCCAUUUAGGCUCUCUAGGCCCAUUUCGGCACCAUAGGUCCACUAAGACACGCUAGGCACAUUUAAGCACCUAAGCACCCUAGGCACAUUUACGAACCUAAGGCUCAUUUAGGCACUCAUGGGCCCAUUUAGGCCCCCUAGGUCCACUUAGACACCUUAGGCUCAUUUAGGCACCCGAGGCUCAUUUAGGCACCCUUGGCCCAUUUAGGCACCUAGGCUCAUUUAGGCACCUUUGGCCCAUUUAGGCACCCUAGGCCCACUUAGACACCCUGAGCCCACUUAGACAUCCUUGGCCCAUUUAGGCACCCUAGGUCCAAUUAGGCUCUCUAGGCCCAUUUCGGCACCCUAGGUCCACUAAGACACGCUAGGAACAUUUAAGCACCCUAAGCCCACUUAGGCACCCUUGGCCCAUUUACGAACCCUAGGCUCAUUUAGGCACCAUAGGUCCACUUAGGUACCCUAGGCCCAUUUAGGCAUUCUAGGUCCAAUUAGGCACUUUAGACCCAUUUGGGCACCCUAGGUCCACUUAGGCACCCUAGGCCCAUUUAGGCACCCUAGGUCCACUCAGGCACCCUAGGCCGAUUUAGGCACCCUUGGUCCACUUAAGCACCCUAGGCCCAUUUUGGCACCCUAGGUCCAGUUAGCCACUCUAGACCCAUUUAGGCACCUUAGGUCCACUUAAGCAUCCUUGGCCCAUUUUGGCACCCUAGGUCCACUUAGGCACUCUAGUCCCAUUUAGGCACCCUAGGUCCACUUAGGCACCCUAGGCCCAUUUAGGCACCCUAGGUCCAUUUAGGCACCCUAGGUCCAUUUAGGCACCCUAGGUCCAUGUAGGCACCCUAGGCUCAUUUAGGCACCCUAGGCCAAUUUAGACACCCUAGGUCCACUUAGACAGCUUAGGCCCAUUUAGGCACCCUAGGUCCACUUAGGCACCCUUGGCCCAUUAAGGCACCCUAGGUCCAUUUAGGCACCCUUGGCCCAUUUAGGUACCCUAGGCCCAUUUAGGCACCUUAGGUCCAUUUAGGCAGCUUAGUGUCACAAGAUGCUUCAAAUGACCCUCCCCAUGGCUUAUAUAGGAGGUGAGAAGCUUCUAGAGACCCUUGGAGACAUCCACACUUAGCCACUAGUGGGAAGAGUGUGGAAGGUUCUAGAAAUGCCUAGAGAAGUCCACACAACUCUACACUAUGGUAGAAGGCAUGAGAAGGGUCCAAAGCUUUCUAGAGAAAUCUAGAAGUCUCUUGAAUAUUCUAGAAUAGUGUAGGACAUUCUAGAAGUCUCUUGAAUAUUCUAGAAUAGUGUAGGACAUUCUAGAAUAUUCAUGAAUUAUAAGGAACCCUCCAAGGUUCUAGAGAGUUCCAUUGAUGCCUAUAAAUAGGUGAGGGCCUCAUUUGGCCAAGGCACCAAGCAAGUGAGCAUCCAAGCACUUGUAAAGGCUUUCUUGAGAUAAUAAAGCUUCCAUUCUUUAAGGAGUUGCCUACUAAGCUCUUAAGCUUUCGAGUCGCGAGUGUCUUAACCGAGCAAGCUAAGCAUUGGGGAUCAAGGCUGACUUAGCNNNNNNNNNNNNNNNNNNNNNNNNNNNNNNNNNNNNNNNNNNNNNNNNNNNNNNNNNNNNNNNNNNNNNNNNNNNNNNNNNNNNNNNNNNNNNNNNNNNNGCACCUUAGGUCCAUUUUUGCAGCUUAGUGUCACAAGAUGCUUCAAAUGACCCUCCCCAUGGCUUAUAUAGGAGGUGAGAAGCUUCUAGAGACCCUUGGAGACAUCCACACUUAGCCACUAGUGGGAAGAGUGUGGAAGGUUCUAGAAAUGCCUAGAGAAGUCCACACAACUCUACACUAUGGUAGAAGGCAUGAGAAGGGUCCAAAGCUUUCUAGAGAAAUCUAGAAGUCUCUUGAAUAUUCUAGAAUAGUGUAGGACAUUCUAGAAGUCUCUUGAAUAUUCUAGAAUAGUGUAGGACAUUCUAGAAUAUUCAUGAAUUAUAAGGAACCCUCCAAGGUUCUAGAGAGUUCCAUUGAUGCCUAUAAAUAGGUGAGGGCCUCAUUUGGCCAAGGCACCAAGCAAGUGAGCAUCCAAGCACUUGUAAAGGCUUUCUUGAGAUAAUAAAGCUUCCAUUCUUUAAGGAGUUGCCUACUAAGCUCUUAAGCUUUCGAGUCGCGAGUGUCUUAACCGAGCAAGCUAAGCAUUGGGGAUCAAGGCUGACUUAGCAAGAUCAAGCGUCUUGACUUGCCUAAGUGCCGCACGAGCUUAGUGAACGACUAAGUCCGUGACAAGUGGCAUCAGAGCGUGGCUACGAAGCGGGCAUAAGGGAAGCAUGUCGGGCUCUAACGUGGAGGAGACUAGCGAACAAACCCGUGGGAGGGAGGCCGAGCCUACUGCAUGGGGCAGGGGCAGAGGUAAGAAGGAUACAUCUCGUGAUGUUGUUGCCAACAUGGAGGCAAGGUUAGGCAAGGUGGAGCUAGCCAUGGCAGACACCCGGGAAGGGGUGGACUUGAUCGAGCAAGGCAUGGAGAAGGGCUUAGAGGAUCUAAGGGAGCAGAUCCAAGACCUUCGCGAGGGGGUGCUGGUCUCGCAAGUUCAACCGGUGUCACACGAGGAGUUCAUGUCUUUCCAAGACAAAGUCAUGAGCAUGUUCGCUAGUGUGGAGUCAAGGAUGGAGGCCUUGACUACACGAGUGGAGGCCCGAGACCAAGAGAUUCGACAAGAGUUGGCCAUCUAUAAGACCGCUGUAUCAGCACGAGUCAUGGCCACUCAUGAGGCACCAAGGGUGGAGGUGCCCAAGCCACACACGUUCAGUGGCAAGAGGGAUGCCAGGGAGCUAGAUAACUUCUUGUGGCACAUGGAGCGUUACUUUGAGGCAAUUGCAUUAACGGAUGAAGCCACUAAGGUACGCACCGCGACCCUUUACCUCACUGAUAAUGCUACUCUAUGGUGGCGUCGACGAUUUGCCGACAUAGAGAGAGGGACGUGCACCAUAGACACAUGGGAUGCCUUUAAGAGAGAAAUCAAGAGGCAAUUCUAUCCCGAAGACGUGGCUUACCUAGCAAGGAAGAGUUUGAAGCGUCUCAAGCACACGGGCUCGAUCCGUGAGUAUGUCAAAGAAUUCUCUACUCUUAUGCUUGAGAUACCUAACAUGGCUGAGGAGGAGCUACUGUUCAACUUCAUGGACAACUUGCAAAGUUGGGCCGAGCAAGAGUUGAGGAGACGUGGUGUCCAAGACCUAGCCACGGCCAUGGCAGUAGCCGAGUCCUUAGUAGAUUAUAGAAGGGGAGACUCCUCCAAGCCCAAGCCACCAUCCAAGGGUAACCAGGCCAAAGGUGGGGGAGACAAGAGGUCGCAAGGCCAUACCUCUAAGGAAGGAUCAAGCAAAGGCCCUAGUGGCAAGGAUGGCAAAGGCAAGGACAAGCGAAAGGAGUUCACGCCCAGGACCAAUUGCUUCCUGUGCGAUGGUCCGCACUGGGCACGGGACUGCCCUAAGAGGAAGGCCUUAAAUGCUAUGAUCGAGGAAAAGGAGCAAGAAGGCGAUGCUAAGAUGGGAUCGUUGCAGCUCUUAAAUGCCCUUAAGGCCAAGCCGAUGCCUAAGACGCCUCAAAGCAAAGGGCUGAUGUAUGUGGAGGCCCUUGUGAAUGAGAAGGCCACCAAGGCCCUGGUGGACACAGGUGCCACUCACAACUUUGUCUCGGAGGAUGAGGCAAGAAGGUUGGAGCUCCAAGCAUCCAAGGAAGGAGGAUGGCUCAAGGCAGUCAAUUCAGCCGCCAAGCCAUCACAUGGAGUAGCUCGCGGGGUGACUAUGCACAUUGGCUCGUGGGAAGGAAGGGUCGACUUCACAGUGGCACCCAUGGAUGACUUCAAGAUGGUGCUAGGAAUGGACUUCCUACAGAAGGUCAAGGCCGUGCCACUACCUUUCCUAUGCUCAAUGGCUAUCCUAGAGGAGGAGAAGUCGUGCAUGGUCCCUACGGUCAAUGAAGGUACGCUCAAGACCCCUAUGUUAUCCGCUAUGCAAGUAAAGAAGGGGUUAAAGAGGGAAGAGGUGACCUACCUCGCCACCCUAAAGGAAGAAAAGGAUGAUGGGUCGGGAGAACCCAUGCCUAGAGAAAUCGAGGGGGUCCUUGAUGAGUUCAAGGACGUUAUGCCGCCCGAGUUGCCCAAAAGACUUUCUCCUAGGAGAGAGGAAGAUCACAAGAUUGAGCUGGAGCCGGGAGCCAAGCCCCCUGCUAUGGGGCCAUAUAGGAUGGCACCACCCGAGUUGGAGGAGCUAAGGAGACAACUCAAGGAGUUGCUAGAUGCGGGGUUCAUCCAACCAUCCAAGGCUCCUUAUGGCGCGCCGGUUCUAUUUCAGAAAAAGCAUGAUGGGUCCCUACGAAUGUGCAUAGAUUACCGGGCACUCAACAAGGUGACGGUGAAGAACAAGUAUCCCAUCCCGCUCAUUGCUGACUUGUUCGAUCAACCUGGUAGGGCAAGGUACUUCACGAAGCUAGACUUAAGGUUAGGCUACUACCAAGUGAGGAUUGCUGAGGGAGAUGAGCCGAAGACUACAUGUGUGACCAGGUAUGGCUCAUAUGAGUUCUUAGUAAUGCCUUUCGGAAUCACCAAUGCCCCAGCAACGUUUUGCACCCUCAUGAACAAGAUCUUCCACCCAUACUUGGACAAGUUUGUGGUGGUGUACUUGGAUGACAUAGUCAUCUAUAGUAACACUCUAAAGGAGCACGUAGAGCACUUGAGGAAGGUCUUUAAGAUCUUGAGGCAGAACGAGCUAUACGUGAAGAAGGAGAAGUGUUCGUUUGCUAAGGAGGAAGUGAGCUUCCUUGGGUAUCGCAUCAGAGAUGGCAAGCUGAUGAUGGAUGAUAGCAAGGUGAAGGCCAUCCAAGAAUGGGAUUCACCAACCAAGGUACCUCAACUCAGAUCUUUCCUUGGUUUAGUUAAUUACUAUCGGCGGUUCAUAAAGGGUUAUUCGGCAAGGGCUGCUCCACUCACUGAUCUUCUGAAGAAGAAUAAGGCAUGGGAAUGGGAUGAAAGGUGCCAACAAGCCUUUGAGGACCUGAAGAAGGUUGUGACUGAGGAGCCAGUGUUGGCACUACCCGACCACACCAAGGUCUUGGAGGUACACACAGAUGCCUCAGACUUCGCUAUUGGGGGAGUCCUUAUGCAAGAAAGACACCCAAUUGCAUUUGAGAGUCGCAAGCUAAACGACGCGGAGAGGCGUUACACGGUGCAAGAAAAGGAGAUGACCGCUAUCGUUCACUGCUUGCGCACCUGGAGGCACUAUUUGCUAGGGUCUCACUUCAUAGUGAAGACCGACAAUGUGGCCACUAGCUACUUCCAGACACAGAAGAAGCUGAGUCCUAAACAAGCUAGGUGGCAAGACUUCCUGGCCGAGUUCGACUAUACGCUGGAGUAUAAGCCAGGAAGUGCUAAUCAUGUGGCUGACGCCGUAAGUCCCAAAGCUGAGCUAGCGUCCAUAACGAGUCAGCCCCAAGGAGACAUAAUGGAUCUUCUAAGGGAGGGACUGUAACAUAAUCCAGUGGCUAAGAGCCUCAUCGCCCUGGCUCAUGAAGGGAAGACCAAGCGGUUUUGGGUGGAGGACGGCUUACUCUACACCAAAGGGAGACGACUCUACGUGCCUAAGUGGGGGAACAUAAGGCGGAACCUGAUUAAGGAGUGCCAUGACACCAAGUGGGCAGGGCACCCUGGGCAACGACGCACUAGGGCACUACUCGAGUCGGCUUACUAUUGGCCUCAGAUACGGGACGAGGUUGAGGCCUAUGUGAGGACUUGUCUUGUGUGCCAACAAGACAAGGUGGAACAACGACAACCUAGAGACAUGUUAGAGCCACUACCUGUAGCAGAACGCCCAUGGGACAGCGUCACCAUGGACUUCAUCAUCGGGCUACCUAAGUUAGAGGACAACGACUCUAUCAUAGUGGUGGUGGAUAGGUUCUCUAAGUAUGCAACCUUCAUAGCAGCCCCGACUGACUGCACUGCGGAAGAGACGGCGAGGCUAUUCCUAAAGCACGUAGUCAAGUAUUGGGGGUUGCCUAAGUUCAUCAUCAGUGAUCGCGACCCGCGCUUCACUGGGAAGUUUUGGACGAAGCUCUUCAAGCUUAUGGGUUCGGAGCUUCACUUCUCCACCAGCUUUCACCCACAGACAGAUGGGCAGACUGAGAGGGUGAACGCCUUGCUGGAGCUAUACUUGAGGCACUUUGUGAGUGCCAACCAGAGGGAUUGGGCUAAGUUGCUAGAUAUAGCCCAGUUCUCAUACAACUUGCAAAGGAGUGAGGCGACCAACAAGAGCCCGUUCGAGCUAGCCACAAGGCAGCAACCCUUAACUCCUCACACGCUAACGAUAGGCUACACAGGGAGAAGUCCAGCGGCUUUCAAGUUCGCGAAGGGGUGGCAUGAGUAAGCUGACAUAGCACGCUCGUACUUGGACAAGGCCGCUAAGAAAAUGAAGAAGUGGGCUGACAAGAAGCGACGUCACACGGAGUACAAGGUUGGAGACAUGGUGCUUGUCAAGCUCCUUCCUCAACAAUUCAAAUCCCUAAGGCCAGUGCAUAAGGGCCUUGUGAGGAGGUAUGAAGGACCCUUCCCUAUACUUGGAAAGGUCGGCAAGGUGUCCUACAAAGUGGAGUUACCGCCAAGGUUAAAGAUUCACCUUGUCUUCCACAUGAGUUACUUGAAGCCAUAUCACGAAGACAAGGAUGAUCCAAGCCGAGGGCUUUCUAAGAGGGCACCUACAGCGGUUGUGACCUCCUAUGACAAGGAGGUGGAACACAUCAUUGCAGACCGAAUCAUCAGAAGGCGUGGUGUGCCUCCUGCUACGGAGUACUUAGUGAAAUGGAAGGGACUACCAGAAAGCGAGGCUAGUUGGGAGCCAGCAAAUGCACUAUGGCAGUUCCAGGAACAGAUUGAGCGGUUCCGGGCAGAAGACACGACGAGGACGUCUGCGGCUUAGGUGGGGGAGAGUGUCACAAGAUGCUUCAAAUGACCCUCCCCAUGGCUUAUAUAGGAGGUGAGAAGCUUCUAGAGACCCUUGGAGACAUCCACACUUAGCCACUAGUGGGAAGAGUGUGGAAGGUUCUAGAAAUGCCUAGAGAAGUCCACACAACUCUACACUAUGGUAGAAGGCAUGAGAAGGGUCCAAAGCUUUCUAGAGAAAUCUAGAAGUCUCUUGAAUAUUCUAGAAUAGUGUAGGACAUUCUAGAAGUCUCUUGAAUAUUCUAGAAUCGUGUAGGAGAUUCUAGAGAGUUCCAUUGGUGCCUAUAAAUAGGUGAGGGCCUCAUUUGGCCAAGGCACCAAACAAAGUGAGCAUCCAAGCACUUGUAAAGGCUUCUUUGAGUAAUAAGAGCUUCCAUUAUUUAAAAGUUGCCUACUACACUUCUCAGCUUCCGAGUCGUGAGCAUCUUAGCCUAGCAAGCUAAGUGUCGGGGGUAAGGCUGACUUAGCAAGANNNNNNNNNNNNNNNNNNNNNNNNNNNNNNNNNNNNNNNNNNNNNNNNNNNNNNNNNNNNNNNNNNNNNNNNNNNNNNNNNNNNNNNNNNNNNNNNNNNNNNNNNNNNNNNNNNNNNNNNNNNNNNNNNNNNNNNNNNNNNNNNNNNNNNNNNNNNNNNNNNNNNNNNNNNNNNNNNNNNNNNNNNNNNNNNNNNNNNNNNNNNNNNNNNNNNNNNNNNNNNNNNNNNNNNNNNNNNNNNNNNNNNNNNNNNNNNNNNNNNNNNNNNNNNNNNNNNNNNNNNNNNNNNNNNNNNNNNNNNNNNNNNNNNNNNNNNNNNNNNNNNNNNNNNNNNNNNNNNNNNNNNNNNNNNNNNNNNNNNNNNNNNNNNNNNNNNNNNNNNNNNNNNNNNNNNNNNNNNNNNNNNNNNNNNNNNNNNNNNNNNNNNNNNNNNNNNNNNNNNNNNNNNNNNNNNNNNNNNNNNNNNNNNNNNNNNNNNNNNNNNNNNNNNNNNNNNNNNNNNNNNNNNNNNNNNNNNNNNNNNNNNNNNNNNNNNNNNNNNNNNNNNNNNNNNNNNNNNNNNNNNNNNNNNNNNNNNNNNNNNNNNNNNNNNNNNNNNNNNNNNNNNNNNNNNNNNNNNNNNNNNNNNNNNNNNNNNNNNNNNNNNNNNNNNNNNNNNNNNNNNNNNNNNNNNNNNNNNNNNNNNNNNNNNNNNNNNNNNNNNNNNNNNNNNNNNNNNNNNNNNNNNNNNNNNNNNNNNNNNNNNNNNNNNNNNNNNNNNNNNNNNNNNNNNNNNNNNNNNNNNNNNNNNNNNNNNNNNNNNNNNNNNNNNNNNNNNNNNNNNNNNNNNNNNNNNNNNNNNNNNNNNNNNNNNNNNNNNNNNNNNNNNNNNNNNNNNNNNNNNNNNNNNNNNNNNNNNNNNNNNNNNNNNNNNNNNNNNNNNNNNNNNNNNNNNNNNNNNNNNNNNNNNNNNNNNNNNNNNNNNNNNNNNNNNNNNNNNNNNNNNNNNNNNNNNNNNNNNNNNNNNNNNNNNNNNNNNNNCAUUUAGGAACCCUAGGCUUAUUUAGGCACCCUAGGUCUACUUAGGCACCCUAAGCCCAUUUAGGCACUCUAGGUCAUAUUAGGCACUCUAGACCCAUUUAGGCACCCUAGGUCCACUUAGGCACCCUAGGCCCAUUUAUGCACCCUAGGUCCAUUUAGGCACCCUUGGCCCAUUUAGGCACCCUAGGCCCACUUAGGCACCCUUGGCCCAUUUAGGCACCCUAGGUCCAUUUAGCCACCCUAGGCUCAUUUAGGCACCCCAGGCCCAUUUAGGCACCCUAGGUCCAAUUAGACACCUUAUGCCCAUUUUGGCACCCUAGGUCCACUUAGGCAUUCUAGACCCAUUUAGGCACCCUAGGUCCACUUAGUCACCUUAGGCCCAUUUAGGCACCCUAGGUCCAUUUUGGCAUCCUUAGCCCAUUUAGGUACCCUAGGCCCCCUAGGUCCAUUUAGGCACCUUAGGGUCAUUUAGGCAUCCAUAGGCCCAUUUAGGCUCCCUAGGUCUACUUAGCCACCUUAGGCCCAUUUAGGCACCCUAAGCCCAUUUAGGCACUCUAGGUCAUAUUAGGCACUCUAGACCCAUUUAGGCACCCUAGGUCCACUUAGGCACCCUAGGCCCAUUUAUGCACCCUAGGUCCAUUUAGGUACCCUUGGCCCAUUUAGGCACCCUAGGCCCACUUAGGCACCCUAGGCCCAUUUAGGCACCUAAGGUCCAAUUUGGCACCCUAGGUCCACUUAGGCACCCUAGGCCCAUUUAGGCACCGUAGGUCCAUUUAGGCACCCUUAGCCCAUUUAGGCACCCUAGGCCCAUUUAGGCACCCUAGGCCCAAUUAGGCACCCUAGGUCCAUUUAGGCACCCUAGGUCCACUUAGACACCUUGGCCCAUUUAGGCACCCUAGGUCCACUUAGGCACUCUAGGCCCAUUUAGGCACCCUAGGUCCACUUAGACACGCUAGGCCCAUUUAAGCACCCUAAGCCCACUUAGGCACCCUUGUCCCAUUUAGGAACCCUAGGCUUAUUUAGGCACCCUAGGUCUACUUAGGCACCCUAAGCCCAUUUAGGCACUCUAGGUCAUAUUAGGCACUCUAGACCCAUUUAGGCACCCUAGGUCCACUUAGGCACCCUAGGCCCAUUUAUGCACCCUAGGUCCAUUUAGGCACCCUUGGCCCAUUUAGGCACCCUAGGCCCACUUAGGCACCCUUGGCCCAUUUAGGCACCCUAGGUCCAUUUAGCCACCCUAGGCUCAUUUAGGCACCCCAGGCCCAUUUAGGCACCCUAGGUCCAAUUAGACACCUUAUGCCCAUUUUGGCACCCUAGGUCCACUUAGCAUUCUAGACCCAUUUAGCACCCUAGGUCCACUUAGUCACCUUAGCCCAUUUAGCACCCUAUGUCCAUUUUGGCAUCCUUAGCCCAUUUAGUACCCUAAGGCCCCCUAGUCCAUUUAGCACCUUUAGGGUCAUUUAAGGCAUCCAUAGGCCAUUUAAGCUCCCUAGGUCUANNNNNNNNNNNNNNNNNNNNNNNNNNNNNNNNNNNNNNNNNNNNNNNNNNNNNNNNNNNNNNNNNNNNNNNNNNNNNNNNNNNNNNNNNNNNNNNNNNNNCAGAAAGCGAGGCUAGUUGGGAGCCAGCAAAUGCACUAUGGCAGUUCCAGGAACAGAUUGAGCGGUUCCGGGCAGAAGACACGACGAGGACGUCUGCGGCUUAGGUGGGGGAGAGUGUCACAAGAUGCUUCAAAUGACCCUCCCCAUGGCUUAUAUAGGAGGUGAGAAGCUUCUAGAGACCCUUGGAGACAUCCACACUUAGCCACUAGUGGGAAGAGUGUGGAAGGUUCUAGAAAUGCCUAGAGAAGUCCACACAACUCUACACUAUGGUAGAAGGCAUGAGAAGGGUCCAAAGCUUUCUAGAGAAAUCUAGAAGUCUCUUGAAUAUUCUAGAAUAGUGUAGGACAUUCUAGAAGUCUCUUGAAUAUUCUAGAAUAGUGUAGGACAUUCUAGAAUAUUCAUGAAUUAUAAGGAACCCUCCAAGGUUCUAGAGAGUUCCAUUGGUGCCUAUAAAUAGGUGAGGGCCUCAUUUGGCCAAGGCACCAAGCAAGUGAGCAUCCAAGCACUUGUAAAGGCUUUCUUGAGAUAAUAAAGCUUCCAUUCUUUAAGGAGUUGCCUACUAAGCUCUUAAGCUUUCGAGUCGCGAGUGUCUUAGCCGAGCAAGCUAAGCACUGGGGAUCAAGGCUGACUUAGCAAGAUCAAGCGUCUUGACUUGCCUAAGUGCCGCACGAGCUUAGUGAACGACUAAGUCCGUGACAUUAGGCUCAUUUAGGCACCCAUAAGCCCAUUUUGGCACCCUAGGUCCACUUAGACACCUUAGGCCCAUUUAGGUACCCUAGGCUCAUUUAGGCACCCUUGGUCCAUUUAGGCACCCUAGGCCUACUUAGACACCCUAAGCCCACUUAGACACGCUACGCCCAUUUAGGCACCCUAGGUCCACUUAGGCACCUUAGGCCCACUUAGGCACCCUUGGCCCAUUUAGGCACCCUAGGUCCACUUAGGCACUCUAGGCCUAUUUAGGCACCCUAGGUCCACUUAGGCACCCUAGGCCCAUUUAGGCACCCUAGGUCCACUUAGACACCUUAGGCCCAUUUAGGCACCCUAAUGUCACAAAAUGCUUCAAAUGACCCUCCCCAUGGCUUAUAUAGGAGGUAAGAAGCUUCUAGAGACCCUUGGAGACAUGCACACUUAGCCACUAGUGGGAAGAGUGUGGAAGGUUCUAGAAAUGCCUAGAGAAGUCCACACAACUCUACACUAUGGUAGAAGGCAUGAGAAGGGUCCAAAGUUUUCUAGAGAAAUCUAGAAGUUUCUUGUAUAUAGGCUUGUACAUAGAAUAGUGUACGACAUUCUAGAAUAUUCAUGAAUUGUAAGGAACCCUCCAAGGUUCUAGAAAGUUCCAUUUGUGCCUAUAAAUAGGUGAGGGCCUCAUUUGGCCAAGGCACCAAACAAGUGAGCAUCCAAGCACUUGUAAAGGCUUUCUUGAGUUAAUAAGAGCUUCCAUUCUUUAAGGAGUUGCCUACUAAGCUCUUAAGCUUUCGAGUCGCGAGUGUCUUAGCCGAGCAAGCUAAGCGUUGGGGAUCAAGGCUGACUUAGCAAGAUCAAGCGUCUUGACUUGCCUAAGUGCCGCACAAGCUUAGUGAACGACUAAUUCCGUGACACUAAGCCCACUUAGGCACCCUUUGCCCAUUUAGGCACCCUAGGCUCAUUUAGGCACCCUAGGUCCACUUAGGCACCCUAGGCCCAUUUAGGCACCCUAGGUCCACUUAGGCACCCUAGGCCCAUUUAGGCACCGUAGGUCCAUUUAGGCACCCUUAGCCCAUUUAGGCACCCUAGGCCCAUUUAGGCACCCUAGGCCCAAUUAGGCACCCUAGGUCCAUUUAGGCACCCUAGGUCCACUUAGACACCUUGGCCCAUUUAGGCACCCUAGGUCCACUUAGGCACUCUAGGCCCAUUUAGGCACCCUAGGUCCACUUAGACACGCUAGGCCCAUUUAAGCACCCUAAGCCCACUUAGGCACCCUUGUCCCAUUUAGGAACCCUAGGCUUAUUUAGGCACCCUAGGUCUACUUAGGCACCCUAAGCCCAUUUAGGCACUCUAGGUCAUAUUAGGCACUCUAGACCCAUUUAGGCACCCUAGGUCCACUUAGGCACCCUAGGCCCAUUUAUGCACCCUAGGUCCAUUUAGGCACCCUUGGCCCAUUUAGGCACCCUAGGCCCACUUAGGCACCCUUGGCCCAUUUAGGCACCCUAGGUCCAUUUAGCCACCCUAGGCUCAUUUAGGCACCCCAGGCCCAUUUAGGCACCCCAGGUCCAAUUAGACACGUUGCGCCCAUUUAGGCACCCUAGGUCCACUUAGGCACCAUAGGCCCACUUAGGCACCCUAGGUCCACUUAGGCACCCCAGGUCCAUUUAGGCACCCUUGGCCAAUUUAGGCACCCUACGCCCACUUAGGCACCCUAGGCCCAUUUAGGCACCCAAGGUCCAUUUAGGCACCCUAGGCCCAUUUAGGGACCCUAGGCCCACUUAGACACCUUAGGCCCAUUUAGGUACCCUAAGCCCACUUAGGCACCUGUGGACACCGCAUUUCGUGCUUGAUGCGUUUCCCACUCGAUGGCGAGCUCGAUUUUUAUUUUGAAAAAUUAAUUUUAUUUAUUGUUUGUUUAAAAAAAUGACUUGGAGUCGCCACUUAUUUUUGUUUUAUUUUUAAAGGGUAAACAAAAUAAGAAAGAAAAACCCUAAGUGUGACUCCUUAUUUUGGAAAAGGCGGUCUGUGAAAAACCGGAUCGGGUUCGGGGGUCAGGUUACUUAUCGGGAAGGUACGGUAAAGACCGUAGCACCCCUCUAAGUCCCUAAAAUCGUGUCUCUACUAAUAGAAUAAAGCUGACGUGGCAAUCAAUGAGGAAAUCAGCGGAUACUCAAAUCAAACUUGCACAUAUGAAAAUAAGAGUAUGCAUAGAGAAUAAUCAAAAUGAGAAUGAGUGCGUACCUGGACCUCCAGUGACAAAUGCGCUAUCAUGAAACAGGAUUAGUGAGCAAUGAACAAGAUAUAAUUAAGCGCAUAUCAAGAAAUAGAGUAAACCAAUCAUGCAUGGCAAAUAAAUCAAUCGAUCUGUCAAUCAAUCAUGAAGUCAAGUAUGUGGGGCCCCCACCAAAGCCCGUUUAUUUUGCAUGAAUUAAUUCCAUAAAUUCCAUUAGUCGGAAUUAUGGAAUUUAAUUCUUGCUUAUUUUUAAAACAUUUUAAAAGAUUAUGAAAGAUUUGAAAAUUGCUUACCGAAUAGAAAGUGGAAGCAAAUUUGAUUAAAAGUGAGACUCUUAGGUGAUCCUAAAAAUUCUAAGGAUGAAAGAGUGUGGAAUUGAAAUUAUUGUUUUAUUGAAAAAUGAGGAACUGGGAAAUUAUUAAAAAAAGUGAGAUUUGAAAAAUUGUUGUCAAAGUCAAAGAGGAUAAAAGGGAAGAUGUCACGUGACCAAAGGUGGCCAUGCAACUGAAUGCUCAUAUGCGCGGACCCAAGGAGGUCACUGGGGCUACUUUGUCGGCGCACCAUCCUCUCUUAUAACUGCAAAUAGGCUCGGUAUGAAAGAAACUUGAGACAGGUCUGGUGACUCAGAAUAUGGAUCAGAACCCACAGAACCUUUGAUCACGAUCACCUAGGAUGUAACACGUCCCUCUCUCAAAGCAAAUCUUUGUCCAGCUUCAAGAGGAACAGCAGAUAUCAACUCGAAAAACUACUGUAACAUCAUUCCCGGGCAUAACCAUCUUAACUUCUUCAAGCAAUUGAACCUUCCUAGUGGCAUCUGCAGUCCUCAGGUGGCUUUGAUUUAUCAGAAGAAUUGAAAGCCGAAGAUUUAGGCAUUGGAGGGGUCACAUGCAUUAGUUGCCUAGAUUGCUUAAAUGCCAAUUCCUCAAGCCGAUGUGUGUUAACAGGCAGCUGUGGUGUAGUGCAAGCCCAUGAUGGAGCCCGUGCCAAUGCUUCAGCCAUAUUAAGACCAACUGUAAUACUUGGAAGCCCAGGUGCUGUGGCAGAACGAUAUUUUGUUGAGCAGAUGAGGAUCCAAUGAGCAAAUUCUGAACAGCCAUGUUCAACCCAGGUGACGAAACCCUCCCAAGAUCCAAUUCGGUUCCAAGUGAAGAGAAAUCCUUAUCAAACACAGUCUUGUGGAUGGUUUCUCACAAAGCAAUCUCAUGGUUUACACUUUCUGCUUAUUUAUGAAGUUUGCUAAUCCUUUCCUUUCUUAUCCUCGGGACGACCUUCUUCCGAUCGAGCCUUCCUAUCCUCGGUGUGGCAUUUAUACGACAUAACCCAACUCACCUAUCAACCCAUAUCUGAAUUUGGCUGCGUCUUAGCAAGAUGCUUCACGGCGUCUUUCUCCAGCUGCAGCCACAACGUGUCAGCUGCCUCCACCCAAAACCUGAUAUGCUGAGAAGUUUCCGUCUAUUAUUGGAUUCGGUAUCUGAUUCCUCAGUCGCUUUCAUUCUCUCAAUCCCUUCCAUGCAUGCAUGAGGGUUGGUGUUAUGUGGUGUAAGGAGAGAAACGGGUAUGGGAUGUGAUCAAAUGGGUGUAUGUGUGAGGGUAUGAAAUAUAGGUGUGGAGACGGGUAUUAUAGGCAAAAGAAGUGGCCAUGCACAUGAGAUGAGUGUGAAGCACGGCCACGGGUAGUGAGAGAAAAUGGGUGGUUAUGUGUUAAGUAUGAGUGGUGAUGAAAUGUGUAUGAAGGUUUAAACAAUGGGUUUGGAGGAUGGAGAUAGGAGUGAGUGGAGUGGGUGGUUGGACGAGUAGUAAGGCUUAGAGAGAUGGUAGUGGGUUUGGAAUAGGUGCAGGGGAAGAUAAUGAAUGAAGAUGAAUGAAGAGAGCGUGAGAUAGAAGAUGGAUGUGAUGGACAAGAAGGUGGCCACGUGCCUGGAGCUUCAUGUAUAUGGGUAUGAAAGAGUUUGAAGAGAGAGAAAAGGUGGUAAUAUGGAAUGGGUUUGGUGGGUGCAAGCAUGAGGCAUGAAGAUGAGGGUUAGUAUGGAAGUGUGGGUAUGAUGAGCGAAAGAGAGAGAUGAGAUGAGUGCAUGGUGGUGUAGAAAGAAAGGUGAUCAUACAAAUGGGCAUAGGUAUGGAGGUAUAAUGGGUAUAGGGUCAUGGGUAUGCUAAAUGGGCAAAAAGGGUAUAAGCCCGAAAUUAAUGGAGUAGGUAGUGGGAGAUAAUAGGAAAUGGGUGUUCAUGGGGAUCCUCUGCGUACAUGGUGGGAAAGGAAACAGUGAAGAGUACCCACAGCCAACUGAACUUUCAUUAUUCCUCUCAUUUUAACAUAAGCUUGACCACAAUAUUUCUGAACUCUCUCUUAGGACUCAUACUUCCGAUGGCUAUUUUGUGGUCUACAAUGCCAAUGGUGAUAUUUUCCGUCUUUCAAAGCCGAAAAGAGGUAAGUGACCCUCAUCAAUCGAACAACUCACUUUCUUAUAUAUUCAGGCAACAACUAGAGCAACUCCAGAUCUAUGAAUAGUAUGGGCCCAAGAAUCUGCUUAACAGAAUGCUCCAAAUCUUCAACAAGUGUAAAUCAGUUGGAUACGAUUGCACAUUGUGUUGUAGCGUGAACAACAGAGAUGGCAAAAGGACUUCAUUGUCAUGACCGAAAAAGCGUCAACUUCUUUCUCAUUGACUGGCAUAAUAUCCUCAGUAACAAACUGAUCCAGAUCAAAUAUAAAUGCAGUAUUCCCACAAGAUACAACCGGAACAGGACCUUGCUUCUUUUCCAUCUAAGAUCUUUGCGCAACCCAGAUCAUCUGGAGGAGUUUUGUUCAUCCUCAACACUCACGAGCUAUGAUCUGUGCUAUCACCACCUGGCUCUCUCAAAUAGGGAUGUACAACCUGAUGUAUAACAAGGUAGGAUGCCGAAAACAGGGGAAUGGCAAAACCAAAUAGAAAACAAACCAGUGAAACAAAUAAAACAACCAAAGCCAUGUUUCAUGUUUAGAUCAACAGGUUUGGCUGUAGGUGAGUGAACUAGAAUGCACCUAAAGAGAUAAGAACAAGACAAAACUCCUAUAUGUGGCAUAGCGAAAACUAAAACAGAGCUGAGCCAUUCUCAAAUCAUCAUAAGGAAAAUAGGCAAGAUAGCCGCCAAGGAAAUCCGAGAACCAAGCAGGAACCAUAAGAUAGAACGUAUACCCAAACAAAUCACAGACAAUAUCAAGCAAAAGGAAUGAAACUACAUACUGAUAAAGAAUAUGAAGGAUCCAUGGCAGUCAUACCUCGCUUUUCUUCCCCCUCAAGCUCUCUGUUCUCUCUGGAUAUCUUAGCCAAAACUCCUCCUAGUUUUCCCUCUGAGCUCUCCUCAAGCUCCCAGAAAAACUCUCCCUCAGGCUCCUCCGGAAUCUCUCCUUUUUCUCUCCUCCUCUCUCAAUAUCCAGCUUGCUCCUUGCAAAAUCAGCACCCUCUCUCCAAAAACAUGCUCUGUUUUUCUUAGCUUCUCCCUGGUCCCUGCAUCCCCUAAAAAUCUCCUUUUCUCCUUUUUCUUUUCUCUCGGAUUUGCCCUUCUAACCAUAUCUGCAGAGACAGCCCCCUUCAUGCAGCUGGCAACCUUCCCAUAACAGAAAAAUACGCUCCCCUGAUUCCAGAAGAUUCUUUCCCUUUACAGGUGUCUUCCCCGGAUUAGUCCAUCAAUUCCACUAUUUUGAUCCCAUAUUGACUAAUUCGGGAGUGACACGUGGCCAGAAUGAGCUGCAUGAAAUAGCACCCAAAUAGGGGUCUACAAAUAUGUCCCUCUUUGGUAGAGUUCACGAGUGUAAAGAAUAUGAACACUGGAGUGAAAAGCAAGUGUGAAUAGUGAGUGCAAUGAAGUGAACUCUACUGAAGAACAAAGGAGACCCCCAAAAGGACACCAGUGGAACCCAAACUCACUCAGGCCAACAGAAUGAACAAUGAGGCUCUAAUCCUAAGAGAGAAAAAUGUCACAAAAUGCCUCUGAAGCCACACUAAGGAUCCAAGCUCCCUCUAAGACAUCUCCAAAAGUGACUCGAAGAUCAAUGUCAAAGAUGAGUAACGGUCGAACCACCCUGGAGUACAAUAAAGAAUGUGCCCGAAGGAGACUGCCCUAUGUGAACUAUACGAGAAUGCCAAGUGUAGGGUGCCCAACAACAUGAUCGAAAUAUGCGUCACGGAUCUCAAAAGACUGUGUCAUGUGUAGUGGAAAGGGAAGUCUAAAAGAGCAAUGAUGAAUAGGCGAUAAGCAUCAAGUAACCAGGUGAGGAGAAUGGCUCUGAACGCCUAAAAUGGAAAUGUGAUCCUGAAUGUCAUACUGAAGCAAAGACCUGGACGCCAAACUGACUUGAUAGGAAGAAUGAAUGACCGAUCUAUAUGGGUGCGGUCCCGACUCAAACUAAACACAAUCUGAUAGGGAAAUGACCGAUCGAUAUGGGUGCGGCCCCGACUCAAACUGAACUGAUAAGAAGAUGGCCGAUUUAUAUAGGUGCGGCCCUAGAAACUAAACUGACAUGACAAGGAGAUGGUCGAUCGAUAUAGGUGCGGCCCCGACUCAAACUGACACGAUAAUGACCGAUCGUAUAGGUGCGGUCCCAGAAACUGAACUGACAUGACAAGCAGAUGACCGAUCGAUAUAGGUGCAGUCCCAGAAACUGAACUGACAUGACAAAGAGAUGACCGAUCGAUAUAGGUGCGGUCCCGACUCAAACUGACACGAUAAUGACCGAUCGUAUAGGUGCGGUCCUGGAAACUGAACUAACAUGACAAAGAGAUGGUCGAUCGUAUAGGUGCGGCCUCGACUCAAACUGACACGAUAAUGACCGAUCGUAUAGGUGCGGUCCCAGAAACUGAACUGCCAUGACAAAGAGAUGGUCGAUCGUAUAGGUGCGGCCUCGACUCAAACUGACACGAUGAUGACCGAUCGUAUAGGUGCGGUCCCAAAAACUGAAUUGACAUGACAAAGAGAUGGUCGAUCGUAUAGGUGUGGCCUCGACUCAAACUGGCACGAUAAUGACCGAUCGUAUAGGUGCGGUCCCAGAAACUGAACUAACAUGACAAAGAGAUGGUCGAUCGUAUAGGUGCGGCCCCGACUCAAACUGACACGAUGAUGACCGAUCGUAUAGGUGCGGCCUCGACUCAAACUGACACGAUGAUGACCGAUCGUAUAGGUGCGGUCCUAGAAACUGAACUAUCAUGACAAAGAGAUGGUCGAUCAUAUAGGUGCGGCCCCGACUCAAACUGACACGAUGAUGACCGAUCGUAUAGGUGCGGUCCCAGAAACUGAACUGACAUGACAAAGAGAUGGCUGAUCGUAUAGGUGCGGCCUCGACUCAAACUGGCACGAUAAUGACCGAUCGUAUAGGUGUGGUCCCAGAAACUGAACUGACAUGACAAAGAGAUGGCCGAUCGUAUAGGUGCGGCCCCGACUCAAACUGACACGAUGAUGACCGAUCGUAUAGGUGCGGUCCCAGAAACUGAACUGUCAUGACAAAGAGAUGGUCGAUCGUAUAGGUGCGGCCCCGACUCAAACUGACACGAUGAUGACCGAUCGUAUAGGUGCGGUCCCAGAAACUGAACUGACAUGACAAAGAGAUGGCCGAUCGUAUAGGUGCUGCCCCGACUCAAACUGACACGAUGAUGACCGAUCGUAUAGGUGCGGUCUCAGAAACUGAACUGACAUGACAAAGAUAUGGUCGAUCGUAUAGGUGCGGCCUCGACUCAAACUGACACGAUGAUGACCGAUCGUAUAGGUGCGGUCCCAGAAACUGAACUGUCAUGACAAAGAGAUGGUCGAUCAUAUAGGUACGGUCCCAGAAACUGAACUGACAUGACAGGAAGAUGGCCGAUCGUAUAGGUGCGGUCCCGACUCAAACUGACAUGAUAAUGACCGAUCGAUAUAGGUGCGGUCCCGACUCAAAGUGAACUGAUAAGAAGAUGGCCGAUCGAUAUAGGUGCGGCCCCGACUCAAACUGACACGAUAAUGACCGAUCGUAUAGGUGCGGUCCCAGAAACUGAACUGUCAUGACAAAGAGAUGGCCGAUCGUAUAGGUGCGGCCUCGACUCAAACUGACACGAUAAUGACCGAUCGUAUAGGUGCGGUCCCAGAAACUGAACUGUCAUGACAAAGAGAUGGUCGAUCGUAUAGGUGCGGUCCCAGAAACUGAACUGACAUGACAGGAAGAUGGCCGAUCGUAUAGGUGCGGUCCCGACCCAAACUGACACGAUAAUGACCGAUCGAUAUAGGUGCGGUCCCGACUCGAACUGAACUGAUAAGAAGAUGGCCGAUCGAUAUAGGUGCGGCCCUGACUCAAACUGACACGAUAAUGACCGAUCGUAUAGGUGCGGUCCCAGAAACUGAAUUGACAUGACAAAGAAAUGACUGAUCGUAUAGGUGUGGUCCCGACUCAAACUGACACGAUAAUGACCGAUCGAUAUAGGUGUGGUCCCGACUCGAACUGAACUGAUAAGAAGAUGGCCGAUCGAUAUAGGUGCGGCCCCGACUCAAACUGACACGAUAAGAUGAUGAAUGACCUGAUCAAGUGACCCAAAACCACCACAAUUCUCCAUGCAAUGACGUGUGAAAAACCACCACUCAAGGUGAAACAAGGAUAAUGUCGAGUAAUCAAUGAGGAAAGGAAAAGACAGAGAACGAAUAUCACAAGUGGUGGUAUGUGAUAUCGAAAAAUAGUGAUGAAAUGAUGUCCAAGCGGAAAAUAUCACAGUGAAGAGUGAAGAAUGAGGCUCGAAUAUGUAUGUCAGGUCUAGAACUCAUGACGUAUCCAAACAUAGCAUGCAAGCACUACAGGGUCCCCAACCCGGUGUAAUAAGUAAAUGAGGUGAUGAAAGAAAAAGCUAUGUGCUCGUGUGAGGCUCAAAGGGCUAGCAACGGGUAACUCUAUAUGUGAGGGUGAUAAAGUAAAUAGGCUCAUGAAAUGAUGGCCACCCAUCCUUUGACCAAAACCUCGAACAUCGUGCUUUUGAGAUCUCACAUGGUCAAUACUAAAGACUGGCAUCCAUCCAACAUAGUCAUGACGACUCCUCUGAAAUCGUGCAAAAGGCUCCCACUGAUGCUCUGUGAUGAUCAUCAAUGUCGUCUGAAAAUCAACUCACUCUAUCAUCACAAGCCACUCACCAUCAUCUCAUAAAAUCACCAUGUCUAAUCAUCCCGACUCUCUGAAGUCAUGUGCAAUGGCUCAAAUCUGGAUGCUCCAUGAUAACCUCUCUAUCUCAACAAUAUCGUCAAACAAAUCAAGCCACUCUCUCAUCGUGAUCCAUCUAUCAUCAUGUAAAGCUCACCUCGGGUCUAACCAUCUCGGACUCUACCUGGUCAGAUCCAUGAAAUGAUGGAAAGGAUAGGCAAUGGUACUGUAGCAUGAUAAGGCGAAUCAAGGGUAGUAAAGGUCGUACGAUGGUACCAAGGGAUGGUGUCAUGUCAAGCUCAAAAUGGGUAGGUCAUCAAGUCCACAAAGUCAAGGUACGAAUAUGGAUAUGGUAUCGCUCUAAUCAAAAGGUGAUAUGAGGCACAGUCUCGAACUCCCUAGGUCGAUCUCCUGAUCCUAGGUCAAUAGACUCAAUAUCCUCCAUGAUAGGUCAGGCCAAAGUGAUCGUGAUGUAAGUGAAAGAUGUAUCAUAUUGAAAGUACAACACAUCAUAUGAAAUAUGGUCCCGUGAUGGCAAUCCUAAACUGGAAAUAUGACAGAAACUCUAAGGUCAUAAAGGUGUCCACUAUGAGAUGGCUACAAAUGUGACCAGAGAAUCUCCAUCAAUAAUCCGAGAUAAAGAGAGGUGUGAAAAACACGCUAUCACGAGAUCGGUACUCCAUCUAUAAACAUAUAUCCUUGAAUCAACCUUCAACUCGAGCUCCAUAAGAGAAAAAUAAUAAGGUGAUCAAGGCGAAUCUCUCGAAGACAGUGUGGAUGUGAAAAAUGCGCCUUUCACCUUUCUGUAAUGAAAAUAUGAGCAUCGAGUCGAAAAUUGAACCAAGGAUCAAACAAAUGAUGAGGUACUGAGCCCGUGAUAAGCAUACAGUGUAAAAAGAUGAUCAAUGAACAUAUCCCAAAGCAUCAUGUGAGUGAUAACAAAGUGAAGGGGUGUGUCGAGCCAAGAAAUGAGAAUGAAAACCCUAGGGAGAAAACAUGCUAAACUCGUCAAGUAAAAAGCAUAAUCUAGAGCGACGAGACAAAGGUGAUCCAAUCGAUACUCAAACUCAUACCGAUCUCCGAGCACUCUCAACUGGAGACUAAAAAGAGGGAACACUGGAUCCGAACUGUAACUAAAGAGGCUCUGAAGGCCCUCAGAUGCACCCACGUGUAGGGAGGGAGUCCUAAUCGAAGGAUCUACGGCUCAACCUACGAGAUCAAGGUGGCUCUAAAUGGAUAUGGGUGGACUUUAAAAAAAAUCCCUAGCAGAAGCGAUCAUACCCUCCAGCGGUACACAACCCUCUGCACGCCUAAAAAAAAGACGGGGCGCUUCCAUGCAAGGUGGACAUCGCAUCCACACAUGCACUACCUCGACAUCCUAGGGGGUUUCCUAUGGUGAAUCCUCUCAAACUCUCAACGCUCAAUAGUCAACUAGGGUGCAUAGUGAUCGGUGUGGGUGCAUCCGAAACCCUAAGAAGCUAAAGCAGAAGAUGAAACAUACUGGUCGCAUAAAUAUCCAUGAAACCUAGCUCGGGGCUAUACAGGUCUUCAAUGAUCGGACUCUAAUCGACAACAAUGCGCCGCUCGCCUCCAGAAUGCUCCCAAACAUCAGUAUAGCCCGUCGCUAGACCCUACUCUUAACUUCUAUCUCAGUCAGAGUACAAGCACACACAAGGCCUCACACUUGCAAAAGUGAGAACCGUAAUGAAGAAAGUGACUGAGACUAGAGAGUGAGAGAUAAGGGGAUAGAUGUGCGACCCACAUAAACAAGCGGCACGAAAUCACACAGAUGAGGGCAAUCAUGCAACACACAGUCAAACAAAACUCAGAUAUAUCAUCAAUGUACACACAAGAUAAGCGAGAAUACGACAAUCAGAUGGAUAGUGAUACAAAGACAACACGCUCAAAGAUGAUCAAAAUAAUAUACCAACAAGUGGAUCAGCAUGUCGAGUCGAAUGAUGUACAGUAGUGAGUGUAUGCACGUGAAGUGAUCAAAACAAUCAUGACAAAAUCAGGGUCAAUGUGCUAAGCAAAGCAAUAAGAUCAAUCAUCAAUGAUCCAGCAUGUCAAUGUCUCAAACAAAUAUAUCAAUGCAACACAGAAGAAAUCAUGGCAUCAGAAUCCUCAAUCAAUAUAAAUCAAUCAACACGAUCGACGUGUCAAAGUCUCAAGUGGAUAUAAAAUCCGAGCAUGCAUCAAAUAUCCUCAAUGUGCAAUCAAGAAAUGGGCAUCCACUGAUUGUCCAAUCGAAUGCCACGUUUGCUUCAUUCUAAGUUCAAGUUUGACCCUCUAAAUGAUCCCCAGUGGAGUCGCCAUUUUGUGGACCCCGCAUUUCGUGCUUGAUGCGUUUCCCACUCGAUGGCGAGCUCGAUUUUUAUUUUGAAAAAUUAAUUUUAUUUAUUGUUUGUUGAAAAAAAUGACUUGGAGUCGCCACUUAUUUUUGUUUUAUUUUUAAAGGGUAAACAAAAUAAGAAAGAAAAACCCUAAGUGUGACUCCUUAUUUUGGAAAAGGCGGUCUGUGAAAAACUGGAUCGGGUUCGGGGGUCAGGUUACUUAUUGGGAAGGUACGGUAAAGACCGUAGCACCCCUCUAAGUCCCUAAAAUCGGGUCUCUACUAAUAGAAUGAAGUUGACGUGGCAAUCAAUGAGGAAAUCAGCGGAUACUCAAAUCAAACUUGCACAUAUGAAAAUAAGAGUAUGCAUAGAGAAUAAUCAAAAUGAGAAUGAGUGCGUACCUGGACCUCUAGUGACAAAUGCGCUAUCAUGAAACAGGAUUAGUGAGCAAUGAACAAGAUAUAAUUAAGCGCAUAUCAAGAAAUAGAGUAAACCAAUCAUGCAUGGCAAAUAAAUCAAUCGAUCUGUCAAUCAAUCAUGAAGUCAAGUAUGUGGGGCCCCCACCAAAGCCCGUUUAUUUUGCAUGAAUUAAUUCCAUAAAUUCCAUUAGUCGGAAUUACGGAAUUUAAUUCUUGCUUAUUUUUACAACAUUUUAAAAGAUUAUGAAAGAUUUGAAAAUUGCUUACCGAAUAGAAAGUGGAAGCAAAUUUGAUUAAAAGUGAGACUCUUGGGUGAUCCUAAAAAUUCUAAGGAUGAAAGAGUGUGGAAUUGAAAUUAUUGUUUUAUUGAAAAAUGAGGAACUGGGAAAUUAUUAAAAAAAAUGAGAUUUGAAAAAUUGUUGUCAAAGUCAAAGAGGAUAAAAGGGAAGAUGUCACGUGACCAAAGGUGGCCAUGCAACUGAAUGCUCAUAUGCGCGGACCCAAGGAGGUCACUGGGGCUGCUUUGUCGGCGCACCAUCCUCUCUUAUAACUGCAAAUAGGCUCGGUAUGAAAGAAACUUGAGACAGGUCUGGUGACUCAAAAUAUGGAUCAGAACCCACAGAACCUUUGAUCACGAUCACCUAGGAUGUAACACGUCCCUCUCUCAAAGCAAAUCUUUGUCCAGCUUCAAGAGGAACAACAGAUAUCAACUCGAAAAACUACUGUAACAUCAUUCCCAGGCAUAACCAUCUUAACUUCUUCAAGCAAUUGAACCUUCCCAGUGGCAUCUGUAGUCCUCAGGUGGCUUUGAUUUAUCAGAAGAAUUGAAAGCCGAAGAUUUAGGCAUUGGAGGGGUCACAUGCAUUAGUUGCCUAGAUUGCUUAAAUGCCAAUUCCUCAAGCCGAUGUGUGUUAACAGGCAGCUGUGGUGUAGUGCAAGCCCAUGAUGGAGCCCGUGCCAAUGCUUCAGCCAUAUUAAGACCAACUGUAAUACUUGGAAGCCCAGGUGCCGGGGCAGAACGAUAUUUUGUUGAGCAGAUGAGGAUCCAAUGAGCAAAUUCUGAACAGCCAUGUUCAACCCAGGUGACGAAACCCUCCCAAGAUCCAAUUCGGUUCCAAGUGAAGAGAAAUCCUUAUCAAACACAGUCUUGUGGAUGGUUUCUCACUAAGCAAUCUCAUGGUUUACACUUUCUGCUUAUUUAUGAAGUUUGCUAAUCCUUUCCUUUCUUAUCCUCGAGACGACCUUCUUCCGAUCGAGCCUUCCUAUCCUCGGUGUGGCAUUUAUACGACAUAACCCAACUCACCUAUCAACCCAUAUCUGAAUUUGGCUGCGUCUUAGCAAGAUGCUUCACGGCGUCUUUCUCCAGCUGCAGCCACAACGUGUCAGCUGCCUCCACCCAAAACCUGAUAUGCUGAGAAGUUUCCGUCUAUUAUUGGAUUCGGUAUCUGAUUCCUCAGUCGCUUUCAUUCUCUCAAUCCCUUCCAUGCAUGCAUGAGGGUUGGUGUUAUGUGGUGUAAGGAGAGAAACGGGUAUGGGAUGUGAUCAAAUGGGUGUAUGUGUGAGGGUAUGAAAUAUAGGUGUGGAGACGGGUAUUAUAGGCAAAAGAGGUGGCCAUGCACAUGAGAUGAGUGUGAAGCACGGCCACGGGUAGUGAGAGAAAAUGGGUGGUUAUGUGUUAAGUAUGAGUGGUGAUGAAAUGUGUAUGAAGGUUAGAACAAUGGGUUUGGAGGAUGGAGAUAGGAGUGAGUGGAGUGGGUGGUUGGACGAGUAGUAAGGCUUAGAGAGAUGGUAGUGGGUUUGGAAUAGGUGCAGGGGAAGAUAAUGAAUGAAGAUGAAUGAAGAGAGCGUGAGAUAGAAGAUGGAUGUGAUGGACAAGAAGGUGGCCACGUGCCUGGAGCUUCAUGUAUAUGGGUAUGAAAGAGUUUGAAGAGAGAGAAAAGGUGGUAAUGUGGAAUGGGUUUGGUGGGUGCAAGCAUGGGGCAUGAAGAUGAGGGUUAGUAUGGAAGUGUGGGUAUAAUGAGCGAAUGAGAGAGAUGAGAUGGGUGCAUGGUGGUGUAGAAAGAAAGGUGAUCAUACAAAUGGGCAUAGGUAUGGAGGUAUAAUGGGUAUAGGGUCAUGGGUAUGCUAAAUGGGCAAAAAGGGUAUAAGCCCGGAAUUAAUGGAGUAGGUAGUGGGAGAUAAUAGGAAAUGGGUGUUCAUGGGGAUCCUCUGCGUACAUGGUGGGAAAGGAAACAGUGAAGAGUACCCACAACCAACUGAACUUUCAUUAUUCCUCUCAUUUUAACAUAAGCUUGACCAUAAUAUUUCUAAACUCUCUCUUAGGACUCAUACUUCCGAUGGCUAUUUUGUGGUCUACAAUGCCAAUGGUGAUAUUUUCCGUCUUUCAAAGCCGAAAAGAGAGGUAAGUGACCCUCAUCAAUCGAACAACUCACUUUCUUAUAUAUUCAGGCAACAACUAGAGCAACUCCAGAUCUAUGAAUAGUAUGGGCCCAAGAAUCUGCUUAACAGAAUGCUCCAAAUCUUCAACAAGUGUAAAUCAGUUGGAUACGAUUGCACAUUGUGCUGCAGCGUGAACAACAGAGAUGGCAAAAGGACUUCAUUGUCAUGACCGAAAAAGCGUCAAGUUCUUUCUCAUUGACUGGCAUAAUAUCCUCAGUAACAAACUGAUCCAGAUCAAAUAUAAAUGCAGUAUUCCCACAAGAUACAACCUGAACAGGACCUUGCUUCUUUUCCAUCUAAGAUCUUUGCGCAACCCAGAUCAUCUGGAGGAGUUUUGUUCAUCCUCAACACUCACGAGCUAUGAUCUGUGCUAUCACCACCUGGCUCUCUCAAAUAGGGAUGUACAACCUGAUGUAUAACAAGGUAGGAUGCCGAAAACAGGGGAAUGGCAAAACCAAAUAGAAAACAAACCAGUGAAACAAAUAAAACAACCAAAGCCAUGUUUCAUGUUUAGAUCAACAGGUUUGGUUGUAGGUGAGUGAACUAGAAUGCACCUAAAGAGAUAAGAACAAGACAAAACUCCUAUAUGUGGCAUAGCGAAAACUAAAACAGAGCUGAGCCAUUCUCAAAUCAUCAUAAGGAAAAUAGGCAAGAUAGCCGCCAAGGAAAUCCGAGAACCAAGCAGGAACCAUAAGAUAGAACGUAUACCCAAACAAAUCACAAACAAUAUCAAGCAAAAGGAAUGAAACUACAUACUGAUAAAGAAUAUGAAGGAUCCAUGGCAGUCAUACCUCGCUUUUCUUCCCCCUCAAGCUCUCUGUUCUCUCUGGAUAUCUUAGCCAAAACUCCUCCUAGUUUUCCCUCUGAGCUCUCCUCAAGCUCCCAGAAAAACUCUCCCUCAGGCUCCUCCGGAAUCUCUCCUUUUUCUCUCCUCCUCUCUCAAUAUCCAGCUUGCUCCUUGCAAAAUCUGCACCCUCUCUCCAAAAACAUGCUCUGUUUUUCUUAGCUUCUCCCUGGUCCCUGCAUCCCCUAAAAAUCUCCUUUUCUCCUUUUUCUUUUCUCUCGGAUUUGCCCUUCUAACCAUAUCUGCAGAGACACCCCCCUUCAUGCAGCUGACAACCUUCCCAUAACAGAAAAAUACGUUCCCCUGAUUCCAGAAGAUUCUUUCCCUUUACAGGUGUCUUCCCCGGAUUAGUCCAUCAAUUCCACUAUUUUGAUCCCAUAUUGACUAAUCCGGGAGUGACACGUGGCCAGAAUGAGCUGCAUGAAAUAGCACCCAAAUAGGGGUCUACAGCACCCUUGGCCCAUUUAGGCACUCUAAGCUCAUUUGGGCAUCCUAGGUCCACUUAAGCACCCUAGGCCCAUUUAGGCACCCUUGGUACACUUAGGCACCCUAGGCCCAUUUAGGCACCCUAAGUCCAGUUAGGCACUCUAGACCCAUUUAGGCACCUUAGGCCCACUUAGGCUUUGUUGGCCCAUUUAGGCACCCUAGGUCCACUUAGACACCUUAGGCCCACUUAAGCACCCUAGGCCCUUUUAGGCACCCUAGGUCCAUUUAGGCACCCUUGGCCCAUUUAGGUACCCUCGGCCCACUUAGGCACCCUAGGCCCAUUUAGGCUCCCUAGGUCCAUUUAGGCACCUAAGGCUCAUUUAGGCACUCAUAGGCCCAUUUAGGCACCCUAGGUCCACUUAGACACCUUACGCUCAUUUAGGCACCCGAGGCUCAUUUAGGCACCCUUGGCCCAUUUAGGCACCCUAGGCUCAUUUAGGCACCUUUGGCCCAUUUAGGCACCCUAGGCCCACUUAGACACCCUGAGCCCACUUAGACACCCUUGGCCCAUUUAGGCACCUUAGGUCCACUUAGACUCUCUAGGCCCAUUUCGGCACCCUAGGUCCACUAAGACACGCUAGGCACAUUUAAGCACCUAAGCACCCUAGGCACAUUUACGAACCUAAGGCUCAUUUAGGCACUCAUGGGCCCAUUUAGGCACCCUAGGUCCACUUAGACACGUUAGGCUCAUUUAGGCACCCGAGGCUCAUUUAGGCACCCUUGGCCCAUUUAGGCACCUAGGCUCAUUUAGGCACCUUUGGCCCAUUUAGGCACCCUAGGCCCACUUAGACACCCUGAACCCACUUAGACAUCCUUGGCCCAUUUAGGCACCCUAGGUCCAAUUAGGCUCUCUAGGCCCAUUUCGGCACCCUAUGUCCACUAAGACACGCUAGGAACAUUUAAGCACCCUAAGCCCACUUAGGCACCCUUGGCCCAUUUACGAACCCUAGGCUCAUUUAGGCACCAUAGGUCCACUUAGGUACCCUAGGCCCAUUUAGGCAUUCUAGGUCCAAUUAGGCACUUUAGACCCAUUUGGGCACCCUAGGUCCACUUAGGCACCCUAGGCCCAUUCAGGCACCCUAGGUCCACUCAGGCACCCUAGGCCGAUUUAGGCACCCUUGGUCCACUUAAGCACCCUAGGCCCAUUUUGGCACCCUAGGUCCAGUUAGCCACUCUAGACCCAUUUAGGCACCUUAGGCCCACUUAAGCAUCCUUGGCCAAUUUUGGCACCCUAGGUCCACUUAGGCACUCUAGUCCCAUUUAGGCACCCUAGGUCCACUUAGGCACCCUACGUCCAUUUAGGCACCCUAGGUCCAUUUAGGCACCCUAGGCUCAUUUAGGCACCCUAGGCCCAUUUAGGCACCCUAGGUCCACUUAGACACCUUAGGCCCAUUUAGGCACCCUAGGUCCACUUAGGCACCCUUGGCCCAUUUAGGCACCCUAGGUCCAUUUAGGCACCCUAGGCCCAUUUAGGCACCCUAGGCCCAUUUAGGCACCCUAGGUCCACUUAGGCACCCUAGGUCCACUUAGGCACCCUAGGCCCAUUUAGGCACCGUAGGUCCAUUUAGGCACCCUUAGCCCAUUUAGGCACCCUAGGCCCAAUUAGGCACCCUAGGUCCAUUUAGGCACCCUAGGUCCACUUAGACACCUUAGGCCCAUUUAGGCACCCUAAGCCCACUUAGGCACCCUUGGUCCAUUUAGGCCCCCUAAGCUCAUUUAGGCACCCUAGGUCCACUUAGGCACUCUAGGCCCAUUUAGGCACCCUUGGUCUACUUAGGCACCCUAGGCCCAUUUAGGCACCCUAGGUCCAGUUAGGCACUCUAGACCCAUUUAGGCACCUUAGGCCCACUUAGGCAUCCUUGGCCCAUUUAGGCACCCUAGGUCCACUUAGGCACUCUAGGCCCAUUUAGGCACGCUAGGUCCACUUAGGCACCCGAGGCCCAUUUAGGCACCCUAGGUCCACUUAGACACCUUAGGCCCAUUUAGGCACCCUAAGUCCACUUAGGCACCUUUGGCCCAUUUAGGCACCCUAGGCUCAUUUAGGCACCCUAGGUCCAGUUAGGCACCUCAGGCCCAUUUCAGCACCAUAGGUCCAGUUAGGCACUCUAUACCCAUUUAGGAACUCUAGGUCCACUUAGGCACCCUAGGCUCAUUGAGGCACCCUAGGUCCAUUUAGGCACCCUUGGCCCAUUUAGGCACCCUAGGCCCACUUAGGCACCCUAGGCCCAUUUAGGCACCCUAGGCUCAUUUAGGCACCCUAGGCCCAUUUAGGCACCCUAGGUCCACUUAGACACCAUAGGCCCAUUUAGGCACCCUAGGCUCAUUUAUGCACCCUUGGCCCAUUGAGGCACCCUAGGCCCACUUAGACACCCUAAGCCCACUUAGACACCCUUGGUCCAUUUAGGCACCCUAGGUCCACUUAGGCACCUUAGGCCCACAUAGGCACCCUUGGCCCAUUUAGGUACCCUUGGCCCAUUUAGUUAGGCCCACCUAGUCUCACCUUAGGCCCAUUUAGGCACACUUGGGCCAUUAAGAAAUUUUUAGCGUGACUUAUAUGACUUGCAUGGUUGCAUGGCUUGUGGGGCUCAGUUUUUUUUUUAUUUAUUUAUUUUUAUUUUUAGUUUUAUUUUUAUUUUUAUCAAUCACUUGUUUAUUUUUAUUUGUUAUAUUCCUUUCUAUAUUAUUUUUCUUAGUUUUUUAAUUAACUUAUUUAUUUAUUAUUGUUUUACCGUUUUCUAAUUUAUCUACUCAUUUAUUUAUUCAUUCAAUUAUUUAAUAUAAAAAAAUUUCAUGCUUUUGCAAGGAAACUUACCAUUGAAGUUUAAGGAAAGUGGGACUCUCCUUGGAAGGUUUUGGAGAGGGAGUUUGAAAUUGGGAGGAUUGUUUUUGAAUGGGAAGAUUGGAAAAAGAGGGAAAAAAAAUGGGGAAUUUCUCAGAGCCAUAUAAGGAGUAGACUGCCAUCAUGAGAUAAAGAAAAAGAAAAAAAAAAAAGUUAGAGAUUUUGAUUUUCUGGGGGAUAGAGAGAACAAUAGGAAUUUUUUAGAAGGGUUUUUUUGUUAGAGAUUCAAGCAUAAAGCAUAAUUUUUUUUAAAGAGAGCACACAGAAUUUUGGAAAAAAAGCAAGGGACUUGAGACGGAGAUCGGGCUGCCAUUUAAUCAUCAAGAGAGGAUUUUCUAUUUCACUUCAAAGGUUAGUUUUCUAUAUAGUACUUUUAUUUAGCCUAGACUUUUUUUUGGAAAUUUUAGUUUUUGAUUAAUUCUUUGUGUUAAAGUUUAUAUUAUUUUCUUUUUAAAUCCCCAAUUAGUUUAAUUCCAAUCUAUCUUUUAGUUUAAGUUUGUUAAUGAUUUUAAUUCUUAAGUUUAAAUAAUCAUAUUGAAUAAAGUUUGUAUUUUUAAUCCUGAUUAGUUUGAUUUCAAUUCGUUUUUAGUUUAAAUGUAUUUUGUUGAUCUUAAUUCUUGACUUUAAAUAAUCACGUUAAAUAAAGUUUGUAUUUUUAAUCCCAAUUAGUUUGAUUUCAAUUCGUUUUUUAUUUUAAAUGUGUCUUGUUGAUCUUAAUUCUUUACUUUAAAUAAUCACGUUAAUAAAGUUUGUAUUUUUAAUCCCAAUUAGUUUGAUUUCAAUUCGUUUUUAAUUUAAAUGCAUUAGUUGAUCUUAAUUCUUUACUUUAAAUAAUCACGUUAAAUAAAGUUUGUGUUUUUAAUCUCAAUUAGUUUGAUUUCAAUUCGUUUUUAAUUUAAAUGCAUUAGUUGAUCUUAAUUCUAUGUUUUAAAUAAUCAUGUUAAAUAAAGUUUGUAAUUUUAAUCCCAAUUAGUUUGAUUUCAAUUCGUUUUUUAGUUUAAAUGUAUCUUGUUGAUCUUAAUUCUUUACUUUAAAUAUCACGUUAAUAAAGUUUGUAUUUUUAAUCCCAAUUAGUUUGAUUUCAAUUCGUUUUUUAGUUUAAAUGUAUCUUGUUGAUCUUAAUUCUUUACUUUAAAUAAUCACGUUAAUAAAGUUUGUAUUUUUAAUCCCAAUUAGUUUGAUUUCAAUUUGUUUUUAAUUUAAAUGCAUUAGUUGAUCUUAAUUCCUUGUUUUAAAUAAUCACGUUAAAUAAAUUUGUAUUUUUAAUCCCAUUUAGUUUGAUUUCAAUUCGUUUUUUAGUUUAAAUGCAUUAGUUGAUCUUAAUUCUUAAGUUUAAAUAAGCACGUUAAUAAAGUUUGUGUUUUUAAUCCCAAUUAGUUUGAUUUUAAUUUGUUUUUAGUUUAAAUGCAUUUUGUUGAUCUUAAUUCUUUAGUUUAAAUAAUCAUAUUGAAUAAAGUUUGUGUUUUUAAUUCCAAUUAGUUUGAUAUUAAUUUGUUUUUAGCCUAAAUACAUUCAUUGAUCUUAGUUCUUUAGUUUAAAUAAUCAUAUUGAAUAAAGUUUGCGUUUUUAAUUCCAAUAAUAGAAUUUAAUUUCAAUUUAGUUUGAUUUUAAUUUAUUUUAUAAUUUGAAUGCGUUCAUGAUUUUAAUUGUUUGAUUAACUCUCUUAGACAAAUUCUAUAUAUUUAAUUUCGAUUUUAUUUUAAUUUUACUUUGUUAAUUUAUUUAUUUGUUUAAAAAUAUUUGCAAUUUCAUUUUGAUAGUUUAGCCAAUCUUAUUAGAUGAUGUUAAUGUUUUUAAUUUAAUCUAGUAUCAAUUAUUUUUAGUAUUGAAUGUGUUCGUGCGUUUCUGAAUUCGCCAUUUUGGAUUGUAAUCCAUUUAUAUCCAAUUUUGUAGUUGAUCAUAAUUUUAGUUAAUUAAUUUAGUCAAUCACAUGAUAUUAUACUCACAUUCUAAGUAUGGAAAUUUCAGCUUUGAUUCGUCAAUAUUUAGUAUGAGUUUUUUGGAAUUUUAGUUAAUUACAUGUUACUCUUUUAGUCAAUAUUUUCAAGUUUGCUAAACUUUGGUUUUUGAUUUAUCAUACUUUGCUAGAAUGUUAAUUUACCUUAAUUGAUUCCCUGUUAUUAUCUUUAUAUGCUAAGCUUGUUGACUUUAAUCUUUGGUUGGUUAUUUUUAUUUUAAUUCAUGUGUUUCUUGAAAUCUAGAUGUUAGUCUUGGAUAAUAUUUGUGUUAGUUUGUUUGAUUAGGAAACCAUUAGUUUGUUGCUUUAGUAAUUGUUGGUAAAAUCUUUUUUUUUGAAGGCCAUUGGAAAAUCAUGAAGAUUGGCAUCUACCAUCACCUUUAUCAUUUUUGUUAAUUACUAAAAAAAUUUUACUUUGAGGUUUCAUUUUUUUUUUUUUUUUUGUUUGGUAUUUUAUAUAUUUUAUUUUUUCCAAAUUAAUUCCUUUUAUUUUAAAAUAAAAUACUUUUCUCAAAAAAUCAUUUUAAAAAUCUAUUUCAAAAACUCAUUUAGAGUCCUCAGGAUCAAUUUUUUUUUUUUUAUAUUUAAAAAUAAUGUGCAACCAUAUCUUGUUCUGUUUGCAUCCUUCUCGGUUUUCAACAAAAAGUUUGGUUUUGAACAAAAACACGAAUCAAAGCUUGUGGUCCCAAAUAAAUGGGAUAAUUCUUGGCUAAAUUUGUGUAUAUUAAUUUGGGGAAUUGGUGAAACCCCUACAUAAGAAAAUCUUUUCAAAAAUUAUUUUUGUUGCCAUAUUUGUCACUUGUUGAAAUUAUGUCUAUCUUUUUUAGGAAUUGUAUACAAGAUGUGUGUGAUAAUUAAUGUUUUCAUAUACUUUGAUAAUUUUUGUUAUGCUAAUUAGAUAACAAGCAUGCUAGGGUUUCUUUAUUUUAUUAUUAUCUAAUCCCUCAUGUCUUAUGGAAGUGCAUUGUAAGUUAUCUAUGCUAUCCAGGUACAUCCCCUAUCACCUACUUUCUAAGUUUUGUAAACAUGAUUGUCACUGAGAACUAUGCUUAUGCUUGAGAAUACUUGGGUGUUCCGAUAUACAUGUUUCAUUGUUUGAUUAUUUCUAAUAAAACACAUGUUGGAUGAUAUAUUGUUUAAAUUAACCAUUGAUGUUUUAUGAUAGCGCUUGAGAAGCAGUCCGGGUACACACCCUAACUCUCCUUUAUUGUGAUUUAAUCUUGUUUAGCAUGUAAGUUUUUUGAAAUCACCUAGCCUACUUAGGUAUCUAUAAUUAAUUGAUUAAUUGCCACACUUCCCUUAACUUUGUCAGUAGAGACCUUUGUAGGGCUUAGAGGGGUGCUACCUUUUAAAGGUGCCUUCCCAAUAAGUAACCUGAUCCCCGGACUUAGACUUAGGUUUUUCAAAGACACACUUUUCCAAAAAUUAUGGAGUCAUUUUUUAGGGUUUUAUUUCUUGUUUUAUUUUCCCUUUUAAAAAAAAAUAAUAAGUGGCGACUCCAACUUUUUUUCAAAAAUCAAUUUUUCACAAAUAAAAAGCGAGUCUCGCCGAUUGAGUGGGGGCGCACGUGAAAAAUGCGGGUCCACAUGGAGUAAUUAGAGAUUAUUGCAUCACAUACGUCAAUGAAGUUGUAGGUAUUAGAGGGUAAGUUUUUAGGAUAAAACGACCAGGUAAAUUUGUGUAACUUGAUCUUGUAUAGUGGAUUUUGAUUAGUAGUCUUAGACCUUGUGGUUUUUUUUAUCUCCACAGUAGUGUGGGGAUUUUCCAUGUAAAAGUCAUUGUGUCCAUUGUUAUAUCUUGUGAUUAUCAUGAUUGUGGGGAUUUUGUUUAUCUCUGAUAUUAUCUCACAGGGUAAAAAUUGAGUAUAACAUAUAAUCUUUUUUUUAGAAUUCUUUUAAUUACACCCAUUCACCUCCGUCCUCUCUUUGGGUGUUACCCUACUAGACUUGGCUUUUUCAGUCUCAAAUUCUACAUUAGCAUUUUUUUACUUAAGUUAUAAAUGGAAAAAGUUAUAAACCCAAGAUAACUUGUUAAAAAAGUGAGAAAUAAUAAAGGACUCAUGUUAGAGUAUAAAUAAUUAAUCUAUUCUAGGCUUAAUAUAGCUCCAAUGUCAAACAUGAAUACUUAAUUAUUUAUUAUAUUUUGAAAAUAAAGUAAGUAUUUUUUAUAUAAAAAAUGAAACAACUUUUCUAGAACAACACAAGGCACUAAUGCAUAUAGUUGGUAACAAGUUGGAGAAAGAAAAUAAUGUGGAGAAAUAAAACAACAUGUACAAAGAAACAAAUUGGAGAUAAAGAAAAUGACUAACAAAAAAGAAAAUAGAGAAAUUAUAGAAUAUAAGAUAAUUAAACUUAUUUUCAUAAAAAUAAUAUAUUUUCGAAAAAUAGAAAAUUUCGUUCAUAUUCUCUUUUUCACUUAUUUUAAAAAUAAAAGUAAAAAUUAAUAUUUAUCAAAUGCAAAUAUUAAUAAUUAUGAAAUUAAUAUUUAUCACAUAUAUAAGAUUAAGAUUGAGAUAUAAACUUUUUAUAAUCUAAACUAUUAUUUUCAUUUUAAACAAGAAAGUUCGAUGUGACAUAAUAAAAUUUGUACACAAAAUUUAAAUUAUCUCUAUUCAUAUAGAAUUAUAUAUAGGUAUAGAUUCAUUUCAAAAUUCAAAUAAUUAUUUGAAAUUUACAUUUAAAUUUUAUUUUUAAAUUUAAAACUUAAUUAUUUUGUAAUAGGGUAUGUGUCAUAAAAUUGAAACUUAUAUAUAUAAAUGCGUCCACUUCCAUACCUCUCAUAAAAUUGGAGCCGACUUUUUUUGUUUUCUUUUGUGUGUUUAUAAAUGUCUCCAAUUCCAUAUCUAGCUGUGAUAUAGUUUUGGAGAUGAUUGUGAUUGAAGUAUAAUUUCUUUUAAUUUUAAUUUUAUAAGAAUUAAAAUCAAAGAAACUGUUGGGUAGAAAGAUGUUUCCCUCCAUACAAAUCUAUUUAAAAGAAAAAAAAAACACAAAGAAAGACAACAAUAGAUGAAAAUAAUUAUUCAUCUGUUAUGUUAGUGCAAAAUAUGAAAGAGAAGACAACAGUGUGCAUCUUCACUGUGACUGAGGAUCAAAUUCUCUUUGAGAUUGAUAUAAAUUAUUUAUAACUUCAUUGUUCAUGGAGAGUUGAUUCAGUAGUGUCUUCCAUUUGAAGACAUACAGAAAUGGUUAGAAUUAUCUAUUCAUUUCAAGAGAUAACUUGCAUCUAUGACCCUUAUACUCCCAUGAACUUUGAGCAUCUAUUAUUUAUAAAAUAUGGAUGAAAAUAGAAUAUAAAAAAAAUAUUUUCAUGGGAAGUGUAUUUUGGAAAAAAUAAUUCUCAUUUGAUACAUUGGAAAAGUGUCUACCUCACAUUACCCAAAAAUGUCGUUAUAUGUGUACAUGGGUCAUCAUCCAUAGUAACCCAAUUCACAUGAGGAUGGUACAUCAUUCAACCAAUAAAGGUACUUUAAGCUCAAAACAGUGGUACAUUAUAAUCAAAACAAUAUUACUUUAAUAUCAAAAUACAUGUAAGGACAUUUUAAGGUAAUGUGAGGUAAAUACUACUAUAAUACAUUAAAUAAGAAUUAUUUUCCCAAAAAUGUACUUCCCAUGAAAAUGAUUUAUGUAGGUUUUCUUUCAUUUAUAUUUUAUAAAUAGUGCAUGUUUACAUAAUUCUCUCAUUAAUAUAAUAUAAUCAUCUAUACCUGAUAAUUAAGGAAAUAAAAAAUAUUUACGUACUAAGCAAGGAUAAUUGAAAUUAAAGAGUAUGUCAAAAGAGAAAAAAAAUAUUAAAGAUAAAUUAAAACUCUAAAAUAAAAGCCUUCAUUUGCACAUAUAGGACAAUAUCUUAGGAGGUAUUUUAUUAAAAUAAUAAUAACAAUGAUUAAAAAAUGGAAAAAAUUAUGGGUCCCAUUUUUUAAGUAUUUUCAAUAACAUAAUUAUAAACUUCUUUAAAUUUAAAAUCAUUUAUUUAAACCACUUUAUUCAUUUAGCAACAAGGACUUAAUUAAUCACUAAGAUCAAACACAAUGAUUUAUAAUUUUUAUAAUAUUUUCUUCCAUUACUAUCAUUUUUUUGUUAAUAAAAUGAAGACUUCUAUUGAUGAAUUUUUAAUAAUAAAAUGUAACUUCUUUUAAAUUAAAACCAUUUAUUAUUAAAAAAAUUUAAUUCAUCUAGGAGAUUCUUUUAACUAAUUCUUUUAGAAUUUUUUACAUUUUUUUAUUUCAUAUUUAAAGAUAAAAAAUUAUUAUGAAAUAAUUUUCUUCAUUAUAAAAUUUAUCUUUCGUUUCUAAAUCAGAAUUUUUGUCAUGUCCAUUCAUAUAAUAAAAUUAAAAUUAUAAAUAAUAAAAAAACCUAUUUUAAUUGACAGCGUCAUGGAAUCUCUCCAUGCACACCUCUUAAACCAAGUGAGCUAUGAAUGCAUGUAAGAUGUAUAUAUAACUAUAAAUAAGGAUUCAAAAUGAGGGGAAAAAUCAUUGAGAAGGGUGAACCAUGGGUGAUAAGCCACUUUCCUUUGGAUAAAUAUUAAAAGUUAAAGAGUAUAAAAUGUCUAUGUAUGUCGUCAUUUUUUUUUUCACUUUUAAGUUAAAUAUAUUUUUAUUGUUAUAAAUGAAGUAAUGAAUGCCACCACAUUUAUUAUAUGAAAUGUUCAUUAAAAGCCUAUAAAAAUGUUUCCUAUCCCCUGUAAAAUGCAUCCCAAGCAAAGAAAUAAAUUUUCUUUCUCUCUUAUUCUUUUUUAUUUUUUUAUUUUUAUUCUCCAUAUCUUUCAUUCUUUCAAUUGUCCUAAUUAUCUUUUAUGAUUCCUUCCUCUCCAUUAUAUAUUAUUAUCAAAAUAAUAUAUAGUUGUUCUUUACUUUUAUUUGUGUUGCAUUUAUCCUCUUUUUACAACACAUAAUUAGCAUGAAUUGCUCUAAAGGUAAUUCUCAUAUCUUAAAUUUGAAGUUAUUUAUAUAGAAUAAAAUUUUACAUAUUUAUAUUGGUAUUGUUAAAUUCAUUUAAUUUGUGUUAUAUAUUAUUAAAAUCUAUAAGCAAAUUAUUUGAUUUUGAUUAUAAUCAAAAGUUAUACCAAUGCUAUUAAUUUAUAACUAAUUCUAGUAAUAUUGUUUUGUCAUAUAUCUAAAGUUAUUUAACAAUGUCAAAUCUCACAAAACUCAAAUUUGUGGCACUUGACAUUUUAGGAAAGAACUAUAUAUCUUGGAUCCUUAAUGCUGAAAUACAUCUUGAUGCAAUGAAUCUUGGAGCUACAAUUAAAGAAGGAAAUCAGGCUUCCUUGUAGGAUCAUGCAAAAGCGUUGAUUUUCCUUCACCAUCAUCUCUAUAAAGGUUUUAAAAAUGAGUAUCUUAUAGUAAAGGACACUUUUACGCUAUUGAGUAAUUUGAAGGAAAGAUAUGACCACUAAAAAAUUGUGAUUAUCCCAAAAGCUUGAUAUGAUUGGAUGCAUUUAAGGUUGUAGGAUUUUAAAACUAUUAGUGAAUAUAACUCUGCACUUUUCAAAAUCAACUCUCAAUUAAAGCUAUGUGGAGAAAAAAAUCAUAGAAGAUGACUAUUAGAAAAAACUUUACUACAUUUCAUGCCUCGAAUGUGCUCUUACAACAAUAAUACCAAGAGUGUAGAUUUACAAAAUACUCUGAAUUAAUAUCAUGUCUUCUUGUUGCUGAACAAAAUAAUGAGCUUUUGAUGAGAAAUCACUAGUCUCAUCCAAUUGGAUCUGAACCAUUCCCUGAAGUGAAUGCAAUAUUGUCCCAAACUCGUGGACAUGGGUGAGGACAAGGAAAUGGUUGUGGUCACGGAAGGAAUCUCCGAUAUAAUGGUUAUUAUGGUAAUAAUUCCUCAAAUUCUCAUAAAAUGAAAGCUUUAUUGCACCACUAGAAAUGGAAUAAUACUGAGGCAAAACAAGAAAAUGGGAAGUGUUUACAAGAUUAACCUCCAAAUAACCAUGAGAAUAAUUGUUAUAAAUGUGGUAUGAAGGGCCAUUGGUUGUGUACCUAUCAUACACUCAUACAUUUGGUCAACCUUUACCAAGCAUCAAUAUAAGUAAAAGGAAAAGAGAUAGAGAUGAAUUUUACCAAUGGUGAUGGAUUGAACCUAACCUACUAUGACAUCGAUUUCUUUGGAGGUCCUAGUGAAAAAAUAGACCAUUUAAUAAAUGAUGAGAAUGCUAACAUUGAUGGGUGUUACUUUAUAUAUCAAAUAAUAUAUUAUUAUGUGUUAUAUUUAUAUCUGAUUAUUACAUUUUCUUUUAUAUUGUUAUUUUAUUAUGCCUUGUUUUUUUAAUAUUAGUUGUAUCUAAAAUCCACGUGUUAUUUGGUCUCAAGAUGAAUGAAGAUGAUGUAUGUUUCACAAAUUGUGAAACCACGCACACAAUUCUUCGAGAUAAAAGAUAUUUCAUUGAAUUGACAUUGAUAAAAGCUAAUGUAAGUACCAUAUUUAGUACUACAAGCUUAGUUGAAGGCUUUGGAAGAGGAAACAUAAUGCUACUAAAUGGAACUAGAUUUCAUAUAAAUGAUGCUUUAUAUUCUAACAAAUCUAGAAGAAAUUUGCUCAGUUUUAAAGAUAUCCACAAAAAUGUAUAUCAUAUUGAAAUUUUGAAUGACUUCCAUUAUAUCUGGCCAAAAGCUUAUGAUAGAAAAACUCUCGACUUUUUCCUCUAGGUUGUAUCAUACAACUAUAAAGCAUAUUGAAUCAUAUUUUGUCAUGAACCAGAAGUUCAACGGCCCAAAAUUUUUUGUCCUUUGGCAUGUGAGACUAGGUCACCCAGGUUUUCAAUGAUGCGUCAAAUAAUCGAACACUCACAUGGGCAUCCACUAAAAAACCAGAAAAUUCUUUUGCAAAAUGAAUACUCAUGUGCUACUUGCUCACAAGGUAAAUUGAUAGUCAAACCAUUUUUUACUAAAGUCAUAUUUGAGUCACGAGUUUUUAAAAAGAAUACAUGAGAACAUAUGUGGGCCUAUCCAUCCACCAUGUGAACCAAUUCGUUAUUUUAUGAUCUUAAUAGAUACUUCUACUAGCUGGUUACAUGUUUGUCUCAUUUUUACAAGUAAUGUUGCCUUUGCUAACUCCUUUCACAAAUGAUCAAAUUAUGAGCACAAUUCCAAGAUUAUCUAAUUAAGAUAAUACAUCUUAAUAAUGUUGGCGAAUUUACUUCUCAAACAUUCAUUGACUACUGUCUAUUGGUAGGGAUAAAUAUUGAGCAUCCUAUUGCUCAUACUCAUACCCAAAAUGGUUUAGUAGAAUUCUUCAUCAAAUGUCUCUAAUUAAUAGCUCGACCAUUACAAAUGAAAACCAAAUUACCUAUUUCUACCUGGGGACAUGUUAUUAUGCAUGCUGCAACUUUAGAUUGUAUUCAACAUAUAGCUUGCCAUGAAUAAUUCCCUCCACAACUCAUACUUGGAAAACAACUAAAUAUCUCUCACUUAUGAAUCUUUGGUUGUGCAGUAUAUGUACCAAUUGCACCUAUGCAAUGGACUAAAAUGGGUCCCCAAUGAAGACUCGGGAUUUAUUUAGGUUUUAAUUCUCCAUCUAUCAUAAGAUAUUGUUAGAAAAAUUAGGCUAAUCCAACCUAAGGUAAUUACCCUAGAAGGAAAAGGAGAGGAUGAAUAGAGUGAUGGUAUUUUUUUUUAAAAAAAAAUUAAAUUAUAUGAAUACAAGAGACAAUUAUAUGCAAAUAUAUAAUAAAACAAUAUAAAGAUAGAUGCAUAUAAAGAUCUUAUCUUGAUCCUUAUACAAAUGAAUAUGAACUAGAAGUUCAAAGGAACAUUUAUUUGCAAAAUCUUGCAAACAUAUUACUAGAUGCAUUCAUUGAUACAAAGAAAGUGACAAAGUCACAUAUCUUGGCUACAAAUACUCCAACAUGGAUUGAUGUCCCUGUAGGACAGUUAACAAAUGAACCUAAGAUAUGCUUGAAGCGUAGUAAACCUGUCGACUCAAAUGAUGUAACUCCCUAGAAGAGGAGAACACAAGAAAAACUUGGCACUUUAGAAGAGUCGUUAAAAUGACUAAUCAGUCUAAAAUUGAUAAAUCUAUAGCCCCAAAAGAGGCACAAAUAAUGCAAAAAGCCCAUGAAGAGGCACUUAUUGAACAAGAAGCCCUUGAAGAGGCACAUAUUGAACAAGAAGCCCCUGAAAAGGCACAUCUACCUGAAAAUUGUGAAAUAUUAGUAAGUUAUGUACACAUGGGAAAAAAAUGGGAUCCAAAUAAUAUUGCUAUCAACAAUACUUUUACUUUUCAAGUGGCCUAUGAUAUCAUAAGAAAUUAAUAAGAUCCCGAAUAACAAAAUAUGGAAGAAUGCCGACAUAGAAAUGAUUGGCCAAAAUGGAAAGAAGCUAUGUAAGCAAAGUUAAACUUAUUAACAAAAUGAGAAGUUUUUGGACCUGUACUCUAAACACUUGAAGAUGCAAAGUUUGUUGGGUAAAAAUGGGUAUUUGUACAAAAGUGAAAUGAGAAUAAUGAAAUCAUAAGAUAUAAAGCGUGAUUAGUAGCACAAGGUUUCUUUUAGAGACCAAGUAUUGACUACGAGGAAACAUACUCUCCUGACAUGGACAUAAUCACAUUUCGUUUCUUAAUUAGUUUGGUAAUCUCAUAAGGAUUGGAUAUGAUCCUCAUGGAUGUUAUUACAACAUAUUUAUAUAGAUCCAUAGAUAAUGAUAUAUACAUGAAAAUCCCUGAAGAAUUUAAACUGCCUCAAACAAAUAAUACAAAGACUUGUAACAUUUACUCAAUCAAGUUACAAUGAUCCUUGUAUGGAUUAAAGUAAGCGGGAUACAUGUGGUACAAUCGCCUUAGAAAAUACUUCCUAAAAGAAGGGUAUGUGAAUAACCCUAUAUGUCCAUGCAUCUUCAUUAAGAAAUCAAAAACUGGAUAUGCAAUUAUUGCAGUGUAUGUUGAUGACAUAAAUCUUGUUGGAACUCCUGAAGAGCUCAUAAGAACAAAAAAUUACUUAAAAAAGGAAUUUGAGAUGAAGGAUCUUGGAAAAACAAAAUUUUCUAUUGGUUUACAAAUCAAGCAUUUUCCAAAUGGAGUUUAGUACAUCAAUCAACAUACAUUAAGAAAAUUUUGAAGCAUUUUUAUAUGGGUAAAGCGCAUCUUUUAGCCUUUCCAAUAGUUGUUUGAUCACUUGAUGUGAAAAAGAACCCAUUUCAGUCUUGCAAAAAAUGUGAAGAAUUAGUUGGUUCUAAAGUACCAUAUAUUAGUGCUGGGUGCACUUAUAUAUCUUUCCAAUUGUACAUGUCUAAACAUUGUUUUUUCUAUCAAUUUAUCAGCAAGAUAAAGUUCCACUCCAACUCAAAGACAUUGAAAUGGUAUCAAACAUAUAUUGCACUAUCUUUGCGGAGCUACUGAUGUGAGUCUAUUUUACUCAAAGGAAUCAAGCAACAAUUGCUUGGAUAUGUAGAUGCAGGAUACCUUUCAUAUCCACAUAAAGAUAGGUCAUAAACAGGGUAUAUGUUUAAUUGCAAUGGUACUGCUAUUUCAUGGAGAUUUGUUAAACAAACAAUGAUGUCACAUUAUCAAAUCAUUCAAAAAUACUUGCAAUUCAUGAAGCAAGUUAUGAAUGUGUUUGACUAAGAUCUAUGAUUCAACAUAUUCGAUAACCAUAUGGACUUUUCUCUAUCAAAAGUGGCACGACAAUAUUAUUUGAAGAUGAUGUUGCAUACAUUGCACAAAUAACAGGGGGUCAUAUUAAAAGAGAUAGAACUAAACACAUUUCAUCAAAAUUAUUUUAUACACAUGAACACCAGAAAAGUGGUGAAAUUGGUGUGCAACAAAUAUGCUCAAGUGAUAAUCUAGCAAAUUUAUUCACAAAGUCAUUGCCAACCUCAACAUUAAAGAAGUCAAUACACAAGAUUGGAAUGCAUCAACUCAUAUCAACAUGAGGGAGAGUUUGCUUGUAAAAGGGUGUUAGUGUACUGUACUUUUUUUCCCUUUGUCCAGAUUUUGUCCUUUUGGGUUUUACUAGCAAGGUUUUUAAUGAGACAGUCCUAACAUAUCAAGAGCAACUUAAAGAAUUAUCACAAUAUUGUACUGUUUUUCCUUCGCUAGGUUUUCCUAUAGGGUUUUUUACUAGCAAGGUUUUAAUGAGACAUAUUCUUCUAAUGUGGUUGACAUUCAAGGAAAAGUGUUUAAACAAAGUAAUGAAUACCACCACAUUUAUUAUAUUAAAUAUUCAUUAAUAUUAUUUAUGACUUCCAUUAAUAUUCAUUAAUGGAAGCCAUUUGGAAAGCCUAUAAAACAACUUCCCAUCCCCUGUAAGAUGCAUCCUAAGGAAAGAAAUAAAUUCUCUCGCUCUUAUUCUCUAUGUCUUUCAUUCUUUCAACUCUGUUAAUUCUCUUUUCUGAUUCUUUCAUUCCCAUUAUAUAUUAUUAUUAAAAUAAUAUAAAGUUGUUAUAUACUUUUAUUUACGUUGCAUUUAUCCUUGUUUUACAACACUUAGUUUUUUCUUUUCUCUAUUUUAUUUUAUUUUUUUCUCUUCUAGUUAUUAUAAUUAUAAUAAUAAUUAUUAUUGUUAUUUUAUAAACAUAAUAUAACCUAUCAAAAAAUAAUAAUAAUAACAUAUUUAUAAAUAAUAUAAUAAUUAAUUUACAAAUUAUUGUUUCAUUUGUUAUUAUUAUUAUUGUUAUUAUUAUUUCAAUUUUUUUUAAAUAUCAUAUAUAACUUAUACAAUAUGAAUAAUAAUAAAAUAAUUUUACAAAUAUUGUUUCAUUCAUGUUUUGAAGACAAAGUUUUCUUAUAUAAACUUUCAUAAAUUUUCAAUUGUUUUUUACAAUAUGAUUAUUAAGAAAAUAUUACAAUAAAAAAUUAGUAUUGAUAAUUAUGAAAAAACAAAAUUAAAGCAUGUGUUAUCGUACUUUUAGUGUACUUAUAUUUUAAUUUCAAUGCAUAACUAUGACACAUACAUUUUGUCACAAACUUAAUAGUGUUAGAAGCAUUGUCUUAUCCUAGUAUAUUGAUUUCUAUAUUAUUAAGGCAUCCCAAUGAAUUAGCAUCAUAUACUAGAUGCAUUCUUAUUAGCAAUAAUUCUUAUAAUGAAACUCAUACACCUUAUAAAAAAAAUGUCUUAUAAGGUUAAUUUAUAGUAGAUGAAAUGUUAAAAAAUAUACAAAAUAUAUGACAAUCAUUUAUCAAUGCUUGUUUAAAAGGAAAAAUUUUAAAAUAAAGUUAGGUUAUGCAGUAAUGUAUAAGACAUUUAAAGUAUUCAUGUUGUAAGAUCAUUAUAUUUUUGUGGUACGAAUACGUUGGCUUUUAUAUUAAUACAUAAUAUCGGUGUACUAGCAUUAUACAUUUAAUGAAUCAUUAUUAUGCAUGAUUUUUAUAAUAAAGCCUAUAAGUUUUAAGAAUUAGGUGAAAGAAAGAUCAUAUUCUAAGAUUGGUUUAUAAUCAAUGACAUUAUAAUAAUAAAAAAUAUGAAUAAUGACACAUAUGAAAUAUUAAUAAUGUAAAACUAAUAUCAUAAAUAAUAAUAUUAAUAAUGAUGAUAAUAAUAAAUAUAUAAUUAUAAUUUUUUUUAAUAAAUAGUAUAGUUAGUCUUAACAUAUAGUAAAUAAAGCACAAAAGGUAGAAAAGAAAAGUAGAAAAGUAAAGUUAUAUGGGAGUAGGAGGAAAAGACAAAAUGAUGUAAUUGGAAUUAUGGAAUGAUCAAGUUAUCAAACUAUAACUUGUGAAUUUGACAAGACUUUGAGACUUGGUGACCCUUAAGGGAGAGCUUAUCAUCACUUCGAGCUAGGUGACCAUUUUUUAAAAAAUUUCAAAAAUAAAGCCCAUGAAAAAUUUAUUUAUUAAGAAUAAUAACAAUUUUGUAUUUUUUUAUAUACAAAUUAGAUAUUUAAUUUAUUAGAAUCAUUUUGAUGGUAAUGACAAACAAAAUAACUCCUUAAAUAGGUGAAAUAAUUCAUUUUCUCAAAUUUAUAUGCAAAAUUAUUUUAAAACAAAAGGGAUGAUACAUUAUUUUUGUUCAACAAUCCACAUUUUGACUUUCAUUUUAAAAUCCAUCUAUAAAAAUCUCUCUUUAUAUAUAUCUGCCUAGAUUGCCUGAUCAUCUAUUCAUUCAUUGUCUAUAACUUCUUGCCUGAUUAUCAAUUUAGAUGUUCAUAUUUGCAUAUAUUUAUUCAUUCCACCAUGUAUUUUGUUGCUUAUUUGUAAUGUUUACAAUUUUGAUGAAAUGUUUGAUUAUUUGAAAACCGAAUUUCCCCAAACCCACUAAUAAAAAGCAACUAAAAGUCUGACCAAUCUAGAGGGGUGUUCUUGGCCGGUGGCCAUCCUGAUAAGUCACCUUAGCCGUAGACUAGAUUUAGAUUUUGCAAUUAGUACCUUUCUUUUCCUUCUAGGAAUCACUAUCAUCUUGACCAAUCUAGCCAUGUACCAAAAAGUCAAUUUUGCCAAGUUUAAAAAGUUUGCUUUAAGCCUGUUCAUCAUAGUUGACAGAAGUUAGAAUUACAAUGAAAUAUCUAGGAGAAAAUGUCCGCAGGAGCAGAGAGAGAGAGAGUGAAGGCAAUACAUUCAGUCAUGAAUUUGAUGCAAAUCCCAACGUACAUAAUUGUAUCGAAUACUCUCACCAUGAUUGUCGAUCUAUCGGAUCAGACGAUUACUAUGUUUGCCAAAAAUGCCUGGGCCGUAUGUGGAAUAAAUCAAUUCCACAAGGAAGGGAAACUGCAAAAUUCCGUACAAGGUCACUGGCAAACAGACUAAUGCUGCCAAGGUAAUAAGAAUCCAUGCCUUCUUUUCACCAAAGAGAAGAUAGAUUGCGCUACUGUAGGCUAUCAUCAUGAAUGUUACGGAGAGGAAUAGAGUAACAAGGCCAAAUAUCAACCUCCUGGGAAGGGCAAAAAGAAAAUCAUCUUCUGCAUAUCGUGCCGUGAGAAUGGAUAGGCAUAUCAGCACCGAAGCAAUGGAUAGUAAGAGGGAAAGAGCAUCGGAAGCUGCAAAAACUUUGAAGGCCUUUUCUUUGGUGAAAUUUGGUAUGCCAGUAUCAUCAUGGUUGCCACCCGGGAUGGUAAUUGCUGCUGCAAACACUACAGUAGCAAUAAGCGCUGCUGCUAAUGUGUAACAUUUUGCUGUGCCUUUCAUCCAUUUCUCCCUUUCUUUUAUCAAUUUUUCAUGUUCCUUUAUAAAUGCCAUUUUCGGUUUAUCUUUUUUUUCAUUUCUCAGAUUCACUGAAGGCUCUCGGGGCAUAUUUUUCAAUUUCCUUUGUAAAAAUCAAAAUGUUUCUAAGAUACAGAAAAAGAGUGGAUAUGUAUAAGAAAAUUAAUUCCCCUUCAAAACAAAAAUUAUUACCUUAAACCAAUGUAACUCGCGUUGCAUUUGUAGAGCUGCACCAGAAACGAGACUGAGCCGGUGCGGAGGGGCCAAUUUUCCAACCAAAUGCAAGAUGUUAUUUAAAUCAUCUUUGGCUCGUAUUAUAAGUUCUCUAUGCAUAUCGGUUCCACAGAUGAGGUUGAAAAUCUUUUCAUAACGAUUUAAUACUGCCAAUUUGAAUACAUCCUCAUCCAGAUACUCGAGGGCAAAAGGAUAUGACUUCAUAAUCUCUUGCAGAAUCUCGGGAAUCCCAUAUUUUGC
rnacentral:lncRNA from 1 species